UACCAACUCGAACACAUAGAAAUGGGAGGAGACGGCCGGAUCAAAUCCCAGGCGAGCGUACGAGUCCGAGGACCAUUCAUUGGCAGGGAAGGUUACCCAUUUCUCAGUGGCAGGAUUGCACACCAGGUAAUCCGGUUCUUCAGGAUAAGGCUUGGAACAUCGACAGAGGAGGAGGCCGUUGCAGCAGUCCAGUAAAUCAAUCUUCUCGCAUUUUGGCAGGAACGAGAGGGAGGCGUCAAUGGGGCACCAGUUCCUGAGACGCUUAGGUAACCAUGAGAAUCAGGUGGACGGCGUUUUAGGUCGUAGAUUUUGUAGAAGAAGCCGGCGAGGGUCGACCGGGGAAGCUUCUCGCGGUGGUCGGGAUGGGCGAUGAGGUCCCGCCAGCGCGUGGAGACGCACUUGCAGCAGCGGGUGGACUUGUACGGCACGCGCGAGAUGAUCUCCACCAGCAGGUCGUCGGGGAGCUUGGCCGUCGGAUCGCUCAUGAGGGCCGUCUCCAUGGACCCCGUCGCCAUCUCUAGGGAGGCAAAGAGCGGCCAAUCUGCAGAUCGGGGAGGAGGACAGGUUAGAGAGAUACGUCCGGCUAGCAGUGAGGAGAGAGUGAAGGGAGAGAUGACCUACCAGAUGCGUGGCGCGCGAACAGCGAAGAGAGUAGCGGCGAGGGCGCCGGCGUUGGGUGCUCCAAUCCGCGCCGGCAAGUUGGUGGCGGCGAGCCGGUGAGGGUUUGGUUUGGGGUGUGGGGAGCCAGGGACCGGGGAGGCGAAAUGGAUGGACUCUGCGGACGUGGUUAUCCAAACUCUCAAAUGAAAGGGAAAUGAAGGAAUGGGACAAAUACCCCUAAAAAAGGAAUGGGACAAAUGAAAGAAUUCAAUUCCCUGCUCAAAUGGAAUGACCUAAGAUUUUAUUCACAUUUAAAAAUAUAAAUAGUCUCCAAUUUAAGGAUUCUUUUGAUUGCAUGAAGUAGAAACACAGGAACGGUAAAAUCAUAGGAUUGAGACGACAUGUCCUAUGAAUUCUUACAUGAUUUCAAAACAUAGGAAUUAUAAGGGCCUCUUUGAUUCACAUAUGCACAUAAGGAGUACACAUCCACUGAUCGCGAAGAGGCUGGCGCCAGUGGCGGAGACAGCACCCGGCGAGCCGGGGCUGCUGCCCGGGCUCCCAUGGUGCAUGUGCAUGGAGCUUUAAUAGUAAACAAAUAGUUUCUUCACAGUUUAUUUGGGCAAAAUAUAAUUAACUUGGCAUCACGUAUAUCUUGCCCAGGCUCUAAGUUUAAGCUGGCUCCGCCACUGGCUGGCGCGACCUCAAAUCUUGAAGAUGCGACCGAUCGAGACAAAUGGGUCGACUAGGGAGACCGGCCUAAUGGACAACCCAAAAGGCAAACACAGGCCUAGGCAUCGAAACAAGCUCAGACCAACAGGAUUGUCAUCAAUUGGAUGUGUGAGUCAUCCAGUGUACCUGUUAGUUCGAAGAGGGACAAACAAGGCUAUAGUAAUGCGCUAGGCUGCAUCCUCUACGAAAUUGUGAGCAUUAAUGAAAAGUCAAAAGACAAUAAGCCACCAGCGAGCACUCCUCAUGUGAAGUUGCACACUCGAUAUAUGUUCUCGAAUGAGUCCCUAUAGGCAGUGGCGUAGCUACGGCUGGGCCAAACCAGGCCAUGGCCCGCCCAGCUGCACAAGAUUUCAGUCAAGAUUAGUGUACAAUCUGGCCGUAAGAGCAAAAUUUUAAUGGUCCUUCUUAUUCCAAUCCGUUUUGGCCCGCCCACACAAAUGACUGUAGCUCCGCCACUGCCUAUAGGAGACCACUCUGGUAAAUAACAUAGCCAUCUCCAUGUUUCCACUUCUUUUGAAUGGUUGGAAAUCCAAGGCCAAAAAUGAACACCUUGCUAAAGAUUGCGACGAGAUCCAAAAGAUGUGGCCUUCGGUUUCUGAGGUGGAAUGGAACCUAUUCGAGGAGCACGGCAAAACCCUUAAAGUAAAGGUGAUGGAAAAAAAUGAAGUAGAAUAUGCAAGCACAAAAACCAACACCAUCGGAAGUCGUGGUUACCCAGGGAAGAGGUUGAAGUGCGCCAAGCAGGACUUUGAGUUUGUUGCGGCGGCACACCAAACCCCUUCAAGCACUUCCAAAACCCGUGCCAUAAUGAUUUCAUCCGAGUCUGGUACCAUUGGGACGAGGAGAAUAAGAAAGAGGCACUCUUGGACAAAUAACAACUAAAUUCAAGGAACUCUUCGUAUUAGCCCGCGUAUUUUUCUCUGAAAUAAAGAGCAAAUCAAGGUAUUCUGCCAUCUGUAGUUCUAGAAGGCUUUAAAAUGUUGUCGGGUUCCCAAGCCUUCAGCGGUUCCAGGCGAUUGAUUUUGUUAGUCUUUGCAGGGUUGCUCCAACAGCCUCGCUUCAAUAGAUUGUGGUGUUUGCUCCUCGAUGUUGGCCUUGAUUUUUCCAUCACUCACCACAUCAUUCAUCUCCAUGUUGUCCCCACUUCGCCUAUUUCCCACAUGAACCCCAAGAAGAUGUUGAUCCCCUUUUAAACCCUUCCUAUUUUGUCUCUGGAACUUACUGCACUGCUUCUCUUCUCCAUUAUUCCUUGGAACAUUUUCAUUCCACCUUCCCACCCCGGUUCCCCGUAUGCAGAUCCUCUCCACCCAAAGCCCCUACACUUCUCCCUUUACCAGGCAUAUUCAAAUAUGUCUUGUUUGAGCCCUUAACUUCCUCCGACCCUCCAGCAUCUUGUAGCUCGCUCGGCUUUGUAACCCCAAAGGCCAGUUGUUUCCCUAUCCCACUAGUUCCAUCCUUCACCUCUCCUGCAGGCAUCAGUGAUUUAAGUGGGAUAGGCACCUACUGGUAUGCUCUAACCUUCCCCUUAUGGUCCCCAAGAGUUAGCGGUUUAUUUGUCCUCCAAGCGUCCUUGUUAGUACCCAAGUUUCUUUUUAAUGAGCUAAUGUUAAAACUCUUCCCGCUCCCUCCACUUCUUCCCCCCAGAAGCUCAUCCCUCACACCAAUUUCCUUGGCUCGUGUCACUCUCCCUACAGGGUAUAGAAGCUUCCAUCCAUGCUCUUUAUUGGGGUUCCUCCCUUUUUCUCAACUUGAUGUUGCACUAAUUAUUUACAUGGGUCGAGCCACUCACAUGUGAAGCAAAGAUCAAGCAGGAACUCAUACUGAAUCCUAAACCAGAGGAACACAUCGGUUUUAUCAUCACUCCCCCAUUUCCCGUCAUCUUCAUCCUCCUCUAUCAUGAAACCUCGCAUAAGGGGCUCCUAGAUAUCUAGACGAACCUUAACUCUAAGGAAUUUGCCAAUUGCCACCUCACCUACACCCACAUACACUUCCAGAGUCUCCCCUAUGAAACCUCCGACGACUUCGCUUGAAUCCCGACACAUCUUAUCGAGGGUAGGUUGAAGAUCCUCAUGCACACCACACCGGCACCCAUUUGAAUUCAUAUUCAGCAAAGUUUUACUCGGGACAAAAUCCUCCACCACCAAGAGUGCCUUACCAGAUUUACAUGGCCCAUCCUCAAGUAUUUUUUCUCUUCCUUGUCGGCUGGUGAAACGUGAACAAGAAGAUGUUAUCUCCCAUGUCUUUGCAAUCCAAACCCCUCAUAGAGCAUCAUACUCUAGCCAGAGCAUUGGCUAGUGCCUUUGCGUGAGCCAGCUUAUCUGACAGGAUCAAAGAUAUGGCUUGUGGCUCCACAACACACACCUUUCCUCCCCCUCCCCAUCCUCCUCCUUCCAGACGAUCUUCCUCCCUUAGCUCUCCAUCUCCAACAAUUUUAGACUCUUCAUCAAUCCUUUUACCUGAUCCAUGAUCCCGAGCAUCCUCCAGUGAAACGCCAGACGAAACUAGGUUUGGUGUGGGUGGUGUACGGUCGUGUUCCCUAACACACACGACAUGAUUGUGGUGGAGGGAGGGAUGGGUAACUAGAUCUUGGCACAACCCUUGAUAGGAUUUUAUCUAUGUAGCAGAAACCCUAAGGGCAUGUAUAAUGGUGCUAUCUUAGGAGUGCCACGUAGGAUAAAUAAUGAGGUGGAGAAGAGAGAACUCAUAAGAAAAUGCUUGUCUUCUCUUAUUUAAUACUCCCUCCGUCCAGAAAUACUUGUUGGAGAAAUGGAUAAAAAUGGAUGUAUCUAGAACUAAAAUACGUCUAGAUACAUACAUUGCUCCAACAAGUAUUUCCAGACGAAGGGAGUAGAAGACAAGAGAUAAUCUCUUAGCACAAUAUGUCUCACCACGUUUUUAGGAAUAACCAGUUAUUAAAGAUAAGGUUAAGAGAUGACCCAUUAUAGACACUUUUUUUGCCAUAUCUAAACUACAUGCAAAAUUUAAGAUAAGACUAUCUUAUCAACGAUUCUAAAUGCCUAAGACGUGAUGAUCGCUGAUCCUCAAAAAAGAUCCUAAAAAAGACAUGAUGAUCGCCUAUCCUAUCGCUAGUAACCAACCGUCACAUGAGGUACAAACUUGUGAUGGAGCAUUAGCUACGUGCUUCUAUGUUAGCAACAGCUUCACCGCCUUAUACGUUCGUCCAGUACACUUCAACAUAUUGGACAAUGCAGCAAAGUAUUUAGUAGCAAAGUAGUACGGAAGUAACGGUAACAGUGGUAAAAGUAACAAUAGCAGUUUUGUAGUAAUUGUAACAGCGGCAACGGUAAAGUAACUAAGCAAAGAGUGAUAUGUGAAAAGCUCGUAGGCAUUGGAUCAGUGAUGGAUAAUUAUGUCGGAUGCGAUUCCUCAUGCAAUAGUUAUAACAUAGGAUGACACAGAACUAGCUCCAGUUCAUCAAUGUAAUGUAGGCAUGUAUUCCGAAUAUAGUCAUAUGUGCUUAUGGAAAAGAACUUGCAUGACAUCUUUUGUCCUAUCCUCCCAUGACAGCGAGGUCCUAUUGGAAACUAAGGGAUAUUAAGGCCUCCUUUUAAUAGAGUACUGGACCAAAGCAUUAACACAUAGUGAAUACAUGAACUCCUCAAACUACGGUCAUCAUCGGUAAGUAUCCCGAUUAUUGUCACUUCGGGGUUAACGGAUCAUAACACAUAAUAUGUGACUAUAGACUUGCAAGAUAGGAUCAAGAACUCACAUAUAUUCAUGAAAACAUAAUAGGUUCAGAUCUGAAAUCAUGACACUCGGGCCCUAGUGACAAGCAUUAAGCAUAGCAAAGUCAUAGCAACAUCAAUCUCAGAACAUAGUAGAUACUAGGGAUCAAACCGUAACAAAACUAACUUGAUUACAUGGUAAAUCUCAUCCAACCCAUCACCGUCCAGCAAGCCUAUGAUGGAAUUACUCACGCACGGCGGUGAGCAUCAUGAAAUUGGUGAUGGAGGAUGGUUGAUGAUGACGACGACGACGGAUUCCCCUCUCCAGAGCCCCGAACGGACUCCAGAUCAGCCCUCCCGAGAGAGUUUAGGGCUUGGUGGCGGCUCUAUAUCGUAAAACGCGAUGAAUCCUUCUCUUGAUUUUUUUUCUCCAUGAACGUGAAUAUAUAGAGUUAGAGUUGAGGUCGGUGGAGCUUCAGGGGGCCCACGAGGCACGGGGGCGCGCCCCCUAGGGCGCGCCCCCCACCCUCAUGGACAGGGUGUGGGCCCCCUAACGUUAAUUCUUUCGCCAAUAUUUUUUAUUAAUUCCAAAAAGUUGCUCCAUGGAUUUUCAUGACAUUCCGAGAACUUUUAUUUGUGCACAAAAAUAACACCAUGGCAGUUCUGCUAAAAACAACGUCAGUCCGGGUUAGUUCCAUUCAAAUCAUGCAGGUUAGAGUCUAAAACAAGGGCAAAAGUGUUUGGAAAAGUAGAUACGUCAGAGACAUAUCAACUCCCCCAAGCUUAAACCUUUGCUUGUCCUCAAGCAAUUCAAUUGAUAAACUGAAAGUGAUAAAGAAAAACUUUUACAAACUCUAUUUGCUCUUGUUGGAGAAAUAUGUAAAGCCAGCAUUCAAGUUUUCACCAAAGAUUAUGAACUAACCAUAUUCACAAUAAUACUUAGGUCUCAUGUUUACUCAUAUCGAUGGCAUAAUCAACUAGCGAGCAAUAAUAAUAAAUCUCGAAUGACAACACUUUCUCAAAACAAUCAUAAUAUGAUAUAACAAGAUGGUAUCUUGCUAGCCCUUUCUAAGACCGCAAAACAUAAAUGCAGAGCACCUCUGAAGAUCAAGGACUGACUAAACAUUCUAAUUCAUGGUAAAAGAGAUCCAGUCAUAGUCAUACCCAAUAUAAAUUAAUAGUAAUGCAUGCAAAUGACAGCGGUGCUCUCCAGGGGUGCUUUUUAAUAAGAGGAUGAUGACUCAACAUAAAAGUAAAUAGAUAGGCCCUUCGCAAAGGGAAGCAGGGAUUUGUAGAGGUGCCAGAGCUCGAUUUUGAAAUAGAGAUAAAUAAUAUUUUGAGCGGUAUACUUUCAUUGUCAACAUAACAACUGAGAGAUCUCGAUAUCUUCCAUGCUACACACAUUAUAGGCGGUUCCCAAACAGAAUGGUAAAGUUUAUACUCCCCCACCACCAACAAUCAUCAAUCCAUGGCUUUCCCGAAACAACGGGUGCCUCCAACUAAAAACAAUCCUGGGGGAGUUUUGUUUGCAAUUAUUUUUGAUUUGAUUUGAGCAUGAGACUGGGCAUCCCGGUGACCAGCCAUUUUCUCGUGAAUGAGUAACCCGCCUAACAUGGAAGAUACAAACAACCCUAGUUGAUACAUGAGUUGUUUGAGCAUACAAAACAUAAUUUCAUUUGAAGGUUUGGAGUUUGGCACAUACAAAUUUACUUGGAACAGCAGGUAGAUACCGCAUAUAGGAAGGUAUGGUGGACUCAUAUGGAAUAACUUUGGGGUUUAUGGAUUUUGGAUGCACAAGCAGUAUUCCGGAUUAGUACAAGUGAAGGCUAGAAAGAGAGUGGGAAUCGACCAACUAGAGAGCGAUAACAGUCAUGAACAUGGAUUAAAAUUAAUCAACACUGAGUGCAAGCAUGAGUAGGAUAUAAUCCACCAUGAACAUAAAUAUCGUGAAGGCUAUGUCGAUUUUGUUUCAAUUACAUGUGUGAACAUGUGCCAAGUGAAGUCACUCGAAUCAUUCAAAGUAGGAUACCACCCUAUCAUACCACAUCACGACCAUUUUAUUAGCAUGUUGGCACGCAAGGUAAACCAUUAUAAACUCCUAGCUAAUUAAGCAUGGCAUAAGCAACUAUAAUCUCUAAUUGUCAUUGCAAAUAUGUUUAUUUACAAUAGGCUGAAUCAGGAACGAUGAACUAAUCAUAUUUACAAAAACAAGAUAGGUCGAGUUCAUACCAGCUUCUCUCAUCUCAAUCAGUCAAUCAUAUAUCGUCAUUAUUGCCUUUCACUUGCACGACCGAACGGUGUGAAUAAUAAUAAUAGUGCACGUGCAUUGGACUAAGCUGGAAUCUGCAAGCAUUCAAUUCAAAGGAGAAGACAAUGUAAUAUGGGCUCUUGGUUGAAUCAACAAUAAUGCAUAUGAGAGCCACUCAACAUUUUCAUUAUGGUCUUCUCCUCUCGACCCCAAAGAAAAGAAAUAAAACUAUUUACACGGGAAAGCUCCAACAAGCAAAAGAAGAACAAUAAAUCUUCUUGGGUUUUCUUUUAAUUAUACUACUACAAGCAUGCAAAGUAAACUAGAGCAUCGAUAGUACAAUGAAAAAGUAUGAGCACUGACAACUAGAAUGAGUGUGUGAACAUGAAUGUAAUAUCGGUGAGAAAUACGUACUCCCCCAAGCUUAGGCUUUUGGCCUAAGUUGGUCUAUGCCCAUGGAUCAGAGCUACUCUCUCCGGUGUACUGAGGAGUGUCAUCCGAGUACCACUAGCUCGCGAUAUCCUCCGGAUCCCACUGAUAAAAGGACGGUCGAUAAGGGUCAAGUGGUGGUUCCGGCUCAGGCUCUGGAGCUGAUGUCUGGCCCCGGUACGCGUGAACGGCCUCUGGCAAGAUGAGGUACGUGACUGCAGAUAAGUCAAACAAAGAGGGUACAGGCAAGAUAAUAGUCUCACUGUGAGUUUUAUGAAAUCUCAAAUUAUACCUAAGCAUCUUCUCAUCAUUUUUAACAAUAAACUCAUGUGCUACCAUACUCUUAUAAUCUAGAAAGGUAGGGGGAAGCAGCUUUUCUUCUUUCUCAUAAUGCUUAAUAGGUAUCCUAAAGUGUUUAGCAAGGCGUGAAGCAUAGAUACCUCCAAAGAUGGGGCCCUUUGUACGGUUCAGACUUAAUCGUUUAGCAACAAUAGCGCCCAAACUAACAGUGUUAUCACGAAAUAAAGCAUGGCACAAAAUAACAAUAUCAGGAACACUAAGGUUUCCACAGUUCCCACGACCAAUUAAGCAUCUACUAGCAAAUAUUGCAAAGUAACGUAAAACAUGAAAAUGUAUGCUAGUAAUUCUUGCAUCGGGAACCUUCCUCGUUUCCCUACAGUAAUCAUGUCAAUAAAUCCAUCCACAUCUCUACGAUGUGGUUCCUCUAUGCUACCCUCGAAGGGUAUCUUGCAAACCGCACAAAAAUCACAUAAUGACAUCUCCCUAGCCUCAUCAUAUAAAUGAAACUCUACUGAAGGUGGUGAUUUCUUAGAAUGAAAGUAAAAAUUUUGCACGAAAGUAUUAGUGAGUAAGAGAUACUGUUCGAGCUGGUCGUGGAGGAAGUCGGCGAGGCCCGCAUCAUCAGCCAAAGAACAAAAAUCAUCAUGAAUACCGACUGCUCUCAAGAACUCAUCACAAGGCCAUUCACACGGCCGAACUUCCGCGACGCGAGGGAGAUUAUACUUGGGCUCUUUAUUCUCCUUACUUUGUUUAUCCUUUGAGCUUUGGCUAGAAGAGCCCCUCAAAAAUCUCUUCAUCAUUUUCUGAAUUUUUUUGAAAUUUUUAGUAACUCAAAAUAAAAGUGAACCAAACUCAACAAAAUUGAUAGCAACUACUCCUACAAGUGCCUAGAGACUAUAUCAUGCAUUAGAACUACUUGGGACCAAAUAAAUUUGACAUGCAAGCCCAAGAACAGGGUCACCUAGCCAGCAAAAGUUUGCAAUGAAUAAAGCACUAGAACAAAAACUAAUUGGAUCAUUGGAGGAGUCACAUACCAAAGAACAAUUCCCCAAAUCAGUUUUGUGAAUGGAGCUUUGAGCAAGGAGAUCGAAAAUGGCAGCAAGAUGAGCUAGAACUCGUGCUUGAGUUGGUUGGUGAUUUUUUUUGGAGGAAGAAGAAGAGUAUGGGUGCAGGAAUAAGUGGAGGGGGGCCACCAUGGGCCCACGAGGCAGGGGGCGCGUCCCAGGGGGGUGGGCGCGCCCCUGGCCCUCGUGGCCAGGUGCUUGCUCCCUUUGCUGUGUUCUCAGUGCCACCUAUUCUCAAAUAUUCCAGAAAAAAUCAUAUUUAAUUUUCAGGGCAUUUGGAGAACUUUUAUUUUCAGGGUAUUUUUUAUUGCAAGGAUAAUUCAGAAAACAGACAGAAAAUACUAUUUUUGCUUUAUUUAAUCUAAAUAACAGAAAGUAAAAAGAGGGUACAGAAGGUUGUGCUUUCUAACUUCAUCCAUCUCAUGCUCAUCAAAAGGAAUCCACUAAUAAGGUUGAUCAAGUCUUGUUAACAAACUCAUUCCGAAUAACAUGGAACCAGAGAAAUUUUGAAUAACACUAGGUUACCUCAAUGGGGAUAUGUACAUCCCCAAUAAUAAGAAUAUCAUAUUUCUUUUUGGCAGUAGGAAGAGGAAAUUCAAAACCUCCAAUUAUAAUCGAUUAAAUUUUUCCAAUAGAAUUUAUACUGUGGACUUGAGGCUGUUUCCUCGGAAAGUGUACCGUAUGCUCAUUACCAUUAACAUGAAAAGUGACAUUGCCUUUGUUGCAAUCAAUAAUAGCCCCUACAGUAUUCAAAAAGGGUCUACCAAGGAUAACCGACAUACUAUCGUCCUCGGGAAUAUCAAGAAUAACAAAGUCCGUUAAGAUAGUAACAUUUGCAAAAACAACAGGCACAUCCUCACAAAUACCGACAGGUAUAGCGGUUAAUUUAUCGGCCAUUUGCAAAGAUAUUCCAGUAGGUGUCAACUUAUUCAAUUCAAGUCUACGAUAUAAAGAGAGAGGCAUAACACUAACACCGGCUCCAAGAUCACACAAAAGCAAUAUUAACAUAGUUUCUUUUAAUGGAGCAUGGUAUAGUUGAUACUCUUGGAUCUCCUAGUUUCUUAGGUAUUCCACCCUUAAAAGUAUAAAUAGCAAGCAUGGUGGAAAUUUCAGCUUCCGGUAUCUUUCUUUUAUUUGUAAUAAUAUCUUUCAUGUACUUAGCAUAAGGAUUAACUUUAAGCAUAUCAGUUAAGCGCAUACGCAAAAAGAUAGGUCUAAUCAUUUUAGCGAAGCGCUUAAAAUCCUCAUCAUCCUUUUUCUUGGAUGGCUUAGGAGGAAAAGGCAUGGUUUUUUGAACCCAUGGUUCUCUUUCUUUACCAUGCUUCCUAGCAACGAAGCCUCUCUUAUCAUAACGUUAAUUUUUUGAUUAUGGGUUAUCAAGAUCAACGGCAGGUUCAAUCUCUACAUCAUUAUUACUGCUAGGUUGAGCAUCAACAUGAACAUUAUCAUUAACAUUAUCACUAGGUUCAUGUUCAUCACCAGAUUGUGUUUCAGCAUCAGAAAUAGAAAUAUUAUUGGGAUUCUCAGGUGUGUCUACAACAGGUUCACUAGAAGCAUGCAAAGUCUUAUCAUUUUUCUUUUUCUUUUUAGAAGUACUAGGUGCUUCAACAUUAUUUCUCUGAGAAUCUUGCUCAAUUCUCUUAGGGCGACCCUCAAGAUACAAAGGUUCCUGAGUCAUUUUACCCGUUCUAGUUGCUACUCUAAUAGCAAAGUCAUGUUUAUUAUUAUUCAAUUCGUUGAGCAAAUCAUUUUGAGUCUUAAGCACUUGUUCUACCUGAGUGGUAACCAUAGAAGCAUGUUUACUGAUGAGUUUAAUUUCACCCUUAACUCUAGACAUGUAAUCACUCAAGUGUCCAAUCAUAUAAGGAUUACUUUUCAAUUGUCUACCAACAUAAGCAUUGAAAUUUUCUUGUUUAGCCAUAAAGUCAUCAAAAUCAUCCAAGCAUUGGCUAGCAAACUUAGUAGACGGGAUUUCAACUUUAUCAUAUCUAUAGAGAGAAUUUACCUUUACUACCCGUGUUGGGUUAUCAAGACCAUGGAUUUCUUUAAUAGGUGGUAUAUUAAGGCCAUGUAUUUCUUCAAUAGGAGGUAAAUUCUUAACAUCUUUAGCUUUAAUACCCUUUUCUUUCGUAGAUUUCUUUGCCUCUUGCAUAUCUUCUGGACUGAGAAAUAGAACACCUCUUUUCUUCGGAGUUGGCUUAGGAGUUGGUUCAGGAAGUGUCCAAUUGUUUUCAUUAUUCAAUAUAUUAUUCAAUAGCAAUUCAGCUUGAUCAACAGUCCUUUCCCUGAAAACACAACCAGCACAACUAUCCAGGUGGUAUCUGGAAGCAUCGGUUAGUCCAUUAUAAAAGAUAUCAAGUAUUUCAUUUUUCUUGAGAGGAUGAUCAUGCAAAGCAUUAAGUAGUCGGAGAAGCCUCCCCCAAGCUUGUGGGAGACUCUCUUCUUCAAUUUGCACAAAAUUAUAUAUUUCCCUUAAAGCAGCUUGUUUCUUAUGAGUAGGGAAAUAUUUAGCAGAGAAGUAAUAAAUCAUAUCUUGGGGACUACGCACACAACCAGGAUCAAGAGAAUUAAACCAAGUUUUAGCAUCACCAAUGAGAACGGAAAUAUCUUAAGGAUAUAGUAAUAGCGAGAUUUCUCAUCAUUAGUGAAUAGGGUGGCUAUAUCAUUCAAUUUAGUAAGAUGUGCCACAACAAUUUCAGAUUCAUAGCCAUAAAAAGGAUCAGAUUCAACCAAAGUAAUUAUCUCAGGGUCGAUAGAGAAAUCAUAAUCCUUAUCAGUAACACAGAUAGGUGAAGUAGCAAAAGCAGGGUCAUAUUUCAUUCUAGCAUUCAGAGACUUUUGCUUAAGCUUAGCUAAUAACUUAUUAAGAUUAGAUCUAUCAUUGCAAGCAAGAAAUCUCUAGCAGUUUCUUCAUCCAUAACAUAACCCUCAGGCAUAACAGGCAAUCUAUAUCUAGGGGGAGAAUCUUCAUCAUCACUUUCAUCAAUAUUAUCAGUUUCAAUAGUUUCAUUCUCUCUAGCCCUAGCAAGUUGUUCAUCAAGAAAUUCACCUAAUGGCACAGUAUUAUCAAGCGUAGAAGUAGUUUCAUCAUAAGUAUCAUGCAUAGCAGAAGUGGCAUCAUCAAUAACAUGCGACAUAUCAGAAUUAAUAGCAGAAACAGGUUUAGAUGUCGCAAGUUUACUCAUAACAGAAGGAGAAUCAAGUGCAGAGCUAGAUGGCAGUUCCUUACCUCCCCUCGUAGUUGACGGAUAAAUCUUGGUUCUUUCGUCUUUCAAGUUCCUCAUAGUGAUCAGCAGAUAUAAAUCCCAAGUGACUCAAAGAAUAGAACUAUGCUCCCCGGCAACGGUGUCAGAAAAUAGUCUUGAUAACCCACAAGUAUAGGGGAUCACAACAGCUUUCGAGGGUAGAGUAUUCAACCCAAAUUUAUUGAUUUGACACAAGGGGAGCCAAAGAAUAUUCUCAAGUAUUAGCAGUUGAGUUGUCAAUUCAACCACACCUGGAUAACUUAAUAUCUGCAGCAAAGUAUUUAGUAGCAAAGUAGUAUGGAAGUAACGGUAACAGUGGCAAAAGUAACAGUAGCAGUUUUGUGGUAAUUGUAAUAGCGGCAACGGUAAAGUAAUUAAGCAAAGAGCAAUAUGUGAAAAGCUCAUAGGCAUUGGAUCAGUGAUGGAUAAUUAUGUCAGAUGCGAUUGCUCAUGCAAUAGUUAUAACAUAGGGUGACACAGAACUAGCUCCAGUUUAUCAAUGUAAUGUAGGCAUGUAUUCCGAAUAUAGUCAUACGUGCUUAUGGAAAAGAACUUGCAUGACAUCUUUUGUCCUACCCUCCUGUGGCAGCGGGGUCCUAUUGAAAACUAAGGGAUAUUAAGGCCUCCUUUUAAUAGAGUACCGGACCAAAGCAUUAACACAUAGUGAAUACAUGAACUCCUCAAACUACGGUCAUCAUCGGUAAGUAUCCCGAUUAUUGUCACUUCGGGGUUAACGGAUCAUAACACAUAAUAGGUGACUAUAGACUUGCAAGAUAGGAUCAAGAACUCACAUAUAUUCAUGAAAACAUAAUAGGUUCAGAUCUGAAAUCAUGGCACUCGGGCCCUAGUGACAAGCAUUAAGCAUAGCAAAGUCAUAGCAAUAUCAAUCUCAGAACAUAGUGGAUACUAGGUAUCAAACCCUAACAAAACUAACUUGAUUACAUGGUAAAUCUCAUCCAGCCCAUCACCGUCCAGCAAGCCUACGAUGGAAUUACUCACACACGGCGGUAAGCAUCAUGAAAUUGGUGAUGGAGGAUGGUUGAUGAUGACGACGGCGAUGGAUUCCCCUCUCCGGAGCCCCGAACGGACUCCAGAUCAGCCCUCCCGAGAGAGUUUAGGGCUUGGCGGCGGCUCCGUAUCGUAAAACGCAAUGAAUCCUUCUCUCUGAUUUUUUUCUCACCGAAUGUGAAUAUAUGGAGUUGGAGUUGAGGUCGGUGGAGCUUCAGGGGGCCCACGAGGCAGGGGGCGCGCCCUAGGGGGGCGCACCCCCACCCUCGUGGACAGGGUGUGGGCCCCCUGACGUUAAUUCUUUCGCCAAUAUUUUUUAUUAAUUCCAAAAAGUUGCUCCGUGGAUUUUCAUGUCAUUCCGAGAACUUUUAUUUCUACACAAAAAUAACACCAUGGUAGUUCUGCUGAAAACAACGUCAGUCCGGGUUAGUUCCAUUCAAAUCAUGCAAGUUAGAGUGCAAAACAAGGGCAAAAAUGUUUGGAAAAGUAGAUACGAUGGAGACGUAUCUGACAAUACAAGAAAAUGCCAUAAAAGGACCAUAAAAGAAAUGAGAGAACUCCACUCGAGCGCUCUGCUCUGCUCGUGACGGGUCGCCACUCAAAAUGGCAGUUUUCCCCAUGGGGGCGGGUAUCCGUGGGCAUUUACUCGCUAAGAAGUGGUGAUGGGGGUCAAAAUCCCCCCACGGGUAUAACGGGGCGGGUAUCCGAGAAGCAAGCGGGGUGGGGAUGGGGGGCAAACUGGCUCGAUGGAGCCUCCAUGGAUACACGGGACCCAUCUGUCAGUCAAACUGGCCACCCAGUAUAUAUACAAGAAACCCUAAAUCGACUCGUCCGCCUCCACUCUCUUCCCAUCCCCGCAGCCGCCUCUCCCUCUGCCCUCUCACUUUCACCAAUCCCCCUCCCGAUCCACUCAUCCAUCCAACCCUAGAUCGACAACGACCGGCGGCGCCCUGCACCAGCCGUCUCAUCCGGCCGCCCCUCCUGGUGCUCGCCUCCUCGUCGCCCAUUGCCCUCUCCUGGUGCUCGCCUCCUCGUCGUUCACCUCCUCGCCUCCUCGCGAGUCCACGACGGCGAUGAUGGCGAGCCACGACCGCACCAAAAGCUUACUGCGAUGGUGAUAGUGGCGACGACGACGAGUAUUGGCGGCACCCUGCAACGGCCCCCCUCCCAUUUGGUCCCGCCCCGUCGCCCUCUCCUACAUCUGGUGAUCUGGUCCCGCCCCGUUGCCCUCUCCUGCAUCUGGUCCCGCCCCGUCGCCAUCUCCUGCUUCUCGCCUCCUCAACGCCAGUGACUCCCCUCCUCUUCUUCCACCUCAAGCACAAGAAGUGACCACUGACCAGAGUCCAGAGGCCGAGACCAUCAUGGUAAGUAGGUAACCGGCUGCAUCUACACCUUUUCUUGUAUUUUUUGUGUCAUUUCGUGCUGUUGAAUGUGUAUGCAUCUGUUGAAUGUGUAUGGAUCUUGUAGUUGUUAGUUCUUGUAGUUAUUUUCCAUCUUGUUGAAUGUGUAUCUGUUGAAUGUGUAUGCAUAUGUUGAAUGUGUAUGCAUCUGUUGAAUGUGUAUGGCCAUCUUGUUGUUAAAUGUGUAUGGGUCUGUUACUUGGUCAGUCAUAAGUGAAUUAUGUAAAUAUCCAGCAGUCCACACACAUUCAAUUAUAUGUCAGAAACUCAAAAUUGUUUUGUCAAUUAUAUGUCAGAAUCAUCUAAACAUCCAGCAGUUUGCAUAUCCUUUUUAUCUAAAUAUAUUGCAAUGUGAUCUUGCUGUUGAAUGUGUAUGCUUCCUGAUUGAAUGUGUAUGUAUCAAUUGUAUGCUUCCUGAUUAUCUAAAUAUUUUGUUGUGUGCCUUUGUAGCUGACCGCGACGUUGACCGGCAACUCGCAUCCUCUUCCUCCACCUCAAGCAAAUCUGCAUCGACCCAAGACCAUCAAGGUGAGCAGAUUUGCAAUGGCAUCAGGUUCAGGUGAAUAUGCUGAGCAAGAUAAGCCACUUCAUGUGAAGACAAAGACCACAUCUGUGGUUUGGAAUGAGUUCAAUAGGGUUCUUGUUGAGGAAAAAUGGAAGGCUGAAUGUGUAUGGUGUCACAGGCUAUUUUGUGGAGAUCCAGAGUAUGGAACCUCACAUAUGCAUGCUCAUUUAGCAAGAUGUGCUUCUAGGCAGGCCAAUGGUUAAGUGUUAAGGCUAGGAACUUUCAGUCAUGUAAUCAGAUUUAAUGUAUGGUGUCAAGGGAUGUGUGUGCUUUGUUAUGUUUGCCAUGCUUGCUUUUGUUAAGUGUUAAGGAUAGGAACAUAUUUGAUCAAGAACUAUGUAGGAAAGAACUUGCUUUGAUGAUAUGUUGUCAUGAGUACCCACUUGCUAUGGUAGAUCAUGUAGGUUUUAGAAAGUUUUGUGCUAUGUUGCAGCCUAUGUUCAAGGUUGUGUGUAGGAAUACCAUCCGGAAAGAUAUUCUAGAAAUGCAUGAAGGACAAAGACAUAAGUUGAUCAAGUACUUUGCAAACUUCAAGAAUAGAGUUGAUGUGACUUCAGAUAUGUGGACUGCUGGACAUCAAAAGAGAGGAUACAUGGCUAUAACAGGUCACUAUAUUGAUGGUUCUUGGAAUCUAAAGUCAUUCCUUCUAAGGUACAAUACCAUUGCUCCUAUCUUACUGCUUGUCUGAAUACCUUUGCUCUUAUUCAUGCUUUCUAACCCAAUAAUUUAUAAUUUUGCAGGUUUGUAUAUGUACCAGCACCACAUACAGCUGAAGUGAUUUGUGAUGUUCUACAUGAAGUUUUGAUAGAGUAUCAUCUUGAGAGAAAGAUAUCAACCAUUACUCUUGAUAACUGCACAACCAACAACAAGGCAGUGGAAGAUCUCCUAGAUAAGUUAGACUCCUCCUCUCUCAUGCUAGGUGGUAAACUGUUGCAUAUGCGGUGUUGUGCUCAUAUAUUAAAUCUGAUUGUGAAAGAUGGGCUUGCUGUUUUGGGGGAUGGUAUUGAGAGGGUGCGGGAUAGUGUGGGGUUUUGAUCAACAACUCCAAAAAGACAUGAGAAGUUCGAAAAAAACUUGUCGCUUGAUGAACAUUGAGUACUCUAGGAGGUUGAACCUUGAUUGCAAAACCAAGUGGAACUCCACAUACAUAAUGCUUAGUAUUGUUGUGUUGUAUAGGGAUGUUUUUGAUCGUCUUAGUCUAUGUGAAAGGCUUUUUAAUUGUUGUCCAACAACUGCUGAUUGGGAUUUUGCCAAAGAGAUGAUUGCUAGGCUCAAAUUAUUCUAUGAUGUCACUUGCUUAUGGUCGGGAACUAGAUAUGUUACAGCAAAUAUGUUCUUCCCCAAGGUUUGUGGUAUUAAGUUGGCAAUUCGCAAAUGGACUACACUUGAUUAUGAGCUGUUGCAAGAUAUGUCUGAUGAGAUGAAAAAGAAGUAUGAAGUGAUGCAACAAAUGUCCGAGGAGAUGAAAAAGAAGUUUCAGAAGUACUGGACAAAUAUCCAUGGUCUGAUGGCUAUUGCCACUGUUCUUGACCCAAGAUACAAACUCCAUAUGGUGCAGGCUUUGUACGGUCCUCUUUAUGGACCCGAGGCUGCAAAUUAGGAGGUUGAGCGCGUGAAGCAGUUGCUCUGAGAAUUGUUGGUUCAAUACCAAGAUGCCUCUUCUACGGGAACAUCAAAUGUUGCUACUGCUUCACAGCCCACUGAUUCAGCUUCACAGGAAGAAGUUUUUGACAUAUUUGAACAGUACAUGUCUUCACAACCUACUGCUUCAUCUAUGUUGGUUCAUACAGAGCUAGAUAUGUAUUUAGAAGAGCCAACUUUGCCAAGAACACCUGAUUUUGAUAUCAUCAAUUGGUGGAAGUUUGGAGGGAUAAAAUAUCCAACUCUACAACUCAUUGCUCAUGAUAUCUUGCCUAUUCCGGUCACAGCGGUAGCAUCGGAAUCUGCAUUCUCUACAAGUGGUAGAAUUCUUAGCCCUCACUGCAGUAGGCUUGCACCAAAGAUGGUUGAGGCUAUAAUGUGUAUGCAGGCUUGGUCUAAUGCUGGCAUGCUAGGUAAGACAAUUCAAAUGUGCUCUUUUGCUCCUAUUACUGCUGUUGUGUUGUUCUUACACUACUUUUUUUUGCUUAGACAAUUUACUAGAAUAUAUACCUGAAUCAGUUACACUACUGCCAUCUAAUUUUACAUUGUUUGCAAUUUUAGGUGAGAACAAUUCAUCUUUGUCUACUGAGUUUCAAACUUGCCUUGAUGAUGAGGAUGAACCAAUGGUAACUUGACAUUCCCAACUCUCAUCCUAUGUCUUUAUUUCAUUUGCAACUUUCUAAAUUAUCUUGAACUAUUUCCAUGAUCGGGAUGAGGAACUCUCCACUUGCAAUAACUAUUAGCCUUGCUGCUUGCCUCCAUGGAGUCAAGAAUGAAGAAAAUGGAGGACCAAUAAGCUACUGUGAUGGUCUCUUCAAGUCUUCAUUUCAUUUAUUUUUCCAUCCAUGCUUGUCAACUGGUGUUAAGAAUUAGAACUUCCGGCUUGUAAUCGUACUAAGUAUUGUUGUUUGUGCCAUUCGUACUUCCAGUAUGUGGUCAGACUUGAGUCGAGAUGGUUGAAUCUGUCAAACUUACUGUGGUCAGACAUGGGAUGGUUGAAUCUAUGUCAAAAAUAUUGUGUUUGUGCUGCUAAUUUACUAUUCUUUUGCUUCUCUAAUGGAGGAUUGCUGUCAAAAUUAUUGUGGUUUGUGCUGCCAAUAUAAUGUUGUUGUGCUGCUAUAAUGUAUGAUUAAAUUUGUCAAAAGUUUACUGAUGUUUUACUCCUCUUUUACUGCUGUUUUGUGCUGCCAAUAUACUGAUGUUGUGCACUUGUGCUCCUCUUUUACUGAUGCCAAUAUACUACUGUUGUGUAGCUCCUCUUUUACUGUUAUUGGUAUCCAUGGAGAUCCCCAUGGGGAUCGGGUACCCGUUGUUCGCNNNNNNNNNNNNNNNNNNNNNNNNNNNNNNNNNNNNNNNNNNNNNNNNNNNNNNNNNNNNNNNNNNNNNNNNNNNNNNNNNNNNNNNNNNNNNNNNNNNNNNNNNNNNNNNNNNNNNNNNNNNNNNNNNNNNNNNNNNNNNNNNNNNNNNNNNNNNNNNNNNNNNNNNNNNNNNNNNNNNNNNNNNNNNNNNNNNNNNNNNNNNNNNNNNNNNNNNNNNNNNNNNNNNNNNNNNNNNNNNNNNNNNNNNNNNNNNNNNNNNNNNNNNNNNNNNNNNNNNNNNNNNNNNNNNNNNNNNNNNNNNNNNNNNNNNNNGCGGGGACGAUGGCGUGCCCCCCGGUGAUCCCCGUCCCCGUUGCCAUUUUGAGUUGCCACGCGCCGGCCUGCAGCACCCUCCCAAGAAAAAAAAGACGAAUAAAACAAAUCGGCUGCGCAAAAUUGGGGGAUGGGCCUGGCCCAUGAGACACGCGCCAGUCUGUUGACGCUACCCGGAUCCGACGACGGCCUAGCUCGCCUCGCAUUACUGGGAGACAGCGCCUAGCCGACCAGCAACUCCCGGAGACAGCCGACAGUCCCCACUCUCGAAUCCCGCCGCCGCCACCGUCGCCGUCGCCGUCGCCGUCAAUGGAUGAGCUGCGGCGGCCGCCCGAGUUCGACCACAUGUUCACGGACGAGGCGUGGGCCAGCAUGACCCAGGACACGCGGCGUCGGAUCGUCGACAUCUCGUGCCGGGUGGAAGAGGAGCCCACCGAAGAGGAGCGCCGCAUCCACGAUGAGCUCAUCGUCGGCGGCGGCAGCAUCAGUUACCCCCCCGACCCCUCCCUCCUCCCCGACGGUAGGCGCACACCUCCUCUCUACUCGCUAGGGACCUCCUCCGAGAAUUCAAUUUUUUUUUUCAUAUAGUAGUAGUUACCCUAACCUACACUGAGCCCAUGUUCCCAACACGCAACAUUAAGCCCAGUGUGUCAAUAAGCUGGUCUAGGUCUCCAAUCCUUGACAACCACAUCACCCCAGGUCCCAAACGAUAGGGGGCACUAGAAAUUUGACAAAUUUUAACAUUUCCCUACUGUACAUGGGGGUCCAUUUUUCAUGUUUGUGAUGUUUGUAUCUGAUAGUUUGAUAUGGGUACUAGCAAAGUAUCUCAUUUUUCAUUGUUCACGGAUGGGCGGAUGCAGAUUUUGAGGGUCCAAUUGAGUCACUUGGCCGUCCGUGGAGGAUCUUCAUGGAUCCCGGUGCUGUUCGUGAGGUCUUGAAAUCCGCAGAAGAAUAUCACUGGCAAAUGGAGCGACGUGACAGGGAAGGGGUGCUGCAAGGGCUGCAUUACGCUGAAAGUGAUGGAUGUAGCACCUCUGGCACCGAGGAUGUGCUGCUAUUCGACCAGGUAUAUAUGUGUAUGCUGCUCGUUAGUUUAAGCAGGGUCACUGCCGCAUGCCUUGCACUCUGUCAUGGAUUUGUGACACUACUGUGUUUUUGCCUACUGCCUGAAGCUUAUUCAAGGUAUUCUACUUUGCUAGUGCACAGAUUGGACUAUGAAUCCUAUUCAGAAGCAAACAAUACGAGUUGUAACUGCCCAAAGAUGCUUGUGUUGCCAACACCCUGCUUUCUUGUUUGUCUAAUUCAAAUGCCACCGCUGCUAAAAUGCUGCUUAUUGUCUAUCUUCAAAUAUCUCAUAUUUAUUUUAUCUCUGCAGUUGAUGGGUGUAGUAGAAGAGCUCUCUGGGCGUGUAGCGACUAUGGAGAAGAAACAGGUCUGUUUUGAAAUGAUGUACCAUGUUCAAAUGCCUUAUGUCUGUUACACUGAACCUUUGGAUCUUAAAGAUUAGGAAACAAUAAGAUGUUUGUCAUGCUUCUAACUCAUGGCUAUAAAUCAUGACGAAAUGGAAUUUGCUCAUAUAUGAAAAAGUUCUUACGUGUAGUUAACUUUUCAGGUAGACUGUAGUUUAAACAAGUUUACUAUCUUCUUAUGUGGAGGGUCAAGCAGUUUUAAAAUGUUGGAAACCCUUUACUAAUUUGAGCUUUCUUUGGUGUUAUGUUCCUGAUAUUUUGGCAUAAUUGAAUGCAGGCUUCCUCCAUCGACAAAGUCAAAUACCUACGUGGAGAAAAUGGCAGGUUGCUGAAAAAAGUUGUUGAGCUGAAUGGCACUGUGAAGGGCUUGAAUUCUCAAAUAGACCCUUUACCCCGAGAUGAUUCAGUAAACCAGUUGAUUAAACAGUGUUUGGGUUCAGACGUCAUUUAUCUUGUUGGUGGUCUAGAUGACAUGUUUUGUCCAUCGUCACUAGGUUUCUCAUGCUUUUCGCCCUCCCUGGACGUACUAAUACCUAUGAAACCAAUGCCUGAUGAAAGGCUUUUUAAUUCUACUGUUGCCUUAGACAACAGAAUAUUUGUUCUGGGCGGUGCUGAUCAUCCGUAUGGAAGCAGCAUUGAUGCAGGUGCUGAUCAUUUUUAUGUUUACCUUCCCAAAAUCUCUCUGGUUGCCAUUUCUGCCCUAAUAUGUGCUUUUAAUCUUUAUCAUGAAGUUUGCUGUUAUGACACAACCUCUGAUGAUUGGACCCUAUGCCUACCAAUGAUCCGUGCAAAGGCAAACCUUGCCGGAGUUAGCUUGUGUGGGAAAAUCUAUGCAUUUGGUGGUGGAGAUGGUUCAAAAUCUUUUCAUGAUGUUGAGGUCUUCGAUCCUGCAUAUGGGAAGUGGAUAAAGAAUCAGCCUAUGCUGAGAAAGGUAUAGCUACCUACAUUCUUAACAUAUCAUCCUUGAUUCAGUUUACCGUUAUUAAGUAAUGGUUUGAUUUGAUCUUGGGUUUGCUGUAUAUGUUGCCGAGCAAGAAAAUAAAAUUACCAGUGAUUCGAUAGUACUCUACCCAGAAGAAGGAAAUAAUGUGGUGUUUUUUUUCAGAAAAAACUGUGGUUACUUAUUAACUAGCUUGUUAGUUACUGGGUUUUCAUUUGAGAUAGUAAAAAAAAUUAGAACUGCUUCAAACUCUAGUUAUUAGUCUACAUCAUUUAUCUGCUUCAAUUUUGCAAAUUUCCUUAUCGUGGACAAGUAACAGUCUUUACCAUCUUUUUAGUUUUACAAUGUACCUAAACCUCGCCUGAAACAAGGACAAGUCGUGGAGAGAUAUAAUCUGCUCAAGGAAAUGCAUACUUUUAUAGUGCUCUCAAAAUGCCAUCUUAUUUUUCUACUUACUAGUUUGGUUUCUUACUUAGUUCUUUAUAAUGUUGUUCUGGGAUAUGAUUUUUUACCUAUGUAGGAUGUGAUGAUUUCUUUUAUCUGAAUAACUUAUGCCACUUGGUCCUUAGCGCUCUGCUCUAGCUGGUGUGGAACUCAAUGGUGCGAUUUAUGCGGUUGGUGGAUAUGAUGGUAUUGAAACUUGGAGGUGAUGUCCUUUUUCUGCCUGUAUGUAGAGUUACUGUUACAAACUCAUGUUGAUUAAUGACUUUGUGAAUCCCAUGUGAAUCCUCUAUUUAAGAACAUGGAGAAAUACUUGGCUUAAAGUUAAAGUACUGUACACUGAAUGACUAGUGUAAAUCUGUAAUCAACUGAAUCGUUUCUUUAGACUUAAGCACCUAAUCUACUGAUUAUCAGGGAUACAGUCGGACCGUGACCCAUGAAUCAUUUUACAAUGCUCAUUAGACUAUUUCCUAUGGAUUUCAUGGUGGUGAAGUUGUUGUUGAAGCGAGAAUAAUACAUGGACUUUUUUGGCUAACAUUACGGUGUUGGUUGCCAGCUGCGCUGAGAGACUUGAUCCUAGGGAACCUCACUGGAAAAUGCUCCCAAGCAUGAAUACACAAAGAUGCUUCCAUACGCUGGCAGUUCUUGAUGAGAAGAUGUAAGUAUGGAGCUAGCACUUUCUUACAACUCAGGAGGAUUCACCAAAACUUGCCUCCAAGCAUCGUUGAUGGUGUAAUCAUGACUUGCAGAUACCUACCUUGUCUUGCCGUUUGUUGCUUUCAGAUACUCGAUUGGUGGUUACAAUCCUGAGGCUAGAGCAGGGGUGGCCACUGUUGAGCUGUACGACCCAAGGAUGCCAUCAUGGGUGGCAGUCAAACCAAUGAAGUAUUCCAAGGCGUGCCAUUCUUCAGCCGUGCUUGGUGGCUCGAUAUUCACAUUCGGUGGCCUGGAAGAUCCAGAACAACAUCUUGGACGUGGUAGGUAGCUACACCAAGAUCUAUGCCUGCAUAAGUAAAUCUAUCAAGCAUCAGAUUGCUAACCUCCAAAUCGUAUAUAGUUAUAGAACAUACUAGUAAACUUGGUGGUUGCAUUGCAUGUAUGUAUCUGUGUCAGUGUAGAAACUCCUGAUGUAUGAACUUGUCUGUUCUUAUUCUUAUAAUUUUGACUAACUAACAGUUGGAACCUUUAUGUUGGAUAAACUUGUCAGGUAGAGUGCUACAGCGAAGGGUGUGGUUGGGUGAAUACAGCGCUCAAGUCAAUCGGCAGGAGAAGCCAUUGUUCUGCCAUUGUCUACUGAAUUGGUUGCAGAUGCUUUACAGUGGCCCAGCAAGUCUACUUGGUAGUAAUGCAUCAGAAAGUUUCCUAUGUGUACUGAAAACUGGAGUGAGCUCAAUUUGGCAAAAGCCCUUUUUUUUCUGCAAGGGAGGAAACUCUAGUCCCCCUAAUCCAAUUUCAGAGCCCAGUCCGAGCUCCUAUCUUAUCUGAAACAAAAGCAAGAGGCAGCGCAUGGUGAACACCAAAAGUAUUUUGCUCUAGAAUUUUCCCUAGCUUAGGGUUUUCUACCUAACAGUAUCUUCCUAUGAUUACCUUGGUUAUCCAAGAACCAUUUUCUCAAAGUAAACAGCUAGGAGAAGCUUGAAAUGUGGCUAAGGGAGAUGUUUGGAACACAGUUUAAUUAUGAGGAAUAAGUGUAAUAGUGUCUCAGUUUUGUAUUUGAUUGGCUUCUCUGAUUUCAUUUCAUAAGUGUCAAACACAAGUUCUCCUUGUCUCUCAUUUCUACUUAAGAGGUAAAACACCCGAGUUACAUUGAAUUUGAACUGCGUCUGGUUUCAAAAAAAAAACUUCUUUGCUGAUUUCAUAAGAGUGCCAAACAUAAUUCAUGUAUGAAAAACAUUUCAAUUAUAUGUCUGGCUUAAGUUUUUUUAUAUAUAAUUUCAGAAAUUCGUAGGGAGACUGUUUUGGGCAGGUUCCACAAAGUUUGCCAGAACUGGCUUUAGCACUAUAUAUGAUCAGCAGACCAAAAAUAAGUGCUCCUUCCAAUACACGAAUAAGUGACAUUGACAAUUCAUAUAGCUUCUAAUGAGCAUCUACUAAAUGAUCAACCAUGGAAUAAUCAGCGUUACACCAUCACCGAAAAAGUCAGUAUCAACCGGAUUUAAACAUUAUUACAGCACUAAUCAGCAUCCACUUGUGCACACUUACACCAAGGCUAAAAUAGCAAAUAGGAUAUCAUUCUCUCUUGCCUUCCAUCUAAGAAAAAGAUAACUCAGGCUACUCCAACACCGACAAAGGAGCUGACUUUGAAAACUAGGCGCCACUGAUCAUUCUUCAUAGUCGUCUACACUUAAUAUGGUUGACCACACAACUCGCACCGAGACCAACGCUCCAUUGCUAAACCGAUACAUUUGCUCCUCUUCGCCAUGCUUGGACGCCACAAACGAAAGCGCGUCUUGGCCCUCCUCCAUGAAGUCUAUCCGCAGCGUGUCCCCUAGAUUCACGGCUGCAACGAAUUUUUGAAUGUGCUUCCCGCUAGAUGGUAUAAAACCAACUGUGUCACGGCAGUGCUCAUCAAUGAAGGAGUAGGAGCCUUGAGAAAGGACAGUGUUGCCACGCAUGCGCACAAGAAAGCCAUCUGCAGGCACCUCCACAAAAUCCAGGUCUAUAGUAGCCUCCAUGCCUCUAGGAACAACACAUGUUUCCAGUGUAAUCUUGCCGUUGAUAUCAUCGACAUGGUUCAGUCUCCACGGGUCAAACUGUUCAGAUGCUUUCAUGCAACCAGAGACAAUAAUCAAGUCUUCAGCAGCCACCUUGGCCUUGGCCUUUAUAUCAAUUUCGAUCAAGCAGCAUGAUGCGAGUAUUCCUCUUGCAGGAUUCCUCAGGCAUAAAUAGUCACCUUUCUAAAAUGUAAAAUGUAGGGAAGAGCAAUGAUGAUCAGACGUAAUAUUGAAUAUAUUCUCCAUAAAUAACAUCAAGGAUGUGUAUGAAACAAGGAAGUAUUACAUACUGGGUCCACUGCUUGUGCAUUCUCUCUAGAGCAAUGGAAAAUGUAGUUGCGUGAGAAAUUCAGGUGAUCCCUUACUGCGAUCACGCCAUAGACCUCGAUAUUAUUCGAUUGUAGCAUAUUGUCACGCAUAAACUUGACGAAACAGUAAGAUUUCGUAUACAGCUCGACCAUAACAUCAAGAAACUGUAGCAUAGGGACAGGAUUGUGUGGGCAUCUGUCAUCACCACCAAAUUCACACGAAGCGUAUCUCAUCGGACCCGGCCGAGCUGAAUAAAUCAAGUAGUUUGGGUCAUACUACCAUUUGUAUCAUCAUCACCACCAAAUCAAGAAGAACACUAGUAUUUUUGAUUGGUAAAAAGAUUUGGUUGUGCAAUAUAAAAUUAGCUUACCUGGUGAAGGUCGGUGUAGGAGGUGUAGCUGGUGGUAUCGAGUCCACAGAAAAGCCUUUGAUUUCUGUAUAUCCCUGGACAAUGUCUGUUUCGGCGGCCGGGCGUCCACGGUCUGCGCCGUCGUCGUCUUCGUCAUGGUCUUGCCGUCCUCAUCGUCAUCUGCGCAUUCGUCGGCGUAAUGCCGCCCUUGCAGCACCGCCUCCCAGUCCUCUCGCUCCGCCUCCCGGUGAUGUCUGUCCGCGAAAUCCAGUACCUCAGCGACGGCAGCGGCAUCGGUGAAGACGGGGCCGGCGAUGAGUUGAUGCAUGCGGCGUUCCUCUUGGGUGGGCUCCUCUACCACCCGGCACGAGAUGUCGACGAUCCGGCGCCGCGUGUCCUGGGUCAUGCUGGCCCACGCCUCGUCCGUGAACAUGUGGUCGAACUCGGGCGGCCGACGCAGCUCAUCCAUUGACGGCGGCGGCGGCGGCAUUCGAGGUUGGGGAUUGGGGAUUAGGGAUUCGGUCGACCCCCUCUCUCACUCUCGCGAGGGCUCUACUGAUAUCGAGCUGGGCUCACCAGGCCAGAUCCGAGCGCGAGUAGACUUGGGCCGGAAUCAGCCGCUGUUUGGACCGUUUCUUAUUGGGCUAGAGUUCUUAAUCUAAUUUAUAUUGUGCUAAGAAUAGAAAACAUUAAAAAACAAAUAGGGAAAGGGGACUGCUACGCAUCUGCCGGCGCAUCUUUUCAAAAGACCCGUCAUCUCACGAGUCGUUGGAACUAACACAAUCUAGCGCUGAAAGUCCUUUCCUCUACUUUGCAAUAAAGAUCAUGUUGCAGAAACAUUUGCAUAUGAUGUUGUGUUACGAUCUACUUGCAACGUAGGUUGUGUUGUGGGAUUUUUUUUGCAACAAAUUUUGUUGCAUUUUUUUUUGCAAACAGAGAUCUUAUUGCGGUUUUCUUUUUGCAACAUAGGUGAUGUUGCAAGAUAAGGUAAUUAAGUGGGCACGUAGUUGGUAGGGAAAAUAAUGGAAGUGUGUGAAUGUGCAUGAGGACGCAUGGAUCAAGGGCGAUCCAACGGCUACGCGCGUGGCAGAACACUCACCACGAUCAGCAGCCGAAAUCUUAGCGUUCCCCAUAUGGAAAAACCGAAAAAAAAUCAAUAAAAAAACACAAAAAAUAGGAAAUGUCCGGAGCGAAGGGGGAUGUUCUUACGUUUGCAAAAUGCACAAUAAUAGACGCCCAGAGUGCCAAAUAGGAAAUGCCCCAAAACCGGGUGGAUGGUUAACCAAUCCCCACCAUAAGUAAAAAUGCUCGCACACAACUUAUUGGGUUGGCCACUGUGUGAACUAUGUAGGCAAAAGUUGCUAUGAUCUCAUAAUGAACGAGAUUUAGCAUUUGCGGCGAUAAAAGCAACAUAGAGUAGUAGAUCGCUCGUUGGUGCUUGUGUUGCACCAAGGGCCCGAGACCCACUAAUGGGCGCUUGUGGACUCUACAUGCUUGUGUUAGGACUUGGGACUAGGAUGGAAGCUCGUCCUUGCGGCCUCGUCAUAUUGGGGAUGGUCGCGCAACUCAUCUUUGGGAGGAUACAGGGCUUGGGGACACGUCUCUAGCUUUUCAGUACCCUUCUCUUUAUAAUAUUAUUCAGUGUAAAGAAGAAUACAUUGCACUAUUUUGGGGGUUAAAUCCGUUGAAUAUCCAGUUCACAAAAACUUUGAUAAAUGAUAAAUGGUUUGUGUGGGUACAAUAUUUAGUAUGAAGGUUUAUGCGUAACACCCUUACUAAUGUACCGGACACAUCUUACAUCUUACAUUCUUAAGAAGUUGAUCCCCCACUAACCAAUUCUUUCAAGAUGCACCUUUUUUUGAAAUAAAUUUUUAAAAAAGUUUCACAUAUUUAAAAAAAAGUUCAUUGAUUUGGAAAAAGUUCAUAGAAUUUGAAAAAAAGUUCAGAUUUAAGAAAAGUCAUCAAUUUUUAAUAACAAAAAUCAAAAUCAAAAAAAGCUCAUGGAUUUUCCAAAAAAAAGGUCCAUGAUUUGAAAAUGUUCAUCAAUUUUGAAUAAAAUUUUAUCAAUUUUGCAGAAAAAAGUUCAUCAAUUUUAGGAAAAUGUCCACAAAUUUGAGAACUAGGAAGAAGAAAAAGAAAAAAGGGAAAAGGAAAAAAGAAAAUAAGAUAGAAGAAAAUAUGAAAAAAUAUGUAAGUAAUCACUUCAGGUUAGGUGGCGGGGUGGUUAUUGCAGCGUUCUUGAUGGAGGAGGUCGCUGGUUCGAUUCAGUCGAUGUUCACACUUUUUCCGGGUUAAAAAACAGAAAAUAAAAAAAGGUAGAUGGGUAGGCCCAGCGCGAAGGGGGGAUGUGUAAAAGCGCCAAAUAAGAAAUGCCCCAAAACCGCACGGAAGGUUAACCGAUCCCCACCAUAAGUAUAACCGCUCGCACACAACUUAUUGGGCUGAUCUAUCGUGCAAACUAUGUAGACAAUAGUUGCCACGAUCUCAUAAUGAGCGAGAUUUAGCAUUUGCAGCAAUAAAAGCAACAUUUUUUUUGAGACAAAUAAAAGCAACAUAUGGUAGCAGAUCGCUCGCUGGCGGGCCCGAGGCCCACUAACAGACGCUUGUGGACUCUCUCCAUGCUUGUGUUAGGACUAGGACGAAAGCUCGUCCGUUGCGGCUCGUCAUAUUGAGGAUGGUCGAGCAACUCAUUUUUAGGAUGAUACAUGGCUUCUAGGCACACAUCUAGCUUUUCGGUACUCUUCUUUUCAUAAUAUUACUUAGUGUAAAGAAGAUUACAUUGCACUAUUUUUUUCGAGGAAUUAGAUUGUACUGUUUUGGGGGUCAAAUCCGUUGAAUACCAGUUGAGAAAAACUUUGAUAAAGGAUAAGUGGUUUGUGUGGGUACAUUAUUUAGUAGUACAAAGGUUGAUGCGUAACACCCUUACUAAUGUAUCAGACACAUCUUACAUCUUACAUUUUUAAGAAAUUGGUCCCAUUAAUACCAAUUCUUUCAACAUGCACACUGUUCACAUCAGUUUCAUGCCAUGUUAGCAUUCACAUGAGUCUAAUUUUUAACAUGCAUGAUGCCAUGUCAUCUUGCCGUUCCCAGCGUACAGAACAGACCGAGGACCGCUGUCAUCCCACAUUCUUUCAACCGCAGGUGCAUGGUUUAAUCGACAACCCAAGCAGUUUUAUAACUGCACCUCACGGUUGACUCCAACACAUGCAUCUGGCUUCUUUAUUUAACUAGAAGAUAGAAGAGCAACUAGUUAGCGGGUACUCCUUCGGGAGCCCCCGCAAGGAUCACUUUGGGAGGGCGCAAGUGAUGCGCUCUAGUUACGUGUCGCGCUCUGGCACUUUCUCCUUUUUUAAUUUUUUGUACGUUUUUUAGCUUUUAGAUGUUUUUUUGGCUUUCCCCCAUUUUUUCUUAGGUUUUGGAAAAAAUAUGGAUUUUCUUUCAUGAGAGGCACAGGCACGGAUUUAGUUCUCAUGGAGGCACGAAUUUGCUUUCGCAAGAGGCAUAGUCGUAUCUCUCGAAAGGAUUUUUUUUGCUUCACGAGAGGCACAAGCGUGCAUCUCAGAAAAGGGAAAACAACUUUUUUUCCGUGAGAGGCCGGAUUUAGUUCUCAUGGAGGCACGGAUUUUUUUUCCGUGAGAGGCACAGUCUGUUGGGGAACGUUGCAGAAAAUUAAAAUUUUUCCUACGGUUUCACCAAGAUCCAUCUAUGAGUUCAUCUAAGCAACGAGUCUAGGGAGAGAGUUUGCAUCUACAUACCACUUGUAGAUCGCGUGCGGAAGCUUGCAAGGUGAUGAUGUAGUCGUACUCGACGUGAUCCAAAUCACCGAUGACCAGCGCCGAACGGACGGCACCUCCGCGUUCAACACACGUACGGGACGGGAGACGUCUCCUCCUUCUUGAUCCAGCAAGGGGGAAGGAGAGGUUGAUGAAGAUCCAGCAGCACGACGGCGUGGUGGUGGAUGCAGGGCGUCACAGCAGCAGGGCUUCGCCAAGACUACGAGGGAGAGACGUAACGGGGGGAGGUGGAGGCGCCAGGGGCUGGUGUAUGAAGUCCCUCCUCUCCCCCACUAUAUAUAGGGGUGCCAAGGGGGGGCGCCGGCCCUAGUAGAUGAGAUCUACUAGGGGGGGCGGCGGCCUAGGGGAGGUUUCCCUCCCCCCCAAGGCACCUAGGGGUGCCUUCCACCACUAGGACUCCUCCUAGGGGGAAACCCUAGGCGCAUGGGCCUAUAGGGGCUGGUGCCCUUGGCCCAUGAUGGCCAAGGCGCACCCCCUACAGCCCAUGUGGCCCCCCAGGACAGGUGGCCCCACCCGGUGGACCCCCGGGACCCUUCCGGUGGUCCCUGUACAAUACCGAUAACCCCGAAACUUGUCCCGAUGCCCGAAAUAGCACUUCCUAUAUAUAAUUCUUUACCUCCGGACCAUUCCGGAACUCCUCGUGACGUCCGGGAUCUCAUCCGGGAUUCCGAACAACAUUCGGGUUUCUGCAUAUACAUAUCUUCAUAACCCUAGCGUCACUGAACCUUAAGUGUGUAGACCCUACGGGUUCGGGAGACAUGCAGACAUGACCGAGACGCUCUCAGUCAAUAACCAUCAGCGGGAUCUGGAUACCCAUGAUGGCUCCCACAUGCUCCUCGAUGUUGUCAUCGGAUGAACCACGAUGUCGAGGAUUCGAUCAAACCCUGUAUGCAAUUCCCUUUGUCAAUCGGUACGUUACUUGCCCGAGACUCGAUCGUCGGUAUCCCAAUACCUUGUUCAGUCUCGUUACCGGCAAGUCACUUUACUCGUACCGUAAUGCAUGAUCCCGUGUCCAACACCUUGGUCACAUUGAGCUCAUUAUGAUGAUGCAUUAUCGAGUGGGCCCAGAGAUACCUCUCCGUCAUACGGAGUGACAAAUCCCAAUCUCGAUCCGUGUCAACCCAACAGCUACUUUCGGAGAUACCUGUAAUGCACCUUUAUAGUCACCCAAUUACGUUGUGACGUUUGAUACACCCAAGGCACUCUUACGGUAUCCGGGAGUUACACGAUCUCAUGGUCGAAGGAAGAGAUACUUGACACUUGCAAAGCUCUAGCAAAACGAACUACACGAUCUUUUAUGCUAUGCUUAGGAUUGGGUCUUGUCCAUCACAUCAUUCUCCUAAUGAUGUGAUCCCGUUAUCAACGACAUCCAAUGUCCAUAGUCAGGAAACCAUGACUAUCUGUUGAUCACAACGAGCUGGUCAACUAGAGGCUUACCAGGGACAUAGUGUGGUCUAAGUAUUAACACGUGUAUUACGAUUUCCGGAUAAUACAGUUAUAGCAUGAAUAAAAGACAAUUAUCAUGAACAAUGAAAUAUAAUAAUACUUUUAUUAUUGCCUCUAGGGCAUAUUUCCAACAGUCUCCCACUUGCACUAGAGUCACCAAUCUAGUUACAUUGUGAUGAAUCGAACACCCAUAGAGUUCUGGUGUUGAUCAUGUUUUGCACGCGAGAGAGGUUUAGUCAGCGGAUCUGCGACAUUCAGAUCCGUGUGCACUUUGCAAAUCUCUAUGUCUCCAUCUUGAACAUUUUCACGGAUGGAGUUGAAACGACGCUUGAUGUGCCUGGUCUUCUUGUGAAACCUGGGCUCCUUUGCGAGGGCAAUAGCUCCAGUGUUGUCACAGAAGAGUUUGAUCGGCCCCGACGCAUUGGGUAUGACUCCUAGGUCGGUGAUGAACUCCUUCACCCAAAUCGCUUCAUGUGCUGCCUCCGAGGCUGCCAUGUACUCCGCUUCACACGUAGAUCCCGCCACGACGCUCUGCUUGCAGCUGCACCAGCUUACUGCUCCACCAUUCAACAUAUACACGUAUCCGGUUUGUGACUUAGAGUCAUCCAGAUCUGAGUCGAAGCUAGCGUGGACGUAACCCUUUACGACGAGCUCUUCGUCUCCUCCAUAAACGAGAAACAUGUCCUUUGUCCUUUUCAGGUACUUCAGGAUAUUCUUGACCGCUGUCUAGUGUUCCUUGCCGGGAUUACUUUGGUAUCUUGCUACCAAACUUACGGCAAGGUUUACAUCGGGUCUGGUACACAGCAUGGCAUACAUAAUAGAUCCUAUGGCUGAAGCAUAGGGGAUGACACUCAUCUCUUCUUUAUCUUUUGCCGUGGUCGGUGACUGAGCUGAGCUCAGUCUCAUACCUUGUAACAUAGGCAAGAACCCCUUCUUGGACUGGUCCAUUCUGAAUCUCUUCAAAAUCUUAUCAAGGUACGUGCUUUGUGAAAGACCUAUGAGGCGUCUCGAUCUAUCUCUAUAGAUCUUGAUGCCUAAUAUAUAAGCAGCUUCUCCAAGGUCCUUCAUUGAAAAACACUUAUUCAAGUAGGCCUUAAUGCUGUCCAGAAAUUCUAUAUUAUUUCCCAUCAGGAGUAUGUCAUCUACAUACAAUAUGAGAAAUGCUACAGAGCUCCCACUCACUUUCUUGUAAACGCAGGCUUCUCCAUAAGUCUGCAUAAACCCAAACGCUUUGAUCAUCUCAUCAAAGCGAAUGUUCCAACUCCGAGAUGCUUGCACCAGUCCAUAAAUGGAUCGCUGGAGCUUGCAUACUUUGUUAGCGUUCCGAGGAUCGACAAAACCUUCCGGCUGCAUCAUAUACAGUUCUUCCUUAAGAUGCCCGUUAAGGAAUGCCGUUUUGACGUCCAUCUGCCAUAUCUCAUAAUCAUAGUAUGCGGCGAUUGCUAACAUGAUUCGGACGGACUUUAGCUUCGCUACGGGAGAGAAAGUCUCGUCGUAGUCAAUCCCUUGAACUUGUCGAUAACCCUUAGCGACAAGUCGAGCUUUAUAGAUGGUAAUAUUACCAUCCGCAUCCGUCUUCUUCUUAAAGAUCCAUUUGUUUUCUAUCGCUCGCCGUUCAUCGGGCAAGUCUGUCAAAGUCCAUACUUUGUUUUCAUACAUGGAUUCUAUCUCGGAUUUCAUGGCUUCAAGCCAUUUGUUGGAAUCCGGGCCCACCAUUGCUUCUUCAUAGUUCGAAGGUUCAUUGUUGUCUAACAACAUGAUUUCCAGGACAGGGUUGCCGUACCACUCUGGUGCGGAACGUGUCCUAGUGGACCUACGAAGUUCAGCAGUAACUUGAUCCGAAGUACCUUGAUCAUCAUCAUUGUUUUCCUCUUCAGUUGGUGUGGGCAUCACAGGAACGGUUUCCUGUGCUGCGUCACUAUCCCGCUCAAGAGGUAGUACUUCAUCGAGUUCUACUUUCCUCCCACUUACUUCUUUCGAGAGAAACUCUUUUUCCAGAAAGCAUCCAUUCUUGGCAACAAAGAUCUUGCCUUCGGAUCUUAAGUAGAAGGUAUACCCUACAGUUUCCUUAGGGUAUCCUAUGAAUACGCAUUUUUCCGACUUGGGUUCGAGCUUUUCAGGUUGAAGUUUCUUGAUAUAAGCUUCGCAUCCCCAAACUUUUAGAAACGACAGCUUAGGUUUCUUUCCAAACCAUAAUUCAUACGGUGUCGUCUCAACGGAUUUAGACGGUGCCCUAUUUAAAGUGAAUGUAGCUGUCUCUAGAGCGUAUCCCCAAAAUGAUAGCGGUAAAUCGGUAAGAGACAUCAUAGACCGCACCAUAUCCAAUAGAGUGCGAUUACGACGUUCGGACACACCGUUUCGCUGAGGUGUUCCAGGCGGCGUGAGCUGUGAAACGAUUCCACAUUUCUUUAAGUGUGUACCAAAUUCGUGACUUAAGUAUUCUCCUCCACGAUCUGAUCGUAAGAAUUUUAUCUUUCGGUCACGUUGAUUCUCCACCUCAUUCUGAAAUUCCUUGAACUUUUCAAAGGUCUCAGACUUGUGUUUCAUUAAGUAGACAUACCCAUAUCUACUCAAGUCAUCUGUGAGAGUGAGAACAUAACGAUAUCCUCCGCGAGCCUCAACGCUCAUUGGACCGCACACAUCAGUAUGUAUGAUUUCCAACAAGUUGGUUGCUCGCUCCAUUGUUCCGGAGAACGGAGUCUUGGUCAUUUUGCCCAAGAGGCAUGGUUCGCACGUGUCAAACGAUUCAUAAUCAAGAGACUCUAAAAGUCCAUCGGCAUGGAGCUUCUUCAUACGCUUGACACCAAUGUGACCAAGGCGGCAGUGCCACAAGUAUGUGGGACUAUCGUUAUCAACUUUAAAUCUUUUGGCAUCUACACUAUGAACAUGUGUAAUAUUACGCUCGAGAUUCAUUAAGAAUAAACCAUUGACCAUCGGAGCAUGAGCAUAAAACAUAUCUCUCAUAUAAAUCGAACAACCAUUAUUCUCAGACUUAAAUGAGUAGCCAUCUCGUAUUAAACGAGAUCCAGAUACAAUGUUCAUGCUCAAACUUGGCACUAAAUAACAAUUAUUAAGGUUCAAAACUAAUCCCGUAGGUAAAUGUAGAGGCAGCGUGCCGACGGCGAUCACAUCGACUCUGGAACCAUUCCCAACGCGCAUCGUCACCUCGUCCUUUGCCAGUCUCCGUUUAUUCCGCAGCUCCUGCUGUGAGUUACAAAUAUGAGCAACGGCACCGGUAUCAAAUACCCAGGAGUUACUACGAGUACUGGUAAGGUAGACAUCAAUCACAUGUAUAUCAAAUAUACCUUUGGUGUUGCCGGCCUUCUUAUCCGCUAAGUAUUUGGGGCAGUUCCGCUUCCAGUGACCCUUCCCCUUGCAAUAAAAGCACUCAGUCUCAGGCUUGGGUCCAUUCUUUGACUUCUUCCCGGUAACUGGCUUACCAGGCGCGGCAACAUCUUUGCCGUCCUUCUUGAAGUUCUUUUUACCCUUGCCCUUCUUGAACUUAGUGGUCUUAUUGACCAUCAACACUUGAUGUUCUUUCUUGAUUUCAGCCUCUGCUGACUUCAGCAUCGAGAACACUUCAGGAAUGGUCUUUUCCAUUCCCUGCAUGUUGUAGUUCAUCACAAAGCUCUUGUAGCUUGGUGGGAGCGACUGGAGGAUUCUGUCAAUGACCGCCUCAUCUGGGAGGUUAAUGUUCAGCUGGGUCAUACGGUUGUGCAACCCAGACAUCUUCAGGAUGUGCUCACUAACAGAACUGUUCUCCUCCAUCUUACAACUGUAGAACUUGUCGGGGACAUCAUAUCUCUCGACCCGGGCAUGAGCUUGAAAUACUAGUUUCAGCUCUUCGAACAUCUCAUAUGCUCCGUGGUGCUCAAAACGCUUUUGGAGCCCCGGUUCUAAGCUGUAAAGCAUGCCGCACUGAACGAGGGAGUAAUCAUCAGCACGAGACUGCCAAGCAUUCAUAAUGUCUUGGUUCUCUGGGACGGGAGCGUCACCUAGCGGUCCUUCUAGGACAUAUUGUUUCCUGGCAGCUAUGAGGAUGAUCCUUAGGUUCCGGACCCAGUCCGUAUAGUUGCUGCCAUCAUCUUUCAGCUUGGUUUUCUCUAGGAACGCGUUGAAGUUCAUGUUGACAUUAGCGUUGGCCAUUGAUCUACAAGACAUAUUUGCAAAGGUUUUAGACUAAGUUCAUGAUAAUAAAGUUCUAAUCAAAUUAUGAACUCCCACUUAGAUUAGACAUCCCUUUAGUCAUCUAAGUGUUACACGAUCCGAGUCGACUAGCCCGUGUCCGAUCAUCACGUGAGACGGACUAGUCAUUGUCGGUGAACAUUCUCAUGUUGAUCGUAUCUUCUAUAUGAUUCGUGUUCGACCUUUCGGUCUCCGUGUUCCGAGGCCAUGUCUGCACAUGCUAGGCUCGUCAAGUUAACCCUAAGUGUUUUCGCUGUGUAAAACUGUCUUACACCCGUUGUAUGUGAACGUAAGAAUCCAUCACACCCGAUCAUCACGUGGUGCUUAGAAACGACGAACUGUAGCAACGGUGCACAGUUAGGGGAGAACACUUCUUGAAAUUUUAUAAGGGAUCAUCUUAUUUACUACCGUCGUCCUAAGUAAACAAGAUGCAUAAUACAUAAUAAACAUCACAUGCAAUUAUAUAGUUGUGACAUGAUAUGGCCGAUAUCAUAUAGCUCCAUUGAUCUUCAUCUUCGGGGCUCCAUGAUCAUCUUGUCACCGGCUUGACACCAUGAUCUCCAUCAUCGUGUCUUCAUGAAGUUGUCACGCCAACGACUACUUCUACUUCUAUGACUAACGUUUAGCAAUAAAGUAAAGUAGUUUACAUGACGUUAUUCAAUGACACGCAGGUCAUACAAAAAAAAAAUAAUGACAACUUCUAUGGCUCCUGCCGGUUGUCAUACUCAUCGACAUGCAAGUCGUGAAUCCUAUUACAAAGAACAUGAUCUCAUACAUCACAAUUCAUCAUUCAUCACAACUUCUGGCCAUAUCACAUCACAUGAUCAAUCGCUGCAAAAACAAGUUAGACGUCCUCUAAUUGUUGUUGCAUCUUUUACGUGGCUGCAAUUGGGUUCUAGCAAGAACGUUUUCUUACCUACGAAUCACCACAACGUGAUUUUGUCAACUUCUAUUUACCCUUCAUAAGGGCCCUUUUCAUUGAUUCCGCUCCAACUAAGGUGGGAGAGACAGACACCCGCCAUCCACCUUAUGCAACUUGUGCAUGUCAGUCGGUGGAACCGGUCUCACGUAAGCGUACGUGUAAGGUUGGUCCGGGCCGCUUCAUCCCACAAUACCGUUGAGCAAGAAAAGACUAGUAGAGGCAAGUAAGAUGACAAAAUCCAUGCCCACAACAAAGUUGUGUUCUACUCGUGCAAAGAGAACUACGCAUAGACCUAGCUCAUGAUGCCAGUGUUGGGGAACGUUGCAGAAAAUUAAAAUUUUUCCUACGGUUUCACCAAGAUCCAUCUAUGAGUUCAUCUAAGCAACGAGUCUAGGGAGAGAGUUUGCAUCUACAUACCACUUGUAGAUCGCGUGCGGAAGCUUGCAAGGUGAUGAUGUAGUCGUACUCGACGUGAUCCAAAUCACCGAUGACCAGCGCCGAACGGACGGCACCUCCGCGUUCAACACACGUACGGGACGGGAGACGUCUCCUCCUUCUUGAUCCAGCAAGGGGGAAGGAGAGGUUGAUGAAGAUCCAGCAGCACGACGGCGUGGUGGUGGAUGCAGGGUGUCACAGCAGCAGGGCUUCGCCAAGACUACGAGGGAGAGACGUAACGGGGGGAGGUGGAGGCGCCAGGGGCUGGUGUAUGAAGUCCCUCCUCUCCCCCACUAUAUAUAGGGGUGCCAAGGGGGGGCGCUGGCCCUAGUAGAUGAGAUCUACUAGGGGGGGCGGCGGCCUAGGGGAGGUUUCCCUCCCCCCCAAGGCACCUAGGGGUGCCUUCCACCACUAGGACUCCUCCUAGGGGGAAACCCUAGGCGCAUGGGCCUAUAGGGGCUGGUGCCCUUGGCCCAUGAUGGCCAAGGCGCACCCCCUACAGCCCAUGUGGCCCCCCGGGACAGGUGGCCCCACCCGGUGGACCCCCGGGACCCUUCCGGUGGUCCCGGUACAAUACCGAUAACCCCGAAACUUGUCCCGAUGCCCGAAAUAGCACUUCCUAUAUAUAAUUCUUUACCUCCGGACCAUUCCGGAACUCCUCGUGACGUCCGGGAUCUCAUCCGGGAUUCCGAACAACAUUCGGGUUUCUGCAUAUACAUAUCUUCAUAACCCUAGCGUCACUGAACCUUAAGUGUGUAGACCCUACGGGUUCGGGAGACAUGCAGACAUGACCGAGACGCUCUCAGUCAAUAACCAUCAGCGGGAUCUGGAUACCCAUGAUGGCUCCCACAUGCUCCUCGAUGUUGUCAUCGGAUGAACCACGAUGUCGAGGAUUCGAUCAAACCCUGUAUGCAAUUCCCUUUGUCAAUCGGUACGUUACUUGCCCGAGACUCGAUCGUCGGUAUCCCAAUACCUUGUUCAGUCUCGUUACCGGCAAGUCACUUUACUCGUACCGUAAUGCAUGAUCCCGUGUCCAACACCUUGGUCACAUUGAGCUCAUUAUGAUGAUGCAUUACCGAGUGGGCCCAGAGAUACCUCUCCGUCAUACGGAGUGACAAAUCCCAAUCUCGAUCCGUGUCAACCCAACAGCUACUUUCGGAGAUACCUGUAAUGCACCUUUAUAGUCACCCAGUUACGUUGUGACGUUUGAUACACCCAAGGCACUCUUACGGUAUCCGGGAGUUACACGAUCUCAUGGUCGAAGGAAGAGAUACUUGACACUUGCAAAGCUCUAGCAAAACGAACUACACGAUCUUUUAUGCUAUGCUUAGGAUUGGGUCUUGUCCAUCACAUCAUUCUCCUAAUGAUGUGAUCCUGUUAUCAACGACAUCCAAUGUCCAUAGUCAGGAAACCAUGACUAUCUGUUGAUCACAACGAGCUGGUCAACUAGAGGCUUACCAGGGACAUAGUGUGGUCUAAGUAUUCACACAUGUAUUACGAUUUCCGGAUAAUACAGUUAUAGCAUGAAUAAAAGACAAUUAUCAUGAACAAUGAAAUAUAAUAAUACUUUUAUUAUUGCCUCUAGGGCAUAUUUCCAACACAGUCAUGGAUCUCGAAAAGUGUCGUGGAAAUAUCACGUCAGAUGUCCUAGCAGAAGGACUUAGUCGCGAGUCCAACGCAUCUAUGCGGUAGUUUGAGAGGGGUUAGGCGGAAUCGAGAGACGCAACGCAAGACAAGGAUUUAGACAGCUUCGGGCCCCGGGAAACAUCAUCCGGUAAUAGCUCUACAUGUUGUUUGUGGCUAGGUCUCAUUAUCAUCACGAGAGAGUCGCCGUAAACCGGCUUUCCUCUAGUUGUGUCUAGCCCUAGAGAUUGUUGUUUGCUUGUCCCUCUUUGGGGAGCUCUGCCCCUCCUUAUAUAUGUUGAAGGGGCGGUUUACAUGAACUAUUCCUAGUUGGAUUAGGACUACUCUAUUAUAAGUGGAGUCCUAGUAUUGCUUCCUUUGUAGGAGAAUAUUCCUUAUGUCUUCCUCUUAAACCGGCCUACCAUAACAUGAGUCGACCUUUCAUGAACCGCCCAUUGGGCUACCGGGUCUUUGUCGCUCCUCUGACCCGCCUGCCGGAUCACCAAUAAAUCGUAAAUCGCCAGGUCCAAGCGGGUCGCCAGUGAAUCGCCGAGCUCCAGCCGGGUUAUACUUCUGGCCGUGUUACACCGCGGGGUAUAUCCCCGACAUUAGCCCCUAGUUUAAUUUGGAUUUAUCCAUGUUAAACUGAUCUGCAACAUAAACACAAGAACAAAUUUAUGGGGUUGUGCUCCGGUUUAAAUAUUCUUAUAAACCGGCACUUGAUCAUCCUUAAUUCUUUGUCAUUUCUUCCUUCUAAAAAAUCCGAGUCAAUAUACCAGCUUCAUAAUCAAUUUGCUUGUAGAAAAUAUUUUGUAAAUAAAGAAUCCACUUGAAUCGGCCUUCAAUGCUCUGACUUGACAAAAAUAUUAGUCUCUGACAUAUUCAACUGAUAUCCAGCCGGCUUGAAGAUGUAAAACUUGUCGGUUUAUGAUUACCACGAUUGUCGUGUUAUAAAAACUGAUAAUUCCGGGUCAUGAUUGUUGCCAACGCCGGUUUAUGAUUAUUGAUGAUGCUAGGUUGCAGACAUAUGGUCGUAAUGAUUAGUGACGCCGGGUCAAUCCGGUUUGCUCAAAACAGAGAAUUUGAAAAUAGUUCUUCGAUAAUAAUAUAAUACCUGUAGCCCCCAAGUCUUGAGGAGAACAAAGUGAUGGCUUAAGACUUGCUUCAAUAUAAAUACUGCUACUUAAGAAGAAAUCCAUGUUGUUCAUCCCAGUCACUUAGUAAAAACUGAAUACUCCAUAUUAUGUAGCCCCCAAGUGCCGGGUUGUCAUGCUUGCAGCAACCUGGGACUUGUAAUUGUCUUAUACUCAUAAAAACUUCAACCAGUGUAGCCCCCAAUGGCCGGGUCAUUAUGCAAUAAUGAGCAGGGACUUUGUAGGUAUAAUCAUAUAUAUUUGAGCAAUGAUGUGUAGCCCCCAAGGGCCGGCUCGGUAAGAUAAUAUUGAGCUGGUACUUGAUAUAUACUUUAAUGAAAAUAACAUCAUAUGAUGUAACCCCCAUAAUGGGACUUGAAUCCACGUCCGCAAGGUUAAGAGCCUUGUGCUUUACCAACUGAGCACUGGACCCUUUAAUAUAAUGAAUAAAAAGCUUUGUACCUUGAAUUGUUGACAGGAGCAAUUGGUAGCCCCCAAGGGCCGGCUCAUUAUAAUGUGAUGAGUCGGGUCUUCAAUAAUAUGAGCAAAAAAUGACUUUGCAUUAGCCCCCAAGUGUCAUGGUGCAUGCUUGCAGCGACAUGAGACUUGCAUAUUUGAUGUAAUCUCAACUUAAAUAAUGUAGCCCCCAAGUGCCGGGUUGUAAGCCUGCAGCAACUCGGGACUAUUCCUUCAAUUGUAGAAUAAAUCAUAUCCAUUGAUAAUAUGAUAGUCCUUGCGCUAAAGCGAUUUUAAAAACCUUAAUCAUAAUACUGGUUAUUGAUAACCAUAAUAAAAAUCCAGCCAUGUUGGUUAUUUGAAUAAUAUACCCAAUGAUUUAUAAGUGCAUAAUUCCAAUGGCGCAAUCCAAAUAUAUACCGGCGACUUAUAGUCCAAAGCCAGGCCGGGUUAAUAAACACCGGUGAUUUGUAUUUAUGCUUUAUUCAACCUGUUUCUGCAUACAACAAGUUUAAAGUGUCCUGACGGUUUACCGCCGGACGGGUCAUAAUGCCCAACAUAUAACCCGGGUUUAUAACCAAGGCUGCACUUAAGAAUAAUCAAAUAUGAAAUAUAUCAUACCCGUGACAUUGAAUCACAUCGCUGGUUUACCAACUUUUUGUAGUAAGGGUGAUAACCCAAAUCUUGAGUAUGAUAACUCCCCUCAUAUUUUGCCGGUUUGUAAUAAACCCGUGCCGGGUUGUAAUAAACACCGGAUGAUCAUCCUGGCGACUUAUAGUCAAUGCCAGACCAGAUUAAGAGAUGCCGGUUCAUAAUGGAUUAUGUGCUAACAGCUGAUAACUGUAAGCCAUGCCGGGUUAAGAAACACCGGACUAAUGAAAUGACUUAUAGUCAGGCCGGGUUAGUAAACACCGGUUUAACUUAGAACUUGAUCAAAAAAGAGAUAAAACUUUGCAAAAAGCAAAAGAAAAUAAAACUUGUAGUCGAGGCUUUUCGAGGGCUGCCUGGCCCAAAUUCGAGGCUUUUCGUGGGCUGCUAGGCCGCUGAGUUAAACCCUUUGACAAAGCCUUUUAAGAUGGGCCUCCAACUAACCAAUCGUCGUUUUAACUUUGACAAGUUCAGGUUCUUGUAUAAGAGUAACUUGUCAAACGUUCGGCGGGUCAUGCCAGGAUUACCUGGAUAGGAGUGGCUUACUUGAUGAAGGCAGGUUAACCCGGGGUUUUAGGUGAAUACACCAGGCUUCCAAGCCGUGGGUUGAAAGUGCGUUAUAUCGACUAGAGGGGGGUGAAUAGGCGAUUUUUAUGAAUUCUUCACUGAGGAAUUUGCCGGUGAGGAAAUUCCUUAGCGAAGAACUACUUGCAGCGGAAUAAGUACUCAGAAGUAGGCAUGAUAGAAUACACACAUGGUCAUCAUGAUGAAAUGAAGACAAACACAGAGUACAGAAAGCGUAAACACAGGAUAACACAAGAUGAAGACAAACAGACUGAAGAAAUUGAACUGAGGAAAUUGAGAAAGUCUUCAGUCAAAGUCUUCAAACACAGAUAUGAACAUACACUCAACACAGUAAUGAGGAAAUGAAAGAGUUGAGGAAAUAGAAUCAGUAAGGUUGGUGAAGACAAUGAUUUGGUAGACCAGUUCCAACUGCUGUCUUAGUUGUACAUCUGGUUGGAGCGGCUGAGUAUUUAAACUCGAGGACACACAGUCCCGGACACCCAGUCACUGAGCACGCAGCUCAGGACACCAAGUCCUCACCGUAUUCUCCUUGAACUAAGGUCACACAGACCUCGUCCAAUCACUCGUGGUAAGUCUUCAGGCGACUUCCAAACCUUCACAGACUUCGCUCACUCGGUAAUCCACAAUUCCUCUUGGAUGCUCUAGACCAUGACGCCUAAUCGUCUGGAAGAAGCACAGUCUUCAAAGGUAACAAGCGUCGGAUCCACGCAGGAUCAAUCCCUUCAGUGAUGCUCAAUCACUUUGGGUUUGUGGGUGUUUGGUUUUGGAUUUUCCUCACUCGAUGAUUUUCGCUCAAAGUCCUCGGAGGAUGGGUUGCUCUCAAAUGACAAGUGUCAGUUUCUCUCGGAGCAGCCAACCAGCUAGUGGUUGAAGGGGCGGCUAUUUAUAGCCCAGGGAGCAGCCCAACAUGAUAAGACAUAAAUGCCCUUCAAUGAUAUGACCGUUAUGUGGAUAAGAUAUUUUGGGAGAGCUGGCGCGUAGCACAUCAACGGUCGGAAAUUUGACUCUCAAAUUCCUCAGGGCUAUCAUGUUCCUCACUGUGUAGGCAAUCCGCACUGGCGAAUUCCUAACUCCUCAGUCAGAACAAAUUCCUCAGCGACCAGAAGAACUUUGUCUCUGUCUCUGAAGAAAUUGACUGAACUGUAUGAGAUUUCCAAUGGGUUCACUCGAAGGGAUUGGUAGGUGUAGGAUUUUGAGUUGAGCAUCACAUGGGAACUUUUCCUUAGUAUUUCCUCGACCCCCUUUAACAGUACGGUGUUUCCUAUGACUCAAGAAGGAGAAAAACAAAACUAGGAAAACGAAAGUCUUCAAGCUUCAUAUUCCUCGCAUGUAUAUCAAGUCUUCACGGACACACCAAUUUCUUCACUUUCAAAGUCUUCAUGAAAGUCUUCAGAAAUACCAAAAUCUUCAGUCGAAGAUAUUCAUUUUUAGGGGUCGACUUUCUCUGUAAAUAUCAAACUCCUCAUAGACUUAUAGACCUGUGUACACUCAUAAACACAUUAGUCCCUUAACCUAUAAGUCUUCAAUACACCAAAAUCACUAAGGGGCACUAGAUGCACUUACAAUCUCCCCCUUUUUGGUGAUUGAUGACAAUAUAGGUUAAGUUUUCAACGGGGAUAAACAUAUGAAGUGUAAGUACUGAUAUUGAGGAAUUUGAUUGCAAGAUAUAGAAGAACUCCCCCUGAAGAUGUGCAUAGUGAGGAAUUUUCUUUUGAAGCAAUGCACACUUGAAGAGUUGAAUCAUGGAGAUCUCCCCCUAUAUCUUGUAAUUCAUACAUGCAUUUGACAUAUAAUAUGAAGAAUUUGAAAUGCAUGAUGAAAUAUGGUGCCUGAAGAGAUUCAGCAUGCGUGAAAUAAUAUUAACAAGGAAUAAGCAUGCAGAAUCAGAGCACAGUGCAUCAAGUAUCAGAGCACCAUCGGGUUUAAGAUUACAACUCGAUCCAAUAAAAGUUUCAGAAGAACGAGAGUUGUAACUUAGCAAAAAAACGCCCAUAUAAUAGACCCGCUUGAAGACUAACUCAGAUUUCUCCCCCUUUGUCAUCGAAUGACCAAAAGGAUCAAAACUGAGGACUAACACCCCUGAAGAAUAUCAAGUUGAUGGAGGAGCGCCAGCGUUGCGGGGGUCGGUUGUCUUAGUAGGGCCUGCCGCAGUGUCGUCCAAGUCUUCAUUUUCAUCAGUGUCGCGCGAUGAAGAAUAGGAUCUGGCCACCAAGGAAGGAACCUUGACCUUCUUGAAUUUCUUCGGUGGAGGUGCAGACCAGUCAAAUUCUUCCUUGAGACCCAUGUUCUUCAGAUCUUCGGCGCUGUAGAUAUGAGAUAGAACAGCCCAGGUACGGUUGAAGGUUUCAUGGAGGUAGUAUUGGUUUUUCUUCACAUCAUUGUGGGUUGAGGUCAUGUUGUAAAGAAUGGAACCAAACUGACGCUUGACCCAUUUAUGAUUGCGAUCAACUUUCUGAUGAAGACUGAGGAGUAACUCAUGAUCAGUCAUCACCCUGGGUGUUGUGGCUUGAGGAAUUUGCUUGGCAGAGGUGUUGGCGGUAGAUUCAUGUGUGGCAGAGUCAUCAUUGGUGGAGUAGGAUGCAGCCUUGUGAAAUUGACCAUCCAAUGGACGAAUGCCUUCAUCUAUCACAAUAGUUGCCUUGCCUUUGUCAUCAGCUGAGGAAAAUGUCCGUUUGAGGACUUGAAUUGGAGGCAAGAAACCGCCAUGGUUCAGAGUAUCAACCUUGUAGUUGAGUGAAGACCUUGUCCUGAUGAAUUUCAUAAUCCAUGGUGCAUAAGGCUUCAGCUCAAACGGUGACAUAGCAAUGUUGGCCAGAGUCCUCAUGAAGAAAUCAUGGAAGUUUAUGGGAACGCCAUGAAUGAUAUUGAAAAGCAUAUUCUUCAUGAUGCCAACGACUUCUUCAUCAUUUGAGUCGUGGCCUUUGAUAGGACUCAUUGUCUUCGUCAGAAUGUGAUAGACAGUCUGUGGCACAUACAGUAAUUCCUUGACGAUGAAUUUGGUUCGAGGAGCUUGCCCUGGCUUCAAAGGCUUCAUCAGCACUUGUAUGUAAUGAUUUGUAAGCUCAGGUUCAUUGUAGAUGCAACGUGCACCAUCAAGGGGAGGACUGAGUGGGAGGACACGAAGCAAUUCAGUUGUUUGUGCCUUGUAGUGAGCCUUUUCUGACAUCUAGUCCAGCACCCAUGAGUUCACAUCUUCAGAAUUUCCUGUGAUGUGCAGCGUUGCAUAGAAUUGAAGAAUGAGUUCUUCAUUCCAAUCACAGAUGUCAGUGCAGAAAUUCAGUAAUCCAGCUUCGUGAAGAACACUGAGGACUGGCUCGAAGCACGACAGAGAUUCCAUGUCCACGUGAGGAAUGUGUGCAUGAUCGAAGACUUUGUCUUUGUCGAAUAGCACAGAGGAAUAAAAGUUUGCUUGACUAGUAGUCCAGAAACGCCUCUUCCUUAUGCGAGCAGAAUCAUAGGGAUUAUAAUCAGAGAAGAACACAUGCUCGUUGAAGAAAUCAGCAGCCUUGAACUUUUGCUUCUUUAAGAAUGGAUCCUUUGGCUUGGGCACAGGAGUGUCAGUGAGUUGCAUCACAACCUCAGGAAUCACAAUCUCAGGUUCUUCAGGCUGAGGAAUUUCUGGUUCCUCUUUAGUGGCAGUCUGCAUGUUCAACGUAUCAGCAGCAGCAGUUUCUUUAGCACUAGUGGCUGGAAUUUCUUCAUGCACAGACGAGGUGGGAUGAGUUUCUUCAGAGCCCAGUUGAACUAUUGGUGCGGGGGACUGAGGUAUCUGCUGUAGUGGGGUGAAGUGUGGAGAAUUGGGAUGCUGACUCUCCGAAAAGUCAUCAUUCAUCACAGGUGUGGUGCAUCCAAUAUCCACGUCUUCAUCUUCAAUUUCUUCAACACCAGCCUCUUCAGCUGUGAACUGAGGCAUUGGCGAGGAAGCAACAUGUGUUGAAGGGAUCGCAUCCACUUCAAUUUCUUCAUCAAUCUGCUCUGACGAAGCAGCAGAAUGAUUUUAUCAGAUCCGCUAGGGAUCACAUAUUCUUCACCAUAAGGAACAAGGUCCUUUGAUGGCAUGGUGGAAAUCGGAACAACAUCAAUGGGAUUCUCAAGUGAGCUGGUCAUAGUCUUCAUUUUCUUCGGAGCUGAAGAAUCUGAAGCAGAUGAUGCUUUCCUUUUCUUCACUGCAGCUUUCUCUGCAGCCUUGGUCUUCCUCACAUCUGAUGCAGAUGGUAGGGUAGGAGUUGGGGUAGGCGCAGGAGGAGCUGAGGAAUCUGUCUGUAUUUCCUCAGGCGCAACUGAUGCAGUUUCCCUGACUUCUUCAUUUUCUUCAGGCGCACCACUAGUGGAUGCCCUGGCAGUUUCUUCAGCGGCUGGAAUGAAGUCAUUAGCCCUGGAACUAGCAUUUUCUUUAGCAUCCUGAAAAUCAUCAGCGGUGCUGGCAUGUUCUUCAGUUUGCUGAGUAGAGGCUUCGGCUUGAGAAAUUUCUUGUUGCGAUGGGGCUGCAACAUUGGUGAACUUCUUAGUCAGGCUGACAAAUCUGACUUUGGCUCCUUGCCAAUCAGCAUAAUAAGCAUUGAAAUCAUCGCUGAGGGCUUUGAUUUCAGACUGGAUCAUGAGGAGUUCCUCAGGUGUCAUUUUGAAAAUGUUGUUCUUCAAGAACUUCUCUUUCCUGAACUGAGCCUUCUUGAUUUGUCUGGCCUUCUCAAAUUUCCAUUUCUCUUCAGAGAUGAAAUGGGUCAGUAUGUGACUUUGGCAGGGAGUCAAAUGAAAAUCAAGCAUAGGAGUGUUUGGGUCCUUGUGCCAGAGAUCAAUGUAGUCGAGGAUCACCUUUGGAUCCAAAAGUAGUGGCACAAUUGUCCCUUUGGCUCUAGCGGCCCUUUCUUACCUAUCUCUGAUGAUUUCUGCAAGUUCAUCAUCAUCAGCAUCAUCGUCAGAUAGCACUUGGAAGGCAACUUGUUUCUUCUUCGGACUAGGCCGAGGACCUCGUCCAGCAGUGGCCUUUGUCUUUAGCAGAGUGGGGCCUGAUGAAGAAUUUGGUGCAGCUGAGGAACUUGCUGAGACACCAGAGGCAAUGGAGAUGCCUGUAGUCCAUUGGCAUGUGGCCAGAUGUACAGGUGUUGAGGACUUUGUCGGAGCAACUGAGGACUUUGGAGGAGCAGGAGCAGCAUGAGGCAUUGGCCGUGAGGGCUUUGAAGAUUCUUGUCGUGAGGGCAUUGCUGAGGAACUUGGUCGUGAGGGCACAGUUGUUGAAGCACUUGGCUUGUGAGCGGGCUUCUUUGCCAUUGAUUUCCUAGGCUUGUCAGAGGCCUUUGUGGCAGCAGCAGUAGCAGAGUCUUCAUUAAAUUUCCUCACUGCUUCUUUGGCUUGUCUAGCCAACUUGGCUUGGCGCUUGGCCCAUUCUUCAGGAAAAUCCUCACCGCGCUUGAGGCUGGUGGGAUCAGCUUUUUGACCAGGUGCCAAUGGAGCUCUUGGGCAUGGAGGAUUUAGAGCGAAUUUCUUCAUAUACUUUGGAGUUACAUAUCUGUACUCCCUCCAUUCUCUUGCCCAUCUCCUUUCAAUCCUCUGUAUGCGCACCUUGCGCUGAUUUUUGUUCUCUUUUCCAAACUUGGCUUCAUCAGGUGUGCAAUAGUCAGCAUAUAUGUCCUCAGGAAUUUCAAAUGCAGUCAUGACCUCAGGCUUCUUUCCUCCUUUCUGUGGUUUCUUACCGUCUGCCAUAUUCUUCAGAUGAGGAAUUUGAACAAUCAAAUUCUCUGAAGAAGUAUGCAACUUUUCUUCGAGGAAUGCUACAAAUGAGUUAAGUUGAUGAGAACCUAGUGAUUCAGCAGCGGACAUGAGUACCUGCGAACAGAGUAUAGUUGCGACGAAUUUGAAGAGGUCAUAUGCGUUCUCAGAAGAUUUUCAAAAUGAACAAGUUUGAGGAAUUUGACCAGAUGAGUCUUGAAGAAUUUCACUAAGCAUUCUUUGUCUUAGGUUCUAGAGUUGUAUAGACUGAGGAUCCACACAAUUGAGGAAUCUUGAAGAUAAAUGAUGCUUAGAGAAACGAAUCAAGAACAGAUGACUAGUGAGGUGUUUUGUGUGUGAGGAUUUGAAGAAUAAAACACCUUUGAAGAUUUUGUAGAGAAAAUUUGAAUCAAAGAGGGCAGUAAAAGUAACUUUUAAUUACCCUUGAUGACGAACACGACGAAUUGAGAAGUGUAGAUUUGAAGCUCGUCAGUUCAGAUCUUCCACGCCCUAACUUGGCGGAGGAAGACAGCUACGGCGGCGGCGGAGUGAAGAUUUCCGCAGCCGGCGCGAGUACGACGGCGACGAGGUCGAGGCAGUGAAGCUCUUCCUCACCGGCAACGAUGGAGUAGCGGCGGCGCUAGAGUUUGAGAAGCUCGAGCGAGAGAGAGAGCGGUCGAGCGGAGUAAAGGAAGUGAGGAAGGGUAAGGGGGUAUUUAUAGUCGCAGUGAAAAACUGUUCGCUCGAAGAUUUAGGACGAACGUGCCCCUGGCCCUUCUCAUUCGCUUGACAUGUGUCACCCACGUACUGAAGGUGUAGAUCGUGUUAGAUCGUGGGUGAAUAGAUAAGUCUAUCGUGGGAUACGGGACGGUUUGAGCGGCAAAACCAAAAAUUUUGGAUAAGGUAGUUUUAAAGUUUCGUUCGCAAUUUCUUCAGCUGACAGGACACAGUGAAGAUUUUGAACGAGUUUCAAAUAGAACGCACAUGAAGAAUUUGUGAAUAGACUGGGUUGAGUAUAGCAUAGAGGGGGAAGAGUCCGAUCACAUUCACUUAGCAGAAAGAGCAACUUGAAGAAAUAGCAAUAAGUGAAUGUUGUAGAGGACAUAAACCCAUAUAUAUAUAUAUAUAUAUAUAUAUAUAUAUAUAUAUAUAUAUAUAGCCAAUGAAGAAAAGCGACGGAAACAGUGAAGAUUUUGUAAAGUUGAAGAAUUUGAAAAACUGAGGAAUUUCAAAACUGAGGAAAAACUCAAAUUGAAGAUUUUCAACUUUUGUGGUGGCGUGACCCACCGUAUAAGAAUGAUGAUUUCAAACAUCGCGUACAAUUGUCGUAGGGUUCUGAGAAUCAAAUUCUUCAUUAAUUUCUUCACACUUAGAGUGUUAUUCUUCAUUGAUUGAAGAAAAAGAUUUCUUCAUGUGUUGCACAUCUAAGUCAUCAAUUUUGCAUAAGUGUUAGGAUGUGUGUCCUUUUCAAAGAACAUUCGAAGACUCUAAGAUAUUUAGCUCACAUCGCAACUUGCUAAAUCUCUUCUCAUCCAAGGGCUUUGUGAAGAUAUCGGCUAGCUGUUCUUCAGUCUUCACAUGCUCAAUAGAAAUGUCGCCCUUCAACACAUGAUCACGAAGAAAAUGAUGAUGAAUCUGAAUUUGCUUUGUCUUCGAGUGCUGAACUGGGUUGUGAGCAAUCUUGAUGGCACUCACAUUGUCACAGUAGAGAGGCACAUUCUUCAUGUUGAUGCCGUAGUCCUUGAGAGUUUGCUUCAUCCACAGCAAUUGAGCACAGCAAGAACCAGCAGCAAUGUACUCAGCUUCAGCAGUAGACAGUGAUACACAGUUCUGUUUCUUCGAGGACCAACAGACCAAAGAUCGUCCGAGGAAAUGACAAGUACCAGAUGUUGACUUGCGGUCCACACGAUCACCAGCAUAGUCAGAGUCAGAAUAUCCAAUGAGAUAAAAAAUAGAGCCCUUGGGGUACCAUAAUCCUAGUGUUGGUGUGUGAGCUAGAUAUCGAAUAAUAUGUUUCACAGCCUUAUGGUGUGAUUCCUUCGGUGUUGCUUGAAAUCGGGCACACAUGCAAACACUAAGCAUUAUAUCUGGCCUAGAUGCACAUAAGUACAAUAAAGAACCAAUCAUGGAGCGGUAUACCUUGUGAUCGAAGUCAAUACCAUUUUCAUCAGUGCAUAGAUGGCCAUUUAUGGGCAUAGGAAUUUUGACUCCUUUGCAAUCUUGCAUGCCGAAUUUCCUCAGAACUUCCUUGAGGUAUUUCUCCUGAGAUAUGAAUAUGCCAUUGUGCUGUUGACGAAUUUGAAGACCUAAAAAGAAUUUCAACUCUCCCAUCAUAGACAUUUGAUAUUCUUCACUCAUCAUAUAGGAAAAUUCAUCACUAUAAUGUUGGUCAGUACAGCCAAAGAUAAUAUCAUCAACGUAUAUUUGGCACACAAACAGUUCACCAUCAUAAGAUUUAGUAAAGAGAGUAGGGUCGAGUGAACCGGGUGUGAAGCCAUUCUUCACGAAGAAUUCCUUCAAAGUAUCAUACCACGCCCGAGGGGCCUGCUUGAGGCCAUAGAGGGCCUUGUUGAGUCUGAAGACUUUGUCAGGAUUCUUUGGAUCUUCAAAACCUGGGGUUGAGCAACAUAUACUUCUUCCUCAAGCUUACCAUUGAGGAAUGCACUUUUCACAUCCAUUUUUUGUAAGAUAAUAUUAUGAUGGUUAGCAUAAGCAAGUAAUAUGCGAAUAGCCUCAAGUCCAGCAACAGGUGCAAAAGUUUCAUUGAAAUCAAUUCCUUCAACUUGUGUGUAGCCUUGAGCUACAAGUCAUGCCUUAUUCCUCACAACAAGGCCAUUUUCAUCUUGCUUGUUGCAGUAGAUCCACUUUGUGCCGAUGAUAUUAUGCUUGCGAGGAUCUGGACGUUUGACCAGUUCCCAGACAUUAUUAAGCUCGAACUGAUGUAAUUCUUCUUGCAUGGCCUGAAUCCACUCAGGCUCCAGAAAUGCUUCAUCUACCUUAGUGGGCUCUGUGAUAGAGACAAAAGCAUAGUGCUCACAAAAGUUAGAUAAAUGUGAAGCUUUUGAGCGUGUGAGAGGACCUGGUGCUUCAAUGUCAUCGAUGAUUUUUUCAACUUGCACUUUUUUUGCAACGCGAGGAUGAGCUGGUUGUCGUUGAGGAAUUUGAUCAGCAUUUUCUUCAGCAUUUUCCUUAGGUACAUCAGCUCGACGAUCUUCGCGUUCUGGAAUGAAUUCUUCAGUAGAUUCUUCGGUAGGAAUGAUAUCCUCAGUAGCCUUGAACUUGAUAGAAUCCUCAGGUGCUAGUUCAUCUAUCACAGAAGGUAGGUGCUCUCUUUGCGAGCCAUUAGUUUCAUCGAACCGCACAUCUACAGUUUCAACAAUCUUGUGAAGAGUGAUGUUGAAGACUCUGUAGGUGUGCGAGUCCUUUCCGUAACCAAGCAUAAAACCUUCAUGUGCUUUCGGUGUAAAUUUAGCAUUGUGAUGAGGAUCUCUAAUCCAACAUUUAGCACCGAAGACUUUGAAAUAACUCACAUUUGGUUUCUUGUCAAUGAGGAGUUCAUAUGCAGUCUUCUUGAAGAAUUUGUGAAGAUAUACUCUGUUGAUGAUGUGGCACGUGGUAUCAAUUGCAUCAAUCCAAAACCGAUGAGGUGUUUUGUAUUCAUCAAGCAUAGUGCGAGCCAUCUCAACAAGAGUUCUGUUCUUGCGCUCCACGACGCCAUUUUGCUCAGGAGUAUAAGGAGCAGAUAACUCAUGAGUAAUACCAAGUUCAUCAAGAUAGUCAUCAAGACCGGAAUUCUUGAACUUAGUUCCAUUGUCACUCCUAAUGUUCUUGAUCUUCACACCAAAGUUGGUUGAAGCCCUCGAGGAAAAUCGUUUGAAGACUUCCUGCACUUCACGUUUGUAAGUAACAAUGUGUACCCAUGUGUAACGAGAGUAAUCAUCAACAAUAACAAAGCCAUAUAGAGAUGCAUCAUUAGUCACAGCAGAAUAAUGAUUAGGACCGAAGAGAUCCAUGUGAAGCAAUUCAAAUGGUCGAGUGGUGGUCAUGAUAGUCUUCGCUGGAUGCUUGGCCUUAGUCAUCUUCCCAGCUUCACAGGCACCACACAAGUGAUCCUUGAGGAAUUUGACAUUCUCAAUUCCAAUGACAUGCUUCUUCUUCGCAAGCGUGUGCAAAUUCCUCAUGCCUGCGUGACCAAGUCGUCGAUGCCAUAGCCAGCCUUCUGAAGCUUUUGCAAGUAAGCACACGGCAGGUUGUGGUCCUGUAGAGAAAUCAACAAUGUACAAGUCUCCUCUCCUAAAGCCUUCGAAGACUUUGGAAUUGUCAGCUUCCAUGAUCACAACACAACAAUACUUGCCAAAGACAACAACCAUAUCAAGAUCACAAAGCAUUGAGACAGACAUGAGGUUGUAUCCUAAGGACUCGAUAAGCAUGACUUUGUCCAUGUGUCGAUCCUUAGAGAUCGCAACCUUACCUAGACCCAAUACCUGACUUUUGCCUUUGUCAGCGAAGAUGAUAUACUUCAGAUGUGACGGAAUUAAGGGAGCAUCCAUCAAUAGAUUCUUGUCACCAGUCAUGUGAUUUGUACAUCCACUAUCGAGGACCCACUCAUUUGCUUUGGGUUGAUCAUCCUGCAGAUGAAUUAGUGCAGCUUACAAACUCAUAUACUUCAUCAGUGAAGAAUAUGACAUCAAUAUCACCAGUUCAAUUUCAUCGAGUAAUUUGAUCAGAUAAUCAGUAUGAGGAGGGGUGAAAUGAAAGUUCAUUUCAUCAUGAUUCGCCUGCGUCCUUUCAGGCACUGUUCAGGUCUCCAGUAAAUUCUUCAGUCGUUUUGAACACGACUGGAGACCUGACCCUGCAUAAGAGAUUAGUUUUUUUCUUCACCACCCACAUCUGGAGGGGUGGCAAAGAAUUCAUCACUCUGCGAGCACCAUAUGAGAAAGGUGGCAUGGACGCCAGUCCACUUCGUUUCACAUAAGAGGGGUUAGGGUAAGCAUAUGAAUAAGUAGAGAAAUUCUUCGAGGACUUAUGAACAUAAUGAUUUGAAGAAUAAUGCACAUAUUCAUAGCCCUUAGCUCUACCCUGCGAAACAGAGUUGUUAGAACGAUGAUGUUCAUAUGAGGAUUUUGAUCCUUUUGAGGAAUUUGAUCCAUGUGAGGAAUUUGGUCCGUAUGAGGACUUGGAUCCAUAUGAAGAAUUUGGUCCAUAUGAAGAGUUUGAUCUAGGGUUCCUAUUCUUCACCGGUGGUGUCAUGAGGACAUUCACCUGAAGACUUUCAACAUAACUUUUGGGAACCCAGAUUUUCUUCAUAAGGGAACCGUUCCUGUAGUUAGUGCCAACAUAUCUAGCAAAUACUUCACCAUUCUGAUUUUUGAACAGUUUAUAGUUGGAGUCAAAUGACUCAUCAGAAGAAUGAGGAGAUUCACACGUAAAGCCAGAUAAGUUAGAUGGAUCAACUGGAGGUCCCUUUGCAGCAACCCAUGAGGUUUUGGGGUACUGCUCAAGCUUCCAAUAUGUUCCAUCAGCAUUGAGUUUCCUCUCAAAGGCAAUACCCUCUUUCCUAGGGUUUCUAUGGAGGAUCUGCUUUUUAAGCACAUCACAAAGAGUCUGAUGCCCUUUGAGACUUUUGUACAUGCCUGUCAUAUACAAUUCCUUCAGCCCUGCAUCGUCAGUGAUACUAGCAAUGUCCUUAGAUGAGGAAUUAGUGAUAGCAGAGGCAGGUGAAGAAUUUGUAACAUUUGAAGCAUUUGAACAUUCAGGUGAAGAAUUAGCAGAUUCAUGUUCAAUGCACUUUAAGCAUGGAGGAUCAAAUUCUUCCUGAGUAGCGCUGAUUUGUUGAGCAAGUAAUGAAUCGCGCUCCUUCUGAAGAUCUUCAUAACACACUCUUAGCUUCUCAAAAUCUUGCUUUCUUUGAAGAAGUUCAAGAGAAAGCUUCUCGUGAUCAGAUAAGAGAGAGUUAUGAUGACUUUAAAGGUCGUCAAACUUGGAAUGGAGUCCCUGAAGACUUUCAGCCAAGGCUUUUGACUGAUCCAUUUCUUCACCCAACAUAUCAUCGCUCUUAUUUAGCAUGUAAUGAACUUUUUCCAAGGCUCUUUGUUGUUUAGUGGCAAGGGAAGAAAGUUUGACAUAGCUAGGUCCAAAUUCAUCGCCAGAUUCAUCAUCACUAGAUUCAGAUAGGAAUGAUUCGGUUACCUCAGCACCGUUUGCCAUAAGGCAGGGGUUAGACGAUGAUGAUUCUGGUUCGAAUGUCAUUGCAUUGAGAGAUUCCUUGUAAUCCUCAAACCAAGGAUCAUGACGAGUCCGAUGACCUUCAUAGACCUCAGAGAGACGGUCCCAGAUUAGCUUCAUGUGAUUGAGAUGCAUGACGUUCCUGAACUGAUUUCGGGACAGACUAGAGCAGAUGACAUCCUUCGCUGUGAGGUUAAGCAGUGUGUACUUGCGAAUGUCAUCAGCCUCAGCCAUCUUGCAUAGAUCAGUAAGACCGAUCUCGGUGAUGGUCCACAGUUCGCUGUCCAUAGCCAUGAGUCUCUUUUUCAUCAUGGCCUUCCACCGAGGAUACUCAUGACCGUCAAAGAUGGGGCAGGAAACGUUCUUCAUACCUGCGGUCGACAUAACUAAAACUCCAGGCGGUUAAACCAAAAUCACACAGAACAAGGGAGUACCUUGCUCUGAUACCAAUUGAAAGUGCGUUAUAUCGACUAGAGGGGGGGUGAAUAGGCGAUUUUUAUGAAUUCUUCACUGAGGAAUUUGCCGGUGAGGAAAUUCCUUAGCGAAGAACUACUUGCAGCGGAAUAAGUACUCAGAAGUAAGCAUGACAGAAUACACACAUGGUCAUCAUGAUGAAAUGAAGACAAACACAGAGUACAGAAAGCAUAAACACAGGAUAACACAAGAUGAAGACAAACAGACUGAAGAAAUUGAAAUGAGGAAAUUGAGAAAGUCUUCAGUCAAAGUCUUCAAACACAGAUAUGAGCAAACACUCAACACAGUAAUGAGGAAAUGAAAGAGUUGAGAAAAUAGAACCAGUAAGGUUGGUGAAGACAAUGAUUUGGUAGACCAGUUCCAACUGCUGUCUCAGUUAUACAUCUGGUUGGAGCGGCUGAGUAUUUAAACUCGAGGACACACAGUCCCGGACACCCAGUCACUGAGCACGCAGCUCAGGACACCAAGUCCUCACCGUAUUCUCCUUGAACUAAGAUCACACAGACCUCGUCCAAUCACUCAUGGUAAGUCUUUAGGCGACUUCCAAACCUUCACAGACUUCGGUCACUCGGCGAUCCACAAUUCCUCUUGGAUGCUCUAGACCAUGACGCCUAACCGUCUGGAAGAAGCAACAGUCUUCAAAGGUAACAAGCGUCGGAUCCACGCAGGAUCAAUCUCUUCAGUGAUGCUCAAUCACUUUGGGUUUGUGGGUGUUUGGGUUUGGAUUUUCCUCACUCGAUGAUUUUCGCUCAAAGUCCUCGGAGGAUGGGUUGCUCUCAAAUGACAAGUGUCAGUUUCUCUCGGAGCAGUCAACCAGCUAGUGGUUGUAGGGGGUGGCUAUUUAUUGAAGGAAAUAUGCCCUAGAGGCAAUAAUAAAGUUAUUAUUUAUUUCCUUAUUUCAUGAUAAAUGUUUAUUAUUCAUGCUAGAAUUGUAUUAACCGGAAACAUGAUACAUGUGUGAAUACAUAGACAAACAUAUAGUCACUAGUAUGCCUCUACUUGACUAGCUCAUUAAUCAAAGAUGGUUAGUUUCCUAACCAUAGACAUGUGUUGUCAUUUGAUUAAUGGGAUCACAUCAUUAGGAGAAUAAUGUGAUUGACAUGACCCAUUCCGUUAGCCUAGCACUUGAUCAUUUAGUAUGUUGCUAUUGCUUUCUUCAUGACUUAUACAUGUUCCUGUAACUAUGAGAUUAUGCAACUCCCGUUUACCGGAGGAACACUUUGGGUACUACCAAACAUCACAACGUAACUGGGUGAUUAUAAAGGAGUACUACAGGUGUCUCCAAAGGUACAUGUUGAGUUGGCGUAUUUUGAGAUUAGGUUUUGUCACUCCGAUUGUCAGAGAGGUAUCUCUGGGCCCUCUCGGUAAUGCACAUCACUAUAAGCCUUGCAAGCAGUGUGACCAAUGAGUUGGUUACGGGAUGAUGCAUUAUGUAACGACUAAAGAGACUUGCCGGUAACGAGAUUGAACUAGGUAUUGGAUACCGACGAUCAAAUCUCGGGCAAGUAACAUACCGAUGACAAAGGGAACAAUGUAUGUUGUUAUGCGGUUUGACCGAUAAAGAUCUUCGUAGAAUAUGUAGGAACCAAUAUGGGCAUCCAGGUUCCGCUAUUGGUUAUUGACCAAGAAUAGUUCUAGGUCAUGUUUACAUAGUUCUCGAACCCGUAGGGUCCGCACGCUUAAGGUUUCGAUGACAAUUUUAUUAUGAGUUUAUGAGUUUUGAUGUACCGAAGGAGUUUAGAGUCCCGGAUGAGAUCGGGGACAUGACGAGGAGUCUCGAAAUGGUCGAGACGUAAAUAUCGAUAUAUUGGACGACUAUAUUCGGAGUUCGGAAAGGUUCCGAGUGAUUCGGGUAUUUUUCGGAGUACCGGAGAGUUACGGGAAUUCGCCGGGGAGUAUAUGGGCCUUAUUGGGCCAUACGGGAAUAGAUGAGAGAGGCCGAAAGGAAGGAGGUGCGCAGCCCCCCUUUGGUCCGAAUUGGACAAGGGGUGCAGCCCCCUUUUCCUUCCCCCUCUCCCCCUCUUUCCUUCUCUCCUACUCCAACAAGGAAGGGGGGGAGUCCUACUCCCGGUGGGAGGAGGACUCCUCCUGGCGCGCCCCUCCUGGCUGGCCGACCCCCUCCCCCUGGCUCCUUUAUAUACGGGGGCAGGGGGGCACCUCUAGGAAGAACAACACAAGUUGAUCUACGGAUCGUUCCUUAGCCGUGUGCGGUGCCCCCCUCCACCAUAUUCCACCUCGGUCAUAUCGUCGCGGAGUUUAGGCGAAGCCCUGCGCCGGUAGAGCAUCAUCAUCGUCACCAAACCGUCGUGCUGACGGAACUCAUCCCUGAAGCUUUGCUGGAUCGGAGCCCGGGGAUCAUCAUCGAGCUGAACAUGUGCUGAACUCGGAGGUGCCGUACGUUCGGUACUUGGAUCGGUCGGAUCGUGAAGACGUACGACUACAUCAACCGCGUUGUCAUAACGCUUCUGCUUACGGUCUACGAGGAUACGUGGACAACACUCUCCCCUCUCGUUGCUAUGCCAUCACCAUGAUCUUGCGUGUACGUAGGAAUUUUUUUUAAAUUAUUACGUUCCCCAACAGUGGCAUCCGAGCCUGGUUUUAUGUGUAGAUGUCAUAUGCACGAGUAGAACACAAGUGAGUUGUGGGCGAUACAAGUCAUACUGCUUACCAGCAUGUCAUACUUUGGUUCGGCGGUAUUUUGAGAUGAAGCGGCCCGGAUCGACAUUACGCGUACGCUUACGCGAGACUGGUUUCACCAUUACGAGCACUCGUGCUUAAAAGUGACUGGCGGGUGUCUGUCUCUCUCACUUUAGCUGAAUCGAGUGUGGCUACGCCCGGUCCUUGCGAAGGUUAAAACAGCACUAACUUGACAAACCAUCAUUGUGGUUUUGAUGCGUAGGUAAGAACGGUUCUUGCUAAGCCCGUAGCAGCCACGUAAAACUUGCAACAACAAAGUAGAGGACGUCUAACUUGUUUUUGCAAGGCAUGUUGUGAUGUGAUAUGGUCAAAACGUGAUGCUAUAUUUUAUUGUAUGAGAUGAUCAUGUUUUGUAACCGAAGUUAUCAGCAACUGGCAGGAGCCAUAUGGUUGUCUCUUUAUUGUAUGAAAUGCAAAACGCCCUGUAAUUGCUUUACUUUAUCACUAAGCGGUAGCGAUAGUCGUAGAAGCAAUAGAUGGCAUAAACGACAACGAUGCUAGGAUGAAGAUCAAGGUGUCGUGCCGGUGACGAUGGUGAUCACGACGGUGCUUCGAAGAUGGAGAUCACAAGCACAAGAUGAUGAUGGCCAUAUCAUAUCACUUAUAUUGAUUGCAUGUGAUGUUUAUCAUGUAUGCAUCUUCUCUUGCUUUGAUUGACGGUAGAAUUUUAAGAUGAUCUCUCACUAAAAAUUAUCAAGAAGUGUUCUCCCUGAAUAUGCACCGUUGCCAAAGUUCGUCGUGCCCAGACACCACGUGAUGAUCGGGUGUGAUAAGCUCUACGUCCAUCUACAACGGGUGCAAGCCAGUUUUGCACACGCAGAAUAUUCAGGUUAUACUUGACGAGCCUAGCAUAUGCAGAUAUGGCCUCGGAACACAGAGACCGAAAGGUCGAGCGUGAAUCAUAUAGUAGAUAUGAUCAACAUAGUGAUGUUCACCAUUGAAAACUACUCCAUCUCACGUGAUGAUCGGUUAUGGUUUAGUUGAUUUGGAUCACGUGAUCACUUAGAGGAUUAGAGGGAUGUCUUUCUAAGUGGGAGUUCUUAAGUAAUAUGAUUAAUUGAACUUAAAUUUAUCAUGAACAUACCUAGUAUUUUGCAAAUUAUGUUGUAGAUCAAUAGCUUGCGUUGUUGCUCUCAUAUGUUUAUUUUGAUAUGUUCCUAGAGAAAAUUGUGUUGAAAAAUGUUAGUAGCAAUGAUGCGGAUUGGAUCCGUGAUCUGAGGUUUAUCCUCAUUGCUGCGCAGAAGAAUUAUGUCCUUGAUGCACCGCUAGGUGACAAACCUAUUGCAGGAGCAGAUGCAGACGUUAUGAACGUUUGGCUAGCUCAAUAUGAUGACUACUUGAUAGUUUAGUGCACCAUGCUUAACGGCUUAGAAUCGGGACUUCAAAGACGUUUUGAACGUCAUGGACCAUAUGAGAUGUUUCAGGAGUUGAAGUUAAUAUUUCAAGCAAAUACCCGAGUUGAGAGAUAUGAAGUCUCCAACAAGUUCUAUGGCUAAAAGAUGGAGGAGAAUCGCUCAACUAGUGAGCAUGUGCUCAGAUUGUCUGGGUACUUCAAUCGCUUGAAUCAAGUGGGAGUUAAUCUUCCAGAUAAGAUAGUGAUUGACAGAAUUCUCUAGUCACCAUCACUAAGUUACUAGAACUUCGUGAUGAACUAUAGUGUGCAAGGGAUAACGAAAACAAUUCCCAAGCUCUUCGCGAUGCAAAAAUCAGCGAAGGUAGAAAUCAAAGAAAAACAUCAAAGUGUUGAUGGUGGACAAGAUCACUAGUUUCAAGAAAAAGGGCAAAGGGAAGAAGGGGAACUUCAAGAAGAACAUCAAGCAAGUUGUUGUUCAAGUGAAGAAGCCCAAGUCUGGACCUAAGCCUAAGACUAAGUGAUUCUACUGCAAAGGGACUGGUCACUGGAAGUGGAACUACCCCAAGUAUUUGACGGAUAAGAAGGAUGGCAAAGUGAACAUAGGUAUAUUUGAUAUACAUGCUAUUGAUGUGUACUUUACUAGUGUUUAUAGGAACCCCUUGGUAUUUGAUACUAGUUCAGUUGCUAAGAGUAGUAACACGAAACGGGAGUUGCAGAAUAAACAGAAACUAGUUGAGGGUGAGGUGACGAUGAAUAUUGGAAGUAGUUCCAAGAUUGAUAUGAUCAUCAUCGCACACUCCCUAUACUUUCGGGAUUAGUGUUGAACCUAAAUAAAUGUUAUUUGGUGUUUGCGUUGAGUAUCAAUAUGAUUUGAUCAUGUUUAUUGCAAUACGUUAUUCAUUUAAAAUCAGAGAAUAAUUGUUGUUCUGUUUAAAUGAAUAAAACCUUUGAUGGUCAUACACCCAAUGAAAAUAGUUUGUUGGAUCUCGGUCGUAGUGAUACACAUAUUCAUAAUAUUGAUGCCAAAAGAUGCAAAGUUGAUAAUGAUAGUGCAACUUAUUUGUGGCACUGCCGUUUGGGUCAUAUCGGUGUAAAGCGCAUGAAGAAACUCCAUAAAGAUGGAUUUUCGGAAUCACUUGGUUAUGAAUCAUUUGAUGCUUGCGAACCGUGCCUUUUGGGCAAGAUGACUAAAAACUCCGUUCUCCGGAACAAUGGAACAAGCUACUGACUUAUUGGAAAUAAUACAUACCGAUGUAUGCGAUCCAAUGAGUGUUGAUGCUCGUGGCAAGUAUCGUUAUUUUCUGACCUUCACAAAAUGAUUUGAGUAGAUAUGGGUAUAUCUACUUGAUGAAACAUAAGUCUGAAAUAAUUGAAAGGUUCAAAGAAUUUCAGAGUGAAGUGGAAAAAUCAUCGUAACAAGAAAAUAAAGUUUCUACGAUCUGAUCGCGGAGACGAAUAUUUGAGUUACGAGUUUGGUCUUCAGUUAAAACAAUGUGGAAUAGUUUCACAGCUCACGCCACCUGGAACACCACAACGUUAUGGUGUGUCCGAACGUCGUAACCACACUUUAUUGGAUAUGGUGCGAUCUAUGAUGUCUCUUAUCGGUUUUACCACUAUCGUUUUGGGGUUGUGCAUUAGAGACAGCUGCAUUCACGUUUAAAAGGGCACCAUCUAAAUCCGUUGAGAUGACACCAUAUGAACUAUGGUUUAGCAGUAAACCUAAGUUGUCAUUUCUUAAAGUUUGGACUUGCGAUGCUUAUAUGAAAAAAGUUUCAACCUGAUAAGCUCAAACCCAAAUCGGAGAAGUGCGUCUUCAUAGAAUACCCAAAGUUAACUAUUGGGUACACCUUCUAUCACAGAUCGGAAGGCAAGUUAUUCAUUGGUAAGAAUGGAUCCUUUCUAGAGAAGGAGUUUCUCUCGAAAGAAGUGAGUGGGAGGAAAGUAGAACUUGAUGAGGUAACUGUACCUGCUCCCUUAUUGGAAAGUAGUUCAUCACAGAAAUCAGUUCCUGUGACUACUACACCAAUUAGUGAGGAAGUUAAUGAUGAUGAUCAUGAAACUUCAGAUUAAGUUACUACAGAACCUCGUAGGUCUUCCAGAGUAAGAUCCGCACCAGAGUGGUACGGUAAUCCUGCUCUGGAAGUCAUGUUACUAGACCAUGAUGAACCUACGAACUAUGAGGAAGCGAUGAUGAGCCCAGAUUCCACGAAAUGGCUUGAGGCCAUAAAAUCUGAGAUAUGAUCCAUGUAUGAGAACAAAGUAUGGACUUUGAUUGACUUGCUCGAUGAUCAGCAAGCCAUGUUAAAUAAAUGGAUCUUCAAGAGGAAGACGGACAUUGAUAGUAGUGUUACUAUCUAUAAGCUCGACUUAUUGCGAAAUGUUUUCAACAAGUUCAAGGUGUUGAAUACGAUGAGAUUUUCUCACUCGUAUCGAAGCUUAAGUCUGUCUGAAUCAUGUUGGCAAUUGCCACAUUUUAUGAAAUCUGGCAAAUGGAUGUCAAAACUGCAUUCCUUAAUGGAUUUAUUAAAGAAGAGUUGUAUAUGAUGCAACCAGAAAGUUUUUGUCAAUCCUAAAGAUGCUAACAAAGUGUGCAAGCUCCAGCAAUCCAUCAAUGGACUGGUGCAAGCAUCUCGGAGUUGGAAUAUACGCUUUGAUGAGUUGAUCAAAGCAUAUGGUUUUAUACAGACUGUUGAAGAAGCCUGUAUUUACAAAAAAGUGAGUGGGAGCACUACAACAUUUCUGAUUAGUAUAUGUGAAUGACAUAUUGUUGAUCGGAAAUAAUGUAAAAUUAUUCUGCAAAGCAUAAAGGAGUGUCUGAAAGGAGUUUUUUUUAAAGAAAGACCUCAGUAAAGCUACUUACAUAUUGAGCAUCAAGAUCUAUUGAGAUAGAUCAAGACGCUUGAUAAGUUUUUCAAUAAGUACAUACCUUGUCAAGAUUUUGAAGUAGUUCAAAAUGGAACAGUCAAAGAAAGAGUUCUUGCCUGUGUUGCAAAGGUGUAAAAUUGAGUAAGACUCAAAUCCCGACCACGGCAGAAAAUAGAAAAGAGAAUGAAAAUCAUUCCCUAUGCCUCAGUCAUAGGUUCUAUAAAGUAUGCUAUGUACCAGACCUAUUGUAUACCUUGCUCUGAAUUUGAUAAGGGAGUACAAUAGUGAUCUAGGAGUAGAUCACUGGACAUUGGUCAAGAAUAUCCUUAGUGAGAACUAAGGAAAUAUUUCUCGAUUAUGGAGGUGAUAAAAGAGCCCGUCGUAAAGAGCUAUAUUGGUGCAAGCUUUUACACCGAUCCAAAUGACUCUAAGUCUCAAUCUGGAUACAUAUUGAAAGUGGGAGCAAUUAGCUAGAGUAGCUUCGUGCAGAGCAUUGUAGACAUAGAAUAUUUGCAAAAUACAUAUGGCUCUGAAUAUGACAGACCCGUUGACUAAGCUUCUCUCACGAGCAAAACAUGAUCACACCUUAGUACUCUUUGGGUGUUAAUCACAUAAGCGAUGUGAACUAGAUUAUUGACUCUAGUAAACCCUUUGGGUGUUGGUCACAUGACGAUGUGAACUAUGGGUGUUAAUCAUAUAUAGAUAUGAAUAUUGGUGUUAAAUCACAUGGCGAUGUGAACUAGAUUAUCGACUCUAGUGCAAGUGGGAGACUGAAGGAAAUAUGCCCUAGAGGCAAUAAUAAAGUUAUUAUUUAUUUCCUUAUUUCAUGAUAAAUGUUUAUUAUUCAUGCUAGAAUUGUAUUAACCGGAAACAUGAUACAUGUGUGAAUACAUAGACAAACAUAUAGUCACUAGUAUGCCUCUACUUGACUAGCUCAUUAAUCAAAGAUGGUUAUGUUUCCUAACCAUAGACAUGUGUUGUCAUUUGAUUAAUGGGAUCACAUCAUUAGGAGAAUAAUGUGAUUGACAUGACCCAUUCCGUUAGCCUAGCACUUGAUCGUUUAGUAUGUUGCUAUUGCUUUCUUCAUGACUUAUACAUGUUCCUGUAACUAUGAGAUUAUGCAACUCCCGUUUACCGGAGGAACACUUUGGGUACUACCAAACGUCACAACGUAACUGGUUGAUUAUAAAGGAGUACUACAGGUGUCUCCGAAGGUACAUGUUGAGUUGGCGUAUUUCGAGAUUAGGUUUUGUCACUCCGAUUGUCGGAGAGGUAUCUCUGGGCCCUCUCGGUAAUGCACAUCACUAUAAGCCUUGCAAGCAAUGUGACCAAUGAGUUGGUUACGGGAUGAUGCAUUACGUAACGAGUAAAGAGACUUGCCGGUAACGAGAUUGAACUAGGUAUUGGAUACCGACGAUCAAAUCUCGGGCAAGUAACAUACUGAUGACAAAGGGAACAACGUAUGUUGUUAUGCGGUUUGACCGAUAAAGAUCUUCGUAGAAUAUGUAGGAACCAAUAUGGGCAUCCAGGUUCCGCUAUUGGUUAUUGACCAAGAAUAGUUCUAGGUCAUGUCUACAUAGUUCUCGAACCCGUAGGGUCCGCAUGCUUAAGGUUUCGAUGACAAAGGAGUUCGGGGACAUGACGAGGAGUCUCGAAAUGGUCGAGACGUAAAGAUCGAUAUAUUGGACGACUAUAUUCGGAGUUCGGAAAGGUUCCGAGUGAUUCGGGUAUUUUUCGGAGUACUGGAGAGUUACGGGAAUUCGCCGGGGAGUAUAUGGGCCUUAUUGGGCCAUACGGGAAUAGAUGAGAGAGGCCGAAAGGAAGGAGGUGCGCAGCCCCCCUCUGGUCCGAAUUGGACAAGGGGUGCAGCCCCCUUUUCCUUCCCCCUCUCCCCCUCUUUCCUUCUCUCCUACUCCAACAAGGAAGGAGGGAAUCCUACUCCCGGUGGGAGGAGGACUCCUCCUGGCGCGCCCCUCCUGGUCGGCCGACCCCCUCCCCCUGGCUCCUUUAUAUACGGGGGCAGGGGGGCACCUCUAGGCAGAACAACACAAGUUGAUCUACGGAUCGUUCCUUAGCCGUGUGCGGUGCCCCCCUCCACCAUAUUCCACCUCGGUCAUAUCGUCGCGGAGUUUAGGCAAAGCCCUGCGCCGGUAGAGCAUCAUCAUCGUCACCACGCCGUCGUGCUGACGGAACUCAUCCCCGAAGCUUUGCUGGAUCGGAGCCCGGGGAUCGUCAUCGAGCUGAACGUGUGCUGAACUCGGAGGUGCCGUACGUUCGGUACUUGGAUCGGUCGGAUCGUGAAGACGUACGACUACAUCAACCGCGUUGUCAUAACGCUUCCGCUUACGGUCUACGAGGGUACGUAGACAACACUCUCCCCUCUCGUUGCUAUGCCAUCACCAUGAUCUUGCGUGUAUGUAGGAAUUUUUUUGAAAUUACUACGUUCCCCAAUAUUUAUUGCCUAGGGAGCAGCCCGACAUGAUAAGACAUAAAUGCCCUUCAAUGAUAUGACCGUUAUGUGGAUAAGAUAUUUUGGGAGAGCUGGAGCGUAGCACAGCAACGGUCAGAAAUUUGACUCUCAAAUUCCUCAGGGCUAUCAUGUUCCUCGCUGUGUAGGCAAUCCGCACUGGCGAAUUCCUAACUCCUCAGUCAGAACAAAUUCCUCAGUGACCAGAAGAACUUCGUCUCUGUCUCUGAAGAAAUUGACUGAACUGUAUGAGAUUUCCAAUGGCUUCGCUCGAAGGGAUUGAUAGGUGUAGGAUUUUGAGUUGAGCAUCACAUGGAAAUUUUUCCUUAGUAUUUCCUCGACCCCCUUUAACAGUACGGUGUUUCCUAUGACUCAAUAAGGAGAAAAACAAAAUUAUGAAAACGAAAGUCUUCAAGCUUCAUAUUCCUCGCAUGUAUAUCAAGUCUUCACGGACACACCAAUUUCUUCACUUUCAAAGUCUUCAUGAAAGUCUUCAGAAAUACCAAAAUCUUCAGUCGAAGAUAUUCAUUUAGGGGUCAACUUUCUCUGUAAAUAUCAAACUCCUCAUAGACUUAUAGACCUGUGUACACUCAUAAACACGUUAGUCCCUUAACCUAUAAGUCUUCAAUACACCAAAAUCACUAAGGGGCACUAGAUGCACUUACAUGGGUCGAUACCCAAUUACAAGGGUCCUUUCAACUCUUUAUUACUUUACACAAAGAGCCCCCAAGUAACUUUGUGAGUUGUGCUCAAUGGGUGCCUAUGUUUGAGUUGUGCGUAGCAACAAGACUCUCUUUGGCCCCUUGGCUGUGAAGCUCCCAAGCUUUGUUGUGGCGUGAUAGCCGGACUAAUGGACAGAACUCCGCUUUGUCAGCUGAAGCCCCCAUGUAACCAAUAAUAUGAUAAGCCAAUAAGGCGGGAUACCCAUGUUUGCACCGCGCGUCAGGGCAGCAGGUCCUCUUUGGCAACCUUUAACUUUUUGCAAGAGAUAAAUUCUUCUCGAACCGGGAUUUUGAACCGGAUAUUGAGAGCGUCAAAGCUUUGUGGGAGACAUCUUUCCCUUGAACCGGAUUUUAAACCGGAAUCUUUAUUUUCAGCCGAAAAUUUUCUGACGGCCUUUAAACUCGAACUUGCGAGAAAUUAAUUCCUUUUUGAACCGGACAUUUUUAAACCGGAUUUGAGAGCUUCAGAGCUUUGUGGGAGACAGAUUUCUCUUGAACCGGAUUGUAAACCGGAUAUUUGAGAGCUUCAGUGAGACUGACUUCCCUUGAGUCGGAUUGUAAACUGGAAUCCUUUCUGAUGACUUGGAACUUCUUCAUUAAGCCGGGAUUUUGUAACUGUCAUAUACUUUCUGAGCCGGAAAUUUUCGGACGGCCUUUAAAUUUUCAUGAAUAUAACAGUAGCCUCCGGGACCGGGUUAUCCUUCCCUCCAUCGUCCUGGGGUUCUUAAAUUUGCUAAAACUGGCAAGAUUUGCUGAGUCAUGUCAUCAUAGCCCCCGAGUCUCAAAGGUGACUCGAGGAGUUGGCUUGAAACUAUCAUAUUUGACUGUGAUAUAAACCAGCAUAACCUGUAUGUCAUUGGUGUUGAUAGCACGAUGUGAAUCCACAGAAGGUUGAGGUGACUGCGACGGGUUAUAAAUGAUCCCGUAUGAGCCGUGUCAGCAACUCGGCCAAUGGUUCCUUCCAACUGGCGAUUUGAAGUUAAUCAAACUGUAGUGGUGGUGACUUAUGCGUCUGCCCAUUGAGCCACCCAGUGUAGAUGACGGUUGAUAGUAUAUGAUAAUUUGCCUCCAUUUUGUUGAAAGAAAAAAACCGGGCUACCCAAGCUGUGACUUGCUCAUACUCAAUAAAUAGCUCAUGCAGACAGGUGCGGCCCGGUAUGUUGAUGUAUACCAGGACGCGAGAGACGGAUGACAAGGACGACCACAGCAUCAGAGGCAACUCGGACAGAUGAGUCAGCCGCGGCAUUGUAAGCCGAUGCAGACGGGGGAAAUCGGCCGUAUGCUGAUGUAGACCGGACUACGGGGGACGGCAGCCUGUGCACGCGUUAUUGGGUAAUUCGUAUGGUCUUGACGAGUUGACGCGGACUUGAUCGCGAUAUAAACCGGCAUGGGUUAUCCAAUAGCUCAGCGAUAUAAUAAUCCCUUUUUGUGAGAGACAAUUUGUCCUGCAUUGGAAAACUUGCAAGCCAGAGUAUUUGCUCUUUUUAAAGAAAGCAAUAUAUAAUAUGAAAAUAUAGUGGAUGGAUUUCACCUGAUAUGUUAGCCAGAAAAUAUCCACCACGGAGUUGAUGAUCACCGCGGUGAAGCUGAAAUCAAUCAUGGACAAGUCGGCCAUACGAGUAGACAGAUGAACCGGCCGCGGCGUUGUAAACCGGUGCGGACAAGCAAGUUGUCCUCCGCGUUGUAAACCGGCGCGGGCGCAUGAACCGGUUGCCAGGGCGGAUGGGCGAGUCGUCCGUGGUGUUGUAAGGUGGUGAGACGGGCGAGUCGGUCGGCACGUUGAUGUAAACCGGGUCGUGAUACGCGUGUCCGUGAAUGGCACAAAAAUUGUCCUGUGUAAAAAUACUACAUGACAGAGUAAUUGUUCUUUGACAAGAAACAGAAAGUGUUUAAUACAUAAAUUUAAAUGAAUACCAUCUGAUGUUUGGACGGAUAGUAAAACCACCGCAGCAUCAGAAGCGGCUUUGGAGUGAUGAGUUGGUCGCGGCCUUGUAAGCCGGCACAGACAAGCCAGUUGUCCUCCGUGUUAUAAACCGGUGCGGACGCGUGAGCUAGCGGCGAGGGCGGACGGAAAAGAUGACCUCAGCAUCAGAGGUGGCUCAAACAGAUGAACCAGCCGCGGUGUUGUAAACCAGUGCGGACGGGUGAGUCGGCUGCGACGUUUGUAAAACUGGCCGGCGCGUUGAUGUAAACCGGACCGCGAUACACGCGUCCGUGAAACUGCGCGGCACAGCCGAACGUGCCUCCGUGGUAUAAUACCACCCCUUUUUCUUUUAAUAGCCGUCUUGCAUAAAAAUAUUAUAAGCUAGAGUAACUGUUGUCGAAUAAAUUAACAUGUAUUGAUAAAAUACAUUGGAAGGAUAACACCUGAUUUGCCAGGACAACAGAGGAGACGUCUGCGUGGGAGGCCGCGUGGGUAAUGGCUGACAAGGUAAGGUGCCGGUCCAGUCUGCCGCCAGUAGCGGCAGAGACACUCGCGAGCAAUGGCCAAGUCCUUCUCUGAAUUGUGGAUCUUGUUUUUUUAAUCCUGUUCGAGCCCUUCUCCAGGUCGUAGCUGCUCCUUCUUUUUUUUUCACGCGUUCACGCAAUUGUAGCCAGCCAAUCCAAUAAUUUCCUUGUUCUUUUCCCGAUCUACUAGUACUCAAACAGUACUAUCCUUUUUUACAGUACUGGUGGAAGCGCUUGGGGGCUCUUUUGAUUUGACUCGGGCUUCAGGCCAGAAAAAGUAGUGACAAUGACUGAUUUGACCUAUCUGCUUCACGUGCACUAUUAUUUUUUCUUUUUGUAUGGUAAUACAUGUUUCAUUUAUACCAGCACAAACGCCCGUGCGUUGCAUCGGGUGAAAAAAAAACCCACACUUCCCUAACCCAAUUGCUCAAGACCCCCUCUCAUUCCACGACACAACGCCAGGCAUGAUGGGAUGAAUAAACUCUUUGAAAUCGGCUGCCAUGAAAAUAUAUAUUGUAGAAAAAAUAUGCAUGUAUUUCGGUUUUCAGUUCAUUUGUAUUCGCCCCACAGGUAUGUCACAAAAGCUUUAGUUGGUGCGGUGGCUAGCUUGUCGGGUGAAUAAAGUGGAGGUCCACAGUUUGAAUCCCAGGUGGCUCGCUUUUUUCUUUUUAUGCAUUUGUCGCCCGACCUCUCGCGCGAGGUCAAUCCAAAUGGGCCGGCCCAGUCGCUCGAUUCCUAUGUGAACGGACGUCUUUUUGACGCAGAAUGCGUCAAAAGCAAAUCCUAUUUGGCGCUACAGGCGCCCGUUAACGUGUAUUCUGCAAACGGGCACCUGCAGCACCCCGUAUUGGGCCGGCCCGUUACUGCGUACUCUAUUCCGCAAGAAAGAAGGGAGCCGUCGUUGCGACUCGAACCACAGACCUAUUGGAUUGAUGUUCGAUAGUAUAACCACCACGACACACAAUAUGAUCUGAUAAUAUUCAACUCUUUCUUUUUAUGCAUUUGUCACCCGACCUCUGCGCGAGGUCAAUCCAAAUUGAUCGGCCCAGUCGCGCGAUUCCUAUGCGAACAGACGUCUUUUUGACGCAGAAUGCGUCAAAGGCAAAUCCUAUUUGGCGCUUCAGGCGCCUGUUAACGUGUAUUCUGCAAACGGGCGCCUGCAGCACCCCGUACUGGGCCGGCCCGUUACUGCAUAUUCUAUUCCGCAAAAAAGAAGGGAGCCGUCGUUGCAACUCGAACCACAGACCUGCCGGAUAGAUGUUGGAUAGUAUAACCACCACGAGACACAAUACGAUCUGAUAAUAUUCAACUCUUGCUUUGCUUUAUUCGUUUCUUUUCUUUUUUCAUUUUUUCUUUUCUUUUUUGCAUUUUUUGUUUCUUCUUCUUCCUGGUUUCUUUCCCUCACUGACUUCGUUUUUUUCUUAAAUACGUGAACAUUCUCAAAUUCAAUGAUUUUUCUUAAAUUGAUGAACUUUUUUUUCAAAUCUAUGAACUUUUAAUAAUUUUUGUGAACUACUUUUAAAAAUUUAUUAUUUUGUUUCAAAAUCGAUGAACUUUUUUCAAAUUCGAUGAACCCUUUUCAAAAUCUUUGAACUUUUUUCAAAUUCAAUGAACUUUUUUUCAAAUUGGAUGAACUUUUUUUGCAAAUUGAUGAACUUUUUUUCAAAUUUUUGAUGAACAUUUUUUAAUUUUUUGUGAACUACUUUCUUAAGUUGAUGAACUUUUUUCAAAUUGGUGAACUUUUUUUUCAAAUUUUUGAUGAACUUUUUUAAAUUUUUUGUGAACUAUUUUUGUAAAUUGACGAACUUUGUUUUUAAAAUCAUUGGGCUUCUCUUGAAUAGGGCGAUGUUUUUAUGCAUGUUCAUGAACUUUUUCUGAAAUUUGUGAGGUUUCAUUUUUCUUUAAAAAAAUCAUAUGUUUUCUCAAAAAAAAAAUGGGCCGGCCCUAGUGGUUAGCUGAACACACGUAGGUAGAGCAGGUAGCGAGUUCUUUAUAUGGGUACAAUAUGCGAAGUAUUGGAUAAUGUUGUUUUCGUAUCCUACAACACACAGUGGCCUUUGGCGCGGUGGUUGUUGUGCGGGGAGAAGCAAGUUUAACAAAACCAUGUGGGUUCGAAUCCCAGCUCUAGCGUAUAUUUUCCAUGGUUAAUUUUCCUUUUCACUUCUACUUUUAGAAGUAGCUGCUGGGCCGGCCCGUUAGGCUGCGCGCGCGAGCACCAAAAGGGCUAACCGACGCUUAAUGUGCCGAGUAGGAGCUCCCUGCGUCAAAUACGUGCUCGCGUGAUUCCCGGUACUACUACCACCUCGCUUAUAUAUUUUAAAUUCAAACUGAAAGCGUAAAUUCAUAGAAAGAAAGCGUAUUGUGACGGUGAACCCGGAGACCCAAUCCGUGCUUUAUUAUUAUAUAGGGGGAGAUAGAAUAAAGAUCAAGUUACAAGGCACGUAAGUACCGACCAUACAUGACUGAAAAGAUAGAAAAAUCCUAUACAAAAUACCAGCGUCUGUCCCUUUCCUUCGACAUCAUCGAAACGACGACCAAAUGGUAAGAAGACAGAUCACCUCUUCACCCAAGCUCGACGCGGGUCCAUCGCUGAUCAGCAGCUUUACAGACCUCCAAAGUAGUUUGCCAAAAGCAAAACCAUAGCCGUUGAAAGAAUCAGACCAGGGCAACAUGUCCCCGGACACGCCAUCGAACUUCAGAACUGACACCCUCGCAUGACGACGACGUCGGAGAAGGAAACCAGAACUGCCCGCCUUCGACCACAGACCCAACACAAGAUACUACAUCUUCCAGCUGUCACUUGUGUAGACAACCGCCUGCGCGUACUUCUGAACGACAAAACCUCCCUGCUCCACCAUGACGUCGGAGACAACGCCACAACAACAGGGACAGAGCAGAAUGAGAGACAUACCUGAUGGAGUCGCCGCCGCCGCCUCGCCAACACCAUCCAUGAACCCUAACACUGUCGAUCUGAGGGAUCGACAGAGAUACGAUGCCAUCAACUCCGAAACGCCGCCAUGAAAGACACCACCGAUGUGGGAGUGGAGUUGAGGCAGAUUUAUUCGUCCGGACGCCGCUUCCACCACCCCAACGACACACCACGACCUACAAAUCCAAAACCUAACUACAAAACGAAGGAACGGGGUCCCCCUCCCUCCUGUCGCCGGAGCAGCGGCCGAAGGGAGAGGGGGCCAGCGCACCGGCUGAUGGAGAUCGGAGGAAAAGAGUCGCCUCGCCCUAGUCGCCUGGUGGCGGCGGCGGCUAGGGUAGGAAAACCCACUUGUACUCCAUGUAGAGGCAGUAGCUCUCCACGUGCACUACUACUUGAAGUAGUACCUUUCCUUCGAUCUUUCUCCAUGCUCGUAGAAGUAGCAGUAACAACGUACAAUGAUACGCCUUGGGACUUGAUGCGAGCGCCCGGAUGAUUGUUUCUCAGAUCCAACUUGCACUAGUAGCACUUGGUCCUUUUAAAAAGUUGCCAGCAAGCCUAGGGUGCCACGCCAUGCAAUAGCGAUGCUCUGAGUUGGGUUUGGACUCGGACGAUAGAACCGUCAAAGUCUUUCGGUCUCGGCGAGUUGUACGUCGUAUCGAUUGAUUUCAGAUGCAAGAUUUCGACCCUCAACGACAACGGAAAUUAAUCCAGCCCCGACGGAUCAUCUGGUGGUGUGCGCUGGCACAUAAAUGCGACCCUAAUUUUCUCCUUUGAUCUUUAAAUCUUGUAUACGUCGCUUUAACUGUUUGUUGAUGAUGUUGUCUUCUGCGCCGACUUUUUUUUCAUCCAGAAAAUUGCGAACUUCUUGAUCCUUUUAGAAAAAUCCCUUCAAAAACUCAACACCACCGUGCGCAAGCCCCACGGUGGGCGCCACAACUGUCGUGGAAAUAUCACGCCAGAUGUCCUAGCAGAAGGACUUAGUUGCGAGGCCAACACAUCUAUGCGGUAGCUUGAGAGGGGUUGGCCGAAUCGAGAGACACAAUGCAAGAAAAGGAUUUAGACAGCUUCGGGCCCCGAAAAACAUCAUCCGAUAAUAGCUCUACAUGUUGUUUGUGGCUAGGUCUCAUUAUCAUCACGAGAGAGUCGCCGUAAACCGGCUCUCCUCUAAUUGUGUCUAGCCCUAGAGAUUGUUGUUUGCUUGUCCCUCUUUGGGGAGCCCUGCCCCUCCUUAUAUAUGUUGAAGGGGCGGUUUACAUGAACUGUUCCUAGUUGGAUUAGGACUAUUCUAUUACAAGUGGAGUCCUAGUCUUGCUUCCUUUGUAGGAGAAUAUUACUUAUGUCUUCCUCUUAAACCGGCCUACCAUAACAUGAGCCGACCUUUCAUGAACCGCCCGUUGGGCCACCGGGUCUUUGUCGCUCCUCUAACCUGCCUGCGGGAUCACCAAUAAAUCAUAAAUCGCCAGGUUCAAGCGGGUCGCCAGUGAAUCGCCAAGCUCCAGCCGGGUUAUACUUCUGGCCGGGUUAUGCCGCGGGGUAUAUCCCCGACAGAAAGGAAAAUUGUUUUUUUCCCUUUUGCUAGAGGUGCAAAUUUAUUUUUGCGUGAGGCACAAUCAUGUCUCUCGAAAAGGAAAAAAUGUGUUUUUUCUCUUGUGAGAGGUAUGGAUUUACUUCUUGUGGAAGCACGGAUUUGCUUUCGUGAGAGGUACAAUCACGCCUCUUCGGAAAGAGAAAAACUUGCUCGUUUAUUGAAACCUAUCAACAUGAGAUCUAGUUUUAAAGACCUGGAUGGAAGAGAGGUACAAUCACGCCUCUUCGGAAAGAGAAAAACUUGCUCGUUUAUUGAAACCUAUCAACAUGAGAUCUAGUUUUAAGGGCCAUUUGCAUUUCUCUCCCUAACUCGAACCACCUAAUCAGAUAUACCCCUAAUUCAAAAGCCUGCUCAAAAAUGCCCCUCCACCAUUAUGUGCCUUUACAGAAAUGUCCCUCCGUGCCGUUUCCGUCCAGUCAAGGCUGUUUGACCGCUCCCGUGCCGUUUCUUUGACAUUUUUGCCCCUCCUUCCUUAAGUAUAAAAAAAUUCUCUCCCUCUCUCAUUACCUCUCACUCUCACUCUGCCUGACAUGUGGGCCACAGGACCCACUGUCAGGGUCAACGCCGGUCCUUGUGUGCCCGUGCGUGAGAGGCUGACCUCGCCGGCGGCUCGCCGUAGGGGGCGGAUGGCCGCGGGAGGAGAGCGCGAGGCACGCUGUGUAGCCGCGUCAGGCACGGUUGGCAUGCUGGACGCGGCAGGCAUGCUGUCCGCGGGAGAAGGCCGCACGGUCGAGCUAGCCGAGGUCGGUCAUGGCGGUUUGCUUCGGGCAGUGCGCUCCGGGCACGGAAUCGAGUGCGGGAAGAUGGAUGUAGGGGCGCAAGCUUUCCAAGAUGACGACACAGUGGUCGGGUAGGUCAAGGGGGGAUCGGGGCAGCCGAAUUUAGGAGGGGAAGAGCGACGGCCGUGGUGGAUCUCGAGGUCCCAUGCGUCAUGUAUAGGUGGCCCCAGGCCUGAUUGAACGUGCAGGCCGGAGGAGAGGCGCAAGACGGAGCUCAUAGACAUGCUCGUACCUCUCUAUCUAGCCUCCGGCCACGGUGGCUAGCAACGACGUCCUUGGCAGAAGCUCUGGACGCUCUCAGGCGUACUUCGAGCACUCGUUAUAGGAGAUGAGGAGGCUUGGGGAGUGGGCCAAAUGGAGUUGCAGAUCACGUAGAACACUAAACGCUCAUUGGAGUGGCACGGGAGCAUCGGCUCCGACGAUAGCUACGGGCGGCAGAGUUGUGUCGGAACCGUCCCCAUCCAUGGCGCCGCCAUACGCCGCCGUCCGCCUUGACCUCCACCCCCCGCCCCGCCAGACCACCUAGAGCCUGUCUUGUGGCCCUCACAUGCAGGCACGCCAGGCCCUCGCCGGCGACGGCCACCGGAGCCGCCAAGCCUCGCCAUGACCAGGCAAGGGCCGGUGUUGACCCUGAGAGAGACGGGGCUGUGAGAGAGACGGGGCUGUGAGGGAGAAAGUUUUUCUAUUUUUAUUAUGUCGGUUGGGUCCACUUGUAAGUGAUAGAGAGGGGUGAGUUAGAGAAAGAGUUUUCCAUUUAUUAUUUAGAGGAGUUGGUCCCACCUGUAAGUGACACAUGGAGUUAGGGGCAAAUUGUCCACCAAAGUUCAGAUAGCGGUCAAACCCCUUUGACCGGACGAAAACGACACGGAAGGGCAUUUCUAUAUGUGCACUUAACGGCGGAGGGGCAAAUUUGAGCACACUUCAAAAUUAAGGGCAAAUGUGAGUAGCGGGUUCGAGUUAGGAAUACAGAUGUAAAAGACCCUAGUUUUAAAGACCUGGACGGAAGGAAUCCAAGGGUAAAAACAAUUUGAGAUUUGAACACAUGAUUUUAGAUAAAACGUUUUUGUUAGACUAUGAUUUGGUCUACUGUUGGACUUGUGUUACUAGUCCGAGCUAGUCGCACGCUCCAUGCAUCCACCGCCCUUGCAUGGCGCAUGCAAGGCUGUUAGCCACACUUAUCUUUCCAUCCAUCUAGGAUCGAUGGUUAGUAUGUUUACAUGCGUGUGUAUCUCUCUCCCUCUCUCUCAUGUACUCUAUUAUAUAUUACCCCACUGUGGAUGAAUACGAAUGUGUGUGAUGCAUUGCAACCCCUAGCCUAUCUUCUAUCAUGGUAUCAGCUUAGAUCUUUCCACUGCUUCCGCCAUGGACGCCGAGGCCGCCGCCGCCACCGCCGCCACGGCUACGCCUCCGGCGCCCUCCUCCCAACCUCUGGGCUCCAUCCCGCAGCCCCCUCCUCCACCCCCUCCUCCCUCCUCCGUAGUACACACGCCUCUCCCUCUCCAGACUGCGCCGCCGGUCGCCAGCUUCCCUUCUGCGGCCUAUAUCCACGCGAUGCGCGUCGAGAGUGCCCACAUCAACCUCGGCGUCCGCCUCGAUAUGAAAGGGGCCAACUACUCGACUUGGCGUGGCCUCAUGCUUGAGGUCAUCGACCAGUACGAUGUGGCGGCUUGGAUCGCGCCGGACUUCACCAACCGUGCCGGCGACGUGGCGUGGAACAUCGUCAACAAAGCCGUCAAGCGCUGGUUCUACGGCUCCAUGGUCACGGAGCUCGCCGGCUUCGUCCUCAACAGAGAAGCCACGGCGGCCGAGCUGUGGUCCUCCAUCGAGUCCUUGUUCGUCAACAACAGGCGCUCUCGGCGCUUCCAGCUCACGGCGGAGCUCUUCGCCGUCAAGCAAGGAGACGCCCCGGUCUCCUCCUUCUGCGCACGCCUUAAGGCCGUCGCGGACGGGCUGCGGAACGCCGGCAAGGUGCUGGACGACGAUGAACUCGUUGUUCAGCUCCUCCGCGGUGUCAACAAGGACCGUCAUGAGAUGACUGCAAAAAUCAUCGAGAAAUCUCAAACUCCUGUUCCCUUUGAUGUUGCAGUUGGUAUGCUCCUCCAGGACGAGAUCGGUGCUGACUUCUCCCCCUCGGGCGUCUCCCACACCGCCCUCGCCGUCCAGCAGCAUCCACCUGCCCCUGCCUCCUCCUCUGGCGGGCACGCCAGGCCUCCUGUGCCCGGGCAGGGCGGCCCCAAGCCUGGUACUCCUUCGCCAAACCAGGGGAACAACAAGCGGCGCCGCUACACCAACAACGACGGCUAUCAAGGUGCCGCCAACUCGCCACCGCCCUGGACUGGGCACGUGUACGCAUACCCCGUCUCGCUACCGCCUCCGCCUCGUCCGCAGGGGAUCCUCGGGCCGCGCCCAGCUCAGGCCUACACGGCCUACGCGCCGCUCCAGUACGGCGGUGUGCCGUCCGGACCGACGGGCUAUGGGGGGCGUCGUAUGGUUCGGUACCGUACCCGGCCGCCCCUUCUGGCUGCACCUCCGCAGCCGCACCGGCACCACACCACGCAGGCUUUGGAUGGAGUGGAUCAGGCGGCGCUGAUGGGGGCUCUCCACAACCAGACGCUGCAGAACUCCACCAACGGGUGGAUCGCGGACUCAGGCGCUUCUUCUCACAUUACCUCGGACCCAGGUAUGCUCUCGCCGGUUACCCCGAUCACCAAUUAUCCCCCUGUAUACGUUGGAAAUGGACAACCCAUGCACGUCACACACAUAGGAUCAGCCGCACUUGCUAAUCCCUCCCGUCCUCUCUAUCUUCAGAACGUUUUGGUCACUCCUAAUAUCGUCAAAAACCUUCUUUCCAUUCGUCGCCUUACUACUGACAAUAAUCUUGCCGUAGAGUUUGAUCCUUUUGGUCUGACUGUGAAGGAUUACAUCACCAAGGCGGCGCUGCACCGAUGCAACAGUAGCAGCGAGCUCUACCCAAUCUUCGCCAACAAUGCUUCGAGUGACGCCGCCGUUGCCUUCAGCGCCACCGUCUCUCGGCUCACGGAUCUGUGGCAUCGCCGGCUCGGCCACCCCGGCGCCCAUACUUUUUCCAAUAAAGGGUUUCCUUCAUGUAAUAAAAACUCUGCUUGUGUACCACUUUGUCAUGCCUGCCAGUUGGGCAAGCACGUUCGUUUGCCUUUUUAUCCAUCACGUAGCUCUACUAGUGCUGCUUUCGAAAUAAUGCAUUGUGAUCUCUGGACAGCUCCCAUCUCCAGUGUUUCUGGCAACAAAUACUACCUUAUCAUCAUCGACGAUUACACUAAAUACCGGUGGACGUUUCCUCUUGUCCUUAAGUCCGACGUGCAUGCUAUUUUUCGUUCGUUCCAUGCUCUUGUUCGCACCCAUUUUCAUCGCACUAUCGCCACAUUCCAAUGCGAGAAUGGCCGAGAGUUUGACAACGCUAGUAAUCGCGACUUCUUCCUUCCUUUUGGUACGACCAUGCGUUUCUCAUGUCCUUACACGUCUUCACAAAACGGCACUGCUGAGCGCGCUAUUCGCUCCACUAACGACGUUGUACGGACCCUUCUAAUUCAAGCCAACAUGCCGCCUAAGUACUGGGCUAAUGCCCUCUCUACUACCACCCAUCUUCUCAAUCUUCGGCCAACCAAAACCCUACUUCGAUCUACUCCUCACGAGGCUAUUUUCUCUCAACCUCCUACGUAUGAUCACCUUAGGGUUUUUGGAUGUCUUUGUUUUCCCAACAUGUCCGCCACUGCUGCCCACAAGUUGGUACCGCGGUCGACGGCGUGUCUCUUUCUUGGAUAUCCUACGGAUCACAAAGGCUACCGCUGCCUUGAUCUCUCCACACACCGGGUUCAUAUCUCUAGGCACGUUGUUUUCGACGAGACCGUUUUCCCGUUCGCUAGUCGCCCUCCUGCGAAACCCUCUAUUGCUGAUCUUUUUCCCGAUCUACCAACCGGCCCUAGUUUCCCAGCUAGUCCCCUCCCACCAUUUCUUCCUAGCCCGGUAGCAAAACCAGUCAGUCCCGCUUCGUCCACGCGAGCGGCCAUCCCGUCCUCUCCCGUCUCCUCUACGGACGUUGCCACACCAGCCACUACGCCCAGCCCUUGCUCCCAGCCUACUUCAUCUAGCGAACCCAACCCAAUGUCUACUGCACCCAGCCCUGCCUCGGCGAGUUCUGUAGGACCGGCCGCCUCGUCAACUCCCGCGCCAGCUAGCGCUAAUCCUUCCCAACCUAGCACGCCUCCACGACCACUGCCGCCCCAUGCAGUUGAUGUUCAACCCCCCGCUAACCCACAUCCCAUGCGUACGCGUGCUAAAUCCGGGUUUACCCUCCCCUCUCGCAAACUUAACUUUCUUGUCGACGCUCCUAACAUUUCGCCCCUACCUCGCACUUAUCGUGCUGCCCUUGCCGACCCUAACUGGGCUGCUGCCAUGACUGAUGAGUACCAGGCACUCCUUCAGAAUGACACUUGGACACUUGUUCCCCGUCCUACUGGCUCUCACGUCGUCAGCGGGAAGUGGGUUUUUCGUGUCAAGUAUCAUUCCGAUGGAACCCUUGCGCGCUACAAAGCACGUUAGGUUGUCCGUGGUUUCUCUCAGACCGAGGGGAUCGACUAAGAUGAGACCUUCUCACCAGUCGUUAAGCCUAGCACCAUCCGUGUCGUUCUCACUCUCGCCAUCUCAGCCUCUUGGCCCGUUCACCAACUCGAUGUCAAGAACGCCUUCCUCCACGGUCACUUAGCCAAGACUGUCUACUGUCAGCAGCCUCUCGGGUUCGAGGAUCCUACUGUGCCUUCGCACGUGUGUCUCCUUCGUAAGUCUCUCUACGGUCUUAAGCAGGCCCCGCGUGCCUGGUUCACUCGCUUCGCCGCCUUCCUAGUGACUAUAGGAUUCACCGCCUCCAGAUGCGACACCUCCUUGUUUAUCUACCGUUCCUCGAGUCACACUGCCUAUCUCCUCUUAUAUGUCGAUGAUAUCAUACUAACUGCGUCAUACUCCAGUUUCCUUCAGUAUGUCAUUUCUCGUCUUCGACAGGAGUUUGCCAUGACUGAUCUGGGAUCUCUCUCGCACUUUCUCGGAGUCUCUGUUACCCGCUCUUCCUCCUCCCUUUUUCUCUCGCAACGGCAAUACGCGCUCGACAUUAUCCAGCGUGCCGGCAUGUCCGAGUGUCAUAUUAUUCGUACCCCCAUCGAUUCCGGCGCAAAGCUUUCCGUUAACACCGGUGACCUUCUUGACGCUGCUGACGCUACCACCUACCGCAGUCUCACCGGUGCUUUGCAGUAUCUCACUAUCACUCGCCCCGAUCUAUCUUACUCCGUUCAGCAGGCGUGUUUGUUCAUGCAUGCGCCUCGCACCUCCCACCUUAGCCUUGUCAAACGCAUAGUUCGGUAUGUUAAGGGCACUUUAGAUUUCGGUAUGCACAUUACACCUUCUACCUCCACCUCUCUUGUUGCGUACUCCGAUGCCGACUGGGCUGGCUGUCCCGACACUCGUCGUUCCACGUCUGGUUACUGCGUUUAUUUUGGGGAUAAUUUGGUUUCGUGGUCAUCCAAGCGACAGCUAACUGUUUCCAGGUCCAGUGCGGAGGCUGAGUAUCGCGCCGUCGCUCAUGCUGUUGCCAAAACUACAUGGCUGCGGCAACUUCUGCAGGAGCUUCACCAGCCAGUGUCCAGAUCCACUGUUGUCUAUUGUGACAACGUGUCUGCUGUCUACAUGUCUGCUAACCCUGUGCAGCACCGUCGUACGAAGCAUAUCGAGAUUGACAUUCACUUUGUGCGUGACAAGGUUUCGCUUGGCGAGGUUCGGGUUCUGCAUGUUCCAACUUCUUCACAGUAUGCUGACAUUUUCACCAAAGGGCUGCCAACCACGCUCUUUGCUGAAUUUCGAUCCAGUCUCAACGUCCGGCAAGCCCACGUUGACACUGCGGGGGGCUGUUAGACUAUGAUUUGGUCUACUGUUGGACUUGUGUUACUAGUCCGAGCUAGUCGCACGCUCCAUGCAUCCACCGCCCUUGCAUGGCGCAUGCAAGGCUGUUAGCCGCACUUAUCUUUCCAUCCAUCUAGGAUCGAUGGUUAGUCUGUUUACGUGCGUGUGUAUCUCUCUCCCUCUCUCUCAUGUACUCUAUUAUAUAUUACCCCACUGUGGAUGAAUACGAAUGUGUGUGAUGCAUUGCAACCCCUAGCCUAUCUUCUAUCAGUUUUGAAUAAAUCAACCUAGAAAAAGAUAAGACUCCCGAACCACGACAAGUGACACGCAUGCAGUGCGUCAUUUGUCAUCGAUCGUAACAUAAGAAGGUUUUCUUUUUUUUUUAGAUAGAAAUUCAUAACAUGAGAAGGUGGCAGUGAUCUUUGCAAAUAGUAUUUCUUAUGAUUUUGGGGAAUCGUGGAUACCUUUUUUUUUGAGGAAUGGAUACCAGUGAGCUGACUGGGCCGAAGCGCAGCGUGCUGACUGGGCCAGACCAAGUAUUCUAGAGACCCCGUCGGCCCGAGUUCCUAAACCCGCUCGCGCACCUCUCUCUCGGAGUCGGAACCCUCCCUCUCCUCUGAACCCUCGAAAAAAAAAACCCUCGUUCCCGUCGCCGCCGUGCCGUCUCCCGUGUGGUCGGGAGCAACAUGGAAGCUCUCCUCGCGGCGGCGGGCGCCGGCGACCUCGAAUCUCUGGAAAGUACGUCCCGAUUUCGGUCCUUUUUCUUUCCCCGCCGCCUCCCCGCUUCCUCACCCUCUGGAUCGCUGUGCAGAUGCCAUUGCGGGGCUCGACAACGAGGCGAAACGCGCGGCCGCCGCUGCGCGGGACUCCGAAAGGCGUACGGCGCUCCAUUUCGCCGCCGCCGAGGGCCACACGGGGGUGUGCGCCUAUUUGGUCCAGACGCUUGGGGUUGACGUCAACCCUAGGGACCUCCAUGGUAUCAUAUUCUUCUCUGCUCUAUAUCCGUGCAUUCGCUCGAAUUUUAGAUCCUUGCAAGAACGCGUUCCAGCAACGGAAUACGAGAGUAGUCGCUCAUUCUGCUAUACAUUAUAUUCGCUGCAUCUUUCCCACAGAAUAUGAGAGUGACCACACCUGUCACGCCCUGCUAUGGAUUUGGGGAUAACCAAGGGGAAAACUUAGGGUUCUAGGGAGAAAAGGGACGAACUCCCCAUUUCACUAUAAGAUGCAGGCAUUUGUUUAGGUUUGAGAAUGAUCUCAUCAACCAGGAAUGCCUUUGCCGGAUGGGUCACAUCACUUAUGUAGUGCAGCGACAACGGUAAGAAACGAUACAGUACACUGUAAGAAAUGAUUACAGUAAAGAAACGGCACAGCGACAACGGCAAACACGACGAGCCAUGUGAGCCGCCCUGGCCAUCCGUUAACUGAAUGAGAAGAGGCACUUGACUGAAGAAGGGCUUGAGCCUGACAAUUCCCCCGUGGCUGGAUACCUUCUUCAUUCCGCUAUACAUCUAUUCGUUGCAUCUUUCUCAGUCAGCCACAGAAUAUGAGACCACAGCAUUGUCAAUCUACUCGAUUACCACAUCUUUUUAUUAGCUUUGUUCAUACGAUCGGCACGUUUUUAGCUUAUUGAUAGCAACUGGAAGGGCAGUCAUAUACCCAUAUAUAUUGAAAUGCCCAUAUAUAGCCUGACAUAUCAAUAUGUUUCCAGGUGAAACUCCGCUCUACAUAUCUAUCAAAAAUGGUCAUGUUGGAACAGCCAAUUUGUUGCUUACCAAUGGAGCAGACCCGCGUAUUAAAUCUCUGCUUGGAAUCACAACCCUUCACCAGGCCGCAAUUAGGGGUAAAAUUAUGCCAUGUGCAUGCCCUUUUUAUAACAUUCCCAAUCUGAUAUUUAUGAUCUGUUCCCUUUUACAGGAGAUCUAGAACUUGUGAUGAUUCUGCUCGAGAAUGGUGUAAAACUUAAUUCUCACUCUUAUACGAUGGGAACACCACUUGCCUGCGCUGUUAAAUCUGGUUCAUUUCCUUGCUUCGAUGCUUUAGUUAAGGUACACUUUUUUGUUGUCAAAGCUAGCAUAGUGGCCCCUGCAAGUGCGCGUGGGCAUCCUCUUUAUCCUGUUUUAUUUUGCGAAUAAAGUUACUUUUUAUAAUAUAUAUUUAAUAAUAUGCUAUUGAAAACAUGUAAUUUGGUAAAAUUUUCAUGUCAUAACUGUUGGAGAUUAAUAAGAUUAUUUGAUCCAUGGACUUGCUACGUCAUAUUGUUGUAAUAUCAUCCGCCAGUUUUUUCUUGUGAUUGGAAAAGCAAAUAAUUGUGUGGGAAAUUGUAUAUCAUAUAUAUUGAACCGAACCCUUAGUUCAAACUAUGAGGUGGAGAUUAGAAACAGUCAUAGGCACAUACAUCGGGUUAUCAGAUAUAAUUCAGUGAAUAAGUCCUCACUUUUAGUAAUGUACAUAUCACACAGUAGAUAUUGCAAGAAAAGGAUCUAAUUAAACAAUACAUAGAGAAGAGAUAGAUUGAUAAAACUUAACUGGAAUUACACAAUGUAGCCAUAAGCACUGAUUUUCUGUCUACACCAUCUUGCACGAGAAGAAGUGCUUGCAAGGUUAUAGAAAGACGAAAAUAGUGUUACCUUCUAGUUAAGAGCAAGUAAUCAGAGCCUAGCUACCUCAUUAAACUAAAAAAUACAAUAUGGUGGAGAACCACAAGGAACACUUGGGAUGUGCGUUGUUGCAUGAAUUUCAAAUAUAGAAGUGUCAAUCUGGUAAGAUUGUUUGAUAAGUGUUAACCACUGUCUGGGACAGUGGAUUAUACUAAUCCACCUCAUCAACCAGAAUUACAUAGAUAAUACAUCUAGUGUUUCCACAUUUAUCAAAAUGUCAGACUUGAUAACCCUCCAUGUUUCAGAGCUAGUAAAAUGGAACAUUCCUGACAUGAGAAGACUUGAUAACCCCUCAUCAACCAUCAAGGAAAAAUUUACCUGUGUAUACAUGAAAACACCGAAAGUUCAGUGGUAAAUUUUACCUUCCAUCACCUUAGGAAAAAAAUUACAUUUUUGUUCAGCUCAUAGUACACAUAAUUUCCUUUUCUUACAAAUGAUAGAUAUGAAUGGCAAUAUGUUUGUUAGUGUAUAUCACAAGGAAAGUUAUGAAACUCUUGUUAUUUAUCUAGAAAUCUUAGCUUUCCCUGCCCCACCACCACUAAGUGGCUACUGCAAUCCAUGUCCUGCUGUCUUAAGCUUCGACUCCUACUAUUUAUUUUGUAAUAAGUGUUUAAUAGAAAGCUAUCAUUGUAAGUCAUUCUGAGAUGGCUCAAAUGUCUCAUCGUUUAAGGUUAGUCAAUUCAUACUAGGAAAUGAUCUUAGACUGCAGAACACAGACAAAUGGGAAAGAUCAAAAUGGAACUUAUAGUUUUAAUAAUUAGAGAAGACACUGUAUAGGUAAUAAAGUAUUGACAAAUGUGUCUGGAACUGUAAGUUACUAUAAGUAUUGACAUCUUAAAAUAUGUACCAAUAUCAAUAAACUGUCACCCUUUUCCUUUCUUUCAAAGCGCCGUUCUUGCUUAGAUGCUAACAAUCUUGAGACUUCUUUUCAUUUGAAAUGUGGUCUCUCUGUACUGUUAACCGCAAGUCACAUUAUUCUUUUCAGGGAGGUAAGUUUCAAACCAUUUUAUACAAUAUAAGUGUACAUUAAUGGAUUGAUUGUAAGGAUUGUAACUCUUGACCAAUCUGGGGUGUAUAUCCAAACCAUACAUAAAUAUUAGGUUGGGAAGCAACACAUUUAAUGUAGAUGGUAAGCAAGAGCACCAGGGAAUUUUUUUCAAACUAACAUGACCAUUACGUUGGUAAAACAUACUUGGAGCCUCUGAUGGUAACACUUGCACGCUACUCCCUCCGUUCACAAAUAUAAGAUGUUUUGGGUAUUUCAAUAUGGACUAUAUAUGGACUGAAAUGAGUGAACAAACACAUAAAAUGUGUCUAUAUACAUCUGAUUCAGAAAACAAGUUAGAACAUCUUUAUAUUUAUGAACAGAGGGAGUAUUUCUUCAGAAGGAGUAUUUAUAAUCCAGAAAGCCCAGCUCGAUUUGUUCUGCUCCUUCCGUUACAGUCAUUUUUGUUCAGAUACUUACACUUUUGGGACUUAUGAAUCUUUGUUUCAAAUGUUUACUCUUAGCAGCGAGUCAUCCAUUUUUAGCCUUUUGGUGUCGAUGAAAAUAGUUUCAUUUUUGUAGUUAAUCCCUCUGUAGAUUUCUCAUUUCUGUAACCAUAUUGUAUGUGCUUCCUAAGACCUUACCUCCCUUUCUGCAACAUAGGUAGGUGCAGCCCCAGAGACUAUGAAAUACCCACUACAUGAUGCGGCAGAAUGUGGCAGUACUGAAAUAGUCAACUAUUUUCUUGAAGCUGGGUAUGAUCCAAAUAGCUGUAACGAAGUAAGUUAUAUAUUUCACAUGAUUUUAUUCAUGCACUUCCAUAUCCCAGUUAUGCAUUCACAAUUCCUUCUUGACUUGCCCAUGUUUGUGCAUACUUGCCAAGGUGAGGAAAGCUGUGACAAAGCAAGUAGAUGAGGGUCUAACUAGAUCUUUUCUGUUUUUCCUUAUCCUUAGUUUUCCAUGCAGAGUAGCAUUUGAAAUGACUACAUCACCAUGAGGAGGUUCUAGCUCAAUGAAGUUACCAACACGACAUUGCAUUUUGCAAUUGGCAUAAAUGUAGCAGGCAACUAGGUUCAUAUAGCAGAUCGUUUGGUUAGAUGCCCUAAGAUCAGACGUGAGGCUUAUCGUCUUAGUACUAGCAACUCACAGUCGCACAGAUUCCACAAUCACAUGCACGUGUCAAGGGAAAGCCUCCACUUGCAUAUUCACAUAUUGACAGAUUAACUUUGUUUGCUUUUCUAUGCAAAUCUGAAGUCAUCUUUUGCUUUUUAAUUGAAAGUAUUCUACUUUUGGGCAGUAAUUUCGGAUUAUUGAUGCAGCAUGGUGAAGCAACCCUUUCAUGUUGUACAAUCACUUGUCGUUAAAUAUUGCAUAUUUUUUGCGGAGCCAAAUGAAACUGAUCUUUGAGUGGCUUCUGUUUUUUCUUUCAUAUAGGCUGGUUUGAAACCAAUACAAAUCGCUGCAUCCAAGAAUAAUCUCGCAGUUGUGGAAGUCCUCUUUCCACUUACCACGCAAGUCUCAGAUUUUCCUAACUGGACUGUUCCUUGUAUAAUGGAGUAUGCAAUGCGCAAAAAUGAGGAAAUGGUAUUUAUUACUAGUUUUUCUUCCAGGUUCAUUAAAAUCUUUUACAAUGUUAAUUCUUGGCCAACACAAAUAUUUAAAUACGGUUUUCAGGCGACAGAUCAAGCACAUAUAGAAGAAGCUGAUCCAUGGAGAUCCCAGUUUGUUAAGGUAUGUUGUAAUGGCAUGUUAUGCAUUUAAGGCUUCAAAGAUUGCUGUGCAAGCAUUUCAUGUGGGGCAUGACAUAUGGUUGUGCACAGGUGUGCCUUUUGUGUUCAUAGAAAUGACUUGUUGAAUGCUAUUUCAGAGGGCUGCAAAGGAACUGUCAGAUAAGGAAAUUGAACAGGAACUUGGAAGACUGUUAGUGAAAAACGAGAAUGAAUUCUUCAAGGAGUGGUCACCAAUGAAAAGGAGGUUGUUCUAUGAGUCAACCUUGGUUAGACCCACCAGUGUCAAGCAAAUAUCUGACCAUGACGGUGCAAAAAUAAAGGUAAUGUACAUACUGAGCAUGAAUCAUCAGUUCAACACUACUCCCUCCAUCCCAUAAUAUAAGAACGUUUGUUAGCUUGAAAAACGACGUUCUUAUAUUAUGGGACGGAGGGAAUAGUAAUAAACCUGUGGAGCAAACAAUCUUUAGAGCACAUAGAUAAUAAAGUUGUAUUUACCGUGAAUUCAAUCAUAAUGUUUAGCUAUACAGCAAACAUGAACUACACUUGUUCUGUUUGUUCUCAUUAGAGGUCCAUAUUAUAUGCCCUUUUCCUACCUUUCAUGAGUACAAAUUUCUUCUAACCUAUUUCUUUUGAUAUUAAUAUUUCAGAACAGCGUCAUUUUUGAUUUGACAUACGACAACAGGGCCCAAAGCAGCUAUCUGAGAGCGAUCAGCCAUUAUCGAGCUUGGCAUUUUUCUGGUUCAGAUCUAAUAUAUGAAGUUGGUCCUGAACGGAAGAAAUUCUGCGUAUCAAGAAAGGACCAAACCUUCGUGUUCUGGUUUCGGUACUUUGAGCAAGAUGUAGGACUUGUGAUUGACGGACAGAGUGUGUGGGUAGAGGGUAUUCUAAGGAGAAGUCGUGCUGAAGAUGGCAAAUAUUCAUAUCGCCCAUCUAUCCAGUUCAAUGAUGCUCGCAAAGAGGGAAGCAGCAGCCACAAUCAACAGGCGCCACUUUCAGAUAAAAAUGCAACUCCAUACAUUGUUGAUACUGGCUUGAUACUGGCUGAUUAUGGAGGCACCUACGCAGGUGCUGUCUCCAAAAUGAAGGUAUCACUUCGCACGACUCGCACUGCAGUUGUUGCAGUUGCUGGUCAUGACAAAAAAGAGUCAUUACAUAAGAAUUGUCAUGUUGCGUGCGACAACCUUGUGUUGUUCGCAACAGAGGCUGGAAAAAAUCUUUGGGUAUUUCAAUAUACCAUGCAUUCCCUUGAUCCUAAGCUGCAAAUGCCGAUUUCUGUUCCUUCAAGCUUAGAUGGCACUGUCACCAAUCACGAGCAGGUAUCUAGAAGUGUCUUGUCAACGCUUGGAAAAGUAACAGGGAAAAAGAUAAAUGAUCUUGAUAGAGGUGGAUACAAUAUUGUCAAAGGUGCUGUAUUCAGGACAUUGUGGCAAUGCAUCAAUGCAUAUGUGAUCUUGCGUAGAAAAACUGUUUUCAAGACAAAGUUCUUUCUGAAGAGCAAGGACUCAGAGUACAGGACUCAAGUGAGAAACAAGCCACAGGGGCAACGCAAUGAAACUACUGAAGAAUUCAAAGAAAGGUUGCGUGAAGAGAGUUUGAGAACAGGAACUCUCUUUGAUGCUAAAUCCCAUGCUGGUGUCAACUGCUACAAAGAUCCACGUUGUUCUAUGCCGCCAAUACCAUCAAGGAAGAUGUAAGUACUUCUCAUGUACUCCCUCCGUUCGGAAUUACUUGUCUCGAAAAUGGAUGUAUCUAGAACUAAAAUACAUCUAGAUACAUCUAUUUUCGCGACAAGUAAUUCCGAACGGAGGGAGUAAGCCUCAACUUAUCAGUCUGUUCUGAGUUCUGACACUGAUAGUUGCACUGUUUUUUUUUUCAGGUGGUAUCAUUCAGAUGAGCUGUUUUACCAUUCUGAGGUAUGCGUUCUGUACUUCCUUUUGAUUAUGGUUUUCAAAGCUGUNNNNNNNNNNNNNNNNNNNNNNNNNNNNNNNNNNNNNNNNNNNNNNNNNNNNNNNNNNNNNNNNNNNNNNNNNNNNNNNNNNNNNNNNNNNNNNNNNNNNNNNNNNNNNNNNNNNNNNNNNNNNNNNNNNNNNNNNNNNNNNNNNNNNNNNNNNNNNNNNNNNNNNNNNNNNNNNNNNNNNNNNNNNNNNNNNNNNNNNNNNNNNNNNNNNNNNNNNNNNNNNNNNNNNNNNNNNNNNNNNNNNNNNNNNNNNNNNNNNNNNNNNNNNNNNNNNNNNNNNNNNNNNNNNNNNNNNNNNNNNNNNNNNNNNNNNNNNNNNNNNNNNNNNNNNNNNUUAUCGUGACGAAAGGUAGUGAUGGCAUGUACGGGUGUCCUCUUUUUGUUCCUUAGACUUUAUGUCUGUUGGACCAAACCGUCAGGUCAGCGAUGAUUUUGACACCAUGGCGUCAUGCUCAACAUUGUGAAACACUUUGGCAUUUCUAGUCUCUUGUAAUUUCCAGAGAACAAGGAUGAGGAUGAAAUGCUAGACGGUGACUGGUAGCUAGCCCAAGGAGAUUCGGUGAGGACCAGAUGUCGACAAAUUAUCUGGUGCUUGGAAGAAUACCAAUCAUACGCCACAUUCUACAAGUAACACGGAAUGUGAAGAGGCUGUGUUGAUCUUCAGUACCAUUAGGGCACCGAGAACAUGCAGCAUUGGUCCGCAGGUUUCUCCGAAGGAGGUUUUGCUUGGUGUUCAGCCUGUCAAGGUGGAGCAGCCAGCCAAAUAUGUUGACUUCGCUUGGCACUUGCGAUUCCCAGGUAAUGUCCAGCUUUGGGUCGCCCAUUUGGGAAGAGAGGCCCACAUACGCUCCCUAGUGAUGAAGCUUGCUCAAUGGAGGGUCCUGGCAUCCGUCUGUGCAGAAACGGUGACACCCUGUGAUUGGGAUCUGAGAAAGAAGUUGCUCGGCAGCAGCUCGUGUGAGUGGCUGUGAUGGCAGCACGCCAGAUGAAGGGUACUGUUGCCGUGCGAGGGGGAUGGGCCACUGGUGGGUGGGGGUCGCCAUCGUCUGAGUCUUGCUCACGAGUUGGUUAUAUAUAUUGUGUGUGUGUGUAAACUAGCGUAAAAAAAGUGUACGUAAGCUGCCUGUGAUAUGUAUAUAUAUCUAACAACCAGUAUGGCUUGUCUGCAGGAAUAAGUGAAGCUUAGAUGACGGAUCUCAACUACAAGAGCAGGAGUUGGUUUGUAGGGAGUAUAAGAUCAGUCUGAGGUCAGCUUACGUUGAGAGAAGAAAUGCCAUGCCAAUCAUCAGCCAGUGUGCGUGCGCUUCAGUGAAAUGAAAGAAAGACAUUGUAAAUUACUAAAUUGAACUGAUACAAGCGGUACUUCCUCCUAGUAGUAUACUCCCUCUGUACCACAAUACUUGUCGCAGGGGGAACUUGUACUGGUUUUCUCCCAACGACAAGUAUUUCGGUACAGAGGGAGUAGUAUAUGUAGUAGUAGUGAAACAUAACCAACUAUAGGAAGUAGGAAGUGCGUGGCGCUCGAAAGGAAAGCAUGUUUCAUCAGACAAAUCUGCUCGGUCAUAUUAAGUGGAGUGGAGUACCAUCAGUAGCACAGUAGCAAUCAUCAUAGGUAUGAUAACUAAGUGCGCUCUUAUGUCUGUGCUGAUGAGUGGCAACUUUGUUAAGUUUGUGUGGCUGGGUGUUGCCGACUUGCCGUUGCUGCAGCUGCAGCUAUCCUUUAGUUUUCUGAACCUAAGUGGAGAUGCUGCAUUCCAGUGUCCGGCCUGUUGUGUUAGGUGAUGUCAUCGUCAUAUUUUAACUCUACGUGUGUUUGCCCAAUUUGGGUUUGGUUAUUUUCCUUCUUCAAGUGGCAUUGCAUUUCAUUGUUAGAACAGACGUUACUGGCAUGAGCACAACAUUAAAUCAAUUCAUUUUAUUUUUCAGCAGCAUACUUAUACUAGCUAUAAUGAUUCGUGCACCAGAUUACCUCUCCUCUCCCUAGCACUACUGAUUCAGCUGUUUACUUCCCCAGCAAAUUAAUUGUUCAGACAAAUUAACAGCAGCCUUGCAUACAGGACGACGCAGUUCCACUUCCAAUUAAUUUUGAACCUACUCUCAAACUUGUGUUUCUUUUGCUGCCUCGUCAUGCACAAACAGAAAAUCAUCUUGUUGGAUCAAUAGUAGAACUAACUAUAAAAAUUAUACUAGUAGGAGUAUUACCUAAAGAAAGCUACUCCCUCCGCAAAGAAAUACAUAGUGAUCUAAAGGCUCUUGUAUUUCUUUACAGAGGGAGUAUAUGCAUACAGUUGAGUGUUGCUGCAGCUUCUCGUUGGUUGAGCCGACGAUGGAACUGACCGCAACAUUGAGAAGAAGCAUGACGUCGCUAGCUGAUCCUGAAUGCGGGUGUCACAAGGCAGCAUGGCGACAGAAAAAUGUUUGCCCUGGUCUUGUUUUGAAGCCCUUGUCGAGAUAAACACAAUGGUUUUUUUUUUCUUUCCGUUUUGAAUGUCAGGAAUUACUAUCAGUUGAUGUUUUUCUUUUUCGAGGAUAGCUACCUAAAUAAGUACUCCCUCGGUAAAGAAAGCAGUGAUCUAAAUGCUCUUAUAUUUCUUUACGGAGAGAGUACAACCAUGAUAUCAGGUGGUACAUUCAGGUGGGCUUGUUCUGCUCUAGCUCUUUUGCAAUCAAGGCACAGCCAGUUUCAAUGAUCAGCGGAGCGGACCAUGAUACAGGGGCAACGGCGACCUGAGUCCAAUCAAGAUUGCUUGGCACUCUUCCUCUUCCACUGAUCUGCAGACGAUCAAUUUUUUUUUUACUCACAGAGAUAAACACCAGUCCUCUCCUUUGUGGUCUCGGGCGACAGCACCAGCACAAGAGUUUCUAGUUUCUGACAGAAACGCUGCAUCAGCGUUUAGUUUUAUUAUUACUGUACCCUCAGGCGGCUUCUCCCACUGCACAGGCAAAGCUGAAGCUGGCUGAUUCCUGGGACGUGCGAGUGAUGCGGCCGACAGAGACCAGCUCUUUUUGCCCUUAUAUUCCCAACGUCCGACAGAGAUAGGUUUUGAUUUCCUCUUCACACGCGACCGGGAAGAUAGGUUUUGAUUUCCUCUUCACACGCGACCGGGAAUAGCGCCGAUCGCGAGAUUGCUUCCUUGCCGUCAUGGUGCACACAGUUGUCCCCGAGGAACCAGGCUCUCCACAGCAGCAAAAGUAUUCUUCUUCUCAUCUCUGAUUUUUUUUUGGUCCGGUCGAAUUUGGAGCCACUCUGUAUGCCUAAAUUCUUUCUCAUCCGGCUGUUCCCAAACUUUCCCCAGUAGCAAAUUUUAGAGCAUCUCUAGCAGACCCCUUAAAACUACAAACUGUAAAACUCGGAUAAAGGAAAAAAGGCAUUUUAAGGGUCCGUUUUAGCUACGGCCGAACAGAUACCGUAAAACAAACUGUAAAACUGGGAUAAAAGGUCCUUCCUCCAGCCCAGCCGGAGUCACCCCUUCCCCCAGCCGGCCGCGCCGGUCGCGCCUAGCCCUGUCGGCCGUGCCCGUCGCCCGUCGGCCGCCGCCGCGCCUCGUCCCCGCCAGCCGCACCUCGUCGCCCCGCCGGCCGCGCCCCGUCGUUUGCCAGCCGCGCCCAUCCCCGCCGGUCGCGUCCCGUCGCUCGCUGGCUGUGCCCUGCUCCGUUGCCGGCCGCGCCGACCGAGCCGUGCCCUUUGCCGGCCGGGUCGGGAGGAUUCUGGCGGCCAGGCUGAGGUCACGGGAGGCCACGGUGAGGUCGAGCUCGUCCAAUUCAAACCGACGGUGAUCGAUUCCAGUGUCCAGCGGCCUUUGCAGUUGUGCGGUGAAGAAUUCCGGCGAGUUUCGGACGGAUUCCGGCAAAUUCCAAUAUGCUUGGUCCGCAUAAAAAACAAGAUUAGCUGAUAGAUAUGUUGCACCAAGAUUGUCACCAAAGAGAGGCCGACUUUGGAUGAUGUACAUCCAAUUCUCUUAAAAUAUUUUGGACCAAAUAAUCUCAGCAAUAGCAUUGGCUAAAGCUUUAUAUUCAGCUUCUGUGCUUGAACGAGACACGGUAGCUUGCUUGCGAGCACACCAAGAGAUAAGAUUGCUCCCAAGAAAAAACUGCAAAGCCUCCUGUUGAUCUUCUGUCAUCAGGACAACCUGCCCAAUCUGCAUCUAAAAAAGCACUUACCAACAUUGAGUCUGACUUUCCAAGUUUAAGGCCACGAGUCUUUGUUCCUUGUAGAUAUCUAAGUAUUCUUUUCACGUCUGUCCAAUGUACACUAGUGGGGCAUGUAAAAACUGACAGACUUUUUAUUGACUGAGAAUGAAAUAUAUGGUCUAGUCCAUGUUAAGUAUUGUAAAGCCCCUACUAUGCUCUUGUACCUGGUAGAGUCUUCUGCACCAAGAAUCUCCCCAUCAUGAAGAGAUAACUUUUCCAAAAUAGAUAGGGGCUGGCUUGCACCCCUUCACGCCCACACGCUGAAGCACACAUCUUCCACAUAUCUUGCCCGAGACAAAACAAUACCACUGCCCAUAUGUUUUACCUCAAUCCCAAGGAAAAAAAUGAAGAUCUCCCAAGUCCUUGAGUGAAAAGUCCAUGCGCAAAUCUUUUAGCAAAGCAUCAACUACCUUGGAAGACGAGCUUGUAACAAUUAUGUCAUCAACAUAGAUAAGCAUAAAAAUAGUUAUCCCAUGCCUAUGAUAAAAGAACAAAGAGGUAUCUGCUUUUGAAGGAAAAAACACAAGAGAUUGUAACUUGAAGGACAACCGAGAAUACCAAGCCCUUGGUGAUUGUUUCAGUCCAUGAAGUGGUGACUGUGUGCUCUCAUACCCAGGAGGUUGUCUCAUGAAGACUUCCUCUUCCAGAACACAAUGCAGAAACGUGUUCUUCACAUCUAGGUGUUGCAUACACCAAUUUCUGGAGAUUGAAACUAAAAGGAUUAAUCUGAUAGUAGUAGCUUUGACUACUGGACUAAAUGUGUCCUCAUAAUCAAUACCAUAUCUCUGUUUGAAACCUUUAGCUACUAGACGUGCCUUAUACCUAUUAAUAGUGCCAUCAGAUUUUCUUUUUACCUUAUACACCCACUUACAGUCAGUUAUGUUUAUGCCCUUCAUUGGUGGAACAGGACCACAUGUUUUAUUCUCCAUGAGAGCUACAUAUUCUUCAUCCAUGGCCUUCUUCCACCUCGAAUCAGCAAUCGCUUCUUUCAGAUUCUUUGGUUCACCUGUAGCACAAAAACCACCCAACGAAUACAACCAUCUUUAUAUUCUUUAGGUUUAAUUAUACCACUUUGUGACUGGGUAAGGGAACACGUUGGGGGUGAGAGCUGGUCGUGCGAGUUGCUGCUGAAGUCGAUUUGAUGUAGCAGAAAUAACAUCCGUAGAAUCGCUAUGCAGCGAAUCAGAGGCCGCCACUGUUCAUGGGAAGGUUGCUGUUUGGUUUGUGACUAACUUUGCCAAAGGUUGCCACACAUAAGGAUAGGCAAGUUUGAUCAACUUAGGUGAGUGUUUGGUUCAAGCCACACCUUAGGCAAAGCCACACUAGGGCCCCAUAUGACAUACACACAAAAAGUGUGACAAGAUUCCCUUAGGCUUGCCAACUUGUGACUCUCAUUUUGAUGAAUUAACCUUAGGCAAGCUUAGCAAAAAUGUGUGGCAAUGCAAGGCCUAGAACCAAAAAGCCCCAGAACCAGCGUCGUCGGGCUCCAUGUCGCUGGGCGCGUCCUGAUUGGCAGGCAUGAACUCCAUAAACCGAUGGGAGGCAAAAUUAUUUUGUUUUGACCCUUUUCAUGUAGUUUAGCAAGAUCUGACCCCGGUAUGAAAAAAAUCGAGAAUUGACCCGUUUGACUACCGCCGGAGGCCCUGGCGGUAGCUUAACACAGGCUACCGCCGCCACGCCUGGCGGUAGGUUCCGUUGACGGUCAUCUGGCCGUUAACGGGCGCUGACGUGGCAAAGGGCCCUACCGCCGCUGACCCUGGCGGUAAGCGCCAACACCCUACCGCCGAGGUCUCUGGCGGUAGGGUCCUGGAGGAUAAGGUUUGUGGGGCCCACUAACCACCCACCCACUCCACUCAUCUUCUUCCCCGAGCUCUAACUCUCUCCCCCUUUUCUCCCCCACCCAAGCACCCACUAGACCCCCCUCCAUUGCUUGGGAUUUAUCUCGUGGAUCGUGGGCAUUUGCAUCACCCAAGGUACCUCUCCCAUCCCCCCUUCAUUUGGUUGGUUCAAAUCAUCUACUUUUUUUUGGAACCAACUAGUUUUGCAAGCCCUAGUUCUUCCUCUAGUUUUGCAUUUAUUGUGCAUUUAUGGUUGGCCUAAGUAAUUUGUGUCAAUCCUUGUUGUGGCAAGCUAGCUUAAUUGUUAGGGUUAGGGGUUUAGUUAGGUUAGGGUUAGGGUUAGUGCUAUGAUUAAGGUAUACUAGUUGUUUGAUUCAAAUUAUAUAUUUUAGACAGUUCAUCCAUAUGAAAUGGCCGGUCCAUGGAUGACUCAAUUUUGUUCCAUUGUUUUCAGAUGGAUAAACUAGUGAAUGUGCAUUAUUUGGACAAGGCGGCUUUCAUGGAUGGAAAUACCGACGAAGGGGAGGAGGCCAUGGUUUUUGACACAAGCCCGAGGUAUGAUGAUAUUGUCGUGAAAGUGAGAAGCGUCCUCAAUUGGAUUAAUCCAAGUGAUGGUGUGAAGCUUAUUGGGCGAUAUGAUGUGGGAGUGGGAGUAAAAUCCCGAUUAAAGAGUAUGCCCAUCACCUCUCAAUUGCAUUGCGAUGUGUAUAAGGAGAAAGUUGAGGGAUCACAAGACAAGUCACUUGAGUUAUUUGCCACAAAGGUUGAAGUUCCUCGGCCACUACUCGACUUGAACAGGAACUCCCAAAUACAUGAUGGUGUCGUGGUGUAUGACCACAAUGCGGGUAGCCAACCACCAAGUAGCCAACCAAAUGAAGAGGACAUCAAUGCUAGAGCCAUAGUUCUUCUAGGUGAUGAUCAUGUUGGAGAUGAGGCCGUUGCUCAUGUCGACGAACAUGCAAAUGUUCAUGUUGAUGAAGAUGCCAUUGCUCAUGUUGAUGGAGAUGCUAUUGCUCAAGUUGAUAUGUAUGCGGAAUAAGAAGAGAUUCAUUACAUUCCCACUGGUGACUUGGAUGCCAUUGUGCAUCAACAAGACAUGGACUGUAACCUCCCUUAUAGCCGUAUGUGUAGUAUGAGUUAGAUGAUGAGGGUCCACCAGAAGAAUUGGAUGAGGAUGGAUUCACGGCACAAGAAAAUCAAGUCUACAAGAAGGUCAAUGGCAAGGAUAGCUCUUUGUUUCGUGAUCUUAGUCUUGCCGACAAGACUGUUGUUGAUGGCGGCAUGAUACAUCUCCAAUAUAUCUAUAAUUUUUGAUUGCUCCAUGCUCUUUUAUUAUCAAUCUUGGAUGUUUUAUAAUCAUUUUAUAUCAUUUUCUGGUACUAACCUAUUGACAUAGUGCUAAGUGCCAGUUCCUGUUUUUCCAUGUUUUUUACAUCGCAGGAAAUCAAUAUCAGAUGGAGUCCAAAUGCCACGAAACUUUAUGGAGAUUUUUUAUGGACCAGAAGAAGUUGGGCCCCGGUUGCACCUGGGGGGAGUCCCGAGGAGGGGACAACCCACCAGGGCGCGCCAGGAGGCCCAGGCGCGCCCUGGUGGGUUGUGCCCACCUCGGGUGCCCCCCAGACCGCCUCUUUGCUCUAUAAAUACCCCAAUAUUCCAGAAACCCUAGGGGAGUCAACGAAAUAUUCAUCCAACCACCGCAGAGUCUAAAACCACCAGAUCCAAUCUAGACACCAUCACAGAGGGGUUCACCGCCUCCAUUGGUGCCUCUCCGAUGAUGCGUGAGUAGUUCUUUGUAGACCUCCGGGUCCGUAGUUAGUAGCUACAUGGCUUUCUCUCUCUCGCUAAAUUCUCAAUACAAUGGUCUCUUGGAGAUCCAUAUGAUGCAACUCUUUUUGCGGUGUGUUUGUUGGGAUCCGAUGAACUUCAAGUUUAUGAUCAGUUAUAUCUUUUUAUAUCCAUGAAAGUUAUUUGAGUUUCUUUGAUCUCUUAUAUGCAUGAUCUCUUAUAGCCUCAUAUUUCUUCUCCGAUAUUUGGGUUUUGUUUGGCCAACUUGAUCUAUUUAUCUUGCAAUGGGAAGAGGUGCCCAGUAGUGGGUUUGAUCUUACGGUGCUUGAUCCCAGUGACAGAAAGGGAACCGACACGUAUGUGUCACUGCUACUAAGAAUAAAAAGAUGGGAUCUAUAUCUAACGCAAUAGAUAAACGGAUCUUGUCUACACCAUAUCAUCGUUCUUAUUGCAUUACUCCAUUUUUCCAUGAACUUAAUACACUAGAUGCAUGCUGGAUAGCGGUCGAUGUCUGGAGUAACAGUAGUAGAUGCAGGUAGGAGUCGGUCUACUAAUCUUGGACGUGAUGCCUAUGUAAUGAUCAUUGCCUGGAUAUCAUCAUAAUUAUUUGAAGUUCUAUCAAUUGCCCAACAAUAGUUUGUUCACCCACCAUUUGCUAUCUUUCUCGAGAGAAGCCACUAGUGAAACCUACGGCCCCCGAGGAACCAGGGUCUCCACAGCAGCAAAACUAUUCUUCUUCUCAUCUCUGAUUUUUUUUGGUCCGGUCGAAUUUGGAGCCACUCUGUCCCUGUAUGAUCCAGCUGCUCCCAAACUUUCCCCAGUAGCAAAUUUGAGAGCAUCUCUAGCAGACCCCUUAAAAUUACAAACUGUAAAACUCGGAUAAGGGUCAGAAAAGAAGGCAUUUGAAGGGUCCAUUUUAGCUAUGGCCGAAUAGAUACCCUAAAACAAACUGUAAAACUGGGAUAAGAGCUCCUUCCUCCAGCCCAACCAGAGUCCCCCCUUCCCCCAGCCGGCCGCGCCGGUCGCACCUAGCCCUGUCGGCCGUGCCCGUCGCCCGUCGGCCGCCGCCGCGCCUCGUCCUCACCAGCCACACCUCGUCGCCCCGCCGGCCGCACCCCAUCGUCUGCCAACCGCGCCCAUCCCAGCCGGUCGUGUCCUGUCGGCCAUGCCCGUCGCCCGUCGGCCGCCGCCGCGCCUCGUCCCCGCCAGCCACACCUCGUCGCCCCGCCGACCGUGCCCCAUCGUUUGCCAGCCGCGCCCAUCCCGGCCGGUCGCGUCCCGUCGCCCGCUGGCUGUGCCCUGCUCCUUUGCCGGCCGCGCCGACCGAGCCGUGCCCUUUGCCGGCCGGGUCGGGAGGAUUCCGAUAGCUAGGCUGAGGUCACGGGAGGCCACGGUGAGGUCGAGCUCGUCCAAUUCAAACCGACGGUGAUCGAUUCUAGUGCCCAGCGGCCUUUGCAGGUGUGCGGUGAAGAAUUCCGGCGAGUUUCGGACGGAUUCCGGCAAAUUCCAAUAUGCUUGGUCCACAUGAAAAACAAGAUUAGCUGAUAGGUAUGUUGCACCAAGAUUGUCACACCAAAGAGAGGCUGACUUUGGAUGAUGUACACCCAAUUCUCCUAAAAUAUUUUGGAUCCAAAUAAUCUCAGCAAUAGCAUUGGCUAAAGCUUUAUAUUCAGCUUUUGUGCUUGAACGAGACACGGUAGCUUGCUUGCGAGCACACCAAGAGAUAAGAUUGCUCCCAAGAAAAAACUGCAAAGCCUCCUGUUGAUCUUCUGUCAUCAGGACAACCUGCCCAAUCUGCAUCUGAAAAAGCACUUACCAACAUUGAGUCUGACUUUGCAAGUUUAAGGCCAUGAGUUUUGUUCCUUGUAGAUACCUAAGUAUUCUUUUCACGUCUGUCCAAUGUACACUAGUGGGGCAUGUAAAAACUGACAGACUUUUUAUUGACUGAGAAUGAAAUAUAUGGUCUAGUCCAUGUUAAGUAUUGUAAAUCCCCUACUAUGCUCUUGUACCUGGUAGAGUCUUCUGCACCAAGAAUCUCCCCAUCAUGAAGAGAUAACUUUUCCAAAAUAGAUAGGGGCUGGCUUGCACCCCUUCAUGCCCACACGCUGAAGCACACAUCUUCCACAUAUCUUGCCCGAGACAAAACAAUACCACUGCCCAUAUGUUUUACCUCAAUCCCAAGGAAAAAAAUGAAGAUCUCCCAAGUCCUUGAGUGCAAAGUCCAUGCGCAAAUCUUUUAGCAGAGCAUCAACUACCUUGGAAGACGAGCUUGUAACAAUUAUGUCAUCAACAUAGAUAAGCAUAAAAAUAGUUAUCCCAUACCUAUGAUAAAAGAACAGAGAGGUAUCUGCUUUUGAAGGAAAAAACACAAGAGAUUGUAACUUGAAGGACAACCGAGAAUACAAGCCCUUGGUGAUUGUUUCAGUCCAUGAAGUGGUGACUGUGUGCUCUCAUACCCAGGAGGUUGUCUCAUGAAGACUUCCUCUUCCAGAACACAAUGCAGAAACGUGUUCUUCACAUCUAGGUCUUGCACACACCAAUUUCUGGAGAUUGAAACUAAAAGGAUUAAUCUGAUAGUAGUAGCUUUGACUACUGGACUAAAUGUGUCCUCAUAAUCAAUACCAUAUCUCUGUUUGAAACCUUUAGCUACUAGACGUGCCUUAUACCUAUUAAUAGUGCCAUUAGAUUUUCUUUUUACCUUAUACACCCACUUACAGUCAGUUAUGUUUAUGCCCUUCAUUGGUGGAACAAGACCACAUGUUUUAUUCUCCAUGAGAGCUGCAUAUUCUUCAUCGAUGGCCUUCUUCCACCUCGAAUCAGCAAUCGCUUCUUUCAGAUUCUUUGGUUCACCUGUAGCACAAAAACCACCCAACGAAUACAACCAUCUUUAUAUUCUUUAGGUUUAAUUAUACCACUUUGUGACCGGGUAAGGGAACACGUUGGGGGUGAGAGCUGGUCAUGCGAGUUGCUGCUGAAGUCGAUUUGAUGUAGCAGAAAUAACAUCCGUAGAAUCGCUAUGCAGCGAAUCAGAGGCCGCCACUGUUCAUGGGAAGGUUCUCCUGGUGACACAGAGGGGCUAUUUCGUUUGUGACUAACUUUGCCAAAGGUUGCCACACAUAAGGAUAGGCAAGUUUGAUCAACUUAGGUGAGUGUGUGGUUCAAGCCACACCUUAGGCAAAGCCACACUAGGGCCCCAUAUAACAUACACACAAAAAGCGUGACAAGAUUCCCUUAGGCUUGCCAACUUGUGGCUCUCAUUUUGAUGAAUUAACCUUAGGCAAGCUUAGCAAAAAUGUGUGGCAAUGCAAGGCCUAGAACCAAAAAGCCCCAGAACCAGCGUCGUCGGGCUCCAUGUCGCUGGGCGCGUCCUGAUUGGCAGGCACGAACUCCACAAACCGAUGGGAGGCAAAAUUUCGUGUUUUGACCCUUUUCACGUAGUUUAGCAAGAUCUGACCCCGGUAUUAAAAAAAUAUAUCGAGAAUUGACCCUUUUGGCUACCGCCGGAGGCCCUGGUGGUAGCUUAACACAGGCUACCGCCGCCACGCCUGGCGGUAGGUUCCGUUGACGGUCAUCUGGCCGUUAACGGGCGCUGACGUGGCAAAGGGCCCUACCGCCGCUAACCCUGGCGGUAAGCCCCAACACCCUACCACCGAGGUCUCUGGCGGUAGGGUCCUGGAGGAUAAGGUUUGUGGGGCCCACUAACCACCCACCCACUCCACUCAUCUUCUUCCCCGAGCUCUAACUCUCUCCCCCUCUUCUCUCCCACCCAAGCACCCACUAGACCCCCCUCCAUUUCUUGGGAUUUGUCUUGUGGAAUGUGCGCAUUUGCAUCACCCAAGGUACCUCUCCCAUCCCCCCUUCAUUUAGUUGGUUCAAAUCAUCUACUUUUGUUGGAAUCAACUAGUUUUGCAAGCCCUAGUUCUUCCUCAAGUUUUGCAUUUAUUGUGCAUUUGUUGUGCAUUUAUGGUGCAUUUAUGGUUGGCCUAAGUAAUUUGUGUCAAUCCUUGUAUUGGCAAGCUAGCUUAAUUGUUAGGGUUAGGGGUUUAGUUAGGUUAGGGUUAGGGUUAGUGCUAUGAUUAAGGUAUACUAGUUGUUUGAUUCAAAUUAUAUAUUUUAGAUAGUUCAUCCAUAUGAAAUGGCCGGUCCAUGGAUGACUCAAUUUUGUUCCAUUGUUUUCAGAUGGAUAAACUAGUGAAUGUGCAUUAUUUGGACAAGGCGGCUUUCAUGGAUGGAAAUACCGACGAAGGGGAGGAGGCCAUGGUUUUUGACACAAGCCCGAGGUAUGAUGAUAUUGUCGAGAAAGUGAGAAGCGUCCUCAAUUGGAUUAAUCCAAGUGAUGGUGUGAAGCUUAUUGGGCGGUAUGAUGUGGGAGUGGGAGUAAAAUCCCAAUUAAAGAGUAUGCCCAUCACCUCUCAAUUGCAUUGCGAUGUGUAUAAGGAGAAAGUUGAGGGAUCACAAGACAAGUCACUUGAGUUAUUUGCCACAAAGGUUGAAGUUCCUCGGCCACUACUCGACUUGAACAGGAACUCCCAAAUACAUGAUGGUGUCGUGGUGUAUGACCACAAUGCGGGUAGCCAACCACCAAGUAGCCAACCAAAUGAAGAGGACAUCAAUGCUAGAGCCAUAGUUCUUUUAGGUGAUGAUCAUGUUGGAGAUGAGGCCGUUGCUCAUGUCGACGAACAUGCAAAUGUUCAUGUUGAUGAAGAUGCCAUUGCUCAUGUUGAUGGAGAUGCUAUUGCUCAAGUUGAUAUGUAUCCGGAAUAAGAAGAGAUUCAUUACAUUCCCACUGGUGACUUGGAUGUCAUUGUGCAUCAACAAGACAUGGACUAUAACCUCCCUUAUAGCCGUAUGUGUAGGUAUGAGUCAGAUGAUGAGGGUCCACCAGAAGAAUUGGAUGAGGAUGGAUUCACGACACAAGAAAAUCAAGUCUACAAGAAGGUCAAUGGAAAGGAAAGAGGACCCUCUUUGUUUCGUGAUCUUAGUCUUGCCGACAAGACCGUUGUUGAUGGCGGCAUGAUACGUCUCCAACGUAUCUAUAAUUUUUGAUUGCUCCAUGCUGUUUUAUUAUCAAUAUCAGACGGAGUCCAAAUGCCACGAAACGUUAUGGAGAUUUUUUAUGGACCAGAAGAAGUUGGGCCCCGGUUGCACCUGGGGGAGUCCCGAGGAGGGGACAACCCACCAGGGCACGCCAGGAGGCCCAGGCGCGCCCUGGUGGGUUGUGCCCACCUCGGGUGCCCCCCAGACCGCCUCUUUGCUCUAUAAAUACCCCAAUAUUCCAGAAACCCUAGGGGAGUCGACAAAAUAUUCAUCCAACCACCGCAGAGUCCAGAACCACCAGAUCCAAUCUAGACACCAUCACAGAGGGGUUCACCACCUCCAUUGGUGCCUCUCCGAUGAUGCGUGAGUAGUUCUUUGUAGACCUCCGGGUCCGUAGUUAGUAGCUACAUGGCUUUCUCUCUCUCGCUGAAUUCUCAAUACAAUGGUCUCUUGGAGAUCCAUAUGAUGCAACUCUUUGUGCGGUGUGUUUGUUGUGAUCCGAUGAACUUCAAGUUUAUGAUCAGUUAUAUCUUUUUAUAUCCAUGAAAGUUAUUUGAGUUUCUUUGAUCUAUUAUAUGCACGAUCUCUUAUAGCCUCAUAUUUCUUCUCCGAUAUUUGGGUUUUGUUUGGCCAACUUGAUCUAUUUAUCUUGCAAUGGGAAGAGGUGCCCAGUAGUGGGUUCGAUCUUACGGUGCUUGAUCCCAGUGACAGAAAGGGAACCGACACAUAUGUGUCACUGCUACUAAGAAUAAAAAGAUGGGAUCUAUAUCUAACGCAAUAGAUAAACGGAUAUUGUCUACAUCAUAUCAUCGUUCUUAUUGCAUUACUCCAUUUUUCCAUGAAAUUAAUACACUAGAUGCAUGCUGGAUAGCGGUCGAUGUGUGGAGUAACAGUAGUAGAUGCAGGCAGGAGUCGGUCUACUAAUCUUGGACGUGAUGCCUAUGUAAUGAUCAUUGCCUGGAUAUCAUCAUAAUUAUUUGAAGUUCUAUCAAUUGCCCAACAAUAGUUUGUUCACCCACCGUUUGCUAUCUUUCUCGAGAGAAGCCACUAGUUAAACCUACGACCCCCGGGUCUUCUUUCUCAUAUAUUUGCCUUUGCGAUCUUUUUCCUUGCGUUUAUUUUCAGAUCUAUUCAACCAAAAAUACAAAAAAACCGUGCUACAAUUUAUUCUUAUUUGUUUUAUUUGGCGUUCGAUCUAUCAAUCUACUACAAUUUACCUCACGUCCUUUGCCUAUCUUGAGGCGCUGUACCCCGAAAGGGAUUGACAACCCCUUUAACACGUCGGGUUGCGAGGUGUUAUUAUUUGUGUGCAGGGGCUGUUUACGUUGUGUUGCUUGGUUCUCCUACUGGUUCGAUAACCUUGGUUUCGUAUCUGAGGGAAAUGCCUACCGCCGCUGUGCUGCAUCAUCCCUUCCUCUUUGGGGGAAAUAACGACGUAGCUUCAAGCGACAUCAAAAGGAAUUUCUAGCGAGGAUCUUCAACAUAACCAGGUUCCUAAUCACAAAUCUCAUCUCCUCGCAAUUUACAUUAUUUGCCAUUUUCCUCUCCCCCACUUCACAAAAAUUUGCCAUUUUAUUCGCCUCUCUUUUUCGUUCACGGUUUUCUUGCCAGAUCUCAUGUUUGCUUGUGUGCCAUGUGCCUUCUAUUUGCAUGCAUCUUCUCUUGCUAAAAAUCUAUUGAUAUGGAUCCUCAUCCACUAGCUAAUCUUUUUAAGAGAUCUUAUUAUGUUGAACCAGUUGCUAGUGAUUUGAGUGCACUUGAUUAUCUUUAUGAAGUUUUGCUUGAGAUUCGUGAAUCUGAAAAUUGUGAUGAAGAAAUUUAUGAAGUGAUUCAUGAUAGCUCCUUGAAUGAAAAGCAUGAUUGCAAUGAUUUUACAAUAAAUUCUAUUAAUGUCAAUAGUGCUAAUAAUAUGCUAAACCCCAAGCUUGGGGAUGCUAACUUUGACAUGUCCUCUACUUAUUGCAAUGAUCAUGAUUGGGGUGAUUCUUUUUAUGAUCAUGAAAAUUUAUUUAAGCCUCAUGAUGAAUAUGUUUACGAUAAUAUUGAAAGUGGGUUUGGAAGAGUGUCAACUCUAUGUAAAAAGGAUCCCACCACUUUGGAGCAUGAUCAAUCUUAUGAAAAUUUUGAUAAAAGUGGGUUUGGAGAGGUCAUGACUUUAGUUGAUGUUAAUCCCGCUAUUUUGGAAGAUUUUCAACUUUGUAUGCAUGUGGAUCAUGAAGAGAAUAUUUUAUGUGAUGGUUAUAUUGUUGAAUUUUAUCCCACAUUACUUAUUAUGACAGAGGAAAAUAUUGUGGUGGAAAUUUUUAUAUUACUAAAUUACCUCUCGUUAUGUUGAGAUCGUCAACGUUUUAUUCUUCUACCUUGCAUAUGCUAGAAGUUUCUUGUCUUGAUAAUUUGUUUGCUUAUAAAAUUCCUAUGCAUAGGAAGUAUGUUAGACUUCAAUGUGUUUAUCAUAUGUUCCAUUAUGCUCUCUUUGUGUUUCAAUUCUUAUCUUUUGUGUGAGCAUCAUUGAAAUUAUUAUACCUAGCUAAGGGCGUAAAACUAUAGCGCUUGUUGGGAGGCAACCCAAUGAAUACAUUUUUUUGCUUUCUGUUCUUGAGUGUUUGCACAAUUAUGCAAAUGUUAUGAUUGUGUUUUUUGUGUUUAAUUUAUUAUUUGUGCCAAGUAAAGCCUUUAGGAUCUUCUUGUUGGAAAUAUGCCCUAGAGGCAAUAAUAAAAUGAUUAUUAUUAUAUUUCCUUGUUCAUGAUAAUUGUCUAUUAUUCAUGCUAUAAUUGUGUUAUCUGAAAAUAGUAAUACAUGUGUGAAUACAUAGACCACAACAUGUCCCUAGUAAGCCUCUAGUUGACUAGCUCAUUGAUCAAUUGAUAGUCAUGGUUUCCUGACUAUGGACAUUGGAUGUCGUUGAUAACGGGAUCACAUCAUUAGGAGAAUGAUGUGAUGGACAAGACCCAAUCCUAAGCAUAGCACACGAUCGUGUAGUUCGUUUGCUAGAGCUUUUCCAAUGUCAAGUAUCAUUUCCUUAGACCAUGAGAUCGUGUAACUCCCGGAUACCUUAGGAGUGCUUUGGGUGUACCAAACAUCACAACGUAACUGGGUGACUAUAAAGGUAUACUACAGGUAUCCCCGAAAGUAUCUGUUGGGUUGACACGGAUCGAGACUGGGAUUUGUCGCUCCGUAUGACGGAGAGGUAUCUCUGGGCCCACUCGAUAAUGCAUCAUCAUUAUGAGCUCAAAGUGACCAAGUGUUUGGUCACAGGAUCAUGCAUUACGGUACGAGUAAAGUGACUUGCCGGUAACGAGAUUGAACGAGGUAUUGGGAUACCGACGAUCGAAUCUCGGGCAAGUAAUGUACCGAUUGACAAAGGGAAUUGUAUACGUGAUUACUUGAAUCCUCGACAUCGUGGUUCAUCCAAUGAGAUCAUCGAGGAGCAUGUGGGAGCCAACAUGGGUAUCCAGAUCCCGCUAUUGGUUAUUGACCGGAGACUCGUCUCGGUCAUGUCUGCAUGUCUCCCGAACCCGUAGGGUCUACACACUUAAGGUUCAGUGACGCUAGGGUUGUAGAGAUAUUAGUAUGCAGAAACCCGAAAGUUUUUCGGAGUCCCAGAUGAUAUCCCAGACGUCACGAGGAGUUCCGGAAUGGUCCGGAGGUAAAUAAUUCUAUAUAGGAAGUCCAGUUUCGGCCACCGGGAAAGUUUCGGGGGUCACCGGUAUUGUACCGGGACCACCGAAAGGGUCCCGGGGGUCCACCUGGUGGGGCCACCUAUCCCGGAGGGUCACGUGGGCUGAAAGGGGAAGGGAACUAGCCCCUGGUGGGCUGGUGCGCCCCCCCUUGGGCCUCCCCUGCGCCUAGGGUUGGAAACCCUAUGGGUGGGGGGCUCCCCACUUGACUUGGGGGGCAAGUCCCCCCCCCUAGGCCGCCGCCCCCCUUGGAGAUUGGAUCUCCAGGGCCGUCGCACCCCUAGGCCCCCUAUAUAAAUAGGGGGGAGGGAAGGCAGCCGUACCCUAGUCCCUGGCGCCUCCCUCUCCCCCCUUACCACCUCUCCCUCUCGCUGAGCUUGGCGAAGCCCUGCCGAGAUCGCCGCUGCUUCCACCACCACGCCGUCGUGCUGCUGGAUCUCCAUCAACCUCUCCUUCCCCCUUGCUGGAUCAAGAAGGAGGAGACGUCUUCCCCAACCGUACGUGUGUUGAACGCGGAGGUGCUGUCCGUUCAGCACUAGGAUCAUCGGUGAUUUGGAUCACGACGAGUACGACUCCCUCAACCCCGUUCUCUUGAACGCUUCCGCUCAUGAUCUACAAGGGUAUGUAGAUGCACUCCUCUCUCUCGUUGCUAGAUGAACUCCAUAGAUUGAUCUUGGUGAAGCGUAGAAUUUUUUUAUUUUCUGCAACGUUCCCCAACAGUGGCAUCAUGAGCUAGGUCUAUGCGUAGUUUCUUUGCACGAGUAGAACACAAAUUUGUUGUGGGUGUAGAUGUUGUCAAUUUUCUUGCCACUACUAGUCUUACUUUGCUUCGGCGGCAUCUUGGGAUGAAGCGGCCUGGACCGACCUUACACGUACGCUUACGUGAGACAGGUUCCACCGACUGACAUGCACUAGUUGCAUAAGGUGGCCAGCGGGUGUCUGUCUCUCCCACUUUAGUCGAAGCGGAUUCGAUGAAAAGGGUCCUUAUGAAGGGUAAAUAGAAAUUGGCAUAUCACGUUGUGGCUUUUACAUAGGUAAGAAACGUUCUUGCUAGAACCCUAUUGCAGCCACGUAAAAACAUGCAACAACAAUUAGAGGACGUCUAACUUGUUUUUGCAGCAUAUGCCUUGUGAUGUGAUAUGGCCAAAAGUUGUGAUGAAUGAUAUAUAUGUGAUGUAUGAGAUCAUGUUCUUGUAAUAGGAAUCACGACUUGCAUGUCGAUGAGUAUGAGAACCGGCAGGAGCCAUAGGAGUUGUCUUAAUUAUUGUAUGACCUGCGUGUCAGUGAUUAAACACCAUGUAAUUACUUUACUUUAUUGCUAAACCGUUAGCCAUAGUAGUAGAAGUAAUAGUUGGCGAGCAACUUCAUGGAGACACGAUGAUGGAGAUCAUGGUGUCAUGCCGGUGACGAAGAUGAUUAUGGAUCCCCGAAGAUGGAGAUCAAAGGAGCUAUAUGAUAUUGGCCAUAUCAUGUCACUAUUUGAUUGCAUGUGAUGUUUAUCAUGUUUUUACAUCUUAUUUGGUUAGAACGACGGUAGUAAAUAAGAUGAUCCCUCAUAAUAAUUUCAAGAAAGUGUUCCCCCUAACUAUGCGCCGUUGCGAAAGUUCGUUGUUUUGAAGCACCACGUGAUGAUCGGGUGUGAUAGAUUCCAACGUCCACAUACAACGGGUGUAAGACAAAUUUACACAUGCAAAAACACUUAGGUUAACUUGACGAGCCUAGCAUGUACAGACAUGGCCUCGGAACACAAGAGACCGAAAGGUCGAACAUGAGUCAUAUGGAAGAUACGAUCAACAUGGAGAUGUUCACCGAUGAUGACUAGUCCGUCUCACGUGAUGAUCGGACACGACCUAGUUGACUCGGAUCAUGUAUCACUUAGAUGACUAGAGGGAUGUCUAAUCUGAGUGGGAGUUCAUUAAAUAAUUUGAUUAGAUGAACUUAAUUAUCAUGAACUUAGUCUAAAAACCUUUGCAAAAAUGUCUUGUAGAUCAAAUGGCCAACGCUCAUGUCAACCUUAACUUCAACGCUUUCCUAGAGAAAACCAAGCUGAAAGAUGAUGGCAGCAACUAUUCGGACUGGGUACGGAACCUGAGGAUCAUCCUCAUAGCUGCCAAGAAAGCAUAUGUCCUAGAAGGACCGCUAGGUGAAGCACCCAUCCCAGAGAACCAAGACGUUAUGAACGCUUGGCAGUCACGUGCUGAUGAUUACUCCCUCGUUCAGUGCGGCAUGCUUUACAGCUUAGAACCGGGGCUCCAAAAGUGUUUUGAGCAACACGGAGCAUAUGAGAUGUUCGAGGAGCUGAAAAUGGUUUUCCAAGCUCAUGCUCGGGUCGAGAGAUAUGAAGUCUCUGAUAAGUUCUACAGUUGUAAAAUGGAGGAAAAUAGUUCUGUCAGUGAGCACAUACUCAAAAUGUCUGGGUUGCACAACCGCUUGUCCCAGCUGGACAUUAACCUCCCGGAUGAGGCGGUCAUUGACAGAAUCCUUCAGUCGCUCCCACCUAGCUACAAGAGCUUUGUGAUGAACAACAAUAUGCAAGGGAUGGUGAAAACUAUUCCUGAAGUAUUUUCAAUGCUGAAAUCAGCGGAGGUGGAAAUCAAAAAGGAACAUCAAGUGUUGAUGGUCAAUAAAACCACUAGUUUCAAGAAAGGCAAGGGUAAGAAGAACUUCAAGCAGGAUGGCAAGGGAGUUGCCAUGCCCGGUAAACCAGUUGCCGGGAAGAAGCCAAAGAAUGGACCCAAGCCUGAGACUAAGUGCUUUUACUGCAACGGGAAGGGUCACUGGAAGCGGACCUGCCCCACAUACUUAGCAGACAAGAAGGCCGACAACACUAAAGGUAUAUGUGAUAUACAUGUAAUUGAUGUGUACCUUACCAGUACUCGUAGUAGCUCCUGGGUAUUUUAUACCGGUGCGGUUGCUCAUAUUUGUAACUCAAAGCAGGAGCUGCGGAAUAAGCGGAGACUGGCAAGGGACGAGGUGACGAUGCGCGUCGGGAAUGGUUCCAAGGUCGAUGUGCUCGCCGUCGGCACGCUACCUCUACAUUUACCUACGGGAUUAGUUUUAAACCUCAAUAAUUGUUAUUUAGUGCCAGCUUUGAGCAUGAAUAUUGUAUCAGGAUCUCGUUUAGUACGAGAUGGCUACUCAUUUAAAUCCGAGAAUAAUGGUUGUUCUAUUUAUAUGAGGGAUAUGUUUUAUGGUCAUGCCCCGCUGGUCAAUGGUUUAUUCUUAAUGAAUCUCGAACGUGAUGUUACACAUAUUCAUAGUAUUAAUACCAAAAGACGUAAGGUUGAUAACGAUAGUCCCACACACUUGUGGCACUGCCGCCUUGGUCACAUUGGUGUCAAGCGCAUGAAGAAGCUCCUGUUGGGGAACGUUGCAGAAAAUUAAAAUUUUUUCUACGGUUUCACCAAGAUCCAUCUAUGAGUUCAUCUAAGCAACGAGUCAAGGGAGUGAGUUUGCAUCUACAUACCACUUGUAGAUCGCGUACGGAAGCGUUAGAUGGAGCGGUGAUGAUGGAGUCGUACUCGCCGUGAUUCAGAUCACCGGAGAUCCUAGCGCCGAACGGACGGCACCUCCGCGUUCAACACACGUACGGUGCAUGUGACGUCUCCUCCUUCUUGAUCCAGCAAGGGGGGAAGAGAGGUUGAUGAUGAUGGCUCCAGCAGCAGCACAAGGCGUGGUGGUGGUGGAACAGCAGCACUCCGGCAGGGCUUCGCCAAGCACGUGACAGAGGAGGAAGAGGUGUAGCAGGGGGAGGGGGCGCCAGGACUUCAGGGUGCGGCUGCCCCUCUCCCCCUCCCUUUAUAUAGGCCCCCAGGGGGGGGGGCGCCGGCCCUGGGAGAUUCAAUCUCCCAAGGGGGCGGCGGCCAAGGGGGGAGGAGUGCCCCCCAAGGCAUGUGGUGCGCCCCCCCACCCUAGGGUUUCAACCCUAGGCGCAGGGAGUGGGCCUAGGGGGCGCACCAGCCCACUAUGUGCUGGCUCCCCUCCCACUUCAGCCCAUGGGGACCUCCGGGAUGGGUGGCCCCACCCGGUGGACCCCCGGGACCCUUCCGGUGGUCCCGAUACAAUACCGGGUGACCCCGAAACUUUCCCGAUGGCCGAAAUACCACUUCCUAUAUAUAAUUCUUUACCUCCGGACCAUUCCGAAACUCCUCGUGAUGUCCGGGAUCUCAUCCGGGACUCCGAACAACAUUCGGUAUACUGCAUACUCAUAUUCAUACAACCCUAGCGUCACCGAACCUUAAGUGUGUAGACCCUACGGGUUCGGGAGACACGUAGACAUGACCGAGACGGCUCUCGGGCAAUAACCAACAGCGGGAUCUGGAUACCCAUGCUGGCUCCCACAUGCUCCUCGAUGAUCUCAUCGGAUGAACCGCGAUGUCGAGGAUUCGAACAACCCCGUAUACAAUUCCCUUUGUCAUUCGGUACAUUACAUGCCCGAGACUCGAUCAUCGGUAUCCCAAUACCUCGUUCAGUCUCGUUACCGGCAAGUCACUUUACUCGUGCCGUAAUGCAUGAUCCCGUGACCAAACACUUGGUCACUUUGAGCUCAUUGUGAUGAUGCAUUACCGAGUGGGCCCAGAGAUACCUCUCCGUCAUGCGGAGUGACAAAUCCCAGUCUCGAUCCAUGUCAACCCAACAGACACUUUCGGAGAUACCUGUAGUGCACCUUUAUAGUCACCCAGUUACGUUGUGACGUUUGGUACACCCAAAGCACUCUUACGGUAUCCGGGAGUUACACGAUCUCAUGGUCUAAGGAAGAGAUACUUGACAUUGGAAAAGCUCUAGCAAAACGAACUACACGAUCUUGUGCUAUGCUUAGGAUUGGGUCUCGUCCAUCACAUCAUUCUCCUAAUGAUGUGAUCCCGUUGUCAAUGACAUCUAAUGUCCAUAGUCAGGAAACCAUGACUAUCUGUCAACCAACGAGCUAGUCAACUAGAGGCUCACUAGGGACAUGUUAUGGUCUAUGUAUUCACACGUGUAUUACGAUUUCCGGAUAAUACAGUUAUAGCAUGAAUAAAAGACAAUUAUCAUGAACAAGGAAAUAUAAUAAUAAUCCUUUUAUUAUUGCCUCUAGGGCAUAUUUCCAACAGUCUCCCACUUGCACUAGAGUCAAUAAUCUAGUUACGUUGUGAUGAAUCGAACACCCAUAGAGUACUGGUGUUGAUCUUGUUUUGCUCGCGAGAGAGGUUUAGUCAACGGAUCUGCGACAUUCAGAUCCGUAUGUACUUUGCAAAUAUCUAUGUCUCCAUCUUGAACAUUUUCGCGGAUGGAGUUGAAAUGACGCUUGAUGUGCCUGGUCUUCUUGUGAAACCUGGGCUCCUUGGCAAGGGCAAUAGCUCCAGUGUUGUCACAGAAGAGUUUGAUCGGCCCAGACGCAUUGGGUAUGCCUCCUAGGUCGGUGAUGAACUCCUUCACCCAAAUAGCUUCAUGCGCUGCCUCCGAGGCUGCCAUGUACUCCGCUUCACAUGUAGAUCCCGCCACGACGCUCUGCUUGCAGCUGCACCAGCUUACUGCUCCACCAUUCAACAUAUACACGUAUCCGGUUUGUGACUUAGAGUCAUCCAGAUCUGUGUGGAAGCUAGCAUCAAUGUAACCCUUUACGACGAGCUCUUCGUCACCUCCAUAAACGAGAAACAUGUGCUUUGUCCUUUUCAGGUACUUCAGGAUAUUCUUGACCGCUGUCCAGUGUUCCUUGCCAGGAUUACUUUGGUACCUCCCUACCAAACUUACGGCAAGGUUUACAUCAGGUCUGGUACACAACAUGGCAUACAUAAUAGAUCCUAUGGCUGAGGCAUAGGGGAUGACGCUCAUCUCUUCUUUAUCUUUUGCCGUGGUCGGGCAUUGAGCCAAGCUCAAUCUCACACCUUGCAAUACAGGCAAGAACCCUUUCUUGGACUGAUCCAUUUUAAACUUCUUCAAAAUCUUAUCAAGGUAUGUGCUCUGUGAAAGACCUAUGAGGCGUCUCGAUCUAUCCCUAUAGAUCUUGAUGCCUAAUAUGUAAGCAGCUUCUCCAAGGUCCUUCAUUGAAAAACACUUAUUCAAGUAGGCCUUAAUGCUGUCCAAGAAUUCUAUAUCAUUUCCCAUCAAAAGUAUGUCAUCUACAUAUAAUAUGAGAAAUGCUACAGAGCUCCCACUCACUUUCUUGUAAACGCAGGCUUCUCCAUAAGUCUGCAUAAACCCAAACGCUUUGAUCAUCUCAUCAAAGCGAAUGUUCCAACUCCGAGAUGCUUGCACCAGCCCAUAAAUGGAUCACUGGAGCGUUCUUAGGAUCGACAAAACCUUCCGGAUGCAUCAUAUACAGCUCUUCCUUAAGAUAACCUUGAGGAAUGCCGUUUUGACGUCCAUCUGCCGUAUCUCAUAAUCAUAGUAUGCGGCAAUUGCUAACAUGAUUCAGAUGGACUUAAGCUUCGCUACAGGAGAGAAAGUCUCAUCAUAGUCAAUCCCUUGAACUUGCCGAUAACCCUUAGCGACAAGUCGAGCUUUAUAGAUGGUGACAUUACCAUCCGCGUCCGUCUUCUUCUUAAAGAUCCAUUUGUUUUCUAUCACUCGCCGAUCAUCGGGCAAGUCAGUCAAAGUCCAUACUUUGUUUUCAUACAUAGAUUCUAUCUCGGAUUUCAUGGCUCUAGCCAUUUGUUGGAAUCUAGGCCCGCCAUUGCUUCUUCAUAGUUCGAAGGUUCACCGUUGUCUAACAACAUGAUUUCCAGGACAGGGUUGCCAUACCAUUCUGGUGCGGAACGUGUCCUUGUGGACCUACAAAGUUCAGUAGCAACUUGAUCCGAAGUACCUUGAUCAUCAUCAUUAAUUUCCUCUUCAGUUGGUGUAGGCAUCACAGGAACAUUUUCCUGAGCUGUACCGCUAUCAUGUUCAAGAGGUAGUACUUCAUCGAGUUCUACUUUCCUCCAACUUAGUUCUUUCGAGAGAAACUCUUUUUCCAGAAAGGAUCCGUUCUUGGCAACAAAGAUCUUGCCCUCGGAUCUUAAGUAGAAGGUAUACUCAAUGGUUUCUUUAGGGUAUCCUAUGAAGACGCAUUUUUCCUACUUGGGUUCGAGCUUUUCAGGUUGAAGUUUCUUGACAUAAGCAUCACAUCCCCAAAAUUUUAGAAACGACAGCUUAGGUUUCUUCCCAAACCAUAAUUCAUACGGUGUCGUCUCAACGGAUUUAGACAGUGCCCUAUUUAAAGUGAAUGUAGCUGUCUCUAGAGCGUAUCCCCAAAAUGAUAGCGGUAAAUCGGUAAGAGACAUCAUAGACCGCACCAUAUCCAAUAGAGUGCGAUUACGAUGUUCGACACACCGUUACGCUGAGGUGUUCUAGGCGGCGUGAGUUGUGAAACGAUUCCACAUUUUCUUAAGUGUGUACCAAAUUCGUGACUUAAAUAUUCUCCUCCAUGAUCCGAUCGUAAGAAUUUUAUCUUUAGGUCACGUUGAUUCUCUACCUCAUUCUGAAAUUCCUUGAACUUUUCAAAGGUCUCAGACUUGUGUUUCAUCAAGUAGACAUACCCAUAUCUACUCAAGUCAUCAGUGAGAGUGAGAACAUAACGAUAUCCUCCGCGAGCCUCAACGCUCAUUGGACCGCACACAUCAGUAUGUAUGAUUUCCAACAAGUUGGUUGCUCGCUCCAUUGUUCCGGAGAACGGAGUCUUGGUCAUCUUGCCCAUGAGGCAUGGUUCACAUGUGUCAAAUGAUUCAUAAUCGAGAGACUCCAAAAGUCCAUCAGCAUGGAGCUUCUUCAUGCGCUUGACACCAAUGUGACCAAGGCGGCAGUGCCACAAGUAUGUGGGACUAUCGUUAUCAACUUUACAUCUUUUGGUAUUCACGCUAUGAAUAUGUGUAACAUUACGCUCGAGAUUCAUUAAGAAUAAACCAUUGACCAUAGGGGCAUGACCAUAAAACAUAUCUCUCAUAUAAAUAGAACAACCAUUAUUCUCGGAUUUAAAUGAGUAGCCAUCUCGUAUCAAACGAGACCCAGAUACAAUGUUCAUGCUCAAACUUGGCACCAAAUAACAAUUAUUAAGGUUUAUAACUAAUCCCGUAGGUAAAUGUAGAGGUAGAGUGCCGACGGCGAUCACAUCGACCUUGGAACCAUUCCCGACGCGCAUCGUCACCUCGUCCUUCGCCAGUCUCCGCUUAUUCCGCAGCUCCUGCUGUGAGUUACAAAUAUGAGCAACGGCACCGGUAUCAAAUACCCAGGAGUUACUACGAGUACUGGUAAGGUACACAUCAAUUACAUGUAUAUAAAAUAUACCUUUAGUGUUGCCGGCCUUCUUAUCCGCUAAGUAUUUGGGGCAGUUCUGCUUCCAGUGACCCUUCCCCUUGCAAUAAAAGCACUCAGUCUCAGGCUUGGGUCCAUUCUUUGACUUCUUCCCGGCAACUGGCUUACCGGGCGCGGCAACAUCUUUGCCGUCCUUCUUGAAGUUCUUCUUACCCUUGCCCUUCUUGAACUUAGUGGUCUUAUUGACCAUCAACACUUGAUGUUCUUUCUUGAUUUCAACCUCUGCCGACUUCAGCAUUGAAAAUACUUCAGGAAUGGUCUUCACCAUCCCCUGCAUAUUAUAGUUGAUCACAAAGCUCUUGUAGCUUGGUGGGAGCGACUGAAGGAUUCUGUCAAUGACCGCCUCAUCCGGGAGGUUAAUGUCCAGCUGGGACAGGCGGCUGUGCAACCCAGACAUUUUGAGUAUAUGCUCACUGACAGAACUGUUUUCCUCCAUCUUACAACUAUAGAACUUGUCGGAGACUUCAUAUCUCUCGACCCGGGCAUGAGCUUGGAAAAAUAGUUUCAGCUCCUCGAACAUCUCAUAUGCUCCGUGUUGCUCAAAACGCUUUUGGAGCCCCGGUUCUAAGCUGUAAAGCAUGCCGCACUGAACGAGGGAGUAAUCAUCAGCAUGUGUCUGCCAAACAUUCAAAUCGUCUUGCUGUGCUGGGAGAGCAGGUGGGUCACCUAACGGUGAUUCAAGGACAUAUGCUUUCUUGGCAGCUAUGAGGAUGAUCCUAAGGUUCCGGACCCAGUCCGUAUAGUUGCUGCCAUCAUCUUUCAGCUUGGUUUUCUCUAGGAACGCGUUGAAGUUCAUGUUGACAUGAGCGUUGGCCAUUUGAUCUACAAGACAUAUUUUGCAAAGAUUUUAGACUAAGUUCAUGAUAAUUAAGUUCAUCUAAUCAAAUUAUUUUUAAUGAACUUCCACUCGGAUUUGACAUCCCCUUGGUCAUCUAAGUGUUACACGAUCCGAGUCGACUAGGCCGUGUCCGAUCAUCACGUGAGACGGACUAGUCAUCGUCGGUGAACAUUCUCAUGUUGAUCGUAUCUUCCAUACGACUCAUGUUCGACCUUUCGGUCUCCGUGUUCCGAGGCCAUGUCUAUACAUGCUAGGCUCGUCAAGUUAACCCUAAGUGUUUUGCAUGUGUAAAACUGUCUUACACCCGUUGUAUGUGAACGUAAGGAUCUAUCACACCCGAUCAUCACGUGGUGCUUCGAAACGACGAACUUUAGCAACGGUGCACAGUUAGGGGAGAACACUUCUUGAAAUUGUUGUAAGGGAUCAUCUUAUUUACCACCGUCGUUCUAAGUAAACAAGAUGCAUAAAACAUAAUAAACAUCACAUGCAAUUAUAUAAAGUAGUGACAUGAUAUGGCCAAUAUCAUAUAGCUCCUUUGAUCUUCAUCUUCGGGGCUCCAUGAUCAUCUUGUCACCGGCAUGACACCAUGAUCUCCAUCAUCAUGUCUUCAUGAAGUUGUCACGCCAACGACUACUUCUACUUCUAUGACUAACGCAUUUAGUAAUAAAGUAAAGUAGUUUACAUGGCGUUCUUCAAUGACACGCAGGUCAUACAAAAAUAAAGACAACUCCUAUGGCUCCUGCCAGUUGUCAUACUCAUCGACAUGCAAGUCGUGAUUCCUAUUACAAGAACAUGAUAUCAUACAUCACAAUAUAUCAUUCAUCAUUCAUCACAACUUCUGGCCAUAUCACAUCACAUGACAAUUGCUGCAAAAACAAGUUAGACGUCCUCUAAUUGUUGUUGCAUCUUUUACGUGGCUGCAAUUGGGUUCUAGCAAGAACGUUUUCUUACCUACGAAUAACCACAACGUAAUUUUGUCAACUUCUAUUUACCCUUCACAAGGACCCUUUUCAUCGAAUCCGCUCCAACUAAAGUGGGAGAGACAGACACCCGCCAGCCACCUUAUGCAACUAGUGCAUGUUAGUUGGUGGAACCGGUCUCACGUAAGCGUACGUGUAAGGUUGGUCCGGGCCGCUUCAUCCCACAAUACCGCUGAAGCAAGAUAAGACUAGUAGCGGCAAGCAAGUUGACAAGAUCUACGCCCACAACAAAAUUGUGUUCUACUCGUGCAAUAGAGAACUACGCAUAGACCUAGCUCAUGAUGCCACUGUUGGGGAACGUUGCAGAAAAUUAAAAUUUUUUCUACGGUUUCACCAAGAUCCAUCUAUGAGUUCAUCUAAGCAAUGAGUCAAGGGAGUGAGUUUGCAUAUACAUACCACUUGUAGAUCGCGUACGGAAGCGUUACAUGGAGCGGUGAUGAUGGAGUCGUACUCGCCGUGAUUCAGAUCACCGGAGAUCCUAGCGCCGAACGGACGGCACCUCCGCGUUCAACACACGUAUGGUGCAUGUGACAUCUCCUCCUUCUUGAACUCUAGGAUUAGUGGGGUUUUAGUUGAACUUCGCUGGUUUUCAUUUUUGGACUCGAAGGGGUUGCCAUAUCAACGGCGUGUUGGUGGUGGAACAGCAGCACUCCGGCAGGGCUUCGCCAAGCACGUGACGGAGGAGGAAGAGGUGUAGCAGGGGGAGGGGGCGCCAGGACUUCAGGGUGCAUCUGCCCCUCUCCCCCUCCCUUUAUAUAGGCCCCCAGGGGGGGCGCCGGCCCUGGGAGAUUCAAUCUCCCAAGGGGGCGGCGGCCAAGGGGGGAGGAGUGCCCCCCAAGGCAUGUGGUGCGCCCCCCACCCUACGUUUCAACCCUAGGCGUAGGGGGUGGGCCUAGGGGGUGCACCAGCCCACUAUGGGCUGGCUCCCCUCCCACUUCAGCCCAUGGGGCCCUCCGGGAUGGGUGGCCCCACCCAGUGGACCCCCGGGACCCUUCCGGUGGUCCCGGUACAAUACCGGGUGACCCCGAAACUUUCCCGAUGGCCGAAAUACCACUUCCUAUAUAUAAUUCUUUACCUCCGGACCAUUUCGAAACUCCUCGUGAUGUCCGGGAUCUCAUCCGGGACUCCGAACAACAUUCGGUAUACUGCAUACUCAUAUUCAUACAACCCUAGCGUCACCGAACCUUAAGUGUGUAGACCCUACAGUUUCGGGAGACACGUAGACAUGACCGAGACGGCUCUCGGGCAAUAACCAACAGCGGGAUCUGGAUACCCAUGUUGGCUCCCACAUGCUCCUCGAUGAUCUCAUCGGAUGAACCGCGAUGUCGAGGAUUCAAACAACCCCGUAUACAAUUCUCUUUGUCAUUCAGUACGUUACAUGCCCGAGACUCGAUCAUCGGUAUCCCAAUACCUCGUUCAGUCUCGUUACCGGCAAGUCACUUUACUCGUGCCGUAAUGCAUGAUCCCGUGACCAAACACUUGGUCACUUUGAGCUCAUUGUGAUGAUGCAUUACCGAGUGGGCCCAGAGAUACCUCUCCGUCAUGCGGGGUGACAAAUCCCAGUCUCGAUCCGUGUCAACCCAACAAACACUUUCAGAGAUACCUGUAGUGCACCUUUAUAGUCACCCAGUUACGUUGUGACGUUUGGUACACCCAAAGCACUCUUACGGUAUCCGGGAGUUACACGAUCUCAUGGUCUAAGGAAGAGAUACUUGACAUUGGAAAAGCUCUAGCAAAACGAACUACACUAUCUUGUGCUAUGCUUAGGAUUGGGUCUCGUCCAUCACAUCAUUCUCCUAAUGAUGUGAUCCCGUUGUCAAUGACAUCUAAUGUCCAUAGUCAGGAAACCAUGACUAUCUGUCGACCAACAAGCUAGUCAACUAGAGGCUCACUAGGGACAUGUUAUGGUCUAUGUAUUCACACGUGUAUUAUGAUUUCCGGAUAAUACAGUUAUAGCAUGAAUAAAAGACAAUUAUCAUGAACAAGGAAAUAUAAUAAUAAUCCCUUUAUUAUUGCCUCUAGGGCAUAUUUCCAACAGCUCCAUGCUGAUGGACUUUUGGAGUCUAUCAAUUAUGAAUCAUUUGACACAUGCGAACCAUGCCUCAUGGGCAAAAUGACCAAGACUCCAUUUUCCGGAACAAUGGAGCGAGCAACCAACUUAUUGGAAAUCAUACAUACUAAUGUGUGCGGUCCAAUGAGCGUUGAGGCUCGCGGAGGCUAUCAUUAUGUUCUCACUCUCACUGAUGACAUAAGUAGAUAUGGGUAUGUCUACUUGAUGAAACACACGUCCGAGACCUUCGAAAAGUUCAAGGAAUUUCAGAAUGAGGUAGAGAAUCAACGUGACCGAAAAAUAAAGUUCUUACGAUUAGAUCGUGGAGGAGAAUAUUUAGGUCACGAAUUUGGUACGCACUUAAGGAAAUGUGGAAUCGUUUCACAACUCACGCUGCCUGGAACACCUCAACGUAACGGUGUGUCCGAACUUCGUAAUCGCACUCUAUUGGAUAUGGUGCGAUCUAUGAUGUCACUCACCGAUUUACCACUAUCAUUUUGGGGAUACGCUCUAGAGACAGCUACAUUCACUUUAAAUAGGGCACCAUCUAAAUCCGUUGAGACGACACCUUAUGAAUUAUGGUUUGGGAAGAAACCUAAGCUAUCGGUUCUAAAAGUUUGGAGAUGCGAUGCUUAUGUCAAGAAACUUCAACAUGAAAAGCUCAAACCCAAGUCGGAAAAAUGCGUCUUCAUAGGAUACCCUAAGGAAACCAUUGGGUAUACCUUCUACCUCAGAUCCGAAGGCAAGAUCUUUGUUGCCAAGAACGGGUCCUUUCUGGAGAAAGAGUUUCUCUUGAAAGAAGUAAGUGGGAGGAAAGUAGAACUCGAUGAAGUACUACCUCUUGAACCAGAAAGUAGUGCAGCUCAGGAAAAUGUUCCUGUGGUGCCUACACCGACUGGAGAGGAAAUUAAUGAUGAUGAUCAAGGUACUUCGGAUCAAGUUGCUACUGAACUUCGUAGGUCCACGAGGACACGUUCCACACCAGAGUAGUAUGGCAACCCUGUCCUGGAAAUCAUGUUGUUAGACAACGGCGAACCUUCGAACUAUGAAGAAGCGAUGGCGGGCCCAGAUUCCAACAAAUGGCUUGAAGCCAUGCAAUCCGAGAUAGGAUCCAUGUAUGAAAACAAAGUGUGGACUUUGACAGACUUUCCUGAUGAUCGGCGAGCGAUAGAAAAUAAAUGGAUCUUUAAGAAGAAGACGGACGCGGAUGGUAAUGUUACCAUCUAUAAAGCUCAACUUGUCGCUAAGGGUUAUCGACAAAUUCAAGGGGUUGACUACGAUGAGACUUUCUCUCCUGUAGCGAAGCUGAAGUCCGUCCGAAUCAUGUUAGCAAUUGCCGCAUACUAUGAUUAUGAGAUAUGGCAAAUGGACGUCAAAACGGCAUUCCUUAACGGCUAUCUUAAGGAAGAACUGUAUAUGAUGCAACCGGAGGGUUUUGUCGAUCCUGAGAAUGCUAACAAGGUAUGCAAGCUCCAGCGAUCCAUUUAUGGGCUGGUGCAAGCAUCUCGGAGUUGGAACAUUCACUUUGAUGAGAUGAUCAAAGCGUUUGGGUUUAUGCAGACUUAUGGAGAAGCCUGUGUUUACAAGAAAGUGAGUGGGAGCUCUGUAGCAUUUCUCAUAUUACAUGUGGAUGACAUACUUUUGAUGGGAAAUGAUAUAGAACUUUUGGAAAGCAUUAAGGCCUACUUGAAUAAGUGUUUUUCAAUGAAGGACCUUGGAGAAGCUGCUUACAUAUUAGGCAUCAAGAUCUAUAGGGAUAGAUCGAGACGCCUCAUAGUUCUUUAACAAAGCACAUACCUUGAUAAGAUAUUGAAGAAGUUCAAUAUGGAUCAGUCCAAGAAAGGGUUCUUGCCUAUAUUGCAAGGUGUGAGAUUGAGCUCGGCUCAAUGCCCGACCACGGCAGAAGAUAUAGAAGAGAUGAGUGUCAUCCCCUAUACCUUAGCCAUAGGGUCUAUUAUGUAUGCCAUGCUGUGUAACAGACCUGAUGUAAACCUUGCUGUAAGUUUGGUAGGAAGGUACCAAAGUAAUCCCGGCAAGGAACACUGGACAACGGUCAAGAAUAUCUUGAAGUACCUGAAGAGGACUAAGGAUAUGUUUCUCGUUUAUGGAGGUGACAAAGAGCUCGUCAUAAAGGGUUACGUCGUCGCUAGCUUUGACACAGAUCUGGAUGACUCUAAUUCACAAACCGGAUACGUGUAUAUUUUGAAUGGAGGGGCAGUAAGCUGGUGCAGUUGCAAGCAGAGCAUCCUGGCGGGAUCUACAUGUGAAGCGGAGUACAUGGCAGCCUUGGAGGCAGCGCAUGAAGCAAUCUGGAUGAAGGAGUUCAUCACCGACCUAGGAGUCAUACCCAAUGCGUCGGGGCCAAUCACCCUCUUCUGUGACAACACUGGAGCUAUUGCCCUUGCCAAGGAGCCCAGGUUUCACAAGAAUACCAGGCACAUCAAGCAUCGCUUCAACUCCAUUCGUGAAAAUGUUCAAGAUGGAGACAUAGAUAUUUGCAAAGUGCAUACGGAUCUGAAUGCCGCAUAUCCAUUGACUAAACCUCUUCCGCGAGCAAAACAUGAUCAACACCAGAACUCUAUGGGUGUUCGAUUCAUCACAAUGUAACUAGUUUAUUGACUCUAGUGCAAGUGGGAGACUUUUGGAAAUAUGCCCUAGAGGUAAUAAUAAAAUGAUUAUUAUUAUAUUUCCUUGUUCAUGAUAAUUGUCUAUUAUUCAUGCUAUAAUUGUGUUAUCCGGAAAUCGUAAUACAUGUGUGAAUACAUAGACCACAACAUGUCCCUAGUAAGCCUCUAGUUGACUAGCUCGUUGAUCAACUGAUAGUCAUGGUUUCCUGACUAUGGACAUUGGAUGUCAUUGAUAACGGGACCACAUCAUUAGGAGAAUGAUGCGAUGGACAAGACCCAAUCCUAAGCAUAGCACAAGACCGUGUAGUUCGUUUGCUAGAGCUUUUCCAAUGUCAAGUAUCAUUUCCUUAGACCAUGAGAUCAUGUAACUCCUGGAUACCGUAGGAGUGCUUUGGGUGUACCAAACGUCACAACGUAACUGGGUGACUAUAAAGGUAUACUACAGGUAUCCCCGAAAGUAUCUGUUGGGUUGACACGGAUCAAGACCGGGAUUUGUCGCUUCGUAUGACGGAGAGGUAUCUCUGGGCCCACUCGGUAAUGCAUCAUCAUUAUGAGCUCAAAGUGACCAAGUGUUUGGUCACGGGAUCAUGCAUUACGGUACGAGUAAAGUGAAUUUUCGGUAACGAGAUUGAACGAGGUAUUGGGAUACCGACGAUCGAAUAUCGGGCAAGUAACGUACCGAUUGACAAAGGGAAUUGUAUACGGGAUUACUUGAAUCCUCGACAUCGUGGUUCAUCCAAUGAGAUCAUCGAGGAGCAUGUGGGAGCCCACAUGGGUAUCCACAUCCCACUGUUGGUUAUUGACCGGAGAGUCAUCUCGGUCAUGUCUGCAUGUCUCCCGAACCCAUAGGGUCUACACACUUAAGGUUCAGUGACACUAGGGUUGUAGAGAUAUUAGUAUGAGGAAACCCGAAAGUUUUUCGGAGUCCCGAAUGAGAUCCCGGACAUCACGAGGAGUUCCGGAAUGGUCCGAAGGUAAAGAAUUCUAUAUAGGAAGUCCAGUUUCGGCCACCGGGAAAGUCUCGGGGGUCACCGAUAUUGUACCGGGACUACCGGAAGGGUCCCGGGGUUCCACCAGUUUGGGCCACCUAUCCCGGAGGGCCACGUGGGCUGAAAGGGGAAGGGAACCAGCCCCUGGUGGGCUGGUGCGCCCCCCCUUGGGCCUCCCCUGCGCCUAGGGUUGGAAACCCUAGUGGUGGUGGUGGGGGGGGGGGGCGCCCCACUUGACUUGGGGGGCAAGUCCCCCCCUAGGCCACCGCCCCCUUUGAGAUUGGAUCUCCAGGGCCGGCGCACCCCCUAGCCCCCCUAUAUAAAGAGGGGGGAGGGAGGGCAGCCGCACCCUAGUCCCUGGCGCCUCCCUCUCCCCCCGUACCACCUCUCCCUCUCGCUGAGCUUGGCGAAGCCCUGCCGAGAUCGCCGCUGCUUUCACCACCACGCUGUCGUGCUGCAGGAUCUCCAUCAACCUCUCCUCCCCCCUUGCUGGAUCAAUAAGGAGGAGACGUCUUCCCCAACCAUACGUGUGUUGAACACGGAGGUGCUGUCCGUUCAGCACUAGGAUCAUCGGUGAUUUAGAUCACGACGAGUACGACUCCCUCAACCCCGUUCUCUUGAAUGCUUCCGCUCGUGAUCUACAAGGGUAUGUAGAUGCACUCCUCUCUCUUGUUGCUAGAUGAACUCCAUAGAUUGAUCUUGGCGAAGCGUAGAAGUUUUUUAUUUUCUGCAACGUUCCCCAACACUUCUGGGGUGAUGGUUGUUUGAUCUUGCUGAAAACGACAGAAACUUUGCGUUCACGAAAAUAAUUUUCAUAAAUCACAGAAAAAAGAUUUUGCCCUAAUUCUUUUUGCAGAAGAUUAUAUACAAAUUACAAUGGUCUUCAUAAUUUUGUAGAAUUUUUGGAGUUCCAAAAAUAUUUGAAAGUUCCAUAUUACUACAGACUGUUCUGUUUUGACAGAUUCUGUUUUCUUUGUGUUGUGUGCUUAUUUUGAUGGCUCUAUGGUUUUAUUUGAUGAGUUUUUGCCAUAGAAAAGUUGGAAUACAGUAGAUAUAAUACCAAAAAAAUGAAUUGUUUUGAUACAACACUUAUAGUAGUGGUUUGCUUUCUUAUACUAACGGAUCUCACAAAGGUUUUGUUGAGUUUCGUGUGAUUGAAGUUUUCAAGUUUUGGGUUAUCUUACGAUGGAUGAAAGAAGGAUAGUAGAGCCUAAGCUUGGGGAUGCCCCAACAUCCCAAGAUAUUAUCCAAGAAUGAGAAACCAACUAAGCUUGGGGAUGCCCCCGAGUGGCAUCCCCUCUUUCUUCUAACGACCAUCAGUAUUUUACUCGAGACUAUAUUUUUAUUCGUCACAUGAUAUGUGUUUUGCUUGGAGCGUCUUGUAUAAUAUAUGUCUUUGCUUGUUUUAUUUUGUGUUUUAAGUCAUCAAUACUUGCUGGACACACCUAUUUGAGAGAGCCAAAAUUAUAUCAUGACUUGUUAGAAUUGCUCUCAGUGCUUCACUUAAAUCUGUUAUGAGCAAUGGGCUUGCUCUAGUGCUUCACUUAUAUCUUUUUGAGCACGGUGUGCUUAGUAUUUUUGAAGAAAUGCUCUCUUGAUUCACUUAGAUUAUUUGAGAGUUAGUAAAAUUGUGAAGAAAUUGUCUCUUGCUUCACUUCAAUUAUUUUGAGAGAAAGAAAAUUUUUUAUGCUCAUGAUCUUCACUUAUAUUUGUUUGAGCUUAUGAAAAGCAACACAUGAAAAUUAGUCCCGAAGUGAUAGAUAUCCAAGAAGAAUAAAGUAAAGAAAAAAAUAUAUGUCAUGAAGAUCAUUGGACAAAAUAAACUUGAUUCUUAGUAAUAGUUUUGAGAUAUGAUGAUGUGAUAUGUGAGUUAUGUUGAUGAGUAAUUGUGCUCUAGUAAGAAUAUUGGUGUUAAGGUUUGUGAUUCCCUAUGCAUGCACGAAAGUCAAUAAUCAUGCAAUGAAAAUUAUAUCCUACUUGUGGUGCAUUAUUAGGUGUUAAUUAUGCUUAAUGCUUGCUUAUGAGAUUAUUCGUUUCUUGGUUGGUCGCUUCUCAAUCUUUUUGCAAGCCUUCAUUUUGCACCAAGUAUGAUCUCUACUUGUGCAUCCAAAAUGAGUCCACUAUAUCUACCUAUAUGCGGUAUUCUUUUGCCGUUCUAAGCAAAUUUUCAUGUGACAUCUCUAAUUUUCAAAAUGAACUUCUCUUUUGUGUGUUUGUUUCGCUCGUGGAACGGUAACGGGUGGCUAAUAUUUUCCAUGUUGGAUGUGUUAUUCUCACGAUGAGUGUUUAUUCACUUGUCAUUGCACAAGAGUAAGGCAAAGGUUUUAGGGAUGCUCAGUCCCGAAAUGCAAAAAUGAAUUUACUUUAUGUUGUCAAAUAAUAAAUUCCUUGGAAAGUGUUGGUAUGGAGGGCAACCGUGGAUACGGCUAGCCAUGGAAAUUGAAAGUAUGGUUGAAAAAGGAAUAAACUUUAUUUUCUGUUUGGGAACCGCCUAUGGCAUAUCUAGCAUGGAAAGUGUUCGGAAAUAUGCGUCGUUUUCGUUGGUGGGAUGGAUACACCUCCCAAAAUGUUUUUAUCUCUAAAUUUUUCGCUUUGAGCUCUUGCACCUCUACAAAUCCCUACUUCCCUCUGCGAAGGCCUUUCUUUUACUUUAUGCAAUUUUUAUUUUUGAAUAUGAGUCUCCAUCUUCUCUUAUAAAAGCACCAACUAGGAGGCAAUAUGAUCUUACUUAAGUAUUGGGUGUAGCUAAUAUUCGAGUGUGUUUGAUGAAUGGAUCAAUGUUUGAGCAUGAUGGGCUAGGGAUCACUUGUUUUAGCAUUAAUAUUUUGAAAGACAUAGUUGCUUGUUGAUAUGCUUGAGUAUCUAAAUUAUUAUGUCAAAACUAGACUAUUGCUUUUAAUCACAUAAAAGUCCAAAUGUCCAUGCUAUAAAGAAAAGAAUAUGAUAUGACAUGAUAAACAACACUCAACAUCAAAAAUUCUGUUUGUAUCACUUACCUACUCGAGGACGAGCAGGAGUUAAGAUUGGGGAUGCUGAUACGUCUCCAAUGUAUCUAUAAUUUUUGAUUGCUCCAUGCUGUUUUAUUAUCAAUCUUAGAUGUUUUAUAAUCAUUUUAUAUCAUUUUUUGGUACUAACCUAUUGACAUAGUGCCAAGUGCUAGUUGCUAUUUUCCCAUGUUUUUUACAUCGCAGGAAAUCAAUACCAGACGGAGUUCAAAUGCCAUGAAACUUUACGGAGAUUUUUGAUGGACCAGAAGGAAGAAGUUGGGCCCUGGUUGCACCUGGGGGGAGUCCCGAGGAGGGGACAACCCACCAAGGCGCGCCUGGGCCUCCUGGCGCGCCCUGGUGGGUUGUGCCCACCUCGGGUGCCCCCGGACCGCCUCUUUGCUCUAUAAAUACCCCAAUAUUCCAGAAACCAUAGGGGACUCGACGAAAUAUGCAUACAGCCGCCGUAUAGUCUAGAACCACCAGAUCCAAUCUAGACACCAUCACGGAGGGGUUCACCACCUCCAUUGGUGCCUCUCCGAUGAUGCGUGAGUAGUUCUUCGUAGACUUUCGUGUCCGUAGUUAGUAUCUAGAUGGCCUUCUCUCUCUCAUUGAAUUCUCAAUACAAUGGUCUCUUGGAGACCCAUAUGAUGUAACUCUUUUUGCAGUGUGUUUGUUGGGAUCCGAUGAACUUCGAGUUUAUGAUCAGUUAUAUCUUUUUAUAUCCAUGAAAGUUAUUUGAGUUUCUUUGAUCUCUUAUAUGCAUGAUCUCUUAUAGCGUCGUAUUUCUUCUCCGAUAUUUGGGUUUUGUUUGGCCAACUUGAUCUAUUUAUCUUGCAAUGGGAAGAGAUGCCUAGUAGUGGGUUCGAUCUUAUGGUGCUUGAUCCCAUUGAUAGAAAGGGAACCGACACGUAUGUAUCGUUGCUACUAAGGAUAAAAAGAUGGGAUCUAUAUCUAACGCAAUAGACAAAUGGAUCUUGUCUACAUCAUGUCAUCGUUCUUAUUGCAGUACUCCGUUUUUCCAUGAACUUAAUACACUAGAUGCAUGCUGGAUAGCGGUCGAUGUGUGGAGUAACAGUAGUAGAUGCAGGCAGGAGUCGGUCUACUAAUCUUGGACGUGAUGCCUAUGUAAUGAUCAUUGCCUGGAUAUCAUCAUAAUUAUUUGAAGUUCUAUCAAUUGCCCAACAGUAGUUUGUUCACCCACCGUUUGCUAUCUUUCUCGAGAGAAGCCACUAGUGAAACCUACGGCCCCCGGAUCUUCUUCCUCAUAUAUUUGCCUUUGCGAUCUACUUUUUCCUUGCGUUUAUUUUCAGAUCUAAUAAACCAAAAAUACAAAAAUACCUUGCUAAAAUUUAUUCUUAUUUAUUUUAUUUGGCGUUCGAUCUAUCAAUCUACUACAAAUUUACCUCACGUCCUUUGCCUAUCUUGAGGCACCGUACCCUGAAAGGGAUUGACAACCCCUUUAACACGUCGGGUUGCGUGGUGUUGUUAUUUGUGUGCAGGGGCAGUUUACGUUGUGUUGCUUGGUUCUCGUACUGGUUCGAUAACCUUGGUUUCAUAUCUGAGGGAAAUACGUACCGCCACUGUGCUGCAUCAUCCCUUCCUGUUUGGGGAAAUACUGACGUAGCUUCAAGCGACAUCAUGGCAGGAGGUUGGGCUUGGUCGAACCAUCAACUUGCCCGAGGAUGGGUGAUCCAAGGCCACCAGGUGAGGAUGAGAAUGCUCAUUUGAAGAAAUUGAUCAAGUUUGGUUGUUUGCAAGAGUUCAAGAUAUGGUUGAGUGACUACGCCAUUUGGAACCAUUGGCCGUUCGUUGCUGGUCAUUUGAACCAAAAAGUGCGCUACAUGAUACGUCUCCGUCGUAUCUACUUUUCCAAACACUUUUGCCCUUGUUUUGGACUCUAACUUGUAUGAUUUGAAUGGAGCUAACCCGGACUGACGCUGUUUUUAGCAGAAUUGCCAUGAUGUUGUUUUAUGUGCAGAAAACAAAAGUUCUCGGAAUGACCUGAAACUCCACGGAAUAUCUUAGAAUAAAUAAUAAAAAAUCCUCGCCAAAGAUGAAGACCAGGGGGCCCACACCCUGUCCACGAGGGUGGGGGGCGUGCCCCUCCCCCUAGGCGCGUCCCCUACCUCGUGGCCCCCUGGAUGCCCUCUGACGCCAACUCCGACUCCAUACAUUGGCUUUCGAGGAGAAAAAAACCAGAGAGAAAGUUUCGUCGCGUUUCACGACACGGAGUCCGUUCGGGGCUCCAGAGAGGGGGAUUCGUCGCCGUCGUCAUCAUCAACCAUCCUCCAUCACCAAUUUCAUGAUGCUCACCACCGUGCGUGAGUAAUUCCAUCGUAGGCUUGCUGGACGGUGAUGGGUUGGAUGAGAUUUAUCAUGUAAUCGAGUUAGUUUUGUUAGGGUUUGAUCCCUAGUAUCCACUAUGUUCUGAGAUUGAUGUUGCUAUGACUUUGCUAUGCUUAAUGCUUGUCACUAGGGCCCGAGUGCCAUGAUUUCAGAUCUGAACCUAUUAUGUUUUCAUGAAUAUAUGUGUGUUCUUGAUCCUAUAUUGCAAGUCUAUAGUCACCUACUAUGUGUUAUGAUCCGGCAACCCCGAAGUGACAAUAAUCGGGACCACUCCCGGUGAUGACCAAAGUUUGAGGAGUUCAUGUAUUCACUAUGUGCUAAUGCUUUGUUCCGGUUCUAUAUUAAAAGGAGGCCUUGAUAUCCCUUAGUUUCUAAUAGGACCCUGCGGCCACGGGAGGGUAGGACCAAAGAUGUCAUGCAAGUUCUUUUCCAUAAGCACGUAUGACUAUUUACGGGAUACAUGCCUACAUUACAUUGAUGAACUGGAGCUAGUUCUGUGUCACCCUAUGUUAUGACUAUUACAUGAUGAACCACAUCCGGCAUAAUUAUCCAUCAUUGAUCCGGUGCCUACGAGUUUUCCAUAUACUGGUUUACGCUUAUUUACUUUUUCGUUGCUACUGUUACAAUCAAUACAAAAUACCAAAAACAUUACUUUAUUGUCUUUACUUUCGUUACCGUUACCACCACUAUCAUAUUAUGUUGCUACUAAACACUUUGCCAUAGAUACUAAGUUUCCAGGUGUGGUUGAAUUGAAAACUCAGCUGCUAAUACUUGAGAAUAUUCUUUGGCUCCCCUUGUGUCGAAUCAAUAAAUUUGGGUUGAAUACUGUACCCUCAAAAACUGUUGCGAUCCCCUAUACUUGUGGGUUAUCACUACACCAUCAUAUGUGACAAAGAAGGUUGCCCAUGGAAGGUCCGUGGAAGAAAGAUCAAGGAAACUGGGCAAUGGGAGUUGAAGAGUUGUGUGGCCACCCACGAGUGCAUAUCGCUAGAGAAAGCGGACCGAAGCGAGGGACACCGCCAACUCACGCCCGAGUAUCUAGGCUACAAAUUGUUGAAUGAGAUAUCCCAUUAUCCAACUGUGAAGGUGAUGUUCCUCAUGAGUUUGGUCUUCGAAUGAUUCGGCCAUGAUGUCAAGUAAUAUUCUUCCAAGAAUGUUGGGAGCCAUUGCUUAUCGGAACCCAGGCAUGUGCCAUAGGGCCGAGUCAAUUGAGUGAGUGUUUCGUCGAGAUUUUUGGAGCUUUCGGCAAUGCAUCGAUGCAUUUAGGCAUUGCCGCCCCGUCUUGUCAAUUGAUGGCACGUUCUUGAUCAGAAAGUACAAGGGCACGUUGAUGGUAGCAAUGGCCCACUCGUCCAAUGACAAUGUGUUGCCAGUGGCAUUUGCGUUGGUGCCUUCCGAGCACGAUGAUAAUUUGGACUGGUUUAUGGAUCAUGUGAGGAUGAAGCUGAUUGGCCCCAAAAGAGAGGUGUGCAUCAUAUCGGAUCGCCAUCAUGGGAUUCUCAAAGCAAUAGAAGUUGACAUUCUAGGCUAUUCAAAACUCCAACACCGUUGGUGCAUGAGGCAUUUUGUGGCAAACUUUUACCGUGCAUGCAACAGUAAGGAGUUUUGCAAAGAUCUUACCCAUGUUUGUGUGGCAUUCAACACAGACACAUUCCAAAGCCGCUAUGAUAAACUAUUCAAGGCGUUGGAGAAGAACAAAGGAGGGAGAGAAUUCUUGACAAGGCAUCUUCCAGAGAAGCAUAAGUGGUCACGUGCUUACGACGAAGGAGGUUUCUGAUACGGAGACAUGACAAGUAACAUGGUGGAAUGCUUCAAUAAUGUGCUCAAGGGUGUCCGUUCCUUGCCGGUCACUACAAUAGUGAAAUAUACCUUCUUCAAGCUCAACGGGUAUUUUCUUAGGCAUUCGAAAGUGACAGCCAAAUGGAUAGGUGAGAAAAUGGAAUUUCCCUUCAAAGUUGAGGAUUGGUUGAAGCAUCAAGCGCGCAAGUCUUGGCGUCAACAAAUCGUUAGUUUCAGUGAAAAGGAACAAAUCUACCAAGUCGAUAAGCCGGGUGGCACAACAAGGGAAGGCAUGACAUAUGGUGGAGUAGCAUAUGAGGUGCGCCUCAAGACCCGGUGGUUUCAGUGUGAGAGACCUCACAAGUAUCAUUGGCCUUGCUCGCAUGUGAUGACCGCCACAAGGUUCAGAAACUUGAACGUGUCCGAUGGAACCACCGUGCGGUUGCAUGCGUUCACAUUGGAACGAACCAGGUUGACAUGGGAUCCUAGGUUUCAUCCCUUCCUCGAUCAGUCAUAGUGGCCUGAGUAUGAUGGGCCACACAUCGUCCCCGACCCCAAACUCAUGGAAAAAGAAAGAAGAGGUUUUGGUGUGACAUGGAUGAUCUAGCUGGAUACACCGGAAUGAAACAAUUUGGCAGCGGCCAUUUCAUGGAGGCACCGGACAUCAAUAGUUGUGGUCAAUGUGACGAGUCGAGACACAAUGUUAGAAACUGCACCAGAAAGCCACGGACUGAUGCCAACACUCCGGAUCCCGCUAGUCAAAUAGGUGCCCGAAGAGGAGGUACCGGUGGCACACGAGGAGGUAGGAGUGGUAGUGGACGAGGAGGUAGGAGUGGUGCGCGUGGAGGACGGAUGAAUCUUGGCGGUAGUGGACGAGGAGACACUAUUAGAGGGCAUGGGGUACGGUCGACUCUUAGAGGAGCCGGUGGCCGUGGUCGUAGGAUGAGAAGGGUUGAUAGAGGAAGGCCUAUUGACAUCUUGCUUAACCCGGAUGGUUGAAAUAAUGUGAACGGUACUUAAAUUUAUUGGCUUAAUUUGGUCUUGUUAUUUGUUUUUCUUGCAUAUACACAUGUUAUUUUACUUUACUAACAAUCAAAAUUUUCUUUAUAGGCAUGGCUUUUUCCGGUUCCAUGACGAGGCCCCCGUGUGCUAACCGCGAGGACAUGCCGGACAAGUGGACAGACACCGAGUUGGAUAAGGUAAAGGACAACGAUAUGAGAACUCCAUCAUGUUGGUGUGGAGGUGUUUGCAAAUUUAGGUAUCCACCGACCGCAAGAAAUCAUGGACAAAAGGAAGAAGAUAUUUUGUUUGUCCCAACUAUGCCUAUGAUCGUCCUCGUCCAGCUCACGCCUAUGAUGUACCGCCGGUAAGUUGUUGAAGUUCAAAGAGUAUUCAACCGUUGCUACAACUUAAACCUAUCUAACUAAUGACCACAUUUGUUCUUUAUUCAUACGUAAUCUCCGCCUCCACUUUGUAUGUACUUCACAUGGAUAGAUCAAGAUGUGCCAGAAGAUGUUAAAAAGGAUCAACAUUGAGAUUGUCUAAGGAGGUUGUUUGAAGAAGCAUUUUAGAGAGGCUUGGAUGAAGAGCGUCGUGAAAAGGAGAAGAUGGAGCGAAAGAAGCGUGAGGAGGAGAGGCACGCAAGGAGAAGAUUGCUCGUUAAGAGGAGAGAGAGCAAGAAAGCAUGCAAGGGCUCGUGAAGCCCAAGAGGAGGAUGAGGCAUGCAACAAGAAAGGAAAAUGGCCUCGUGUGACCCAAUAAGGCCUUCGUCUCGAGAAACUUGUCAUGAACUAUGUAUUCUAUCUGAGAAACCUGUGAAGAACUAUGUAUUUGAUUUGUGAAACUUGUAUUGAACUAUGUACUUUAUUUGCGAAACCUUACGUGAACUAUGUCUUUGAUUUCUGAAACUUGUGAUGAAACUAUGUCAUGAACUACAUUUGUUAUGCUACUGUUGCUGUCACUUGAAAUGAUGAACACGAGGAAAAAUAGAGCAAACUCUGCUUUGCUUUGCACACCACCGCCGGAAGCCAUGGCGGUAGGAAAUGAAACCCUACCGCCAUAGGGGGUGGCGGUAGGUUACCGAACUGUCCUGGAAUGGAAACGCUCCCAUGUUCUUUGGUAGGGUUGACCAUCCUACCGCAAAUGCGGACGGUAGUAGGGUUGGCUACCCUACGGCCUGCUCUGCUACCUCCUGCGGCCAAAUGGGUCACAUUUUCGAUGGUAGGGUUGGCCACCCUACGGCCAUUUUUACCGUGACCAAAUUGGCCAUUCUUUUGACGGUAGGGUUGGCCAGCCACUAGCAGACGUCAGUGCUAUACAAAUGGUUUUUAACCCCUUUCGGCGAUGACAUUUGAAUUGUCGCCUAGUGAGUGAUGGCGAUAGGGGGGUAGGGGGUCCUUCCCACAUGACCCAGAAACCGUUGGGGAUAGGGACCCUACAGUACUCCUACUCGUUUCUGCUUGCAUUGCCAUCGCAGUUGCUAUUCUGUGAUGCUACAUUUAUGAUGCGGGACCCAUCACAAACGGUUCACUAUUAUAGAAUGUGUAUGAUGCGUGGCCCAUCACAAACGGUUCACUAUUAAGAAGAUUAGCUAAUCGUCGUACGAGUGUCGAACAUGAUUAUGAAACGUCGGACCGUCGUAACAUCGUCGUACAUGACAACUACCGCACACGCUAUUCCGUGGUGCAAUGUUUAUGAUGCAUACUUCAUCAGAAAUAGUUCAUGGUUGCGAAUCAUGUACGAUAAGGAAACUAACACAAACGUUUAGUUUGCCUGCACCAUUUGUGAUAUUGUCUGACAUCGCACACACUUUGCAAACGGCAACUGCGUGCAUGCUUGCACAUGUUUCCUCUCUGUGAACCAUCUUGGAUUAUGGUGUAUAUCGCAAACGUUUGUGUUUUAACAACCGUGUGUGCCGUAACAACCUAGAGAGCGUAAUUUCACCGUAAUUUAAUUGCUGCUAUUUCAAAUUGUACCAGAUUUGAAUUUGAAUUUGAAUGUAUGCUACAGCUUAAUUCAUAUCCAUCAGGUUCAAACAACCAAUGCAUUAUUCGAUUCAUAGGUACAUAUGUUCAAGAAUUACAUAAGAACCAAAUAAAGAAUGAUGAACCACAGUUGUAUACUUGUACAAUUAAAUACGGUAAAUAAAGAGGAAAAAUACAUUCUGGUUGCCGAACAAGGUGAAGCGGAAUGCCCAUAUUGUGCCCUCCUCCAUGCAGAAGGCACGCACGACUCUAGUCCAACCCCUUGUGAUGGCCGACCACCCAUCUUUCACGGGCUUCAUGAAAACAUCUAGAUAAUCAUCAUGUUCUGGUAGAAAUACUUUAACCUUUGCAUGCCCACCAAUCAGGUAGUUUGAGAGGUAAUCUUGAGUAAACUGCUUUGGCAACCACUGCAAAGGAAAAAGAUUCAGACAUUGUCAUGAAGGAAAUAUGCCCUAGAGGCAAUAAUAAAGUUGUUAUUUAUAUUUUCUUAUAUCAUGAUAAAUGUUUAUUAUUCAUGCUAGAAUUGUAUUAAUUGGAAACUUAGUACUUGUGUGAAUACAUAGACAAAACAAAGUGUCCCUAGUAUUCCUCUACUUGACUAGCUCGUUUAUCAAAGAUGGUUAUGUUUCCUAACCAUAGACAUGUGUUGUCAUUUGUUGAACGGGAUCACAUCAUUAGGAGAAUGAUGUGAUGGACAAGACCCAUUCAUUAGCUUAGCAUUAUGAUCGGUACAAUUUCAUUGCUACUGCUUUCUUCAUGACUUAUACAUGUUCCUCAGACUGCGAUUAUGCAACUCCCGAAUACCGGAGGAACACCUUGUGUGCUAUCAAACAUCACAAUGUAACUGGAUGAUUAUAAAGAUGCUCUAUAGGUGUCUCCAAAGGUGUUUGUUGGGUUGACAUAGAUCGAGAUUAGGAUUUGUCACUCCAUGUUUCGGAAAGGUAUCUUUGGGCCCUCUCGGUAAUGCUCAUCACUAUAAGCCUUGCAAGCAAUGUGACUAAUGAGUUAGUUGUGGGAUGAAGUAUUACAGAACGAGUAAAGAGACUUGCCAGUAACGAGACUGAAUUAGGUAUAAUGAUACCGACGGUCGAAUCUCGGGCAAGUAACGUAUCGAUGACAAAGGGAACAACGUAUGUUAUGCGGUUUGACCGAUAAAGAUCUUCAUAGAAUAUGUAGGAGCCAAUAUGAGCAUCCUGGUUUCACUAUUGGCUAUUGACCGGAGAUGUGUCUCGGUCAUGUCUACGUAGUUCUCGAACCCAUAGGGUCCGCAUGCUUAACGUUCGAUGAUGUUUGGUAUUAUGAGUUAAUGUGAUUUGAUGUACCGAAGGUUGUUCGGAGUCCCGGAUGAGAUCACGGACAUGACUAGGAGUAUCAAAAGGGCCGAGACGUAAAGAUUGAUAUAUUGGAAGGUUAUAUUCGGACACCGGAAUGGUUUCGAAGUGUAUCAGGUAUUUUCCGAAGUACCGGAGGGUUACCGACUUAUCGGACCCCCCCCCCCCGGGGGGUGCCUCAUGGGCCUAGUGGUGGAAGCAAGGAGGCAGGCCAAGGUGUGGUGCACGCCCCCUGAUGAUGAUAUAGACCUAGGGUAGGGCCAUGGACCUGACCUAUACGCCCUACCCAAGGUCACUACCCUAGAAGGAAAGACAGUGAAGAGACAACAGGGAGUACCGAUUGAAGGCAUCUAGUGCAGUCCACUCGACCAGUCAUACCACUUGGGUAACCUUCCCUCCUGAUAUCACUCGACCAUACAAGAAACCACUCGACCUACUGAAGACCAGGAGUCACCCAGGACAGCAACAGUCAAGCGUUCACUCCGUAGUCUUUAAGAUCAUUGAUAGCACUUUAUAGCUGGCGUUAUCAGUAACACCCUAUCUUUAUGUACAUUGAACCCCUGUAACGGAGGUGGGCUGAGUCCUGGCGCACUCUAUAUAAGCCAACCCCUCGUCUGGGACAAGGGUUCGCACCCCCUGUAAUACACACUCCCAUAUUCCAGUCGACCACCUCAGGGCACCGAGACGUAGGGCUUUUACCUCCUCCGAGAGGGGUCUCAACUCGUAAACACUUGCAUACAAUCUCACUUUAGCUAGGACCUUGCCUCCUCAUUCAUACCCCCUAUACUUACUGUCAGAUUUAGUACCACGACAGUUGGCACCCACCAUGGGGCAAAGCGUCUUAGCGACUUCCAGCGAGGUUGCAUUUUCUUCAAUCUUCAUCAGAAUGGUUUCCGGCGGCGGUUUGGUGAUGGGCCACGAGUUCCGACUCGGCCCGCUCACUUUCGUCGCCGACGACUCCGUCUGGCUCUAGGAGCCCCCCCUCGAUGUCGAGGCUCUCCCGAUUCAUGGCUCGUCCCACUUCCGUGCGAGUUCCUACGUUGUCCUCCUUUGGCGGCCGUCGACACCGUACCAGUCGGUCCUCGCAUCAUCGUCUCACUCUGUUGGACGCUGCCGCAAGCGGUCUGGUCGUUGAUACGUCUCCAACAUAUCUAUAAUUUUUGAUUGUUCCAUGCUAUUAUAUUACCCGUUUUGGAUGUUUAUGGGCUUUACUUUACACAUUUAUAUCAUUUUUAGGACUAACCUACUAACCGGAGGCCCAACCCGAAUUGCUGUUUUUUUUUCCUAUUUUAGUGUUUCGAAGAAAAGGAGUAUCAAACGGAGUCCAAAUGGAAUGAAACCUUCGGGAGGGAUCUUUUUGGAACAAACGUGAUCCAGAGAACUUGGAGUGGAAGUCAAUAAACAACUGAGGCAGCCACGAGGGGCCCGGCGCGCCCCCAAGGGCUGGGCGCCCCCCCACCCUCGUUGGCCCGUCGGGCGUCCACUGACCUACUUCUUCCUCCUAUAUAUACCCAUGUACCCCGAAAACAUCAGAAGCGACCACAAAAAACUAUUUCCACCGCCGUAAGCUUCUGUAUCCGUGAUAUCCCAUCUUGGAGCCUUCGCCGGCGCUCCGCCGGAGGGGGAAUCGACCAUGGAGGGCUUCUACAUCAACACCUUAGCCUCUCCGAUCAGUUGUGAGUAGUUUACCAAAGACCUUUGGGUCCAUAGUUAUUAUCUAGAUGGCUUCUUCUCUCUCUUUGAAUCUCAAUACAAAGUUCUCCUCGAUCUUCUUGGAGAUCUAUUCGAUGUAACUCUUUUUGCGGUGUGUUUGUCGAGAUCCGAUGAAUUGUGGGUUUAUGAUCAAGUUUAUCUAUGAGAAAUAUUUGAAUCUCCUCUGAAUCUUUUAUGUGUGAUUAAGUUAUCUUUGCAAGUCUCUUCGAAUUAUCAGUUUGGUUUGGCCUACUAGAUUGAUCUUUCUUGCAAUGGGAGAAGUGCUUCGCUUUGGGUUCAAUCUUGCGGUGUCCUUUCCCAGUGACAGCAGGGGCAGCAAGGCAUGUAUUGUAUUGUUGCCAUCAGCGAUAAAAAGAUGGGGUUUAUAUCAUAUUGCAUGAGUUUAUCCCUCUACAUCAUGGCAUCUUUCUUAAUGCGUUACUCUGUUAUUUAUGAACUUAAUACUCUAGAUGCAUGCUGGAUAACGGUCGAUGUGUGGAGUAAUAGUAGUAGAUGCAGGCAGGAGUCGGUCUACUUGUCACAGACGUGAUGCCUAUAUACAUGAUCAUGCCUAGAUAAUCUCAUAAUUAUUCGCUUUUCUAUCAAUUGCUCGACAAUAAUUUGUUCACCCAUCGUAAUACUUAUGCUAUCUUGAGAGAAGCCACUAGUGAAACCUGUGGCCCCCGGGUCUAUCUCUUAUCAUAUAAGCUUUCAAUCUACUUUUAUUUGCAUCUUUACUUUUCCAAUCUAUAUCAUAAAAUACCAAAAAUAUAUUAUCUUAUCAUAUUAUCUCUAUCAGAUCUCAGUUUCGCAAGUGGCCUUCCCUUUAUUGCGUUGGUUGCGAGUUCUUGUUUGUUUGUGUAGGUGCGUGGGACUUUUGAGGAGCCUCCUACUGGAUUGAUACCUUGGUUUUCAAAAACCGAGGGAAAUACUUACGCUACUAUUGCUGCAUCACCCUUUCCUCUUCAAGGAAAACCAACGCAAGCUCAAGACGUAGCAAGAAGGAUUUCUGGUGCCGUUGCCAGGGAGGUUUUCGCUCAAGUCAAGACAUACCAAGUACCCAUCACAAACUCAUCUCCCUCGCACUUACAUUAUUUGCUAUUUGCCUCUCGUUUUACUCUCCCCCACUUCACCCUUGCCGUUUUAUUCACCCUCUCUUUCCCAAUCUCCUCUCUUUCACUUGCCUUUUUGUUAGCUUGUGUGUUGGAUUACUUGUCGCGAUGGCACAAGAUAAUACCAAAUUGUGUGACUUUUCCAAUACCAAUAAUAAUGAUUUCCUUACUACUCCGAUUGCUCCUCUUAAUGAUGUUGAGUCUUGUGAAAUCAAUGCUGCCUUGUUGAAUCUUGUUAUGAAAGAUCAAUUCUCCGUCCUUCCUAGCGAAGAUGCCGCUACCCAUCUAAACAACUUUGUUGAUUUGUGUGAGAUCAAAAAGAAGAAAGAUACGGAUAAUGAUUUGUUAAAUUGAAGUUAUUUCCAUUUUCACUUAGAGAUCGUGCUAAAGUAUGGUUUUCGUCUUUGCCUAAGAAUAAUAUUGAUUCAUGGAAUAAGUGCAAAGAUGCUUUUAUCUCUAAGUAUUUUCCUCCCGCUAAGAUCAUCUCUCUUAGGAACGAUAUUAUGAAUUUUAAACAACUUGAUCAUGAGCAUGUUGCCCAAUCUUGGGAAAGAAUGAAAUUGCUGAUUCACAAUUGCCCUACUCAUGGUUUGAAUUUAUGGAUGAUCACACAAAAUUUUUAUGCCGGAUUGAAUUUUGCUUCUAGAAAUCUUUUAGAUUCGGCCGUAGGAGGCACGUUUAUGGAAAUCACCUUAGGAUAAGCCACCAAACUCCUUGAUAAUAUUAUGCCUAAUUACUCUGUCACACCCCUAGUUAUGGCCUGACCUAUGCUUGCUUCCAUCUGUGCAUCAUGUUUAAAUUUUUGAAACUUGAACUGAGGAAUUUAGAAGCCUCAAAACCCUAAAUAAAAAGAAGGGCAAAAACCCUAAAAUCUCAUUCAUUGUUCCAAAAUGCUCUUCUUAGAUGUUUAAUAUUUUUGGCAAGGGUUUUGAUCCAAACCAAAAAUAUUGAACAUUUUUAAGGAUUUAUUUUUGGGACUUUGAAUUUAAAUCAUUAGCUAUUUGAAUUUGAAUUAUAUUCAUAUAACUAGAAUAUAAUUUCAAAUACCCCUGAAAUAUUUUAUGAGCUUUUGGAAAAGUCCAUCUAGCAAAAUAAAAAUAUUUAGAGGAGCUUUUGGCAUUGUUUGAAUUAUUUUAAAUUCAAAACAGUGGCAAAAGAUUAAAUAAAAAUAAAACAGAACAGAAAAAUUAAAAAAGAGCAGAAGCCUACCUGUCGCUUACCUGCGCCUCACCUGUGCUGGCCCAGCCCACCCUGCCAGUCCACUUGGCGGCCCAGCCCACCAGGGGCACGGCCGUCUUCAACCUCUGCCUACUGGCAGAGGCGUGUCGACGCGCCGUGGCCGGGCCUCCACCUCCUGCUUCGCCGUGGCAGCCUCCCCGACAUCCUCGCGACGCCACGGAGACACCCAGAGCCUCCCCUCGUUCUCCCCACUCCCUCUGGACCGCUCCCCCCUCCUCUGUCUCCCUCUUCCCCUCUCUUCCCUGUGAGCCCCGAGAGCACGCCGUCGCCGUAGCCGUGGCCAUAGGCCACCACCCGCCCAACCAGCACGGCGAAGAGCUCCACCACGACGCCGUGGAGCUACACACUGACGCAUGCGACCACGGGAGCCCUGCAACGUCAUCCCCGGCCUCAUCUUCAACCUCCGGCCGCCGGUGACUUCGCAGUCGAUUCGCGGGCUCCAGCACUUCCCCGACCUCGUCGUCGACUCUGCUAGUCCCUACGUGAGCCACUCUCCAUUUUCCCCCUGGAAUCCCCAUCGUUCCCCUCCCCUAGCUAGCUUCCCCACCUCCGCCGAGGCUCGCCGCCGCCAUGGUCAACGAGCUCCGCGCUCGUGAGCUCGUCCGCUCGCCCGAGCAUCACCAGCGUGUUCUCCGCGCUCCUGCGAACCCGAAACACCCACGGGUGCUCCCUGCCAUGCCCUAUAGCGCCAUCUCCGUUGUUGCCCGAGCUCCGGCCGCCGCUUUGGAGCUCGCCGUCGUCAGCUCUGGCCUCCCCACAACCCAGCAACCGCACCGUUCGACGCGCGGGAGCAAGGGCUCUCCAACGAGCCCAAGCACGGCCUCGCCCGUGCCCUAUAGCGUGUUUCCGACGGCCGCCACCGUCCCGGGCCUCGCCGGCGUCGAGACGCCGGCGGGAUUGACCCACUUUGACCACGGCGGGACCCCCCCUGUGUCCAUGAUAGGUGGGGCCCAGCCCUGUUAGCUAAUUAGGAUUAGCACUAAUCGAAUUAGUUAAUCUAAUUACCCCCUGCUGACACUGACAGUGGGCCCCGUGGCUAUUAAUUUGAUUAGUUAGAGUUAAUUAACUCUGUUAGUCACCUGAGUCACUGACCAGUGGGCCCCACUGGUCAGGUUUGACCCGGACCAGCCCCUGUUGACCUGCUGACGUCAUGCCAACGUCAUGCUGACGCAGUAAUCUUUUCUGGAUUUAAUUUAAUUCUGAAAAUUCUAGAAAAUAGCUAAAACUUCAAUAAUUCAUAGAAAUUCAACCGUAACUCCAAAUGAAAUAAUAUAUAUAUGAAAAAUUAUCAGAAAAAUUCAAGGAAUCCAUCUGUACUAUUUUCAUGCAUGUUUGAACAAUGUUUGUCCUCUGUUUUGGACAAAAUAAAUUAAGGACAUUUAAAUAAUCAUAUAUGGAGUUGGAAUUUGAAUCAUGUAUUCAAACCAACUUCAUUUAAAUCAUAGCUAGGUGCAUUAGCCCAAAACACAUUCAUAUUGACAUGUCAUAGCAUGCAUCAUAUUGUGCAUUGCAUUGAUCGUGUUUCUUCUGUGUUUGCCGGUGUUGUUCCCCCUCGGUAGACGUUGUACCGACGAUGUGAUCGUUGACACUGAUGAAGACUCAAUGUUAUCUUCAGAAGUGCUAGGCAAGCAAAACCCCCUUGUUCAUUCUGAUAAAAUCCCACUCUCUUGCUCCUGCUCUCUAUUACUGCAUUAGGACAACAACGAUUCAACUGUUACUUGCUGUGGUAGCUGAACCCCUUUAUCCUUUGCAUGACCUGUCAUUCCACAGUAAAUAGAUGAAACCCACUAGCAUGAGUAGGAGUUGUUUGAGCCCUGUUGUGCCUACUCAUUCAUGUUUGUUUGUCAUGCCUGCUAUUGCUUAGAGUUGAGUCAGGUCUGAUUCAUCGGGGAUGAAUCAGAGGCGUGUGAACAUGUCCUACUGUGCGUGAGCUAAGUGUGUGAACACGAUUUGGUAAAGGUAGCGGUGAGAGGCCAUGUAGGAGUACAUGGUGGGUUGUCUCAUUGCAGCCGUCCUCAGGAACUGAGUUCUGUGUUUGUGAUCCAUGACCAGUUACUACCACACAUUGGGUUCCGGUAACUCGACCCCUCUCGACUUAUUAAUCAACAUGAUCUCUGUCCAGGAGUUGCAACUAGUUUCUGGUGUUUGUAGGUAGUGUUAGUAGUCUACCAAGUGGCACCCGGUACAGGUGGGCUUGGGACAGACUAGGCACAGUGGCACGGUGUACCAAGUGGCACCCGGAUGGUGGGCUUGGGAACCCUGCUCACAUCGUUUGGGGCCGUGAGCGACAUCCCGGCCGGAUCUCCUUGCGGAUGGAACCCGAAUAGGCGAUAAACCUGGACUAGAGACUUGUUCGGUUAGUCAGGUCGUGGCCGACUCCCUCGCCCGGCUUCCGCUUGAAGGUUGCCGAGGUACAUGACGUGUACAGGGCGGUAAGUGGCGAGAGCGUGUGUGAAGAAGUACACCCCUGCAGGGUUAACAUCAUCUAUUCGAAUAGCCGAAUUCCUCGGAUAUGGAAACUUGGACCCCUUGUACAGUUCAUAGACAAGUGAAAGUGGAUACCCUAAAAUACGCAAGAUAAGCGUGAGUGCUAUGGAUGGCGUUCUCGUAGGGAGACGGGAGCGGAUCCAUAGUGGUGUAUUGAUAUGGUGAAUAUGUGGACUCGUGUGCGCCACCUCAAAAGAGUUACUUGCAGUCGUAGUUCAGGUUAGCCACCGAGUCAAAGCUGGCUUGCUGCAGUUAAACUCCACCACCCCCUUUGUUGAUAAUGAUGCAUAUGUAGAUAGAUCCGAUGUAAGUCUUGCUGGGUACAUUUGUACUCACGUUGCUUAAUUUAUGUUUUUGCAGAGAGACUUCAGUCUCACUAGUAGUUCCACGUGGACUUCGACGUUUAGCUUGUUACCUCAGCUACGAUCUUGUGCCCUCGGCAGGAUCUGGUAGAUAGUCAGGCUUCUCAGCCUUUUUCAUUUAUAGUUGUCUGUACCCAGACAUGUUAAGCUUCCGCUUGUGCUUUGACUUGUAUGCUCUGAUUGUUGGGUCAUGAGACCCAUGUUUGUAAUAUUCCGCUCCUCGGAGCCUAAUGAAUACUUACUUGAGUUGUAGAGUCAUGUUGUGAUGCCAUGUUGUAUUUCCACAUAUCGAGCAUAUUGUGUGUAUGUUAUUGAAAUGCUUGGUAUGUGUGGGAUCUGACAGCCUAGUUGUUUAUCCUUGGUAGCCUCUCUUACCGGGAAAUGUCUCCUAGUGUUUCCACCGAGCCAUGGUAGCUUGCUAAUGCUCCGGAACAAUUAGGCUGGCCGGCAUGUGUCCUUCUUCGUUCCUGUGUCUGUCCCUUCGGGGAAAUGUCACGCGAUGAAUACGGGAGUCCUGCUAGCCCAGUGCUACAGCCUGGAUUCACUCGCUGAUGACCGACACGUUCGAUGCUGGGUCAUGAAUGCCUGUCCCUGUAAGUUUGUGCCACUUUGGGUUUACGACUAGCCAUGUCAGCCCGGGCUCCUUAUCAUAUGGAUGCUAGCGACACUAUCAUAUAAGUGUGCCAAAAGGCGCAAACGGCCCCGGGCAAAGGUAAGGCGACACCCGUGGGAAUACCGUGCGUGAGGCCGCAAAGUGAUAUGAGGUGUUACAUGCUAGAUCGAUGUGGCAUUGAGUCGGGGUCCUGACAGCGUUGGUAUCAGAGCUUGACUGCCUGUAGGAUUACCAAGCCAAACUGGUCGAAGUGAGUCUAGAAAUUCUUUAGUUAUAUAAGGGAAUUGAUUGUGGGAUGGAACGUAAGGCUCUUUUUACUCCUUUACCUCAUGCCCUUCUGAUCUGAGUCAUCUUAUCUUUCCUACGGGGUUAAGAACUAGGCCUUCUCUUCUUUCUAUCAGGAUCACGUGUUACUAAUCCGUAGACUUAUAAAAUUGUUGGAAUUAAGUCUCAGUUCAGUUUCUACUUCCGUAUGUUAAUUGUUGAUCUCCAAACCUUAUUAUUGUGCUUCUGCGUGGUUAUGCCACCAUUUUUGUGAAUGUCUCAAAUCUUUUCUGAGCAUUUACAGCCGUUAUGCUGUCCGAGUCAUCCCAGGUUUCCAAAGAGUCUGAUGCAUUUGCAAAAUCCUUUUCCUCUGGUUUCAAUGUCUUUCUAGGCCAGGUUAAUCACACAAAUUGUUGAGUUGAGGUACUCUACUGCCUCGACCUAUAUGUUGGAGCUGGUAUUAUGACCCUAGGUGUCUUAGGGGAUCAUCUAGUAAUUUAGCCAUGAUUUGUGUCCCAGUGUGAUGAUUCUGGCCAUCAUUCUCGUAAGCAUCCCGUGAUGCCACUUAGUUAGUAGGCAUUUCACUUCUGGGUUUUCGAACCGAGAUUCACCCUACUUACUUCAUGUUGAUAGUAAUUGCUAGCUCCCUUAGGUUAUUAGUAACCUUUGCGAUAGUCCUUGAAGUCCGUGGUAUCUUCUUCUUCCAAAUUCCAUGAACUAUUUAUGGCAGAAGUUCCUCAUUGAACUGAACGAUCACAACCAGAAUGCUCUUGAUGAGUUCUCCAUUAUAUAUUGUGACUCUGCCAGUUCUACCUUUCUGCAUGGGUUAUCCGGAAGAAUUAUGUUGAACCUGGUUCGACAUACUAAUCUACGCAUCCACAACUCAAAAAGUUAUAUGUUCCUUUGAGUUGUCCCUCUUUUUAGUUGUCUACUGACCUUCGUCUAUCAAUUGAUAGUCAAGAGUAUGCAUGCAUUCGUUUAUCGAUGCCUAUUACUCUUGUGGUCCGUCAAGCCAUUCUAUCGCGGAAUGACUAGGAGAAACAAACUCCAGUACCUCUUCCAUAUCCAGGAUUGGGUCAAAGAAGUUGUGCUCCGCAGAACAAAUUGCUAAUCCAGCUUUUGUUCUGCUCUACCUUGGAGUAUUACCAUCUUUAUAUCGGGAUUGUUAUAGGAAUUGCACACCAUCCUAUGAACUCUUGGUAGUGAUACUUCUCACCAUCAUUAGUCAUUCCUCGGUCCUCGUGUUGAUGCAACCGGAAUACUGACAAAUGAAUUGUGAUGUGUGAAACCAAUACUCCCAGCAACCUCAUUGCUGGGUAGUUAAAGGAUAAUAAUUUCAUUCUUAGCGUGUUGGUUUUUGAAUCAUCCUUCGAAGACUGAUCGUGCUACCUAGUCCUUCUUUCGGUGCACCCUUCGAUUGAUGAGUUAGGAUCUUGUCAAGUCCUCACUCAUUUGAUCAUAUCGUCUUGCCCUCAAAAGCGAGAUUGUUCUCGAGCUUAGUAACAUACCGGUGGUUCGUGAUUUUCUGAAUAUCUUCUCGGAAGUAUUACCAUGUUGUCCCUUGACUGUUAUGUUGAGCUCGUGAUCAAGUUGGUUUCUUGUGAACCACCUUCUCUCCAAGAAUCGGUGCUAGAUAUCCCUGAGCUAGUUGGUUAAGCUAGACAACAACUUGGAGAGUUGGAAGAUAAAAGCUUACCUAACUUAGUUGGUUUCAAAGGGAUAUCCUGGUGUUGGUGUGUUAGUUGAAGAAAGAUGAUAUCUUCAUUGAUUGGUCCCUGUGAUCAGUUAUUAGACCUAUUGUCUUAUAAAAACUUUGAUUUAAGUAUGGGCUAUCGUCAAAUCAAAUCAGAACCAACGAUGUUCGUAAUGUUGUCUUACUCGUGGCUGCCCCUCGAGCAUACACCAUUAUAUCUUUUGGUCUGACCAAUACUAUCACCUUGUUCACAUGAUGGUGGAAGUCCAGUGAUAUGGAAAUUCCGAUGAGUUGUUGCUGAGCCCAUCAGCAGCAUUUUGUCUCCCCCAUGAUUCAUGUUGAACAUCAACCUAGUGUUGGAAACUUUGUAAGCAAUGCCUUCGUGUUCCGUUCAUGAAGCCUAUGCUUGGAUGGAAGAAGUGACUUCCUCUAACUCAUGUGCAUUUGGUGCAAGUUGCCGCCGUGGGUUUGAGAAAGGUUUGUUUUGUUUCCUCUGGAAUCGUCCCAAGUCAGUCAUGCAUGUGCAAAGUAUACUAUGGUUUGGUAGAUUAAUUACCUCCACUCCAUAUGUAUUCCGUAGCACCCCAAGCCACUAAUUGAUUUGUUCAAGGAGAAGGAGUUCCUUCAUAAGAGCUAAUCCGGACUUAUGAAAGAACUUCGAUAUCCUCAAUGAUGGUUCCCUACCCGAACUCGGUAGUGUUUUAUUGUAAGACUACCAUGUGAUCAUGUUUGCCUGGAACAGCGUGUUCACACGUGUGUAGCAGAACCAGCUCAUGCUUUGGAGCUUGCUAUCGUAGUUCAUUUCCCGAGAAUCUCGCAACGUCAUGUCGUCGAUUUGUGUUGCAAACUUUCAUUUUCCUUCCUAGACUCGAUGGGUCUGGAAUAUCCUGACACCAACCAGAUCUGAAUCUCAAGCAGAUAUAAUGGUUGGAACAUUUCCCAAGAACUAUAAUACUGGUCCCUCGAUAACCGGUAAAGUGGAUGUCAUGGCCAACACACCCAGCCGGAAGACCUAUUAUUGUAGUAUCUUGAUUGAAGAAGCUGGCCACCUUCCCAUAAGGACUUCGUAGGAUUUACUCCGUAGUUGUGCCAUAUGAUUUGUUGUGUUCCCGAAGUCCGACCUUUUACUUGAUGUUAUAGAUACCAGACCAUUUCUAUGAAUAGGUUACACUAGCACAUCAAGGAGAACAUUAGAAGCGGAGUGCUAAAUGUCUCUCGGUCGAUCAUCCAGAUUUUGUUUCCUUGGCCUCGCUAAGGUGAAAUCUGAGAAGGUGUUAUCUUCCUUUGCAUCUGCAUCAUCCAUCAUUAGCCAUCAUGGUAGUAUGUUGUGUUGUCAGCACCCUUGACACGGAUGUUGAUAAAACCUUGAUGAUUGUGGAAAUGCUCAAGUUCUUGAGAGCACGCACAAGCGCUACGUGUUAUCAUCGGCACUAACUGGGAUUCCUCUCAGUUUCCUCGGCAAUGCUAUGACCUUUUCAAACAGUGAAUUCACUCUCUAUUGUUGGGUUCUUCCCCAGUUACCAGAAUCAUUCCCAGCAUUUGCAUUUUGUUCCCAGCUUGCACCGCCAAUGUGCCGUUCCACCAUGGGUCUCUUCCAUUUCCGGUGAUAAGCAAAUUCAUCCAUUACGUUGUCUUCAACAAGGUAAUCCACAUCAUCCAAGUUCGAGUAUGCCAUUCUACCGACCCCCGCCAAUCGAUUGCUGUGAUUUGCCUUAGGCUGAUAUAGAGAGUCUCAAUGAUCUCUAUAUCAAAGGUAAUUCUUUUUGCCACUUAAGGUAAUAAUCUACGAAUCACCCUCCUCUAGGAUGUCCCGCUGUGGCAUCAUGGAAACUCAACUCCUCGCUACGUUGACAAUGGUUUACCACCUUUUUAAGUGUGGAAUUAUUGCCCACCUAGUGAACCUUCAUCAUCCGUUUCUUUCCACCCCUCUUGAUGUGUAUCUCGUGUCUCAACCCGAGAGAUAGUUCUACGUCUCAUUCCGUGAGUUGUUCGACCUUCAAGAAGAUCGAUCCUUCUAGAGUUUUCCUUUCCUCUUCUUGUCAUGAUUAGCUAGAGUUCUCAGAGCAAGACAUCAAGACAAUGAUGGUGAUCGAAUCAAUGUUCUUAUGAAGGGCAACCUGGAUCGUGAAGAUUGUGUUAGGUUGCGUUCCCCAUCGUCUUACCCUACACUUGAAUCUCGGGUCGAGAUUCUUGUUUAGUGGGGUUGAGUUGUCACAUCCCUAGUUCUGGCCUGACCUAUGCUUGCUUCCAUCUGUGCAUCAUGUUUAAAUUUUUGAAACUUGAACUGAGGAAUUUAGAAGCCUCAAAACCCUAAAUAAAAAGAAGGGCAAAAACCCUAAAAUCUCAUUCAUUGUUCCAAAAUGCUCUUCUUAGAUGUUUAAUAUUUUUGGCAAGGGUUUUGAUCCAAACCAAAAAUAUUGAACAUUUUUAAGGAUUUAUUUUUGGGACUUUGAAUUUAAAUCAUUAGCUAUUUGAAUUUGAAUUAUAUUCAUAUAACUAGAAUAUAAUUUCAAAUACCCCUGAAAUAUUUUAUGAGCUUUUGGAAAAGUCCAUCUAGCAAAAUAAAAAUAUUCAGAGGAGCUUUUGGCAUUGUUUGAAUUAUUUUAAAUUCAAAACAGUGGCAAAAGAUUAAAUAAAAAUAAAACAGAACAGAAAAAUUAAAAAAGAGCAGAAGCCUACCUGUCGCUUACCUGCGCCUCACCUGUGCUGGCCCAGCCCACCCUGCCAGUCCCCUUGGCGGCCCAGCCCACCAGGGGCACCACCGUCUUCAACCUCUGCCUACUGGUAGAGGCGUGUCGACGCGCCGUGGCCGGGCCUCCACCUCCUGCUUCGCCGUGGCAGCCUCCCCGACAUCCUCGCGACGCCACAGAGACACCCAGAGCCUCCCCUCGUUCUCCUCACUCCCUCUGGACCGCUCCCCCCUCCUCUGGCUCCCUCUUCCCCUCUCUUCCCUGUGAGCCCCGAGAGCACGCCGUCGCCGUAGCCGUGGCCAUAGGCCACCACCCACCCAACCAGCACGGCGAAGAGCUCCACCACGACGCCGUGGAGCUACACACUGACGCAUGCGACCACGGGAGCCCUGCAACGUCAUCCCCGGCCUCAUCUUCAACCUCCAGCCGCCGGUGACUUCACAGUCGAUUCGCGGGCUCCAGCACUUCCCCGACCUCGUCGUCGACUCUGCUAGUCCCUACGUGAGCCACUCUCCAUUUCCCCCCUGGAAUCCCCGUCGUUCCCCUCCCCUAGCUAGCUUCCCCACCUCCGCCGAGGCUCGCCGCCGCCAUGGUCAACGAGCUCCGCGCUCGUGAGCUCGUCCGCUCGCCCGAGCAUCACCAGCGUGUUCUCCGCGCUCCUGCGAACCCGAAACACCCACGGGUGCUCCCUGCCAUGCCCUAUAGCGCCAUCUCCGCUGUUGCCCGAGCUCCGGCCGCCGCUUUGGAGCUCGCCGUCGUCAGCUCUGGCCUCCCCACGACCCAGCAACCGCACCGUUCGACGCGCGGGAGCAAGGGCUCUCCAACGAGCCCAAGCACGGCCUCGCCCGUGCCCUGUAGCGUGUUUCCGACGGCCGCCACCGUCCCGGGCCUCGCCGGCGUCGAGACGCCGGCGGGAUUGACCCACUUUGACCAUGGCGGGACCCCCCCUGUGUCCAUGAUAGGUGGGGCCCAGCCCUGUUAGCUAAUUAGGAUUAACACUAAUCGAAUUAGUUAAUCUAAUUACCCCCUGCUGACACUGACAGUGGGCCUCGUGGCUAUUAAUUUGAUUAGUUAGAGUUAAUUAACUCUGUUAGUCACCUGAGUCACUGACUAGUGGGCCCCACUGGUCAGGUUUGACCCGGACCAGCCCCUGUUGACCUGCUGACGUCAUGCCAACGUCAUGCUGACGCAGUAAUGUUUUCUGGAUUUAAUUUAAUUUUGAAAAUUCCAGAAAAUAGCUAAAACUUCAAUAAUUCAUAGAAAUUCAACCGUAACUCCAAAUGAAAUAAUUUAUAUAUGAAAACUUAUCAGAAAAAUUCAAGGAAUCCAUCUGUACUAUUUUCAUGCAUGUUUGAACAAUUUUUGUCCUCUGUUUUGGACAAAACAAAUUAAGGGCAUUUAAAUAAUCAUAUAUGGAGUUGGAAUUUGAAUCAUGUAUUCAAACGAACUUCAUUUAAAUCAUAGCUAGGUGCAUUAGCCCAAAACACAUUCAUAUUGCCAUGUCAUAGCAUGCAUCAUAUUGUGCAUUGCAUUGAUCGUGUUUCUUCUGUGUUUGCCGGUGUUGUUCCCCCUCGGUAGACGUUGUACCGACGAUGUGAUCGUUGACACUGAUGAAGACUCAAUGUUAUCUUCAGAAGUGCCAGGCAAGCAAAACCCCCUUGUUCACUCCGAUAAAAUCCCACUCUCUCGCUCCUGCUCUCUAUUACUGCAUUAGGACAACAACGAUUCAACUGUUACUUGCUGCGAUAGCUGAACCCCUUUAUCCUUUGCAUGACCUGUCAUUCCACAGUAAAUAGAUGAAACCCACUAGCAUGAGUAGGAGUUGUUUGAGCCCUGUUGUGCCUACUCAUUCAUGUUUGUUUGUCAUGCCUGCUAUUGCUUAGAGUUGAGUCAGGUCUGAUUCAUCGGGGAUGAAUCAGAGGCGUGUGAACAUGUCCUACUGUGCGUGAGCUAAGUGUGUGAACACGAUUUGGUAAAGGUAGCAAUGAGAGGCCAUGUAGGAGUACAUGGUGGGUUGUCUCAUUGCAGCCGUCCUCAGGAACUGAGUUCUGUGUUUGUGAUCCAUGACCAGUUACUACCACACAUUGGGUUCCGGUAACUCGACCCCUCUCGACUUAUUAAUCAACAUGAUCUCUGUCCAGGAGUUGCAACUAGUUUCUGGUGUUUGUAGGUAGUGUUAGUAGUCUACCAAGUGGCACCCGGAUGGUGGGCUUGGGACAAACUAGGCACAGUGGCACGGUGUACCAAGUGGCACCCGGAUGGUGGGCUUGGGAACCCUGCUCACAUCGUUUGGGGCCGUGAGCGACACCCCGGCCGGAUCUCCUUGCGGAUGGAACCCGAAUAGGCGAUAAACCUGGACUAGAGACUUGUUCGAUUAGUCAGGUCGUGGCCGACUCCCUCGCCCGGCUUCCGCUUGAAGGUUGCCGAGGUACAUGACGUGUACAGGGCGGUAAGUGGCGAGAGCGUGUGUGAAGAAGUACACCCCUGCAGGGUUCACAUCAUCUAUUCGAAUAGCUGGAUUCCUCGGAUAUGGAAACUUGGACCCCUUGUACAGUUCAUAGACAAGUGAAAGUGGAUACCCUAAAAUACGCAAGAUAAGCGUGAGUGCUAUGGAUGGCAUUCUCGUAGGGAGACGGGAGCGGAUCCAUAGUGGUGUAUUGAUAUGGUGAAUAUGUGGACUCGUGUGCGCCACCUCAAAAGAGUUACUUGCAGUCGUAGUUCAGGUUAGCCACCGAGUCAAAGCUGGCUUGCUGCAGUUAAACUCCACCACCCCCUUUGUUGAUAAUGAUGCAUAUGUAGAUAGAUCUGAUGUAAGUCUUGCUGGGUACAUUUGUACUCACGUUGCUUAAUUUAUGUUUUUGCAGAGAGACUUCAGUCUCACUAGUAGUUCCACGUGGACUUCGACGUUUAGCUUGUUACCUCAGCUACGAUCUUGUGCCCUCGGCAGGAUCUGGUAGAUAGUCAGGCUUCUUAGCCUUUUUCAUUUAUAGUUGUCUGUACCUAGACAUGUUAAGCUUCCGCUUGUGCUUUGACUUGUAUGCUCUGAUUGUUGGGUCAUGAGACCCAUGUUUGUAAUAUUCCGCUCCUCGGAGCCUAAUGAAUACUUACUUGAGUUGUAGAGUCAUGUUGUGAUGCCAUGUUGUAUUUGCACAUAUCGAGCAUAUUGUGUGUAUGUUAUUGAAAUGCUUGGUAUGUGUGGGAUCUGACAGCCUAGUUGUUUAUCCUUGGUAGCCUCUCUUACCGGGAAAUGUCUCCUAGUGUUUCCACCGAGCCAUGGUAGCUUGCUAAUGCUCCGGAACACUUAGGCUGGCCGGCAUGUGUCCUUCUUCGUUCCUGUGUCUGUCCCUUCGGGGAAAUGUCACGCGAUGAAUACCGGAGUCCUGCUAGCCCAGUGCUACAGCCUGGAUUCACUCGCUGAUGACCGACACGUUCGAUGCUGGGUCAUGAAUGCCUGUCCCUGUAAGUUUGUGCCACUUUGGGUUUACGACUAGCCAUGUCAGCCCGGGCUCCUUAUCAUAUGGAUGCUAGCGACACUAUCAUAUACGUGUGCCAAAAGGCGCAAACGGUCCCGGGCAAAGGUAAGGCGACACCCGUGGGAAUACCGUGCGUGAGGCCGCAAAGUGAUAUGAGGUGUUACAUGCUAGAUCGAUGUGGCAUUGAGUCGGGGUCCUGACAGCGUUGGUAUCAGAGCUUGACUGCCUGUAGGAUUACCAAGCCAAACUGGUCGAAGUGAGUCUAGAAAUUCUUUAGUUAUAUAAGGGAAUUGAUUGUGGGAUGGAACGUAAGGCUCUUUUUACUCCUUUACCUCAUGCCCUUCUGAUCUGAGUCAUCUUAUCUUUCCUACGGGGUUAAGAACUAGGCCUUCUCUUCUUUCUAUCAGGAUCACGUGUUACUAAUCCGUAGACUUAUAGAAUUGUUGGAAUUAAGUCUCAGUUCAGUUUCUACUUCCGUAUGUUAAUUGUUGAUCUCCAAACCUUAUUAUUGUGCUUCUGCGUGGUUAUGCCACCAUUUUUGUGAAUGUCUCAAAUCUUUUCUGAGCAUUUACAGCCGUUAUGCUGUCCGAGUCAUCCCAGGUUUCCAAAGAGUCUGAUGCAUUUGCAAAAUCCUUUUCCUCUGGUUUCAAUGUCUUUCUAGGCCAGGUUAAUCACACAAAUUGUUGAGUUGAGGUACUCUACUGCCUCGACCUAUAUGUUGGAGCUGGUAUUAUGACCCUAGGUGUCUUAGGGGAUCAUCUAGUAAUUUAGCCAUGAUUUGUGUCCCAGUGUGAUGAUUCUGGCCAUCAUUCUCGUAAGCAUCCCGUGAUGCCACUUAGUUAGUAGGCAUUUCACUUCUGGGUUUUCGAACCGAGAUUCACCCUACUUACUUCAUGUUGAUAGUAAUUGCUAGCUCCCUUAGGUUAUUAGUAACCUUUGCGAUAGUCCUUGAAGUCCGUGGUAUCUUCUUCUUCCAAAUACCAUGAACUAUUUAUGGCAGAAGUUCCUCAUUGAACUGAACGAUCACAACCAGAAUGCUCUUGAUGAGUUCUCCAUUAUAUAUUGUGACUCUGCCAGUUCUACCUUUCUGCAUGGGUUAUCCGGAAGAAUUAUGUUGAACCUGGUUCGACAUACUAAUCUACGCAUCCACAACUCAAAAAGUUAUAUGUUCCUUUGAGUUGUCCCUCUUUAGUUGUCUACUGACCUUCGUCUAUCAAUUGAUAGUCAAGAGUAUGCAUGCAUUCGUUUAUCGAUGCCUAUUACUCUUGUGGUCCGUCAAGCCAUUCUAUCGCGGAAUGACUAGGAGAAACAAACUCCAGUACCUCUUCCAUAUCCAGGAUUGGGUCAAAGAAGUUGUGCUCCGCAGAACAAAUUGCUAAUCCAGCUUUUGUUCUGCUCUACCUUGGAGUAUUACCAUCUUUAUAUCGGGAUCGUUAUAGGAAUUGCACACCAUCCUAUGAACUCUUGGUAGUGAUACUUCUCACCAUCGUUAGUCAUUCCUCGGUCCUCGUGUUGAUGCAACCGGAAUACUGACAAAUGAAUUGUGAUGUGUGAAACCAAUACUCCCAGCAACCUCGUUGCUGGGUAGUUAAAGGAUAAUAAUUUCAUUCUUAGCGUGUUGGUUUUUGAAUCAUCCUUUGAAGACUGAUCGUGCUACCUAGUCCUUAUUUCGGUGCACCCUUCGAUUGAUGAGUUAGGAUCUUGUCAAGUCCUCACUCAUUUGAUCAUAUCGUCUUGCCCUCAAAAGCGAGAUUGUUCUCGAGCUUAGUAACAUACCGGUGGUUCGUGAUUUUCCGAAUAUCUUAUCGGAAGUAUUACCAUGUUGUCCCUUGACUGUUAUGUUGAGCUCGUGAUCAAGUUGGUUUCUUGUGAACCACCUUCUCUCCAAGAAUUGGUGCUAGAUAUCCCUGAGCUAGUUGGUUAAGCUAGACAACAACUUGGAGAGUUGGAAGAUAAAAGCUUACCUAACUUAGUUGGUUUCAAAGGGAUAUCCUGGUGUUGGUGUGUUAGUUGAAGAAAGAUGAUAUCUUCAUCGAUUGGUCCCUGUGAUCAGUUAUUAGACCUAUUGUCUUAUAAAAACUUUGAUUUAAGUAUGGGCUAUCGUCAAAUCAAAUCAGAACCAACGAUGUUCGUAAUGUUGUCUUACUCGUGGCUGCCCCUCGAGCAUACACCAUUAUAUCUUUUGGUCUGACCAAUACUAUCACCUUGUUCACAUGAUGGUGGAAGUCCAGUGAUAUGGAAAUUCCGAUGAGUUGUUGUUGAGCCCAUCAGCAGCAUUUUGUCUCCCCCAUGAUUCAUGUUGAACAUCAACCUAGUGUUGGAAACUUUGUAAGCAAUGCCUUCGUGUUCCGUUCAUGAAGCCUAUGCUUGGAUGGAAGAAGUGACUUCCUCUAACUCAUGUGCAUUUGGUGCAAGUUGCCGCCGUGGGUUUGAGAAAGGUUUGUUUUGUUUCCUCUGGAAUCGUCCCAAGUCAGUCAUGCAUGUGCAAAGUAUACUAUGGUUUGGUAGAUUAAUUACCUCCACUCCAUAUGUAUUCCGUAGCACCCCAAGCCACUAAUUGAUUUGUUCAAGGAGAAGGAGUUCCUUCAUAAGAGCUAAUCCGGACUUAUGAAAGAACUUCGAUAUCCUCAAUGAUGGUUCCCUACCCGAACUCGGUAGUGUUUUAUUGUAAGACUACCAUGUGAUCAUGUUUGCCUGGAACAGCGUGUUCACACGUGCGUAGCAGAACCAGCUCAUGCUUUGGAGCUUGCUAUCAUAGUUCAUUUCCCGAGAAUCUCGCAACGUCAUCUCGUCGAUUUGUGUUGCAAACUUUCAUUUUCCUUCCUAGACUCGACGGGUCUGGAAUAUCCUGACCCCAACCAGAUCUGAAUCUCAAGCAGAUAUAAUGGUUGGAACAUUUCCCAAGAACUAUAAUACUGGUCCCUCGAUAACCGGUAAAGUGGAUGUCAUGGCCAACACACCCAGCCGGAAGACCUAUUAUUGUAGUAUCUUGAUUGAAGAAGCUGGCCACCUUCCCAUAAGGACUUCGUAGGAUUUACUCCCUAGUUGUGCCAUAUGAUUUUUUGUGUUCCCGAAGUCCGAACUUUUACUUGAUGUUAUAGAUACCAGACCAUUUCUAUGAAUAGGUUACACUAGCACAUCAAGGAGAACAUUAGAAGCGGAGUGCUAAAUGUCUCUCGGUCGAUCAUCCAGAUUUUGUUUCCUUGGCCUCGCUAAGGUGAAAUCUAAGAAGGUGUUAUCUUCCUUUGCAUCUGCAUCAUCCAUCAUUAGCCAUCAUGGUAGUAUGUUGUGUUGUCAGCACCCUUGACACGGAUGUUGAUAAAACCUUGAUGAUUGUGGAAAUGCUCAAGUUCUUGAGAGCACACACAAGCGCUAUGUGUUAUCAUCGGCACUAACUGGGAUUCCUCUCAGUUUCCUCGGCAAUGCUAUGACCUUUUCAAACAGUGAAUUCACUCUCUAUUGUUGGGUUCUUCCCCAGUUACCAGAAUCAUUCCCAGCAUUUGCAUUUUGUUCCCAGCUUGCACCGCCAAUGUGCCAUUCCACCAUGGGUGUCUUCCAUUUCCGGUGAUAAGCAAAUUCAUCCAUUACGUUGUCUUCAACAAGGUAAUCCACAUCAUCCAAGUUCGAGUAUGCCAUUCUACCGACCCCCGCCAAUCGAUUGCUGUGAUUUGCCUUAGGCUGAUAUAGAGAGUCUCAAUGAUCUCUAUAUCAAAGGUAAUUCUUUUUGCCACUUAAGGUAAUAAUCUACGAAUCACCCUCCUCCAGGAUGUCCCGCUGUGGCAUCAUGGAAACUCAACUCCUCGCUACGUUGACAAUGGUUUACCACCUUUUUAAGUGUGGAAUUAUUGCCCACCUAGUGAACCUUCGUCAUCCGUUUCUUUCCGCCCCUCUUGAUGUGUAUCUCGUGUCUCAACCCGAGAGAUAGUUCUACGUCUCAUUCCGUGAGUUGUUCGACCUUCGAGAAGAUCGAUCCUUCUAGAGUUUUCCUUGCCUCUUCUUGUCAUGAUUAGCUAGAGUUCUCAGAGCAAGACAUCAAGACAAUGAUGGUGAUCGAAUCAAUGUUCUUUUGAAGGGCAACCUGGAUCGUGAAGAUUGUGUUAGGUUGCGUUCCCCAUCGUCUUACGCUACACUUGAAUCUCGGGUCGAGAUUCUUGUUUAGUGGGGGUGAGUUGUCACAUCCCUAGUUCUGGCCUGACCUAUGCUUGCUUCCAUCUGUGCAUCAUGUUUAAAUUUUUGAAACUUGAACUGAGGAAUUUAGAAGCCUCAAAACCCUAAAUAAAAAGAAGGGCAAAAACCCUAAAAUCUCAUUCAUUGUUCCAAAAUGCUCUUCUUAGAUGUUUAAUAUUUUUGGCAAGGGUUUUGAUCCAAACCAAAAAUAUUGAACAUUUUUAAGGAUUUAUUUUUGGGACUUUGAAUUUAAAUCAUUAGCUAUUUGAAUUUGAAUUAUAUUCAUAUAACUAGAAUAUAAUUUCAAAUACCCCUGAAAUAUUUUAUGAGCUUUUGGAAAAGUCCAUCUAGCAAAAUAAAAAUAUUCAGAGGAGCUUUUGGCAUUGUUUGAAUUAUUUUAAAUUCAAAACAGUGGCAAAAGAUUAAAUAAAAAUAAAACAGAACAGAAAAAUUAAAAAAGAGCAAAAGCCUACCUGUCGCUUACCUGCGCCUCACCUGUGCUGGCCCAGCCCACCCUGCCAGUCCACUUGGCGGCCCAGCCCACCAGGGGCACCACCGUCUUCAACCUCUGCCUACUGGCAGAGGCGUGUCGACGCGCCGUGGCCGGGCCUCCACCUCCUGCUUCGCCGUGGCAGCCUCCCCGACAUCCUCGCGACGCCACGGAGACACCCAGAGCCUCCCCUCGUUCUCCCCACUCCCUCUGGACCGCUCCCCCCUCCUCUGGCUCCCUCUUCCCCUCUCUUCCCUGUGAGCCCCGAGAGCACACCGUCGCCGUAGCCGUGGCCAUAGGCCACCACCCGCCCAACCAGCACGGCGAAGAGCUCCACCACGACGCCGUGGAGCUACACACUGACGCAUGCGACCACGGGAGCCCUGCAACGUCAUCCCCGGCCUCAUCUUCAACCUCCGGCCGCCGGUGACUUCGCAGUCGAUUCGCGGGCUCCAGCACUUCCCCGACCUCGUCGUCGACUCUGCUAGUCCCUACGUGAGCCACUCUCCAUUUUCCCCCUGGAAUCCCCGUCGUUCCCCUCCCCUAGCUAGCUUCCCCACCUCCGCCGAGGCUCGCCGCCGCCAUGGUCAGCGAGCUCCGCGCUCGUGAGCUCGUCCGCUCGCCCGAGCAUCACCAGCGUGUUCUCCGCGCUCCUGCGAACCCGAAACACCCACGGGUGCUCCCUGCCAUGCCCUAUAGCGCCAUCUCCGCUAUUGCCCGAGCUCCGGCCGCCGCUUUGGAGCUCACCGUCGUCAGCUCUGGCCUCCCCACGACCCAGCAACCGCACCGUUCGACGCGCAGGAGCAAGGGCUCUCCAACGAGCCCAAGCACGGCCUCGCCCGAGCCCUGUAGCGUGUUUCCGACGGCCGCCACCGUCCCGGGCCUCGCCGGCGUCGAGACGCCGGCGGGAUUGACCCACUUUGACCAUGGCGGGACCCCCCCUGUGUCCAUGACAGGUGGGGCCCAGCCCUGUUAGCUAAUUAGGAUUAGCACUAAUCGAAUUAGUUAAUCUAAUUACCCCCUGCUGACACUGACAGUGGGCCCCGUGGCUAUUAAUUUGAUUAGUUAGAGUUAAUUAACUCUGUUAGUCACCUGAGUCACUGACCAGUGGGCCCCACUGGUCAGGUUUGACCCGGACCAGCCCCUGUUGACCUGCUGAUGUCAUGCCAACGUCAUGCUGACACAGUAAUGUUUUCUGGAUUUAAUUUAAUUCUGAAAAUUCCAGAAAAUAGCUAAAACUUCAAUAAUUCAUAGAAAUUCAACCGUAACUCCAAAUGAAAUAAUUUAUAUAUGAAAAAUUAUCAGAAAAAUUCAAGGAAUCCAUCUAUACUAUUUUCAUGCAUGUUUGAACAAUUUUUGUCCUCUGUUUUGGACAAAACAAAUUAAGGGCAUUUAAAUAGUCAUAUAUGGAGUUGGAAUUUGAAUCAUGUAUUCAAACGAACUUCAUUUAAAUCAUAGCUAGGUGCAUUAGCCCAAAACACAUUCAUAUUGCCAUGUCAUAGCAUGCAUCAUAUUGUGCAUUGCAUUGAUCGUGUUUCUUCUGUGUUUGCCGGUGUUGUUCCCCCUCGGUAGACGUUGUACCGACGAUGUGAUCGUUGACACUGAUGAAGACUCAAUGUUAUCUUCAGAAGUGCCAGGCAAGCAAAACCCCCUUGUUCAUUCCGAUAAAAUCCCACUCUCUCGCUCCUGCUCUCUAUUACUGCAUUAGGACAACAACGAUUCAACUGUUACUUGCUGCGGUAGCUGAACCCCUUUAUCCUUUGCAUGACCUGUCAUUCCACAGUAAAUAGAUGAAACCCAAUAGCAUGAGUAGGAGUUGUUUGAGCCCUGUUGUGCCUACUCAUUCAUGUUUGUUUGUCAUGCCUGCUAUUGCUUAGAGUUGAGUCAGGUCUGAUUCAUCGGGGAUGAAUCAGAGGCGUGUGAACAUGUCCUACUGUGCGUGAGCUAAGUGUGUGAACACGAUUUGGUAAAGGUAGCGGUGAGAGGCCAUGUAGGAGUACAUGGUGGGUUGUCUCAUUGCAGCCGUCCUCAGGAACUGAGUUCUGUGUUUGUGAUCCAUGACCAGUUACUACCACACAUUGGGUUCCGGUAACUCGACCCCUCUCGACUUAUUAAUCAACAUGAUCUCUGUCCAGGAGUUGCAACUAGUUUCUGGUGUUUGUAGGUUUAGUAGUCUACCAAGUGUCACCCGGAUAGUGGGCUUGGGAUAGACUAGGCACAGUGGCACGGUGUACCAAGUGGCACCCGGAUGGUGGGCUUGGGAACCCUGCUCACAUCGUUUGGGGCCGUGAGCGACACCCCGACCGGAUCUCCUUGCGGAUGGAACCCGAAUAGGUGAUAAACCUGGACUAGAGACUUGUUCGGUUAGUCAGGUCGUGGCCGACUCCCUCGCCCGGCUUCCGCUUGAAGGUUGCCGAGGUACAUGACGUGUACAGGGCGGUAAGUGGCGAGAGCGUGUGUGAAGAAGUACACCCCUGCAGGGUUAACAUCAUCUAUUCGAAUAGCCGGAUUCCUCGGAUAUGGAAACUUGGACCCCUUGUACAGUUCAUAGACAAGUGAAAGUGGAUACCCUAAAAUACGCAAGAUAAGCGUGAGUGCUAUGGAUGGCAUUCUCGUAGGGAGACGGGAGCGGAUCCAUAGUGGUGUAUUGAUAUGGUGAAUAUGUGGACUCGUGUGCGCCACCUCAAAAGAGUUACUUGCAGUCGUAGUUCAGGUUAGCCACCGAGUCAAAGCUGGCUUGCUGCAGUUAAACUCCACCACCCCCUUUGUUGAUAAUGAUGCAUAUGUAGAUAGAUCUGAUGUAAGUCUUGCUGGGUACAUUUGUACUCACGUUGCUUAAUUUAUGUUUUUGCAGAGAGACUUCAGUCUCACUAGUAGUUCCACGUGGACUUCGACGUUUAGCUUGUUACCUCAGCUACGAUCUUGUGCCCUCGGCAGGAUCUGGUAGAUAGUCAGGCUUCUCAGCCUUUUUCAUUUAUAGUUGUCUGUACCCAGACAUGUUAAGCUUCCGCUUGUGCUUUGACUUGUAUGCUCUGAUUGUUGGGUCAUGAGACCCAUGUUUGUAAUAUUCCGCUCCUCGGAGCCUAAUGAAUACUUACUUGAGUUGUAGAGUCAUGUUGUGAUGCCAUGUUGUAUUUGCACAUAUCGAGCAUAUUGUGUGUAUGUUAUUGAAAUGCUUGGUAUGUGUGGGAUCUGACAGCCUAGUUGUUUAUCCUUGGUAGCCUCUCUUACCGGGAAAUGUCUCCUAGUGUUUCCACCGAGCCAUGGUAGCUUGCUACUGCUCCGGAACACUUAGGCUGGCCGGCAUGUGUCCUUCUUCGUUCCUGUGUCUGUCCCUUCGGGGAAAUGUCACGCGAUGAAUACCGGAGUCCUGCUAGCUCAGUGCUACAGCCUGGAUUCACUCACUGAUGACCGACACGUUCGAUGCUGGGUCAUGAAUGCCUGUCCCUGUAAGUUUGUGCCACUUUGGGUUUACGACUAGCCAUGUCAGCCCGGGUUCCUUAUCAUAUGGAUGCUAGCGACACUAUCAUAUACGUGUGCCAAAAGGCGCAAACGGUCCCGGGCAAAGGUAAGGCGACACCCGUGGGAAUACCGUGCGUGAGGCCGCAAAGUGAUAUGAGGUGUUACAUGCUAGAUCGAUGUGUCAUUGAGUCGGGGUCCUGACAUAUUCUCAAUGGCACACCGAAAGAUCUACUAGUAAAGAAGUGCAUGCUAUAGAAGAAAUUAAUGUUUUGAGUGGAAAGAUGGAUGAACUUAUGAAAUUGUUUGCUACUAAGAGUGCUUCUAUUGAACCCAAUGAUAUGCCUUUGUCUACUUUGAUUGAGAAUAAUAAUGAAUCUAUGGAUGUGAAUUUUGUUGGUAGGAAUAAUUUUGGUAACAAUGUUUAUAGAGGAAACUUUAAUCCUAGACCAUUCCCUAGUAAUUCCUCUAAUAAUUAUGGAAAUUCCUACAAUAAUUCUUAUGGUAAUUUUAAUAAGAUUCCCUCUUAUUUUGAGAAUGGUGUCAAAGAAUUUAUGAUCUCUCAAAAGAAUUUUAAUGCCAUGCUUGAAUAAAAAUUGCUUAAAGUUGAUGAUUUGGCUAGGAACGUUGAUAGACUUUCGCUUGAUGUUGAUUCUUUGAAACUUAGAUCUACUCCUCCCAAGCAUGAAAUCAAUGAGUCUCUCAAAGCUAUGAGAAUUUCCAUUGAUGAGUGCAAAGAAAGAACCGCUAGAUUGCGUGCUAAGAAAGAUUGCUUUGUAAAGGCGUGUUCUUCUAGUUUCCAUGAAAAUAAUGACGAAGAUCUUAAAGUUAUUGAUGUGUCCCCUAUUAGAUCUUUGUUUUGCAAUAUGAAUCUUAAUAAUGAUGGGACUAGAGAUGAGUCAACUUUAGUUAAAAGGCGUCCCAAUGAUUCGGUGUUCUUAGAUCUUGAUGCUAAAUUUGGUAAAAGUAGGAUUGGAGAGGUCAAGACUUUAAAUAGAAUUGAUCCCACUAUCUUGGGUUUCAAGGAAUUUAAUUAUGAUAAUUUUUCUUUAGUACAUUGUAUUUCCUUGUUGCAAUCGGUCGUGAAUUCUCCUCAUGCUUAUAGUCAAAAUAAAGCUUUUACCAAACAUAUUGUUGAUGCCUUGAUGCAAUCUUAUGAUGAAAAACUUAAUUUGGAAGUUUCUAUACCUAGAAAACUUAAUGAUAAGUGGGAACCUACUAUAAAGAUUAAAAUUAAAGAUCAUGAGUGUUAUGAUUUAUGUGAUUUGGGUGCUAGUGUUUCCACGAUUCCGAAAACUUUAUGUGAUAUUCUAGGUUUCCAUGAUCUUGAUGAUUGCUCUUUAAAUUUGCACCUUGCGGAUUCCACCAUUAAAAAGCCUAUGGGAAGGAUGAAUGAUGUUCUUAUUAUUGCAAAUAGGAAUUUGGUGCCCGUAGAUUUUAUCGUUCUUGAUAUAGAUUGCAAUCUUUCAUGUCCUAUUAUUCUUGGUAGACCUUUCCUUAGAACGACUAGCGCGAUUAUUGAUAUAAAGGAAGGGAAUAUUAGAUUGCAAUUCCCAUUAAGGAAAGGCAUGGAGCACUUUCCAAGAAAGAAAGUAAAAUUACCUUAUGAAUCUAUCAUGCGAGGUACUUAUGAAUCGAGUGCCAAAGAUGGCACUACUUAGAUCUAUCCUCGCUUUUAUGCCUAGCUAGGGGCGUUAAACAAUAGCGCUAGUCGGGAGGCAACCCAAUUUUAUCUUUGUUUUUUGUUUUUGCUUUUGUUUAGUAAUAAAUUUAUCAUCUACCUUCCGUUUAGAUGUGUUUGUAUGUUUUAAUUAGUGUUUUUGCCAAGUGGAACCUAUAGGAUAACCUAUGGUGAUAGUUAAUUUGAUUCUGCUGAAAAACAGAAACUUUGCGCGCACGAAAAUAAUUUUAGUAAUUCACAGAAACGCGAUUUUGUGUUGAUUCUAUUUUAUGUAGAUCAAUAGACAAAUUUUCCAGGACUUCCUAUUUUUGUAGGAUUUUUAGAGUUCCAGAAGUAUUCGGGAGUUACAGAUUGCUACAAAUUGUUCUAUUUUUGAUAGAUUCUGCUUUUCUUGUGUUGUUUGCUUAUUUUGACGCAUCUAUGGCUAGUAUGUAGGGGUAUGAACCAUAGAGAACUUGGAAUACAGUAGUUUUAACACCAAUAUAAAUAAAGAAUGAGUUCAUUACAGUACCUUAUGUGGUGGUUUUUCUUUCUUGCACUAACGAAGCUUAUGAGAUUUCCUAUUGAGUUUUGUGUUGUGAAGUUUUCAAGUUUUGGGUAAAGAUUUGAUGGACUAUGGAAUAAGGAGUGGCAAGAUCCUAAGCUUGGGAAUGCCCAUGGCACCCCAAGAUAUUCAAGAAUAGCCAAAAGCCUAAGCUUGGGGAUGCCCCGGGAAGGCAUCCCCUCUUUCGUCUUCGUCUAUCGGUAACUUUACUUGGAGCUAUAUUUUUAUUCGCCACAUGAUAUGUGUUUUGCUUGGAGCGUCUUGUAUGAUAUUAGCCUUUGCUUUUUAGUCUACCACAAUGAUCCUUGCUGUACACACCUUUUGGGAGAAACCCACUUGAUAUAAUUUAUUAGAAUACUCUAUGUGCUUCACUUAUAUCUUUUGAGCUAGAUAGUUUUUACUUUAGUACAUCACUUAUAUCUUUUAGAGCACGGCGGUGGCUUAAUUUUGUAGAAAUUGUUAAUCUCUCAUACUUCACUUAUAUUAUUUUGAGGGUCUCUUAGAACAGCAUGGUAUUUGCUAUGGUUAUAAAAUUGGUCCUAGAAUGAUGGGCAUCCAAGUUGGGUAUAAUAAAAACUAUCAUAGAAAGUGAAUUGGAUGUUAUGAUCAAUUUGAUACUUGAUAAUUGUUUUGAGAUAUUAGGAUGGUGAUAUUAGAGUCAUGCUAGUUGGGUGAUUAUGAAUUUAAAGAAUACUUGUGUUGAGGUUUGUGAUUCCCGUAGCAUGCACGUAUGGUGAACCGCUUUGUGAUGAAGUUGGAGCACAAUUUUAUUUAUUGAUUGUCUUGCUUAUGAGUGGCGGUCGGUGAUGAGCGAUGGUAUUUUCCUACCAAUCUAUCCCCCUAUGAGCAUGCGCAUAGUGCUUUGUUUUUGAUGACUUGUAGAUUUUUGCAAUAAGUAUAUGAGUUUUUUUAUGACUACUGUUGAGUCCAUGGAUUAUACGCACUCUAAUCCUUGCACCAUUGCUAGCCUCUCUUAUGCCGCGCAACUUUCACCGGUACCAUACACCCACCAUAUACCUUCCUCAAAACAGCCACCAUACCUACCUAUUAUGGCAUUUCCAUAGCCAUUCCGAGAUAUAUUGCCAUGCAACUUUCCACCAUUCCGUUUAUUAUGACACACAUCAUCAUUAUCAUAUUGCUCUUUGCAUAAUCAUGUAGUUGACAUCAUAUUUGUGGCAAGGCCACCUUCAUAAUUUUCAUACAUGUCACUCUUGAUUCAUUGCAUAUCCCAGUACACCGCCGGAGGCAUUCACAUAGAGUCAUAUCUUGUUUAAGUGUUGAGUUGUAAUCUUGAGUUGUAAGUAAAUAAAAGUGUGAUGAUCUUCAUUAUUAGAGCAUUGUCCCAGUCAGGAAAAGAUGAUGGAGACUAAUUCCCCCACAAGUCGGGAUGAGACUUCAGACUUUAUAAAAAAAGAAAGAAAAAAAGAGAAAAAGCCAAAUAAAAAGAAAGGAAAAGGCCCCAAAAAAUAAAAAAAAAGAGAAAAAGAAAAAGAAAAAAGGAAAAAAUGAAAUGAGAGAAAAAGAGAGAAGGGACAAUGCUACUAUCCUUUUUACCACACUUGUGCUUCAAAGUAGCACCAUGAUCUUCAUGAUAGAGAGUCUCCUAUGUUGUCACUUUCAUAUACUAGUGGGAAUUUUUUAUUAUAGAACUUGGAUUGUAUAUUCCAAUGAUGGGGUUCCACAAAGUGCGCUAGGUCUUCGUGAGCAAGCGAGUUGGAUGCACACCCACUUAGUUUCUUUUGUUGAGCUUUCAUACAUUUAUAGCUCUAGUGCAUAUGUUGCAUGGCAAUCCCUACUCACUCACAUUGAUAUCUAUUAAUGGGCAUCUCCAUAGCCCGUUGAUACGCCUAGUUGAUGUGAGACUAUCUCUCUGUUUUUGUCUUCUCCACAACCACCACUCUAUUCCACAUAUAGUGCUAUGUCCAUGGCUCACGCUCAUGUAUUGCGUGAAAGUUGAAAAAUUUGAGAUUACUAAGUAUGAAACAAUUGCUUGGCUUGUCAUCGGGGUUGUGCAUGAUUAAAUGCAUUGUGUGAUGAAGAUAGAGCAACAGCCACACUAUAUGAUUUUGUAGGGAUAACUUUCUUUAGCCAUGUUAUUUUCAGAAGACAUGAUUACUUUGAUUAGUAUGCUUGAAAUAUUACUACUUCUUAUGUCAAUAUGAACUUUUAUUUUGAAUCAUUUGGAUCUGAACACUCAUGCCACAAUAAAGAAAAUUACAUUGAGAAUUAUGCUAGGUAGCAUUCCACAUCAAAAAUUCUGUUUUUAUCAUUUACCUACUUGAGGACGAGCAGGAAUUAAGCUUGGAGAUGCUUGAUAUGUCUCCAACGUAUCUAUAGUUUUUGAUUGUUCCAUGCUAUUAUAUUACCCGUUUUGGAUGUUUAUGGGCUUUACUUUACACAUUUAUAUCAUUUUUGGGACUAACCUACUAACCGGAGGCCCAACCUGAAUUGCUGUUUUUUUGCCUAUUUCAGUGUUUCGAAGAAAAGGAAUAUCAAACGGAGUCCAAACGGAAUGAAACCUUUGGGAGCGAUCUUUUUGGAACAAACGUGAUCCAGAUGACUUGGAUUGGAAGUCAAGAAACAACCCCGAGGCAGCCAUGAGGGUGCCCGGCGCCCCCCUUAGGGCUAGGUGCGCCCCCCACCCUCGUGGGCCCCUCGGGCGUUGAUACGUCUCCAACGUAUCUAUAAUUUUUGAUUGCUCCAUGCUAUUAUAUUACCCCUUUUGGAUGUUUAUGGGCUUUAUUUUACACAUUUAUAUCAUUUUUGGGACUAACCUACUAACCGGAGGCCCAGCCCGUAUUGCUGUCUUUUUUGCCUAUUUCAGUAUUUCGAAGAAAAGGAAUAUCAAACGGAGUCCAAACGUAAUGAAACCUUCGAGACCGUGAUUUUUGGAACAAACAUGAUCCAGAGGACUUGGAGUGCAAGCCAAGAAGCAGCCGAGGCAGCCACAAGAUAGGAGGGCGCGCCCACCCCCUCUGGGCACGCCCCCUAUCUCGUGGGCCUCUCGGGCGGCCACCGGCGUACUUCUUCCUCCUAGAUAUACCCACGUACCGUGAAAACAUCCAGGGAGCCAACGAAAAACAAUUUCCACCGUCGUAACCUUCUGUAUCCGCGAGAUCCCAUCUUGGAGCCUUCACCGGCGCUCCGUCGGAGGAGGAAUCGACCAUGGAGGGCUUCUACAUCAACACCAUAGCCCCUCCCACUACUAGGGAAAAGCCUAUACACAGAAUCUUAUCAGCAGCGCGCUUUAAAAUAAGGCGCUGCUGCUAAUUAGCAGUAGCGUGCUCAGGAGUAACUCGCUGCUGAAACCAAUAUAGCAGUAGCGCGCCCGCUCAAAGACGCGCUACUGCUAUAAUUCCCACGAGGCCGCCACGAGGCUAGUUAUAGCAGCAACGUGUUAUAACGACGGGCGCUACUGCUACGUAGCAUAGUAGCAGCGCAUUUCUGCAAUAAGCGCUACUGCUAAAUUUACUACAAAAAUUUAGCCCCAUCUCCUCUAUCCGAUCCACUCACACAGUCACACACUAGCUCACUGGAUCCCCUCUCAAUCCCCCGCGCCGGUCCACCCCCGUCGCCCCUCCUCCGUCUGCGCCGCCGUCACCUCCUCCUCCUUGCUGGACUCGGUACCGGCCUCCUCCUCCGUCCUCCCUCUCCACUCGCCACUGGCCGGCCCCUCCUCGCUCCGCCUUCCUCCUCCGUCCUCCCUCCACUGGCCGCGCCGGCCAGCCCCUCCUCGCUCUGCCUUCCUCCUCCAUCCUACUCUCUUCUCCCUCCUCGAGUCGCCCCUCCUUCUCCCUCCUGCCCGCUACAUUUUGAUUUAGUAGCUAGGCUAGUUCAUAUGCAACAUUUUGAUUUAGUUGAUAUGAUUUAGUUGAUUUAGUAGGCUAGUUGAUUUAGUUGACUUAGAACAUUUUCAUUUAGUUGAUUUAAUAGGCUAGUUCAUUUAGUUGAUUUAGUUGACUUAGAACAUUUUGAUUUAGUUGAUUUAAUAGGCUAGUUCAUUUAGUUGAUUUAGUUGACUUAGAACAUUUUGAUUUAGUUGAUUUAGUAGGCUAGUUGAUUUAGUUGAUUUAGAACAUUUUGAUUUAGUUGAUUUAGUAGGCUAGUUGAUUUAGUUGACUUAGAACAUUUUGAUUUAGUUGAUCGUUAAUCCUUUGCUCAUAUUGCUUUAGGAAAAAUGGCGCCACCACCACCACCACUAUGUCGACUGUGCAAGUCAAGAUGCGCCAGCAGCCUUGCAACUGGCAAGCUGUUCGGCAUCUACUUCCAGCCGAGUUUUCAUCAUGCGGCGGUAAGAAAUUAGAUGAAAUGUAAUAACUAUUUUGUUUUUAGUGUUGGCAUUACUACAUUGUGUCAUUUUGCUUAUUUUACACAGACCGUCCCAUGCAAUGUGAGGUUGAAAUUCAACAAGCUCACAGGAGACACUGUGACAUUUGAGGCUCCUGGGGGGCCGUACACUAUGGAGGUCAAGAAAGGACGCAAUAUGUCGCAGAUUGGAGGAGAUGGAUGGGCCCGUUUCGUCGCUCGCAUGCAUCUUACUGGUGGUGAGUUGAUCAGCUUCUCCUUCUGAGCAGAAAGACCCAAGCUAGCUGUCAUUUAUCUCAACCUGGUGGAAGAUGCUGAAGAUGACGAAGAUGAUGAAGAUGAUGAAGAUAAUGAGGACCCACUCGAUGAAGAUGAUGAGGACCCACUUCAUGAAGCCAUCGUAGCUCAAAGAACAAGGCUGAGUGAGGAGGAGGUGUCCAACCUGUGGGACAUAAUUCCGCCACGUGCUAACUUUGUCGGGGUGCCAUUCGUGACUCGCUUGACAAAUACCAUGGUUGAUCGACAUGAUAUGGUAUGUUAUACUUACAAAUGCAAAUUAUCCGAUGAAUUACUUAGUGUACAGUCCAAUGAUAUGGUAUGUUGUGUGGAAUCUAGUCGAUGAUAUGUUUUAGUGUAGAGUUUGAUCACAUGCUUAUUAGUGUAGAAUCUAACGAAACUAUUAAUAGUGUAGAUAAUCCAUAUGUACUUAUUUGCGAGGCUAUUUAUUAAUUGAUAUGUUUUUCUUAUUCAGAAAUUGGCAAAGAGCAUAUCUAUGAGUUAUGGUAUCGAGCCUGAUGAAGAAGGCUCGGCUGGACUACACCUUACUGCAAGGGGCUCCCUCACAACCUGUACUUACCACGUGGACACGGACGGUCGCACACACUUAAACUCGGUUGGGUGGAAGAAAUUCCUUGAUGGAAAGAAUCUUCGUGUUGGACAGGCCAUCCUAAUUACUAUCAGGAACACCAACCGCCCAGGCUUAAGGAUGAUGAUUGUCUUUGAUAUCAUCUAGAACUACAUAUGUGUGUGUGGCUAUAUCAUCUAGAACUACAUAUGAUGAUCGUCGUCGAUAUCAUCUUGAACUACAUAUGAUGAUGGUCGUUGAUAUGACCUUGUACUACUUGAGGAUGCAUGUUGACUAUGCAUGAAAUUGUUAUCUAGUACUCCCUUCGUUCCAAAUUACUCGUCGUGGUUUGAACUAAAACCACGAUGAGUAAUUUGGAACGAAGGGAGUACUACCUAGUAAUGGUUUAUGAAUUUGAUAUCUACUAGCAGUACCUAGUAUCUAGUAUCUGAAAGGGAAACUGAAAGGGAAAGGGGUAAUGGGAAAAUCAUGAAAGAUAUAGCAGUAGCGAGGGAUGGCGAAAUCGCUACAGCUAGGUAAUAGUAGCGCGUUCUUAAAAAGCGCUGCUGAUAUCGUAAAUAGUAGUAGCGCGGGUAAGCGCCGCGCUACUACUAUGAGUUAGCUGUAGCGCCUUAUUAGUAGCGCGUCCACCCGCGCUGCUGCUAGCCUCAAAACCCGCGCUACUACUAGGGUUUUCCCUAGUAGUGUCCGAUGAGUUGUGAGUAGUUUACAACAGACCUUCGGGUCCAUAGUUAUUAGCUAGAUGGCUUCCUCUCUCUUUUUGGACCUCAAUACCAUGUUCUCCCCCUCUCUUGUGGAGAUCUAUUCGAUGUAACUCUUUUUGCGGUGUGUUUGUCGAGAUCCGAUGAAUUAUGGUUUUAUAAUCAAGUUUAUCUAUGAGAAAUAUUUGAAUCUCUUCUGCAUUCUUUUAUGUAUGAUUGAGUUAUCUUUGCAUGUCUCUUCAAAUUAUCAGUUUGGUUUGGCCUACACGAUUGAUCUUUCUUGCCAUGGGAGAAGUGCUUAGCUUUGGGUUGAAUCUUGCGGUGUCCUUACCCAGUGACAACAGGGGUUGCAAGGCACGUAUUGUAUUGUAUUGUUGCCAUCGAGGAUAAGAAGAUGGGGUUUAUAUGAUAUUGCUUGAGUUUAUCCCUCUACAUCAUGUCAUCUUUCUUAAUGCGUUACUCUGUUCUUAUGAACUUAAUACUCUAGAUGCAUGCUAGAUAGCGGUCGAUGUGUGGAGUAAUAGUAGUAGAUGCAGGCAGGAGUCGGUCUACUUGUUGCGGACGUGAUGCCUAUAUACAUGAUCACACCUAGAUAAUCUCAUAAUUAUUCGCUUUUCUAUCAAUUGCUCGACAAUAAUUUGUUCACCCACCGUAAUACUUAUGCUAUCUUGAGAGAAGCCACUAGUGAAACCUAUGGCCCCCGGGUCUAUCUUUUAUCAUAUAAGCUUUCAAUCUACUUUUACUUGCAUCUUUACUUUUCACAUCUAUAUUAUAAAAUACCAAAAAUAUAUUUAUCUUAUCAUACUAUCUCUAUCAGAUCUCACUUUCGCAAGUGGCCGUGAAGGGAUUGACAACCCCUUUAUUGCGUUGGUUGCGAGUUCUUUGUUUGUUUGUGUAGGUGCGUGGGACUUUUGAGGAGCCUCCUACUGGAUUGAUACCUUGGUUCUCAAAAACUGAGGGAAAUACUUAUGCUACUAUUGCUGCAUCACCCUUUCCUCUUCAAGGAAAACCAAUGCAAGCUCAAGACGUAGCAAGAAGGAUUUCUGGCACCGUUGCCGGGGAGGUCUUCGCUCAAGUCAAUACAUACCAAGUACCCAUCACAAACUCAUCUCCCUCGCCUUUACAUUAUUUGCCAUUUGCCUCUCGUUUUCCUCUCCCCCACUUCACCCUUGCCAUGUUAUUUGCCCUCUCUUUCCCAAUCUCCUCCUCUCUUUUCCGUUUGCAUUCCUGUUACCAUGGCCGAGUCAAAAAGAACUAAGGGUUCUCUCCUGGGUUCUAGUACCUUGGAUAACCCCUCCAUCCUCUCUAAGCUCAUAAAUAAUGAUGCUAUGGAAAGCCCCAGCGGGGUCACCAAUGAGAGCUUGAAUAAUUUUGAAGAAGAUGACUCUGGAAUUUUUUGCUAUUUGCUUGAUGAGUCUUUAAAAGAUGCUUGGGAUAGGUUAUUAAGGAUUCGGGCUAUCUAUGUGCCACAAUAUCAAAUUGAAGUUUACUUAAAAAGUUUCUAUGUUGGCCUACCCGCUUCUUUCAAGCAAGUCCUAGAUUCUAUUUUUGAAGAAGGUUUUCUUGAAGGGGAUGCUAUAGAUACCUAUGAAAGAAUGAAAACUAUAUUUGGGCACCCCAUGAAUGAUAAGGUUGAAUCUACCACCCUCUUAUGCUUUUAUCAAAACGAAAUUAUCAAAGAGAUGAAGUCUAGUUUAGAUGCAAAUUUCCGUAACAUGCUUAAUAUUACUUCCUCCAUUAAUGGCAAUGUGCUUUCCCAAAAUAGAAGGAUGAAUGACAUAGAAAGGAAAUUUGCUCUUUUCUUUCCAAGUGCCAAAGAUGGCACUACUUAGAUCUAUCUUCGCUUUUAUGCCUAGCUAGGGGCGUUAAACGAUAGCGCUUGUUGGGAGGCAACCCAAUUUUAUUUGUGUUUUUUUGUUUUUGUUCUUGUUUAGUAAUAAAUUUUGCAUCUACCUUCUAUUUAGAUGUGUUUUUAUGUUUUAAUUAAUGUUUGUGCCAAGUAGAACCUAUAGGAUAACCUAUGGUGAUAGUUAAUUUGAUUCUGCUGAAAAACAGAAACUUUGCGCGCACGGAAUUAGUUUUGUUAAAUCACAGAAACGUGAUUUUGCGUUGAUUAUUUUUGCUGGUGAUCAAUAGACAAUUUUUCCAGGACUUCCUGUUUUUGUAGGAUUUUUAGAUUUCCAGAAGUUUGUGUUAGUUACAGAUUACUACAGACUGUUGUGUUUUUGACAGAUUCUGCUUUUCGUGUGUUGUUUGCUUAUUUGGAUGCAUCUAUGGCUAGUAUUAAGUGGUAUGAACCAUAGAGAACUUGGAAUACAGUAGGUUUAACACCAAAAUAAAUAAAUAAUGAGUUAAUUACAGUACCUUAUGUGGUGGUUUUGUUUCUUUCACUAACGGAGCUUACGAGAUUUCCUGUUGAGUUUUGUGUUGUGAAGUUUUCAAGUUUUGGGUCAAGAUUUGAUGGACUAUGUAAUAAGGAGUGGCGAAAGACUAAGAUUGGAUGCCCAUCAAGAAUAGCCAAAAGCCUAAGCUUGGGGAUGCCUCAGGAAGGCAUCCCUCUUUCGUCUUCGUUCAUUGGUAACUUUACUUGGAGCUAUAUUUUUAUUCGCCACAUGAUAUGUGUUUUGCUUGGAGCAUUUUGUAUGAUAUUAGUAUUUGAUUUUUAGUUUUCCACAAUCAUCCUUGCUGUACACACCUUUUGGGAUAAGCCCACUUGAUUGAAAUUUAUUAGAAUAUGCUAUGUGCUUCACUUAUAUCUUUUGAGCUAGAUGGUUUUUGCUCUAGUGCUUCACUUAAAUAUUUUAGAGCACGGCGGUGGCUUAAUUUUGUAGAAAUUGCUAGUCUCUCAUGCUUCACUUAUAUUAUUUUGAGAGUCUUUUAGAACAGCAUGGUAUUUUCUAUGGUUAUAAAAUUGGUCCUAGAAUGGUAGGCAUCCAAGUUUGGUAUAAUAAAAACUAUCAUAGGGAGUGAAUUGGAUGCUAUGAUCAAUUUGAUAUUUGAUAUAUGUUUUGAGAUAUGGAGGUAAUGAUAUUAAAGUCAUGCUAGUUGGGUGAUUCUGAAUUUAAAGAAUGCUUGUGUUGAAGUUAGCAAGUCCCGUAGCAUGCACAUAUGGUUAAAGUUGUGUAACAAAUUUGAAACAUGAAGUGUACUUGGAUUGUGCAUCCUUAUGAGUGGCAGUCGGGGACGAGUGAUGGUCUUUUCCUACCAAUCUAUCCCUCUAGGAGCAUGCACGUAGUGCAUGGUUUUUGAUGACUUCUAAAUUUUUACAAUAAGUAUAUGAGUUCUUUUGACUAAUGUUGAGUCCAUGGAUUAUACGCACUUUUACCUUUCCUUCAUUGCUAGCCUCUUCAGUACCGUGCAUUGCCCUUUCUCACCUUGAGAGUUGGUGCAAACUUCGCCGGUGCAUCCUCAAAUGCCCUAGGUCUUCAUGAGCAAGCAAGUUGGAUGCACACCCACUAGUUUUCUUUUGUUGAGCUUUCAUUCAUUUAUAGCUCUAGUGCAUCCGUUGCAUGGCAAUCCCUACUGCUCAUGUUGACAUCAAUUGAUGGGCAUCUCCAUAGCUCGUUGAUUAUCCUCGUCAAUGUGAGACUUUCCUUUUUGUCUUCUCCACACAAUCCCCAUCAUCAUAUUCUAUUCCACCCAUAGUGCUAUAUCCAUGGCUCACGCUCAUGUAUUGCGUGAAGGUUGAAAAAGUUUGAGAUUAUUUAAGUACGAAACAAUUGCUUGGCUUGUCAUCGGGGGUGUAGAAUUUGGGAACAUUUUUGUGUGACGAAAAUGAAGCAUAGCCUAACUAUAUGAUUUUGUAUUUGAGAAGACAUGAUUGCUUUGAUUAGUAUGCUUGAAGUAUUACUAUUUCUUUUAUCAAUAUGAACUUUUAUUUUGAAUCAUUUGGAUCUGAACAUUCAUACCACAAUAAAGAAAAUUACAUUGAGAAUUAUGCUAGGUAGCAUUCCACAUCAAAAAUUCUGUUUUUAUCAUUUACCUACUCGAGGACGAGCAGGAAUUAAGCUUGGGGAUGCUUGAUAUGUCUCCAACGUAUCUAUAAUUUUUGAUUUCUCCAUGCUAUUAUAUUACCCCUUUUGGAUGUUUAUGGGCUUUAUUUUACACAUUUAUAUCAUUUUUGGGACUAACCUACUAACCGGAGGCCCAACCCGUAUUGUUUUUUUUGCCUAUUUCAGUAUUUCGAAGAAAAGGAAUAUCAAACGGAGUCCAAACGGAAUGAAACCUUCGGGAGCGUGAUUUUUGGAACGAACGUGAUCCAGAAUAUACCCACGUACCUUCUCGUGGGCCUCUCGGGAGGCCACCGACGUACUUCUUCCUCCUAGAUAUACCCACGUACCCCGAAAACAUCCAGGGAGCCAACGAAAAACAAUUUCCACCGUCGUAACCUUCUGUAUCCGCGAGAUCCCAUCUUGGAGCCUUCGCCGAUGCUCCACCAGAGGGGGAAUCGACCAUGGAGGGCUUCUACAUCAACACCAUAGCCCCUCCGAUGAGUUGUGAGUAGUUUACCACAGACCUUCGGGUCCAUAGUUAUUAGCUUGAUGGCUUCUUCUCUCUUUUUGGAUCUCAAUACCAUGUUCUGCCCCUCUUUUGUGGAGAUCUAUUCGAUGUAACUCUUUUUGCGGUGUGUUUUUCGAGAUCCAAUGAAUUGUGUGUUUAUGAUCAAGUUUAUCUAUGAGAAAUAUUUGAAUCUCUUCUGAAUUCUUUUAUGUAUGAUUGAGUUAUCUUUGCAAGUCUCUUCGAAUUAUCAGUUUGGUUUGGCCUACAAUAUUGAUCAUUCUUGCCAUGGGACAAGUGCUUAGCUUUGGGUUCAAUCUUGCGGUGUCCUUACCCGGUGACAGCAGGGGUUGCAAGGCACGUAUUGUAUUGUUGCAAUCAAGGAUAAAAAGAUGGGGUUUAUAUCAUAAUGCUUGAGUUUAUCCCUCUACAUCAUGUCAUCUUUCUUAAUGCGUUACCCUGUUCUUAUGAACUUAAUACUCUAGAUGCAUGCUAGAUAGCGGUCGAUGUGUGGAGUAAUAGUAGUAGAUGCAGGCAGGAGUCGGUCUACUUGUUGUGGACGUGAUGCCUAUAUACAUGAUCAUGCCUAGAUAAUCUCAUAAUUAUUCGCUUUUCUAUCAAUUGCUUGACAGUAAUUUGUUCACCCACCGUAAUACUUAUGCUAUCUUGAGGGAAGCCACUAGUGAAACCUAUGGCCCCCGGGUCUAUCUUUUAUCAUAUAAGCUUUCAAUCUACUUUUAUUUGCAUCUUUACUUUUCGCUAUAUUAUAAAAUACCAAAAAUAUAUUUAUCUUAUCAUACUAUCUCUAUCAGAUCUCACUUUCGCAAGUGGCCGUGAAGGGAUUGACAACCCCUUUAUUGUGUUGGUUGGGAGUUCUUUGUUUGUUUGUGUAGGUGCGUGGGACUUUUGUGGAUCCUCCUACUGGAUUGAUACCUUGGUUCUCAAAAACUGAGGGAAAUACCUACGCUACUAUUGCUGCAUCACCCUUUCCUCUUCAAGGAAAACCAACAUAGGAUCAAGACGUAUCAAGAAGGAUUUCUGGCGCCAUUGCCGGGGAGGUCUUCGCUCAAGUCAAGACAUACCAAGUACCCAUCAGAAACUCAUCUCCCUUGCAUUUACAUUAUUUGCCAUUUGCCUCUCGUUUUCCUCUCCCCCACUUCACCCUUGCCGUUUUAUUUGCCCUCUCUUUCCCAAUCUCCUCCUCUCUUUUCCGUUUGCCUUCCCGUUUUUUUUGCAUCUGCUGCGCGUAUCGCAGAGUCCAUUCAGCCGCCCCGUUCAGAGGCUGGAAGAGGCUUGGAGCAGAUCAGGGCACUGCUCCGAGCGGCAAGAGACCAGAACGCCGCCAUGUCCCAGUCGCGGAACAGAAUCCUUAGCAGAAUAGUAAGAGCAGACACCAUUUAGUCGGCACACAAUCCUAGGUCGCCUUUGCGGUGUGGAGAUCGUGAUCACCACCAAGAUCGGCACCUGAGAAGAGCUCAUGGAGAGUAUGAUCGUGAGUAUGCCCGCGGCAACCACCGUCGAGCGCCUUUGCCCCUUCGAAGGGACGUGUCGUUUGCGCCCCGGCGAUAUGAUGACAGACAUCCAUAUGGAAAUGACCGCAGAGUUCCAGUCGACCCCUAGAGAGCCCGACUUUGAUGCAAGGUCUGUCCUUGUGAAGUGUUUGGUCGACCGGAACAGAGCAUACAGAGAAGGGCUGGAUAGAGACAGAACCAGUGGAAGCAGGGUCCAUGUUUCUAGCCCAGAGUAUUUCCGAAGAGCCAUCAGAGCCGCUGAGAUCCCUCAUAUCUUCAGAUUGGCGACUGGCAUUAGUAAGUUCACAGGAGAGUCGAAGCCCAACACUUGGCUUGAAGACUACCGAGUGGCUGUGCACAUUGGUGGCGGCAGCAAUGAGGUGGCCAUGAAACACCUCCCUCUGACGCUUGAAGGUUCUGCCAGGGCUUGGCUGAACCAGUUGGCCCCUAGGAGCAUUUUGAGUUGGGAUGAGUUAGCCCGAGUGUUUACCAGAACAUUUGAGGGCAGCUGCAAGAGACCUGCUGGUCUACCAGAGUUGCAUCAUUGUGUGCAGAAACGAAAUGAAACCUUGAGAGACUAUAUCCAGAGAUGGAUCACUCUGCACCACACAGUGGAGAAUGUGUCAGAUCACCAAGUAGUCUGUGCCUUUAAGGAAGGCGUUCACUAUAGAGAGCUCAAUAUGAAGUUUGGUCGGACCGGAGAUAUGUCCCUGACUCGGAUGAUGGAGAUUACCACCAAGUAUGCUAACGGCGAAGAGGAGGAUCGACUCCGGAGUGGUAAGCACAAAACAGUCGCCCAGGACACCGGAGGAGGAAAUUCCAGUCGGAAGCAGAAGCGAAAGGCUGAGGCAGCAGGUCCUGCCGAGGUAGCAGUGUUGAACCAAGGAAAGUUCAAAGGGAAGCCCAAAGGGCCUGGGAUCCCUAAGAAAGUGAAGGACCAAGAAGGAAACAAUGUGAUGGAUUUGCCUUGUCAUAUUCACACCAAGAAGGAUGAGGAGGGGAACCUGAUUGUCCCCAAGCAUACGACUUGACAAUGUCGAUUCCUAAUCCAGAGCUUCUGGGAAAGCAAACCCAGUGAAGAGGACAAAGAGUUUGAGAAGGAAGAAGAAGAUAAGGAUGAUGAUGGUGGUUACCCCAAUGUCAAUGCCACCUUGGUGAUUUUUGCCGAUCUCGAGAGCAAAAGUCGACUGAAGGUCAUUAACAGAGAGGUGAAAAUGGUUGCUCCGGCAACACCAAAGUAUUUGAAGUGGUCAAAAACCCCUGUUACAUUCGUCCAGUCUGACCACCCGCCACACGUAGCUACCCCUGGGCAGCUAGCACUAGUGGUCACCCUAGUCGUGGGAGGCACCCGACUAACCAAGGUUCUGAUGGAUGGUGGCAGUGGUCUGAAUAUCCUGUAUGCUGAGGCCCUCAAAGGAAUGGGCAUUCCGAUGUCCAGACUCAGUGAGAGCAACAUGCGAUUCCAUGGAGUCAUCCCAGGAAAGAAAGCCGACUCACUCGGCCAGAUUACUCUUGACGUGGUUUUCGGCGAUGAGAAGAAUUUCUGCAAGGAAAAGUUGACGUUUGAGGUUGUGGAUUUCCAGAGUGCCUAUCAUGCCAUUCUGGGCAGAACUGCCUAUGCUAGCUUUAUGGCUCGACCGUGUUAUGUAUAUCUCAAGAUGAAGAUGCCUAGCCCCAGAGGCGUGAUAACGAUUUCUGGUAACCGUCAAAGAGCAGAAGACUAUCUUCAGGAUGGUGCAAAGAUAGCAGAUGAGUAGAUGGCAACAGUAGAGUUUCAAGAGUACCAGAAAACUGCAGAUCCGAGUGAUUUGCUGCAUGCUAAGAGGCCUACCUUGGAGUCUGCAUUUCAGUCGGCCGGCAAGACCAAGCCAGUCCAUGUUCACCCGACCGACCCCAAUGCUGCUCCGACCCAUAUCUCAACCGCACUCGACAGCAAAUAGGAAGAAGCGCUCAUCCAGUUCCUCCAUGAGAACUGGGACAUCUUUGCAUGGAAGCCAUCUGACAUGCCAGGUGUGCCCAGGGGACUGGCUGAGCACCAUUUGUGAGUCGAUCCAAAGGUAAAAACCGUUAAGGAGCAUCUCCAUCGAUCCGCCACUAAGAAGAGAAAGGCUAUUGGCGAGGAGGUGGCUCGGCUCCUGGUUGUUGAGUUCAUCCACGAGAUAUACCACUCCGAGUGGCUCGCCAAUGUUGUUAUGGUUCCCAAGAAAGAUAAAUAACUCCGAAUGUGUGUUGACUUCAAGCACAUCAAUCGGGCCUGCCCGAAAGAUCAUUUUCCUCUGCCCCGCAUCGACCAGAUAGUCGACUCAACUGCGGGAUGUCAGCGACUGUCCUUCCUGGCCGGUUAUUUCGGAUACCAUCAGAUCUGACUGUAUGGACCCGAUGAGAUAAAGACGACUUUCAUCACCCUGCUCGGGUGUUUUUGCUAUGUUACUAUGCCCUUUGGCCUCAAGAAUGCUGGUGCCACAUUCAUGCACAUGAUUCAGAAGUGCCUGCUCACUCAAAUCAAUCGGAAUGUGGAAGCAUACAUGGAUGACCUAGUGGUUAAGUCACGCAAAGGUUCCAACCUGCUGACUGACCUUGCUGAAACCUUUGCCAACUUGAGAAGGUAUGAUAUCAAGGUCAACCCAUCAAAAUGCACAUUCAGAGUCCUAGGCAGAAAGUUACUCGGGUUUCUCAUUUCCAAAUGAGGGAUUGACACUAAUCCAGAGAAGAUUGGCACAAUCCUCCGAAUGAAGCGCCUAGUGCGUGUGUAUGACGUUCAGAAGCUUACUAGUUGUUUGGCUGCAUUGAGCCGAUUCAUCUCAGGCCUCGGUGAAAAGGCACUGCCUCUUUACCGACUAAUGAAGAAGUUUGACAAGUUCGAGUGGAAUGACGAAGCUGAAGCAAAGUUUGAGGAGCUCAAAGCCCUGCUUUCUACCCAGCCGGUGCUUGCUGCUCCGGUUAGCAAGGAGCCUCUACUGCUUUACAUCGCAGCCAUGGGACAAGUUGUUAGCACAGUGCUCACAGUCGAGCGGGAAGAAGAGGGCAAGGGCUUCAAAGUUCAGCGUCACUUGUAUUACAUUUUAGAAGUCUUAACCCCGUCCAAGCAGAGAUAUCCUCACUAUCAAAAGCUUGUUUAUGGGAUUUACCUGACCACGAAGAAGGUUGCACACUAUUUCUCUGAUCACUCAGUUUCAGUCGUCAGCGAUGCUCCAUUAUCAGAAAUUCUGAAUAACAGAGAUGCAACUGGCCGAGUGGCAAAGUGGGCGAUUUAACUUCUUCCUUUAGAUAUCAAGUUUGAGGCAAAGAAGGCCAUUAAGUCUCAAGCAAUUGCAGAUUUCCUCGCAGAGUGGAUAGGACAACAAUAGGCGACUCAUAUUAAGUCGUAACAUUGGACCAUGUUCUUUGAUGGAUCCAAGAUGUUGAAUGGCUCUGGUGCAGGAGUGGUCUUAGUGUCCCUGAGAGGAGACAAGCUCAGUUAUGUCCUCCAGAUUCACUUUGAUUCUUCGAACAAUGAUGCUGAGUAUGAGGCACUAUUGUAUGGGUUGUGUAUGGCCAUUUCACUCGGCGUCCGAGGCUUGAUGUUCUAUGGCGGCUCAGACUUAGUGGUUAAUCAAGUAAUGAAGGAAUGGGAUGUGAGGAGUCCCGCAAUGACAGGUUAUUGCAAUGCAGUCAGAAAGCUGGAGAAGAAAUUUGAGGGGUUAGAGCUCCACCACAUACCACGAAUCAAGAAUCAAGCUGCCGAUGAUCUAGCAAAGAUAGGUUCCGCUCGGAAGCCUAUUCCUAGUAACGUGUUCUUGGAGCAUCUCCAUACCCCAUCAAUACAAUAAGAUCCCUUCAAGGAAGAUCCCUCGCACCAAUAAGUUCAACCGAGCCUACUGAGAUUGAGGUUCCAGCCGUGGUCGACUUGAUCAUGGAAGUCUUAGUAGUCACGCCCAAUUGGACAGUACCGUACACCACGUACAUUCUCAGGAAGGAACUCCCAGAGGAUGAAGAUGAAGCUUGCUAGAUAGUCCGUCGAUCCAAAGCCUUCACAGUGAUGAAAGGACAACUUUACAGAGAAAGUGUCACAGGAGGGGCUCAUCGCUGCAUCGGAAGAAGGUCAAAUGAUCCUACACGAUAUCCACUCGGGGACCUGUGGUCACCAUGCAUCCUCUCAGACCAUCAUGGCCAAAGCAUACCGAGCGGGAUUCUAUUGGGCUCGAGCAAAUGAUAUGGCGAAAGAAAUAGUUGACAAGUGUGCAGGUUGCCAGUUCUACUCCAACAUGUCCCACAAGCCCGCGUCUGCCCUGAAGACUAUUCCACUCAUUUGGUUGUUUGCAGUCUCGGGAUUGGACAUGGUUGGACCCUUCAAGACCAGCGCAAGUGGUUUCACCCAUUUUCUUGUAGCAGUCGACAAGUUCACCAAGUGGAUCGAAGCCAAGCCCAUCAAAAACCUUGGCGCAGGCAUUGCCGUUGGCUUCAUCAAGGUAUUCAGAUAUGGAGUUCCUCACAGCAUUAUCACAGAUAAUGGCUCCAACUUUGAUUCUGAUGAGUUCAAGGCGUUCUGUGCGUCCCAAGGCACUCGGGUCAACUAUGCAUCCGUUGCACACCCGCAGUUGAAUGGACAAGCAGAAAGGGCGAAUGGUUUGAUCAUUCAAGGUUAAAACCCCGACUGAUGCGCGACCUUAAGCACACUACUGGAGCUUGCGUGACCAAAUUACCGUCCGUCGUAUGGGUACUGAGGACAACGCAAAACCGGUUGACUGACUAAACCCCUUUCUUCUUGGUGUACGGCGCUGAGGCUGUGCUUCCGAGUGACUUCCUGCACAAUGCCCCGCGAGUGGAACUCUUCUCAGAAGCUGAAGUAGAACAGGCACGCGAAGACGCAGUUGAUCUCCUAGAGGAAGAGCGCGAGAUGGCUUUGGUUCGGUCGACCAUCUAUCAACAAGAUCUACGUUGAUUCCAUGCUCGCAAUGUCAGAGGUCGAGCAUUUCAGGAAGGAGACCUUGUGCUCCGAGUGGAUCAGAAACGGCCUCACAAGCUCGCUUCGGCCUGGGAAGGUCCCUUCAUCACCACCAAGGUGCUUCACAAUGGAGCGUACCACAUCUACAACGUAGCCAAGAACAUGGAAGAGCCACGCGCAUGGAACGUAGAGCUUCUUCGUCCUUUCUAUACCUAGAAUCACUCGACCCGACAAGUUGUAAUAAGAGUACUUCAGUUUUCUUUCCAAAGACAAGAUUUUUAUAGUAUCUUAAUGACUGGUUCCCUGUAAUCACUUGUGUCCAAAUCCCCCCAGUGGGUAGCUUAGCCGUAAACCUAAUUCGCCUAAGUUAAAAACAUUCUGAGUCGAGAGCAAUCCUCCCGCUCGGGGGCCUAGCUGCAACCCGUACUCGCCUAAGUUAAAAAACAUUCCGAGUGUAGAUCAAUCCUCCCACUCAGAGGCUUAGCCGCGACCCUGAAAUCACCUAAGUUAAAAAACAUCCCGAGUGGAGAGCAAUCCUCCCACUCGGGGGCUUAGCUGCGACCCCGUUCUCGCCUAAGUUAAAAAAUAUUCUGAGUGGAGAGCAAUCCUCCCACUCGGGGGCUUAGCUGUGACCCCGUACUCGCCUAAGUUAGAAACAUUCCGAGUGGAGAGCAAUCCUCCCACUCGGGGGCUUAGCUGCCACCCUGAAAUCGCCUAAGUUAAAAAACAUUCCGAGUGGAGAGCAAGCCUCCCACUCGGAGGCUUAGCUGCGAUCCGUUCUUGCCUAAGUUAAAAAAUAUUCCGAGUGGAGAGCAAUCCUCCCACUCGGGGGCUUAGCUGCGACCCCGUACUCGCCUAAGUNNNNNNNNNNNNNNNNNNNNNNNNNNNNNNNNNNNNNNNNNNNNNNNNNNNNNNNNNNNNNNNNNNNNNNNNNNNNNNNNNNNNNNNNNNNNNNNNNNNNNNNNNNNNNNNNNNNNNNNNNNNNNNNNNNNNNNNNNNNNNNNNNNNNNNNNNNNNNNNNNNNNNNNNNNNNNNNNNNNNNNNNNNNNNNNNNNNNNNNNNNNNNNNNNNNNNNNNNNNNNNNNNNNNNNNNNNNNNNNNNNNNNNNNNNNNNNNNNNNNNNNNNNNNNNNNNNNNNNNNNNNNNNNNNNNNNNNNNNNNNNNNNNNNNNNNNNNNNNNNNNNNNNNNNNNNNNNNNNNNNNNNNNNNNNNNNNNNNNNNNNNNNNNNNNNNNNNNNNNNNNNNNNNNNNNNNNNNNNNNNNNNNNNNNNNNNNNNNNNNNNNNNNNNNNNNNNNNNNNNNNNNNNNNNNNNNNNNNNNNNNNNNNNNNNNNNNNNNNNNNNNNNNNNNNNNNNNNNNNNNNNNNNNNNNNCGAGUGGAGAGCAAUCCUCCUACUUGGGGGCUUAGCCGUGACCCCGUACUUGCCUAAGUUAAAAACAUUCCGAGUGGAGAGCAAUCCUCCCACUCGAGGGCUUAGCUGCGACCCCGUUCUCGCCUAAGUUAAAAACAUUCCGAGUGAAGAGCAAUCCUCCCACUCUGAGGUUUAGCUGCGACCCCGUACUCGCUUAAGUUAAAAACAUUCUGAGUGGAGAGAAAUCCUCCCACUCGGAGGUUUAGCUGCGACCAUGUUCUCGCGUAAGUUAAAAACAUUCCGAGUGGAGAUCAAUCCUCCCACUCGGGGACUUAGCUGCGACCCCGUACUCGCCUAAGUCAAGAAUAUCCUUUGAGCUACACCACAAAUACAAUGUACCCUCCAUCCUGAUCUGCAAGGACGACGAGGUGUUGACUGAACACCACAUCUGAGCUGCAUCACAAGUACAACUUACCAUCCCGAUCCGCAAGGACGAUGAGGUGUCGACUGAAAACUACGUGCGAGCGGCGGCACAAGUACAAUGUGCGCUCCUUCCCGAUCCGCAAAGACGACGAGGUGUCGAUUGAACGCAUCGUCAGAUCCACUCAACGAAAGGUGAAAAGAUCAAGUUCACUCAGAAUCGAAAGAUAGUCAGAAGCAAUAAAAGCAAAAGCCAUGAUAUUCAAGGAAGACCAAGUUCAGAUAAAUCCCACAAAAGUUCAGAACCGCAACAGACAGGAGUACUCAGGCAUCAAGCCUGAAAGAGUUUAACGGUUACAUAAUCACUCGGCAUUCCGAGGCAAAUAAAGGUGGGGCAUAAUGUUUUGUUCACUCGUUGGGAGAAGGACUUGCUGGAUCGCAGAAACUGCCAAGGUCGAUGCCGUCUGCGAUGCGAGUGGCGGCGUCAAGGAAGGUGUCCAUGAAGGACUGGAAGCUGAGCUUCUUGGUGUUCGCAACCUUGUGGGCCGCCGGAUUGUCUUCUCUGACAUCCUUGCAGUGCACUCGAACCAAUGACAGCGCGACGUCGGCGCCACAACGAGCAGAUGACUUCUUCCAUUCCCGCACUCGACCAGGUAUUUGAUUCAGUCGAGUCAUCAGAGACUCGAGAUCCUGUGAGAGUUCUGCCUGAGGCCAGAGUUCAGCAUCAAUCUGCGUCAUUGCCGCCUUCGGUCGAGCGAGAUAGUCCACAACACUGUCCAUGCGCGACUCCAACUGCAACACAUUCAUCGCAACGUCAUCUUUGAUAGGAGAGUUUAUGGGGUCGAGACCCGUCUCGACCCGCCCAGUUUCUGCUUCGAAAUCUUAACAAAGUUCUGCACAAAUCGGAAAAGCAGUAAGUCAAUGGAUUAGCAAGACGUGUCAGUCAACAUCAACAAAUCAGUCGAACAAGAGAAAAUACCUUCAAGCUUCAAGACCAACUUUGCGGCAAGCUGCCCCAGAUAAGAUUCUAAUUCGCCCUUCUUGGCCUUGAGGCUCCCAACUUCGUUGGUCAAGCUUUCCUUGUCUUUCUUCAGUUGCGCGACUUCCUGGCUAGCUUCAGAAAUGGCGGUCUUCAACUUGGAGUUCUCCUCUUCCAACUUGCUGACUGAGGCCAGCUUCUUGUCCACAAGUGCUAAUUUCUCUCGCGCCUCCUUCUGGGCCGCGACAAGAUCCUGGUCUUUCUUCUCCAGAGCCUGCUUCAUUUUCUCUAAAGAAAUAACAUUCUUCAGAGGAGCUUGAAUCUGUUCGAAUGAAAUCACUCGUUUCAAAGAGACUAAAGAGAGAGAGAGAGAGAGAAAGUCACAAGGUGGACAGUCGAUGAGUGGUUACCUCCCAUGAUAGCUGCUUCGUCCUGAGCAUUCUUGAGGGUCUUCUUGGCCAGUUCCAGAUCAAGGUUGAGACUGACCUGCUUCUUAUCCAAUUUAGAAAGUUGAGCUCCAAGAUCACAAGACUUCUGCAUUCAGCAAAUACGAUAUGUUAGUCGACGGAAACAAAAGCUAAUCACAGUGAAAGUUGGUCUAAGACUACCGCUGAAUCAAACAUUCAACAGUAGUCUCGGGGACUACACCUAGUGGGUGCACUUAGCGUGCGCCCACUGGUUUGGUUUUACGAUCGGCAUGGUCUGUCCAGCAUGAGUAAAAAAGGUAGUUUCUUAGACCCCAGCCGACUACUAGCAGCCGACCUCGGUCUCAGGGACUACACCUAGUGGGUGCACUCUGCGUGCCCCCACUGAUUCGAAAAAACACUCGACUCAACCUAGUCGAUUCAAGUGGAAGAACUAUUUAGCUCUAACACAGAAACACCCCAGUGGGUGAUUGGAGGUGAAACAUAGACCCAUGAUAGAUUCACAUAAUAGGUUCCAAAACGCUCAUCCAAGAACACCAUAUGGACAGUAAAGCAACAGUGGCAACUAUCAUUUCUCAAGAGACUAGCCAGAAAUCAACUAACCUUGAUGUUGGCUUGAAAGCGGUGCUGGCAUUGUAAGCAACCUAACUGGCCUCAUGCACCACCUUCAUAUGCUCCAUCAUGAGAUUUACCUGGAGAAGAGCCUCCCUGGCAGCACUCGAUUGGUCGUCUAGAGUCUGGUAUGCAGCGAAGAGUGAUGAUGGCAGCGCAGUCGGAGCAGUCAUUGGGUCGGAAGCAUGGAGUUGUAUUGGAGCGGCAGGGGCCUGAGCAGUCGACCCCAAAGGACAGUCAGUCGACAACCAGCAAAAGUAACAUUGGUCCAAGCCGGAUCUUCGGAUCGCUGGACCACUGUCUCAGGCACCAAUGUUGAUUGAAGCACCUGACCCUCAGUCGCCUUCCCGCUUGAGGCUCUGCCCCUCCUUCUUCUCUCCCUCAGAGGCACUUCUUCUUCAUCAUCCGGAAGCUCAAUGACAUCCCGCAGAGCUGCAACAAAAAGCAGCCUUAAGAGAUCAAUCGACCAACAAUCUAGUCGGCAGAACAAAUUCAAGUUGGAUAGAGCGUACCAGCUUUGGAGGUGGCCACGUCAUCGGUCUCCUCAUCACUUGGGGCCUUGUCAAUGUUCGUAUCAGUCGCAGAAGUUGCAGGGCUAGAAAAGUUCAUAAUCCACUCGGUCAGAACAGAAGUAUCAAACCGUGGAAGAAAACACAGAAAGAUAGAGCACUCACCCAGAGGCAACAUGGACGUCCAUCUUAAUCUUGGGCAAGGUCUUCCGAGCCUUCGAAAGAGCGACCUUGGGCUGCUUGGCGACCUUCUCCGUCGGCUCCGGGGUCGAAGUCCGAGUGUGCUUCUGUGCUUGAGUACUUGGAGCCACGGUUUUGCCAUGCCCGCCCGCCGGAUCUUGGAGUUGCUUGGAUCGACGCUCUGUGCGAGGUGGUGAGUCAACUAUCUCGUCGUCCUCCGACUCAUCACUUUCCUCCUCAUCACCAUCUUCUGGAGACUGUCAGUCGCCGCUUUCUUCUGCACUGUCCUCUCCCUCAUGGUCUUGCUCCAGAGCUUAUUCACCGUUGGGCAUCAAGUACAUCUUGAUAUAAACCUACAAGACAAGAAGUCAAACAAGUAUAAGUCGGAUUCAAAGACAGUUGCAGAACAUAUAGAAGUACAGUCGAUAUCAGAGAUGAGACCUUGUCUGGCUGGUUGUUGGCGCUAAAUGGGUCGACUCUCCUGGCUCCCCUGGGGUUAUCCUUGUUUCCUGCAACACACAUCAGCCACAGGGCCACCGUCUCAGCCGUAACCUCCUCUGGAUCAACCCAAGCGGUGCCGUUGGCUCUAGAGUACAUCCACAUCAAGUGGUCACGAGCCUGGAGCAGCUGGAUGCGUCGACUGAGAAAUACCUCCAACAAGUCCAUGCCGGUUACUCCCUGGUUGAUUAGUUGGGCCACUCUCUUAACCAACAUGUUCAUUUCCACCCUCUCCGCAGCGGUCAUUUUCAGUGAAGAAGGUUGCUUGGCAUGAUCUAAAGAGAAAGGAGGAAGACUGGACGACUGAUCGGGAGUCGCAAUAUCCUGGCAGUAGAACCAGGUCGACUGACAGCCCCUGACCGACUCGGGAAGUGUCAUGGAAGGGAAAGCACUCCUCUUCCUCUUCUGGAUCCCCAAGCCCCCACACAUUUGGAUCACGUGCGUCCUCUCAUCACUCCAAUUUGCUUUCUUCACCGACUGGGAGCGGAUGGUGAAGAUGUGCUUGAAAAGACCCAGUGCGGUCGACAACCCAGGAGAUUUUCGCACAUGGACACAAACGUGGUGAGGUACGUAAUGGUGUUGGGAGAGAAGUGUUGGAGCUGAGCUCCAAAAAAAUUCAAGAAGCCUCGGAAAAAGGAUGCGGAGGAGGGGAGAAACCAUGUUCGACAUGGGUGGCGAGCAGGACGCACUCACCCGGCCACGACUGAGGCUCCGUCUCCCCCUUCGGCAGCCUCGCAGCUCCAUCAAUGAUCUGGCCGGAGUCCACCAGCUCCUCCAAAUCCUCUGGCCGGAGCGAAGAUCGGAUCCAAUCGCCAUGGAUCCAACCCGGCGGCAGCGCAGACCUCGACGACGACCCCCAAUUUGUCUUCUUGCCUUUUGCCUCCCCCGUCCCUUUCUUCGCGCAUUCCAGCGCUGCCGUCUUGUCCUUCACCAUGGUGGCGGGGCAGCGGCAUCAAGAGCGGAGGAGCAAGAUGCGGUGGAGAAGUAGAGGAGGAAGAGAAAGAAGGAUGCGCACAGUGCAGAUGCCUUGGCCCCGACACCUUUUAAGGACCCGCUUCCGAGUGGCUGACACGUGGCGAAAAAGGUGGCGCAAAAAUCGAGGCGCUCCUGUCUAUCCAUCCUACUUACUACGGCACGCUCCGCCUCGCACGCUUCUCCAAAAUUUCGAAUCUCGCGAGAUCCGGGAUACGCCGUAACCAAUCACGCCAAAGAUUUCGCGUCAAAAGUAACACUCAACGAGUGAUGGUAUAAAUCCACUCGGCAACUUCUGAAUCGAUCAAGGCGACUGAAACGAAGCCGAAGUUCUAACAUGGGCCUCCAAUCCAACAUGGGUGCUUGUGAAGCACAAGAGUCAAGGCAAGAUCAACUUCAACCUUCUUUUCACUCGGACCUCAAUCCAUUCGGGGGCUAAUGAUGAUGAUAUAGACCUAGGGUAGGGUCAUAGGCCUGACCUAUACGCCCUACCCAAGGUCACUACUCUAGAAGCAAAGACACCCAAGAGACAACAGGGAGUACCGAUUGAAGGCGUCGAGUGCAGUCCACUCGAGCAGUCAUACCACUCGGAUAACCCUCCCUCCUGAUAUCACUCAACCAUACAAUAAACCACUCGACCUACUGAAGACCAGGAGUCACUCAGGACAGCAACGAUCAGGCGUUCACUCCGUAGUCUUUAAGAUCAUGGAUAACACUUUAUAACUGGCAUUAUCAGUAACGCCCUAUCUUUAUGUACAUUGAACCCCUGUAACAGAGGUGGGCUGGGUCCUGGAGCACUCUAUAUAAGCCACCCCCUCCUUUGGGACAAGGGUUCACACCCCCUGUAACACACACUCCCAUAUUCCAGUCGACUGCCUCAGGGAACCGAGACGUAGGGCUUUUACCUCCUCCGGGAGGGGCCUGAACUCGUAAACACUUGCGUACAAUCUCACCGUAGCUAGGACCUUCCCUCCUCAUUCGUACCCCCUAUACUUACUGUCAUACUUAGUACCACGACACCCCCUAGCCCAAACCGAAUUGGACUAGGGCUAGUGGGUCCUCCCCCCCUUUCGUUCUCUCCUCCCUCUCCUUCCCCCCUUCUCCUUGUGGAAGUAGGAAAGGGGGGCCAAAUCCUACUUGGAGUAGGACUCCCCCCUAGGAGUGCCUCCUCCUGGCCGGCGUCCACCUCCCUCCCUCCUUUAUAUAAGUGGGGUAGGGGGCACCCAAAGGCACAAUAGACAAUCUCUUAGCCGUGUGCGGUGCCCCCCUCCACAGUUUUAACCUCGAUCAUAUCGUCGUAGUGCUUAGGCGAAGCUCUGCGCCAUUAAUUUCAUCAUCACCAUCACCACACCGUCAUGCUGAUGGAACUCUCCCUCGUCCUCAGCUGGAUCAAGAGUUCGAGGGACGUCACCGAGCUGAACGUGUGCAGAUCACGGAGGUGUCGUGCAUUCGGUACUUGAUCGGUUGGAUCGCGAAGACGUUCGACUACAUCAACCACGUUACUUAACGCUUCCGCUUUCCUUCUACGAGGGUACAUGGACACACUCUCCCCGCUCGUUGCUAUGCUUCUCCUAGAUAGAUCUUGCGUGAUCGUAGGAAAUUUUUUGAAGUUACCAUGUUCCCCAACAUGUCAUCUAACACAACUCAUUAUGGGCAGUAAAAAGAAGGCUGCAAAGUUCUUACUUACCAUCCUGCAGUUCGCCGUUGUCUUGGAUAAAGUGUAAACAUAUAGUUUAAUUGCCAUCUUUGGACCCAUUUUACUAACAAUCUUUAUCAGCUUCCUCACUUGAUGCUGGUUCAUCAAUAUUUCAUUGCCCCAUACGCAGAAAUGGUCGAAGCACGGAUCUUUACCAAUGACAUUUGUACCUAAAAGCACCAAGUUAAUACUAGAAGCUAAACAGCAAUUGCACAAUGAUGUAGUACAACACUCUUUUAUAAUACUCCCUCCGUUCCUAAAUAUUUGUCUUUCUAUGGAUUUCAACAAGUGACUACAUACGAAGCAAAAUGGGUGAAUCUACACUCUAAAAUAUGUCUAUAUACAUCCGUAUGUGGUAGUCCAUUUGAAAUCUCUAAAAAGACAAAUAUUUAGGAAUGGAGGGAGUAUCUUAUAACAUCCAAUAUACUCACAUAUUAGAUGAAUUAACAUCUUAUAUUAUGGGCCGGAAGGAGUUUAGUGCAUUCUUACAAAUUAUCGGCUGAUUAACUGCUGUUGUAUCCAUGGGGUACAGUUAGUUUGAGCUAGUUUGGGCUCAAAUAGCCCUAAAGUAUAUCUAAACAUGAGGGCUAGUUUGAGCUAGUUGCAUCUGUAACCCACCCAAAAAAAACUAUCCAACCCAAGAGGUGCUAAUUGGAGCUAGUUCUCCUAGUGAAUUUAUUGUCAAUCUAACCCUGCCAUCCAAACAACUCUUUGGAUGGAGUUAGUUCAGGGUUAGUCAUUAGCUAGAAACUAACUUUAAACUCUAGAUAAGUUGAGUAUCCAAACAGGGCUGUGUUGUUGUUGCUGCCACUGCUCUUCUACGUGUAUCUAGACAUCAUUAGAACAUUAAUGUGACACUCUUCCUUGUUGCUAUGUAGCCUAGGAUUGCAUAUUUAGACAUUAAGUACAGUGCAUGUUGCUAUGUAGCCUCAAAUAUAUUACAUAUGGCCCUAAUUAACCUAACAAUAAAUGGGUUGCAGAUAUCACUACUAGGAAAAGGGCUAUAGAUAAUAUGGACAUUAAUGGCGCACCACACAUGUGGUGCGCCACUACUAUAUACUAAUGGCGCACCAUGUGUUGGUGCGCCAUUAGUGUCCAAAUACUAAUGGCGCACCACAUCCAUGGUGCGCCAUUAGUAACAAUUUUUUUAUUUUUUUUCAAAACUAGUAAUGGCGCAUCAGGGAAUAGUGCGCCAUUACUAGUUUUAACUAGUAAUGGCGCACCACAUCCACGGUGCGCGAUUACUAGUUAAACUAGUAAUGGCGUACCACAUCCACGGUGCACCACUAGUAAUUUUUUUUCAAUUUUUUUGUCAAUUUUUUUUUCAAAACUAGUAAUGGCGCACCAGGGGAUAGUGCGCCAUUACUAGUUAAACUAGUAAUGGCGCACCACAUCCACGGUGCGCCACUAGUAAUUUUUUUCAAUUUUUUUCAAAACUAGUAAUGGCGCACUAUGUGUGUGGUGCGCCAUUACUAGUUGAACUAGUAAUUGCGCACCACUCCCACGGUGCGCCAUUACUAACUUGGCCCCAAAAUUACACGGAAUGCACCACCCCUGGACCGCCUUUUCAGUUUAAAAAAAAUAGAAGAAAAUGAUGGAAAUGUCAAAAAAAUAAAAGAAAAUAAGUUUCACAUGUGAUAUGUGGUCUACUUGUUGGGAAAUUUACAAAUAUGAAUUUUGACUUUAUUUGCAAAAUCUCUUUGGAAUUUGUAAAAUGGGCAUAACUUUUGCAUACGAACUCGGAUUAAAAAGUUUUUUAUAUGAAAAAUCAUCUACCCGAAAAGUUACAUCCGAACCGUUUGCUAGUGGGGAACCCCGUUAAACAUUUUCAAAAUCUUCAAAAACCUAACAGAAAAAAGUAACGGGUCUUUUAAGAUCUAGAGGGGAAAAAUGAAAAAAAAAUCAAACUUACUAGUGGCGCACCGUUUGCUAGGUGCGCCACUAGUAAUAGAAAAAAAAAUUGGUUUCAAAUUUUUUUGGGGAUUUUUUUUUCAAAAAAUGAUACGUAAUAUGACCGGGAAGUGUGAAAUAUUUUUCAAAAUUUCGUCAUACUCAUGAACAUGAACAAAGACCUAGACAUCAACAAGGUUUAAUAUGAUUGAUAUGAUAGAUAUAUCAACAAGUGCCUAUUAAAUGAGGUGGUGCUGGGGUUGGAUAGAACUGCGAAGUUAAGCAUGCUCGGGCUGGAGUAGUGUGAGGAUGGGUGACCUUCUAGGAAGUUUGACCACUUAGUGCGAUUUGACUUGAGAUUAAGCAUAUUGACCCGACAUUAAGCCAUAGUGACCCGAGAUUAAGAAAAAAAACGAAAAAAAUUGAAUUUUUUUUGAAAAACAAUUUGAAUUUUUUUUUGAAAAAAUAUUUGAAAAAAAAUUGUUACUAAUGACGCACUUCUAUGUGGUGCACCAUUACUAAGUCAGAUAGUAAUGGCGCACCAUUUGAUAUACUAAUGGCGCACUCCCUGGUGGGCCAUUAGUAUUAAAUUCUAAUGGUGUGAUGCUAGAUAGCUUCAGUGUGCAGGUUUAAGCAUGCUAGUAAAGCAAAACAAGUGGAAAGGUGUGUUAACUGCAACAGGCCUAACAUUUAACAACAAGCAAACAUAGUCAUUCAAACUGGUAUUGUGCCGGUCUAAGUACACUGGUUAUUGUUAAAUAAAAAUGGAAAGGCAUGUUAACUACAAGAUGCAGCAACCAAAUGUAGUCAUUCAUAGUGGUAUUGUUGAAACUGGUACUGAUGAAAUUGAACUGCACAGUUCAUACUUGCACAUAUAGAACAUCACGUCGUGAAUAACUCGAAUAAACAAGGCAAACUACGAAUAACCAAAGAUAGCAUUUGAAACUAGACAUAUGCUAAAUACAAACAACAGAACAAUCAAAAAACCUUUAAAAGAGGCAUAUGCUAGCUAUAAUAGGCUUAACAUCAAGCAAAUAUAUGCAUUCCUAUCAGUAUGUUGAAAACUGGAUUGAUGAAAUAUACUGCACAUUAAAUAAUUGCACAUAUAGAGCAUCACACUGUGAACAACUGAAAUAAACAAGGCAUAUUGCAAACAACCAGAUAUAGCAGUAAUUAAAACUGGACAUAUUCUCACUACACUACAAAAGGGACUCGACAAAACAAAUCAUGGGUUUCCCUCUGUGAAGAGGCACGACAAAACAAAUCAUGGGUUUCCUCACUUGUCACAGAUAGGCUCGUUCCCGUGGGAAGAGCAUGGACCCUGGAUGCGCUCCAUGUUGUCGCAGAUGGGCUCCUUCCCCUUGGAAGAGCACGGCUGUAGGGUGCCCUCCCUGAUGUCGCAGACGAGCGCUUUCCCCUUGGAAGAGAAGAUGGGCUCUUUCCCCUUGGAAAAGCCGGAGAGGGUGCCCUGCUCGUGGUCGCCGUCGAUGAGGUCUAACUUGGAAGCUGUGGAUCCCAAGCCAGCGUCGCAGAACGUGUCCUUCAGAAAUGACAAAGGGGGCUCGAUGGUGAUGUAGGAUGGCAAAUUGUUGACACUGAGCCAGAGGAGAUAAGCAGCGGGGCCAUGGAUGAGAUCGACGGUGGUUGAACCCGAGGGGUUGGGGGUGGGCCACUUAACCUGUGACAUAGCCCACCUCAGGUCAUCGCUGUCGAUGACCUCAAUGUCGUAGCCGGCGGCCGAGACAUGCCCGCAUACUCUAGCCUGCUGCUUGAGUGUCUGCCGCCAGUAAUGGUUGUCAGCAUCCUCGGCAACGUCGGGCCAAGAGACCAUGAUACACCUCUUUUGGGCCAGUCGCUCCUCGAGCUCCACGGGAAGCGUAGCCGGGCUUAGGCCGCGACGCUUUGGAGUGCGGGAUGGGGAUGGGGAUGGGGAUCUUUGGGAAAGUGGGCAUUUGGGAGGCGUUAUCUAAGAAACUCAGGGAGGCCUAGGUAUAGAGAUCGGUGGGUAAGCUGCACGGGCAAACCAGCAGAUGUUGACAAUGGCGGCGUUGCGGCGGCGGCAGCGGCAGCGGGGACCUUGCUAGGGUUUCGAGCGAGGGAGGGUGUGUGUGUGUGCGCGCACGCCCGAGGAGGUUUUGGUGUGUGUGUGUGUGUGCAGGGUGGUGUUUGAGGAAAUGAGGCGGGCACUGAAAAUUUUACUAUGUGGGAGUCAAACGCGGGAGUGAAAUGCUGGGGCUAUUGAAAAUUUUGAUGAUAGUGCAUUGCACACGGUCCAGAGAUAACAACCGAGUGUUCUGAAACAGAAAAACCCUCGAGGCGGGAAGAUAUUUUCUAGGGAUGCAGGCAGUAUUGGGUACAAGAAGCAUCGCACACUGUCCGGAGAUAACAACCGUGUGUUAUGAAAUAGAAAAACCCUCGAGGCGGGUAGAUAUUUUCUAGGGAUGCAAGCGGGAUUGGGAACAAGAAACAUCGCACACGGUCCAGAGAUAACAACCGUGUGUUAUGAAACAGAAAAACCCUCGAGGCGGGCAGAUGUUUUUGAGAGGGGGAGCCUCAUGGAGCCCAAUGUACUAUGUGGAUGUGUGCGUGACAGGGGCACCGGCGUGGCACAUGGUUAGUUUGAAAGAACCGUGUCUGUUGUGUCAUCCGACUUGUCUAAUGUUCAUAAAUUUGGCGAAAAAUGACGCGAGAGAGGGUCAGAACAUGAACACACUUGGAUGUGGACCAAAUUUAUGUAUGAAAAGGGUGGUUUGAUUUUCAAAUACCAAAUGCAACUUCGAUGUGGCACCUAUCUCGCAAAGCGCACGGUAUUGCUUGCCCCCCUCGUGUCGGCACGAAGGGAAUCCUAAGCUAUGAAUGCAUGCCCCCUCCCCCCAACCGAGGUUAACCUAGCAGAGUGCGAAGUAGCUAGCAGCCCCCCUCCUCCCUCGUGUAGGCACGAAGGGAAUCCCCACUUCACAAAAACCCUCACCCCGCCCGCCACCCCCUCCCGUCACCAUUCACACCUGCACAAGCUCCUCCGCGUCUAUGCCAUGGCACCGCCUAUCGCAGCGAUAAACACUUAGCUCGAUGCCUGCCGCCGCCGCCAGGAUGUCGGCAAAUCCCACCGCAUUUCGCCACUUCCGCUUGCCGCCGCCUAUUGCCAUCGACUUUCUUGACACUGCUCGCGGUCGACCCAGCUCUGCUUGGUUGGGGAAUCUGUCGUACUGAGGGUUCUUUCUCAUGGACAACAAGGUAACUAAUUUAAUGAGAUAUUAUCUCAUCUCUCAUCCCAGUUCAUUUGCCUCCUUUAAUCACCCGAUGGAAACCGCCGUGAAUUCAUUUUUAUCCGAGCUGAUUUGAGGGUUUUCUUUCAUUCAUAGAAUGUAUAGUGUGCCGACACAUCAGGACUUUGCGACCUCCGCCAGAGAUUCCAUCUCAUCGUACCAGAUCACUUGAAGAUGCGCGCGGUAUGUUCAAUCUCACCCUAAAUCGAUGCAUGGCCUACUUUCCUCAACAUAUUCUAAAUAUUGCUACAUUUGGAUAAGACGUGCCACAUGCACCAUAUACGUCAAAGGGGAUUUCCCCCCUCUUCUUUCUAUAUUAGGCAAAUUAAUGAUGUAUUGUUCUUUCGAUUACUCUCAUAUUUCCAUGACAUCAUGUUUACCUUAUCUGUUUAAUUAUAGAUUUUUUGUCCUUCGAUUUCAACUGUUGUACAGUUCUUUCAAGUUGGGCCCAUAUUUGCAUGUUACCGUAUUUUCUUUAACAAUCCUACCAUUUUAUGCAGCGCCUUCCUUGCUAUGCAAAAGAUUAUGUAGUGCAUAAUCUUUCCCUUUACAUAGAUCAAGAUUGCACGGAUGUCAUACUUCACACAAACCAUGGAUCUACAGUCGUUGCUACUAUAAGACUUGAUGAAUGUGGUGACUCCAAUUUUGGCACUGGCUUUUGGAAAGAAAAUUUCUAAGUUUUAUGUACUAAAAGCUGGCACUAAAAUUGCACUGCACAUAAAAGGGCAUGGUCAUGAGAUAUUGCUACGUCUUGAGCUUGCGUUGGUUUUCCUUGAAGAGGAAAGGGUGAUGUAGCAAAGUAGCGUAAGUAUUUCCCUCAGUUUUUGAGAACCAAGGUAUCAAUCCAGUAGGAGGCUCCUCAGAAGUCCCAAGCACCUACACAAACAAACAAGAACCUCACAACCAACGCUAUAAAGGGGUUGUCAAUUGUUGGGGAACGUAGUAAUUUCGAAAAUUUUCCUACGCACACGCAAGAUCAUGGUGGUGCAUAGCAACGAGAGGGGAGAGUGUCGUCCAUGUACCCUCGUAGACCGAAAGCGGAAGCGUUAGAACAACGCGGUUUAUGUAGUCGUACGUCUUCACGGCCCGACCGAUGAAGCACCGAAAACACGGCACCUCCGAGUUCUAGCACACGUUUAGCUCGAGGAUGUCCCUCGAACUCCGAUCCAACCGAGUGUCGAGGGAGUGUUCCGUCAGCACGACGGCGUGGUGACGAUGUUGAUGUUCUACCGUCACAGGGCUUCGCCUAAGCACCGCUACAAUAUUAUCGAGGAGGACUAUGGUGGAGGGGGCACCGCACAUGGCUAACAGAUCAAGAGAUCAAUUGUUGUGUCUAGAGGUGCCCCCUGCCCCCGUAUAUAAAGGAGAAAGGGGGGAGGGGGUGGCCGGCCAAGGAGGAGGUGCGCCAUGGGGAGUCCUACUCCCACCGGGAGUAGGACUCCCUCCUUUCCUUGUUGGACUUGGAGAAAGGGGGAAAGAGGAGGGAGAGAGAGGAAGGAAAGGGGGGGCACCGCCCCCCUCUCCUUGUCCUAUUCGGACUAGGGGGAGGGGCACGCAGCCCAGCCCUGGAUGCCUCUCCUCUUCUCCACUAAGGCCCACUAUGGCCCAUUAAGCCCCCGGGGGGUUCCGGUAACCCCCCGGUACUCAGGUAAAAUCCCGAUUUCACCCGGAACACUCCCGAUAUCCAAAUAUAGGCUUCCAAUAUGUCAAUCUUCAUGUCUCGACCAUUUCGAGACUCCUCAUCAUGUCUGUGAUCACAUCCGGGACUCCGAACAACCUUCGGUACAUCAAAACUCAUAAACUCAUAAUAUAACUAUCAUCGAAACUUUAAGCGUGCGGACCCUACGAAUUCGAGAACUAUGUAGACAUGACCGAGACACAUUUCCGGUCAAUAACCAAUAGCAGAACAUGGAUGAUCAUAUUGGCUCCUACAUAUUCUACGAAGAUCUUUAUCGGUCAAACCGCAUAACAACAUACGUUGUUCCCUUUGUCAUCGGUAUGUUACUUGCCCGAGAUUUGAUCGUUGGUAUCACAAUACCUAGUUCAAUCUCGUUACCAGAAAGUCUCUUUACUCGUUAUGUAAUGCAUCAUUCCGUAACUAACUCAUUAGUUACAUUGCUUGUAAGGCUUAUAGUGAUGUGCAUUACCGAGAGGGCCCAGAGAUACCUCUCUGACAAUCGGAGUGACAAAACCUAAUCUCGAAAUACGCCAACUCAACAUGUACCUUUGGAGACACCUCUAGAGAUCCUUUAUAAUCACCCAGUUACGUUGUGACAUUUGGUAGCACACAAAGUGUUCCUCCGGUAAACGGGAGUUGCAUAAUCUCAUAGUUGUAGGAAUAUGUAUAAGUCAUGAAGAAAGCAAUAGCAACAUACUAAACGAUCAACUGCUAAGCUAACAAAAUGGGUCAAGUCAAUCACAUCAUUCUCCUAAUGAUGUGAUCCCGUUAAUCAAAUGAAAACUCAUGUCUAUGGUUAGGAAACAUAACCAUCUUUGAUUAAUGAGCUAGUCAGGUAGAGGCAUACUAGUGACAUUAAGUUUGUCUAUGUAUUCACACAUGUAUCAUGUCUCCGGUUAAUAUAACUCUAGCAUGAAUAAUAAACAUUUAUCAAGAUAUAAGGAAAUAAAUAAUAACUUUAUUAUUGCCUCUAGGGCAUAUUUCCUUUAGUCUCCCACUUGCACUAGAGUCAAUAAUCUAGAUUACACAGUAAUGAUUCUAACACCCAUGGAGCCUUGGUGCUGAUCAUGUUUUGCUCGUGGAAGAGGCUUAGUCAAUGGGUCUGCAACAUUCAAAUCCGUAUGUAUCUUGCAAAUCUCUAUGUCUCCCACCUGGACUUGGUCUCGGAUGGAAUUGAAGCGUCUCUUGAUGUGCUUGGUCCUCUUGUGAAAUCUGGAUUCCUUUGCUAAGGCAAUUGCACCCAUAUUGUCACAAAAGAUCUUCAUUGGUCCCGAUGCACUAGGCAUGACACCUAGAUCGGAAAUGAACUCCUUCAUCCAUACUCCUUCAUUUUUCGGAAGCAACUAUGUACUCCGCUUCGCAUGUAGAUCCCGCCACGACGCUUUGUUUAGAACUGCACCAACUGACAGCUCCACCAUUCAAUAUAAACAAGUAUCCGUUUUGCGAUUUAGAAUCGUCCGGAUCAGUGUCAAAGCUUGCAUCGACAAAACCAUUUAUGACUAGCUCUUUGUCACCUCCAUAAACGAGAAACAUAUCCUUAGUCCUUUUCAGGUAUUUCAGGAUAUUCUUGACCGUUGUCCAGUGAUCCACUCCUGGAUUACUUUGGUACCUCCCCGCUAAACUUAUUGCUAAGCAUACAUCAGGUCUGGUACACAACAUUGCAUACAUGAUAGAGCCUAUGGCUGAAGCCACUAGUAGAAAAAGGGUCAAACGUGAAGCACAUUAGUGCCGGUUUGUAAAAAAACUAGCACUAAUGUGAUCAAUAGUGCCGGUUCGAAUGGCUAUGCAUUAGUGCCGGUUCGUAAUGAACCUUUAGUACCGGUUCGUGGCACGAACCGGUACUAAAGGGGUGGUGGCAGGCUGGCGUCAGGCCAGGGCCCCACGAGCCCCAUUAGUGAUGGUUUGUGACACAGACUGGCACUAAAGGUCUAACCUAUAGUACCGGUUUGCGUCACCAACCGGCACUACAGAGUCUUAACCUAUAGUCCCAGUUGAAGACACAAACCGGCACUAUAGGGCAAUUUUCAAACACUACGCCCCCCCNNNNNNNNNNNNNNNNNNNNNNNNNNNNNNNNNNNNNNNNNNNNNNNNNNNNNNNNNNNNNNNNNNNNNNNNNNNNNNNNNNNNNNNNNNNNNNNNNNNNNNNNNNNNNNNNNNNNNNNNNNNNNNNNNNNNNNNNNNNNNNNNNNNNNNNNNNNNNNNNNNNNNNNNNNNNNNNNNNNNNNNNNNNNNNNNNNNNNNNNNNNNNNNNNNNNNNNNNNNNNNNNNNNNNNNNNNNNNNNNNNNNNNNNNNNNNNNNNNNNNNNNNNNNNNNNNNNGAUAAGAACUUCAGAAAAUAAAAUCUGUCGAAAGGUAGUUAUAUUACUGCAUCUACUAGUUAGGAAAAUUUGAAAACUUAAAUUUGGACAUGUUUUGCAAAAAGUGUAGGGAAAAUGUAAAACGGCUAUAACUUUUGCAUACGAUGUCGGAAAUAAACGUAUAAUAUAUCAAAAAAUUCAGCAAGAAAAUGCGCAUCCGAUGGAGACCGCCUACGGCCUGUUUGGAAUUUUUUAGAAUCCUCAAAUUCCAAAAUGAAAAAAAGAUAUGGUCAAAUUUCAGUUUUUCUAAAAAAAUUGGUUAAAUCUGGUCAAACUACUUAUUCAAGAAGUAUUAAUGUUACUACAUAAUUAUUCAAGAAUAUUAGUGUUACUAAAUAAUUAUUUCAAUUUUUUGAUUUUGGUCAAAUAUGGUCAAACUAUGGUCAAACUGUGGUCAAACUAUGGUCAAACUUAUUCAAGAAAUAUUAGCGUUACUAAAUAAUUACUGUUUUUUUAGAAUAAUAGUUUCAAACUCAAACGGUGAAAUGUGUGACUUCAUGCUCAAGCUAAACUCCUGAGGGUUAAUAGGAUUAACAUCUUACUAUUGUCAGGAAAACAACAAGUGCAUACUUGGAAACGAAGGAGAAUAGAACCCGAAAGUUAAGCGUGCUUGGGCUGGAGUAGUGAGAGGGAUGGGUGACCGGUCGGGAAGUUAGAUGAUUUGGAAUGAGUGAUCCACACUUGAGUAGUUAAGAGAGGUGGGGAUUAGAUACUAAAUUAUCAAAUAAUUUAGAAAAAUUAAAAAUAGAAAAAAAAAUCAUAUUUUUUUUCCAAAAUUUUCAAAAAAAAAAUUCAAAAAAGAAAAACCUUUAGUACCGGUUGGAAACACCAACCGGUUCUAAAGGUCCCCCAUACCAGGGCGUGAGCUCACGCCACGUGGUGGCACUUUAGCGCCGGUUCGUGCCGAACCGGUACUAAAGGGAGGGGGGCUUUAGUGCCCACACUUUAGUGCCAGUUCCAUAACCGGCACUAAAGGCCCUUACAAACCGGUUUUAAAGGUCCGUUUUCUACUAGUGAGCAUAGGGAACAUCUUUCAUUUUCUCUAUAUCUUCUGCUGUGGUCGGGCAUUGAGUCUGACUCAACUUCACACCUUGUAAUACAGUCAAGGACCCUUUCUUUGCUUGAUCCAUUUUGAACUUUUUCAAAACUUUAUCAAGGUAUGUGCUUUGUGAAAGUCCAAUUAAGCGUCUUGAUCUAUCUCUAGAUCUUGAUGCCUAAUAUGUAAGCAGCUUCACCAAGGUCUUUCAUUGAAAAACUUUUAUUCAAGUAUCCUUUUAUGCUAUCCAGAAAUUCUAUAUCAUUUCCAAUUAACAAUAUGUCGUCUACAUAUAAUAUCAGAAAUGCUACAGAGCUCCCACUCACUUUCUUGUAAAUACAGGCUUCUCCAAAAGUCUGUAUAAAACCAUAUGCUUUGAUCACACUAUCAAAGCAUUUAUUCCAACUCCGAGAGGCUUGCACCAGUCCAUAAAUGGAUCGCUGGAGCUUGCACACUUUGUUAGCACCUUUUGGAUUGACAAAACCUUCCGGUUGCAUCAUAUACAACUCUUCUUCCAGAAAUCCAUUCAGGAAUGCAGUUUUGACAUCCAUUUGCCAUAUUUCAUAAUCAUAAAAUGCGGCAAUUGCUAACAUGAUUCAGACAGACUUUAAGCAUCGCUACGAGUGAGAAAGUCUCAUCGUAGUCAACUCCUUCAACUUGUCGAAAACCUUUCGCAACAAGUCAAGCUUUGUAGACAGUUACAUUACCAUCAGCGUCAGUCUUCUUAUUGAAGAUCCAUUUAUUCUCGAUGGCUUGCCGAUCAUCGGACAAGUCAACCAAAGUCCAUACUUUGUUCUCAUACAUGGAUCCCAACUCAGAUUUCAUGGCCUCAAGCCAUUUUGCGGAAUCUAGGCUCAUCAUCGCUUCCUCAUAGUUCAUAGGUUCGCCAUGGUCAAGUAACAUGACCUCCAGAAUAGGAUUACCGUACCACUCUGGUGUGGAUCUUACUCUGGUUGACCUAUGAGGUUUGGUAGUAACUUGAUCUGAAGUUUCAUGAUCAAUAUCAUUAGCUUCCUCACUGAUUGGUGUAGUCAUCACAGGAACCGGUUUCUGUGAUGAACUAUUUUCCAAUAAGGGAGCAGGUACAGUUACCUCAUCAAGUUCUACUUUCCUCCCACUCACUUCUUUCGAGAGAAACUCCUUCUCUAGAAAGGAUCCGAAUUUAGCAACAAAAGUCUUGCCUUCAGAUCUGUGAUAGAAGGUGUACCCAAUAGUCUCUUUUGGGUAUCCUAUGAAGACACAAUUCUCCGAUUUGGGUUCGAGCUUAUCUGGUUGAAGUUUCUUCAUAUAAGCAUCGCAGCCCCAAACUUUAAGAAACGACAACUUUGGUUUCUUGCCAAACCAUAGUUCAUAAGGCGUCGUCUCAACGGAUUUUGAUGGUGCCCUAUUUAACGUGAAUGCGACCGUAUCUAAAGCAUAACCCCAAAACGAUAGGGGUAAAUCAGUAAGAGACAUCAUAGAUCGCACCAUAUCUAGUAAAGUACGAUGACGUUCGGACACACCAUUACGCUGUGGUGUUCCAGGUGGCGUCAGUUGCGAAACUAUUCCGCAUUGUUUCAAAUGUAAACCAAACUCGUAACUCAAAUAUUCUCCUCCACGAUUAGAUCAUAGAAACUUUAUUUUCUUGUUACGAUGAUUUGCCACUUCACUCUAAAAUUCUUUGAACUAUUCAAAUGUCUCAGACUUGUGUUUCAUUAAGUAGAUAUACCCAUAUCUGCUCAAAUCAUCUGUGAAGGUGAGAAAAUAACGAUACCCGCCGCGAGCCUCAAUAUUCAUUGGACCACACACAUCAGUAUGUAUGAUUUCCAGCAAAUCAGUUGCUCGCUCCAUAGUUCCGGAGAACGGCGUUUUAGUCAUCUUGCCCAUGAGGCACGGUUCGCAAGUACCAAGUGAUUCCAGAAGUCCAUCAGUAUGGAGUUUCUUCAUGCGCUUUACACCAAUAUGACCCAAACGGCAGUGCCACAAAUAAGUUGCACUAUCAUUAUCAACUCUGCAUCUUUUGGCUUCAAUAUUAUGAAUAUGUGUAUCACUACUAUCGAGAUCUAAUAAAAAUAGACCACUCUUCAAGGGUGCAUGACCAUAAAAGAUAUUACUCAUAUAAAUAGAACAACCAUUAUUCUCUGAUUUAAAUGAAUAACCAUCUCGCAUCAAACAAGAUCGAGAUAUAAUGUUCAUGCUCAACGCUGGCACCAAAUAACAAUUAUUCAGGUCUAAAACUAAUCCCGAAGGUAGAUGUAGAGGUAGCGUGCCGACCGCGAUCACAUCGACUUUGGAACCAUUUCCCACGCGCAUCAUCACCUCGUUCUUAGCCAAUCUUCGCUUAAUCCGUAGUCCCUGUUUUGAGUUGCAAAUAUUAGCAACAGAACCAGUAUCAAAUACCAAGGUACUACUGCAAGCAUUAGUAAGGUACACAUCAAUAACAUGUAUAUCACAUAUACCUUUGUUCACCUUGCCAUACUUCUUAUCCGCCAAAUACUUGGGGCAGUUCCGCUUCGAGUGAACAGUCUGCUUGCAGUAGAAGCACUAAGUCUCAAGCUUAGGUCCAGAUUUGGGUUUCUUCUCUUGAGCAGCAACUUGUUUGUUUUCUUCUUGACAUUCCCCUUCUUCUUCCCUUUGCCCUUUUUCUUGAAACUGGUGGUCUUAUUGACCAUCAACACUUGAUGCUCCUUCUCGAUUUCUACCUCCGCAGGCUUUAGCAUUGCGAAGAGCUCAGGUAGUCUUGUCCAUCCCUUGCAUAUUAUAGUUCAUCAUGAAGUUCUUGUAGCUUGGUGGCAGUGAUUGAAGAAUUCUGUCAAUGACACUAUCAUCAGGAAGAUUUACUCCCAGUUGAAUCAAGUGAUUAUUAUACCCAGACAUUUUGAGUAUAUGUUCACUGACAGAACUAUUCUCUUCCAUCUUGCAGCUAUAGAACUUAUUGGAGACUUCAUAUCUCUCAAUCCAGGCAUUUGCUUGAAAUAUUAACUUCAACUCCUGGAACAUCUCAUAUGCUCCAUGAUGUUCAAAACAUCAUUGAAGUCCCGGUUCUAAGUCGUAAAGCAUGGCACACUGAACUAUCGAGUAGUCAUCAGCUUUGCUCUGCCAGAUGUUCUUAACAUCGUCAAUUGCAUCUACAGUAGGCCUGGCACCCAGUGGUGCUUCCAGGACGUAAUUAUUCUGUGCAGCAAUGAGGAUAAUCCUCAGGUUAUGGACCCAGUCUAUGUAAUUGCUACCAUCAUCUUUCAACUUAGCUUUCUCAAGGAACGCAUUAAAAUUCAACGGAACAACAACACGAGCCAUCUAUCUACAACAAACACAGACAAGCAAAAUACUAUCAGGUACUAAGUUCAUGAUAAAUUUAAGUUCAAUUAAUCAUAUUACUAAAGAUCUCCCACUUAGACAGACAUCUCUCUAGUCAUCUAAGUGAUCACGUGAUCCAAAUCAACUAAACCAUGUCCAAUCAUCACGUGAGAUGGAGUAGUUUUCAAUGGUGAACAUCACUAUGUUGAUCAUAUCUACUAUAUGAUUCACGUUCGACCUUUCGGUCUCUGUGUUCCGAGGCCAUAUCUUUAUAUGCUAGGCUCGUCAAGUUUAACCUGAGUAUUCCGCGUGUGCAACUGUUUUGCACCCGUUGUAUUUGAACGUAGAGCCUAUCACACCCGAUCAUCACGUGGUGUCUCAGCACGAAGAACUUUCACAACAGUGCAUACUCAGGGAGAACACUUAUACCUUCAAAUUUAGUGAGAGAUCAUCUUAUAAUGCUACUGUCAAUCAAAGCAAAAUAAGAUGCAUAAAGGAUAAACAUCACAUGCAAUCAAUAUAAGUGAUAUGAUAUGGCCAUCAUCAUCUUGUGCUUGUGAUCUCCAUCUCCAAAGCACCGUCAUGAUCACCAUUGUCACCGGCGCAACACCUUGAUCUACAUCGUAGCAUCGUUGUCGUUUCGCCACCUAUUGCUUCUACGACUAUCGCUACCGCUUAGUGAUAAAGUAAAGCAAUUACCGAGUGUUUGCAUUGCAUACAAUAAAGCGACAACCAUAUGGCUCCUGCCAGUUGCCGAUAACUCGGUUACAAAACAUGAUCAUAUCAUACAAUAAAAUAUAGCAUCACAUCUUGACCAUAUCACAUCACAACAUGCCCUGCAAAAACAAGUUAGACGUCCUCUACUUUGUUGUUGCAAAUUUUACGUGGCUGCUACGGGCUGAGCAAGAACCGUUCUUACCUACGCAUCAAAACCACGGCGAUAGUUCGUCAAGUUAGUGUUGUUUCAACCUUCUCAAGGACCGGGCGUAGACACACUCGGUUCAACUAAAGUUGGAGAAACUGACACCCGCCAGCCACCUAUGUGCAAAGCACGUCGGUAGAACCAGUCUCGCGUAAGCGUACGCUUAGUGUCGGUCUGAGCCGCUUCAUCCAACAAUACCGCCGAACCAAAGUAUGACAUGCUGGUAAGCAGUAUGACUUGUAUCACCCACAACUCACUCGUGUUCUACUCGUGCAUAUAACAUCUACGCAUAAAACCUGGCUCGGAUACCACUGCUGGGGAACGUAGUAAUUUCAAAAAAAAUUCCUACGCACACGCAAGAUCAUGGUGAUGCAUAGCAACGAGAGGGGAGAGUGUCAUCCACGUACCCUCGUAGACCGAAAGCGGAAGUGUUAGAACAAUGCGGUUGAUGUAGUCGUACGUCUUCAUGGCCCGACCAAUCAAGCACCAAAAACAUGGCACCUCUGAGUUCUAGCACACGUUCAGCUCGAUGACGUUCCUCGACCAAUAUUAUCGAGGAGGACUAUGGUGGAGGGGGCACCACACACGGCUAAGAGAUCAAGAGAUCAAUUGUUGUAUCUGUUGGGGAACGUAGCAGAAAUUCAAAAAUUUUCCUACGAAUCACCAAGAUCGCCGUCGGGCACCUGCCUGCCUGCCUGGCCGGCAAGCAGCUCGCUGGAGCGGCACUGGGCUGGGCCGGCAAGUGGGCCGGGAGCAGGCGCCAGGUAAGCUUUUUCCAUUUCUUUCUGUUUUCUGUUUUUUUAAUACUUCUGCAACUUUGUUGAAUUAAAUAAAAUACUUAGGCUACUCCUAUAAUCACCAAACUACUCCUGGUCCAUAGUUGGAUUAUUUCCAACAUGAAACAUUUUAGUUUGGAGAUAUUUGAGCAUUUAAAUAUUUUAUAUAAUUUUAAAUGCCCAAAUUCAAAUAUUUAUGAUUUAAUUCAAAAACCCUAAGCUGGCCUAGGAAAAUGUGCACCACUUUUGGCAGAGGUUCUGAGCCAAGACAAAAAUGAUGGGCAUUUUAGAAGGGCAUUUCAGGUUCAUUAAAAAGUUUUUAGUAAACCCUAAUUGGAUUCAGAGGGGACUGGGGGUUCUGUCAUCCCCAUUUCAGGUUUCUGAUGAAAAAGUAAACAUGAUGCAACACUCUAAUGCAUGGCUAACUAGGAUGUGACAACUCACCCCCACUCAAAAGAAUCUCGUCCCGAGAUUUGGGUUCCUCCGAAAAGAAGGCGGGAUACUCAAGUCGAAGACGAUCCUCCCUUUCCCAAGUUGCUUCAUCCUCAGAAUGGUGCGACCAUUGUACUUUGAGAAACUUGAUAUUAUGACGUCGAGUGGUACGCUCGGCCUGAUCGAGGAUACGAAUAGGGUACUCUCGAUAUGUAAGAUUAUCUUGGAGAUCAAGCAUUUCGUGGUCCACUCCACGGAUAGGAUCCGAGAAGCCACGCCUGAGUUGAGAAACGUGGAAGACAUCGUGGACUCUGGAGAGGUGCGGAGGUAGUUCCAACUGGUAGGCAACUUCUCCUCGUUUGGCGAGAAUGCGAAAAGGUCCAAUGUAACGAGGAGCCAAUUUGCCUUUGAUAUCGAAACGAUGGGUUCCCUUCAGAGGGGUAACCCGAAGAUAAGCCUUCUCGUCAACCUCGAAAGUCAUAGCCUUAUGUUUUCGGUCAUAUUGACUCUUUUGACGAGAUUGGGCUGUUUUCAACUUUUCACGAACGAUGCGAACUUGUUCUUCUGCUUCCUGAAUCAUAUCCGGGCCAAAGAAUUGUCUUUCCCCGGUCUCUGACCAGUUAAGGGGUGUUCGACACCGUCGUCCAUAGAGAACUUCAAAAGGGGCUUUACCCAAGCUAGAUUGAUAGCUGUUGUUGUAAGCGAAUUCGGCAAAUGGAAGGCACUUCUCCCAAUCCAUUCCGAAUGAGAUAAUAGAGGCUCGAAGCAUGUCUUCUAGAAUCUGGUUGACGCGUUCCACUUGACCACUCGACUGAGGGUGGAAAGCGGUGCUAAAGGAGAGACGGGUUCCCAUAGCAUUUUGGAAACUUUCCCAAAAUCGAGAGGUGAAAAUACUUCCUCGAUCCGAGUUAAUUUUCAAAGGAACACCAUGGAGAGACACUAUUCGGGAGAUGUAUAAGUCUGCCAGCUGACUAGCGGUUAUACUCUCACGAACAGGUAGGAAAUGGGCUACUUUGGAAAGACGAUCGACAACGACGAAAAUAGCAUUAUUCCCUCUCUUGGUCCUGGGAAAACCGGUAAUGAAAUCCAUACCAAUUUUAUCCCAUUUCCAUUCAGGAAUAGCUAAGGGUUGAAGGGUGCCAGCAGGCCGUUGAUGCUCUGCUUUUACACGACGACAGACGUCGCAAUUAGCAAUAUACUGAGCAAUUUCUCUCUUCAUCCUAGUCCACCAGAACCUCUUGCGUAGGUCCUGAUACAUCUUAGUACUACCGGGAUGAAUGGUGAGAGGAGAUUCAUGAGCCUCCUUAAGGAUCAAUCGCCUCAGGUUUCGCACUUUGGGAACCACUAGUCGAUUCCCGAAGUAUACGACCCCUUGAUCAUUAAUGGAGAAACAAUUCGCAAUUCCUUUCUUGAUGUUUCUCUUGAUGCGGGAGAUUCCCGGAUCUACCUUCUGUGCCUUGACGAUCUGGUCCGUAAGGGUAGGUUUCGCCACCAAGGUGGAAAGGAAACCUUGAGGAACAAUGUGAAGGUUAAGCUUCCGAAAUUCCUCAUGGAGAAGCGGUUGACUUUGUUGUAACAUUAGGUUGUUACAAUAAGAUUUACGACUUAGCGCAUCAGCCAUGACGUUGGCUUUCCCUGGGGUGUAAGUUAUUCCUAAGUCGAAAUCUGUGAUCAACUCAACCCAACGUCUUUGCCUGAGAUUCAAAUCCGGUUGGGUGAAAAUGUACUUCAGACUUUGGUGAUCAGUGAAUAUUUCGCAACGGUUACCGAGGAGGUAAUGUCGCCAGGUCUUAACUGCAUAGACUACGGCUGCAAGCUCUAGAUCAUGAGUAGGAUAAUUCUCCUCAUGUGGGUGCAAUUGCCGUGAAGCGUAAGCAAUUACGUGUCGAUCUUGCAUGAGAAUGCAACCUAGUCCUUGUCGCGAGGCGUCGCAGUAGAUAACAAAAUCCUUGGAGAAGUCUGGCGGUACCAGUACGGGAGCAGAAGUCAAGCGUCUUUUCAGUUCCUGAAAGCUGUGCUCACAUUGUGAAGUCCAUUCGAACUUCUUAUCUUUCUUAAGGAGUUCAGUUAGAGGUUUAGCAACUUUGGAGAAGUUCUCGACAAAGCGACGACAAUAGCUCGCUAAGCCCAGAAAACUCCGAACUUGCUUGACCGAUUCAGGUGGAGUCCAAUUAAGGACGGCUUGAACUCUCUCAGGGUUAACAGCAAUACCUUUACCAGAUAUUACAUGACCCAGAUAGGUCACUUCUGACAACCAAAAUUCACAUUUGGAAAACUUGGCAUAAAGGCGGUGCUCUCGAAGUUUCUUCAACACUAGCCUUAGAUGUUCAGCAUGUUCUUCCUCGUUCUUAGAGUAGAUGAGUAUAUCAUCGAGAUAAACUACGACGAAUUUAUCCAAAUACUCCAUGAAGAUUGAGUUCAUUAACCGAGAAAAGGUGGCUGGAGCGUUGGUUAAACCGAAGGACAUGACGGUGUACUCGUAUUGGCCAUAACGAGUAACAAAGGCCGUUUUAGGAAUGUCCUCGUUUCUGAUUUUGAUUUGAUGGUAGCCCAACCUCAAAUCCAUCUUGGAGAAGACUGAGGAUCCAGCGAGCUGAUCAUACAGGUCGUUGAUCCUGGGAAGCGGAUAUUUGUUAUUGAUUGUGACCAAAUUGACCGGUCGGUAAUCUACAACCAUCCGGUCCGUACCAUCCUUCUUCUUGACGAAGAGGACGGGGCAAGCCCACGGAGAUGAACUAGGUCGGAUGAAACCCUUUUUCAAGGACUCAUCGAGUUUUUUCUUAAGCUCGGCUAGUUCUAGUGGUGCCAUCUUAUAGGGUCUUCUAGCAAUCGGAACGGUUCCUGGAAUGAGGUCUAUUACGAAAUCAACAUCCCUGUCAGGUGGAACACCUGGCAAUUCCUCUGGGAAGACAUCCGGGAAGUCACGGACUACCGGAACGUCCUCAAGGUCUGGCAAAGGGCUGGCGUUAAGAGAAUAUAAUUGUCGCUUGGCUAAUCGGGUCAAGACAUUGACUAUCUUCCCCGAAGGAUGAGUGAGUUGAACAGUCCUAGAGAAGCAAUCAAUUUUGGCAUGAUGAGCUGACAUCCAGUCCAUACCCAAAAUGAUAUUAAUAUCUGAAAAUUUGAGAGCUAUCAAAGAUGCAAGGAAAACAAGUCUGUCGACUUGGAUUUCAUUUCCAUAACUUACCCUGGAGGUCUGCCAUCUAGAACCAGGAGUAGAAAUUUCCAUAGUGGAUGGCAUGUCACAGAAUGCGGUGUUAUGCAGACGAGCAUAGUUCUCGGAUAUAAAUGAAUGAGAGGCUCCUGUAUCGAAAAGAACAGAUGCCGGGUGGCAAUUAACAAGGAGCGUACCGAGAACGACGUUGGGAUCCUCUUGAGCUUCAUCGGCAGAGAUACAGUUGACAUGGCCACGUGUAGCGGUGGCCGGCUUGGCGUGGAACACUUUCCCUGUCGGCUUGCCACGGCCAACAGCUUUAGCAGAUUGGUUGGGGUUGGUCUGGGGACACUCACGCAUAUAGUGGCCAGAUUCCCCACACUUGAAACAAGUCACGGAACUGGUACGUGGAGGAGCAUUGUUGGUUGGACCCCCAUAGGGCUUGGCUGGUGCAGACUGUUGAACGGGGCGAGGCGCCUGGAAAGAUGGCCUCGGUGUGAACCUGGGUGGCAGGGCGGUGUUGGGCACCCACACGCGGCGCUUCUGAGGACCAGCACCGGAUGAGGAACCCAUGUCACGGCCAUGCUUGCGUGUUGCAUCAUAAUCAGUCUGACCAGUUUCAGCACUGAUGGCCUUGUUAACAAGUUUCUGAAAAGAUGUGCACUCAUGCAGACGGAGGUCGCGGCGAAGCUCAGGACUAAGCCCCUUACGGAACCUUGCUUGCUUCGUGGCAUCAGUAGAAACUUCCUCAGUUGCAUAUCGUGCGAGGUUACCGAACUCCCUGUUGUAAGCAUCCACAGAGAGUCGGCCCUGAGUGAAACUGCAAAAUUCCUCACGUUUACGGUCCAUGAGACCCUCCGGAAUGUGAUGUUCACGGAAAGCCUCGCUGAAUUCAGCCCAAGUAGUGACAUGGCCCGCUGGGCGCAUAGCUCCAUAAUUCUCCCACCAUAGACUGGCGGGGCCUUCAAGAUGAUAUGCAGCAAAGGUGACCUUGUCAGCCUCCGCUACCAGCGCGGAUCGCAGUUUGUGAGAAAUACUGCGAAGCCAAUCAUCAGCGUCGAGAGGCUCGACGGAGUGGUGGAAUGUGGGUGGAUGUAACUUGAUAAAAUCACUGAGUGACACCACGUUAGUCCUCUGAUGGUGUGCCGUGUUCUGUUCAAUACGCUCCCACAAACAGUUGGUCUCCCGCUUGUUUCUUUCGGCUUCCAUCAUAACCUCGGCUAGGGAAGGAGGAUGAGGCAGAUUUGCAUUCCUGACUUCGCUGCCUUCGGCCUGCUCUUGGGGAGCAGGGUUAGUGCGCGUGUUGACCAUCCUAGGUAAACAAGACAAUUAUUUAGUCAGGAUGAUAAAAUUCCGACAUAGGAUACAGAAUAUAAAGAAUAACUCGGAAUGCAAGAUGAUCAUCCGUAUGACAUGGUAGAUACAGAAACUGCUUCUUUAUUCCAUCGUCAUACACACCAUACAGGGUUUAGUACAAGACCAAACAAAGUACUAUUACGGUGAAAAGAGGAUUACAUCUCAUCGGAGGCAUUCCAAGCUCCUAUACAUUAUUUUUCUACACCUCCGGAAGGCGAUACAAACUAGGUCAUAUCCCACGAGUCACGUAGGACGAUAGACGACACAGCUAACACGAACUAGUGAUACUACCACUAACUCAGACCGAUCCGUAGUAGUCCUCGUAGAAGUCACCUCCAUAGCCUGGAAGCUCAACAUGAUCAUCCGGAAACAGACGAUCUCGCGGAGCUUGUGGACCAUAGGGGCUAGGAUGAGGUCUUGGACCAACAGACGGUGGCCUGCGGGGACCGCGAGGUGGGGUGAUGCCUCCUACAUCACGCCAACCCAUCACGUAUGGCAAAGCAGACCUCACAGGAUAGAGAUCGUGCAUAUCCGAAUAUCCAGCUUGCACCGCCGGUGCAAACCGAGUCAAUGUGGCCCAGUGGUCAGCACGGGUAUUGAAGAGCUCUAACCUCAAGGCCCGAUUUUCACGGUCCUUAUCCUCGAGCAUCUCAGCAGUGGUGCGAGUCCGUGAAUCCUCCUGGGUGGGGUCAGCAUAGAUAGCCUGGAGAUACCCUUGUGCUCCCGGAAGUGAUCCUGGCAUAUACCGGAAAUCAGAGUCCCGAAAUAGACCAGAUCUGACUCGCAUGAUGGUCAUCAUAGAGUAGGCGGCGUCCUGCACAGCCAUCUCAAUAGUAACCCCGAGUCCAUAGGAGCAGUGAAGGGGCUCGGUGGACCCAGGAUAAGAUGGAAAUAUCCUGACAGUGCAGAGAUACUGGCUUUGAUUAAAGUCUCGGAGUUGCUCUUCGACCGUGUACUCAGGAUACCAACGGUAUCCAGCCUCAGUCAUUACCCUGACCAACAUGGCAGUAUGGCCGGGUACAUCUAGGCAUCGAGUCAGGCGAACCACUUGAUUAAGGUCGCGAGUGGCCAUCUGAAAGCACAAUCAUAAUGCAAAGGCAUUAGAAUUUCUAGCAAAAUUUCGGCAGCAUAACAGUUGUAAAUGCUCAAGAAGGAUUUUGAGACAUUUGACAAAGGAUUUCAUACACACCCAACAUCAUCAUAUCAAAGUUCUGAAUCCAUCCUAACAACAUAACGUGGUAGAAGAACUGAACUAGGCUUGUAUCCAUCAACCCUAUAAGGUACUACUGAUUAGUAACGCGUGAUCCUGAUAGAGAGAAUAGAUCCUAAUUCCUUAACCCCCGGUGGAAGAAUAGACUGACUCAGAUCAGAAUGUCAUAAGAUAAAGGAGUAAAAAGAGCCUUACGUUCCAACCCACAAACAAUUCCCCUACAUAUAACUAAAGAAUUUCUAGACUCAACAUCGACCGGUUUGGCUUGGAGAACCUACAGGCAGUCCGGCUCUGAUGCCAACGCUGUCAGGACCCCGACUCAAUGUCACAUCGAUCUAGCUUGUAACACCUCAUAUCACUUUGCAGCCUCACGCACGGUAACCCCACGGGUGUCGCCUUACCUUUGCCCGGGACCGUUUGCGCCUUUUGGCUCACGUAUAUGAUAGUGUCGCUAGCAUCCAUAUGAUAAAGAGCCCGGGCUGACAUGACUAGUCGUAAACCCAAAGUGGCACAGACUUACAGGGACAGGCAUCCAUGACCCAGCAACGAACGUGUCGGUCAUCAGCAAGUGGGUCCUGGCUAUAGCACUGGGCUAGCAGGACUCCGGUAAACUGGGCUGUAGCGGGCUAACAGGACUCCGGUACUCAAUGCGUGACAUUUCCCCGAAGGGACAGACACAGGAACGAAGAAGGACACAUGCCGGCCAGCCUAAGUGUUCCCGAGCAGCAGCAAGCUACCAUGGCUCAGAGGUAACACUAGGAGACAUUUCCCGGUAAGAGAGGCUACUAAGGAUAAACAACUAGAUAGUCAGAUCCCACACAUACCAAGCAUUUCAAACAUACACACAAUAUGCUCGAUAUGUGCAAAUACAACAAGGCAUCACAACAUGACUCUAUGACACAAGUACUUUAUUUAAGGCUCAGAGAGCCAUACAUAACAUACACACAGGUACGGGUCACACGACCCAGCAUUCAAGUCAUACAGUCAUACAAACCAGCAGCGGAAGUAACUUGUCUGAGUAAAGACAACUAGUAAAAUAAAAGAGGCUUGGAAAGCCUAGCUAUACUACGUGGUCCUUCACAAGCUCAGGAUCACCACCUGGGCCUUAGCCUACUCAUUGAUGUCAACGUCUACGUAGAACCCAUCAGAAGGGGUUGCAGCGUCUUCUGUAAAAAUGUAAAUUAUAGCAACAUGAGUACAAAGGUACUCAGCAAGACUUACAUCAGAUCCUACAUACAUGCAUAUUAUCAAGAAGGGUUGGUGGAGUUGUUGCAGCAAGCCAGCUUUGACUCUUGGCUAGGCUAACCUACGAGACUCCAACCCGAAAUGGUUUUGCGCACACGAGUCCGCUACUCACCAAUUCAAUACACUACCGAGGAUCCACCUCCGUCUUCCUACGGAAGAGCCAUCCUCGGCACUCACACUUAUCUUGAGGCUUUUAGUAGUUUCCAUUUACUUGUCUAUGAACUGUAUAGGCAACCAAGUAGUCCUUUACCGUGGACGCGGCUAUUCGAAUAGAUCAUGAUAACCCCGCAGGGGUGUACUUCUUCAUACACGCUCUCACCACUUACCGUCGUUUACACGACAUGUACUCGGCAACCUUCAAGCGGAAGCCCAACGUGGGUGUCGGCCACGACCUACCUAACCACCUAAGCCUCCAGUCCAGGUUUAUCGGCUAUCCAGGUUCCAUCCGCAGGGAGUCCGGCCGAGGUUUCCCAUACGGCCCCGAACGAUGUGAACAGGGUUCCCGAGAUACCUAACGGGUAUUCGGUACACCCGGCCACGUACCUACCACAUCACAGCCCACCCCUACGGUCAGCGCUGUCCACGGCCUCCAGUAGGCUACAAACACCAGAAACUACUUGCAACUCCUGGACGGAGAACUAGGGUGAAUAAGAAGCUGAGAGGGUCCAUUGGUUUCGGGCCCAAUGCAUGGUAGUAGCUGAUUCUUAAAUCACACAUACAGAUCUCAGUGCUUAAGGUCGGCUUCAAUGAAACAACCCACCAUGUACUCCUACAUGGCCUCUCAUCGAUACCUUUACCAAAUCGUGUUCACCACACCACUCUUAUUACCGACAUAAUCAUUUCACUCUAGCCCAUCACCCAGAUAAACCAGACCUGACACGACUCUAAGCAUAGCAGGCAUAGCAAGGUAGGAACAACACAUACAUAUGGCUCAAUUAACUCCUACACAUGCUAGUGGGUUUCAUCUAGUUACUGUGGCAAUGACAGGUCAUGCAGAGGAAGUGGGUUCAACUACCGUAGCACACAGCAGUUUGAAACGCGUUGUCUUAAUGCAGUAAAAGAGAGCAGGAGCGAGAACAUGGGAUUGUAUCGAUAUGAUCAAAUGGUUGGUUGCUUGCCUGAUGGUUCGAUGCACUGAUACGGUUCUUCGUUAGGGUAAUCACGAUACUCCUCGGAGGCAGAUCCUGCCGCAAAGAACACCGAUACACAACCAUCACCAAACAAUGUGCAACAAUAUGAUGCAUGCAUGAAACAUAGCAAUAUGAGAGUGUUGGGCUAAUGCAACUAAGACCCGAAGGGUUUGAACCAAUUUGAAUCAAAGAUUCAAAUUUCAAACUCAAACAUGGCCUUUUAAAGUGCUUUUCCUUGUUCUGCAGUAAACAUCAGGUUAACUUGUUUAAUCAUGCAUGAAAAUAGUACAGAUGGAUAGAUUGGAUUUUUCUGAUCAUUUUUCAUAUAUAAUUUGUCUGAUUUGGAGUUACAGAAUAAAAGUUAUGAAUUUUUGAAGUUUAAAUUAUAUUCUGGAAUUUCCUAUAUUAGAAUAAUUCCAGAAAAUCAAUUAUUGCGUCAGCCUGACGUCAGUGUGACGUCAGCAGGUCAACGGAACACGUCCGGCUCAAACCUGACAGUGGGUCCCGCAUGUUAGGGUGAUUAAAUUAAUUAAAGUUUAAUUAAAACUAAACCUGUUUAAUUAACAGGGCUGGGCCCCACCUGUCAUUGACUCAGGGGAGUCAACCAGGGCCCACCCGUGGUCAAACCCGGGUCGGCUGCACCGGCGUUUAGCCGCCGGCGAGCCCGACGCGGCGGCGGAAGUGGUUUUGGCCGUUUCGGCCACCAAAUGGGUCGCGGAGACCACCGGAGUGGAGCUGGGGACAAGCCGCAGCUCUUGGUGGAGUCCGUUGGAGUCGGGGUGGCCGGAGUUGGCGCCGGCGACGACUUUGGCGGCCACCGGGGUUCGGCCGAAGACGAACUUGACGCUAGAGGGGUCGGUGAGGCUCGGGGAGUGGCUAGCUAGGUGCUAAGUGACACGGUGAGCAUGAUGGACACCGUGGAGUGGUCGGAGGGUAACCGGGAGCACGUCGGCGACGAGCUCCACGGCGGUGGGUGCGGUUGAGCUCCGGGAGCUCGCUACACGGCUCGGGAGCAAGAACGGAAGGAAGGGGAAGAUGGCUAAGCUCACAGUGAGUGCGACGAAGCCCUUGGUGUGGCCGGAGAUGGACCGGAGCGACGACGGCGUUGAAGGGGAUCUCCGGCGACGGCGGUUCGGGCGAGGUCGUUGCGGUGGACUCGGGCAUUGCGAGCGCUCGGGGCUCGGCUUGCUCGAUGGAGUGGACAGCGGCGGAGCUCCUGGACACGAUGAGAGGACGCACGGGCGGCGGGGAGCACGGCUACGACGAAGGCACGGCGAUGGUGNNNNNNNNNNUCGCCGUCGGGCACCUGCCUGCCUGCCUGGCCGGCAAGCAGCUCGCUGGAGCGGCACUGGGCUGGGCCGGCAAGUGGGCCGGGAGCAGGCGCCAGGUAAGCUUUUUCCAUUUCUUUCUGUUUUCUGUUUUUUUAAUACUUCUGCAACUUUGUUGAAUUAAAUAAAAUACUUAGGCUACUCCUAUAAUCACCAAACUACUCCUGGUCCAUAGUUGGAUUAUUUCCAACAUGAAACAUUUUAGUUUGGAGAUAUUUGAGCAUUUAAAUAUUUUAUAUAAUUUUAAAUGCCCAAAUUCAAAUAUUUAUGAUUUAAUUCAAAAACCCUAAGCUGGCCUAGGAAAAUGUGCACCACUUUUGGCAGAGGUUCUGAGCCAAGACAAAAAUGAUGGGCAUUUUAGAAGGGCAUUUCAGGUUCAUUGAAAAAGUUUUUAGUAAACCCUAAUUGGAUUCAGAGGGGACUGGGGGUUCUGUCAUCCCCAUUUCAGGUUUCUGAUGAAAAAGUAAACAUGAUGCAACACUCUAAUGCAUGGCUAACUAGGAUGUGACACAAGACAUCUUUGUCGCACGGCCCCGGGUUGCAACAAAUGACAUCAUUUCUUUCACGGACCCAAGCCCAACGAGAUGCCUGACUAGGUAUCGCCGAUGAUGGUUGCCUAACUAGCCAGUCAAUGAUCUAGCCAGGGUUGUUAAAGUCCAUCUCAUUCACUUCAUCUCUUGUUCCACACAAUGCGAUUUACCUUGCAAGAGUGCGUCUAUGAAUUUUCUCUUUCUUCUUGAUAUUGCUUAUGUUUUUCUCUUUAGCUUGGUAUAACUUAACUUUGUCAUCGUCACAUUUCGACACAUAAUACUUUGAAAAAUCUCUAGAAGCCGCAUUCAAUGCAUCGACGGCUUUGACCCACAAGUCCAUCUUUUCCUCAAUGACCACACGUUCACGCUUCACCGCCGCCUCCGCAGAAGUCUCUACAAAGAUGAUCGAUCCCAUCCUGCAAGUCGAGGGAUUACUAUAACGGUCAUCCAAGGCAAAAAUCCUAACCAUCUCUUGACAAAAACUAUAACCCUAGGACUAGAUCAAGCUAUAACGUUCAUGAUAUAGGCAUUUACUUAAGCAUAACCUUGACCCUAACCCUAACCUUAACCCUAACCAUAUCAUUAAACCUAACCCCAACAAAACCCUAAAUGAUAUUUCUUACUACCCAAACAAUGCUAGUCACACAAUACAUUAUCAGCACAAACAUUACCCUAAAUGCAUCAUAUACAUUGAUUUCACCACAACAAAACCAUGAACUAGGGUUUCCAACAAAAUGAGCAAAAUGCAUGAUUUCAACCAACCAAAUGAAGGGGCCGGGGAUGGGAGAGGUACCUUGGGUGAGCAAAUGCACACGAUCCACGGGACAAGUCUCAAGAAAUGGAGGGGGAUCUAGUGGGUGAUAUGGUGGAGGAGAAGAGGGGAGAGAGAUUGAGCUCGAAAGAGGAAUGGGGUGAAUGAGUGGGUGGGGGAGCACAGCUACCACCCCUCACAGCCUUAUCUAGGACCCUACCGCUAGACAGCCCGACGGUAGGUCGCAAGAGAUUACCACCAGGGUCAGCGGCGGUAGGUCCCUUCACCACAUGUCUACGACCGUUAACUGACAGACGCCGUCAGGGAACCUACCGCCAGGAGGGGCGGCGAUAGCCUGUAGAUCGCAACCGCCAGGGCCUCCGGCGGUAGCAAAAGGGUCAAAUCUCAAAAAAUUUCCAGACCGGAGUUAGAUCCUUCUAAACUACACAAAAAGGGUUAAAACACAAAAAAUUGCCCCGGCGGGAUGUUGGGGACACGUUUCUCCCGACCAUGCCUGCUCUCUCGGGCCACGUGAGCCACGCUCGACCGCACGAGCAGCCGACCGGGCAACCGCACGCCUGGCCCACCUGGCGUCGCGGGUGCGUCCAGUGGCACAGAUCCCGCCGGCGAUACGCCUGGUGCCCACAUGAAUACCGUAGUGGAUCUGCCUGAACCGUCUGAUCCCGAGGGCUGCGGAUUUUCUGUGGCCGCUGUUACAUGUUCGGAUCCCUGCAUAAAAUCAUAGGAAGUUUCACAUGUUUUCUCAUCGUUUGCGGCUGGUUCCUGCACAUUUUCAGCCAAGUUUUCAUCAAAGACAUCAGGAAUUGACAUGCGGUCACCUUGGUCUCCUACAUCCCAUCGAAGAAAAUUGGUCUAAGGUAGAAGAACAAGUACUUUGCGAAUUUGAGCACCGGCAUUUGGAUGAAGCUUGGAUAAAGGAAAAAUGUGUUCAUCAAAAACAACAUCUCUGAAAAUGUAAACACGACCAUAAGCAACAUCUAGGCACUUAUACCCUUUCUAGAGAUUGCUACAACCCAAAAAACACAUUGUUUGGAGCGGAAUUCGAGCUUAUUCUGGACGCAAAUUUGGCCACACGACACAACCAAAGAUUCGGAGAAAAUUCUAACUGGGUUUAGUGCCAAACAAAUGUUCAAGAGGAGUUUGAUUUUUGAUGACACGACUAGGAACACGAUCAAUUAGAUAGACCGCAGUGAGGAAAGCUUCAUCCCAAAAUUUCAAGGGCAUCCCACGUAGUCGAUCUAUCAAGGAUCAAGCAAUCACACAAGCACAACAACAAUAUUUGUUAACGAGGUUCACCAAUAUGGCUACAUCCCCAGGGCCAAACUACGGGUGCUCCUUCCCAUGGCGCCGCUACAAUACCGCACAUCGGCCGCCCAGGCACCAGCACAGGCCGCCAACCCCCCGCGUGCCUGUGCUAUUAUGUUGGCAUAGAUUACAUCGUGUGUCUACCCUCUCAUUAUAUAAGAGGCCCAGGAUACAAGUGUCCUACUAGGACACGACUCCAUACCCUAUCUACACACAGUCCAAAUUCAAGUCCAACUAUUACGUACCAUGUACAAUAAUAUUCGACACAACUCUAACAAACUCCACCUUGACGAAUAUUCUCCAUCAUCUUGAAUUCAUCCAUGCGUCGAACAUCCAUGUACAUUGGACUCGAGAUUAUACCAUGAGCACCGCUUCUACUCCCAGACUCCACGUGACUCCACUUGCAAUUGUAGUCCCUUCUUGUCUCCUUCACAAUCAACACUCGAGCAAAAUGAAGUUCCUCACUACUCUAAUUUGCGCUCCCAAAUUUCAGAGUAUCAGUUCCAUGUCAUCACACAUCGACCACUGAUCUGCGUGAAAGUGAACAACUCACAUAUUGGACGUCACAUAUAAGAGUUACAACAUCACCGCUUUUUUUCUCCAAUACGCCUGGGAGCGUAUCUUUGCAUUGAUAGAUAGGGUGAGAAGUACAAGGUUUGGGACCUCCAGCACGUACACAAGAGAGGCAUACUAGAGGCCCUCGCGAGCAGGAGAGUGGGGUUGCUCAGCCCCAAUACAACACUUUCUACAUUACAUCAAGUAUUGAUUGGAUCCCUUUGGCGCCGGCCUUCGCCCAGGCGCGUAUGUCAUCUUGGAUGCAGAAGAACAAGAAGCUCGUGGAGGGUUUUCGUUGGUCGAAGAUGCAUGCGUUGCAGUGCUUCCAGAUUGCCAAAGCUACCAAGGGGACAAUCGACGCAAGUGCCUUGCGGAGCGAGGGGGUGUGGAGUUGGUCGCGGUCCUCCACCAAUCAUAGAGAACAUCGCCGCUUUUUCUUGACCGUGUAUCUGAAACAUGAUGGAAUUUCAUCGUCACUCUUUGUCACCCUAAGUCAAAUUCAUAGUUGCCUCACCCUUUUUUCGGAUAGUCACUGACAUGUUCCAUAGCUAUAACGCGCUGCCUCCUUCUGUACUUGCCAUCCACACUUUCCCAUGUGCACUAAAUAUCACAGAAUACACGACCAUGUAAUCUCUCAGCUUUUGACAAUUUUAGGCUUUCCGUCAUUUUCAUAGAUUCUCUAUGGUCAACUCAUGUUCAUCAACUAGCACCGAUAGACACUGUCACCAACUUGAAUCUGGUACUCAUCAACACUGCUUCAUCAUCCCUGCACACUUUUUCUGACCACAUGUCUCACCAUUAGUUCCUUGUUCUGUCGUUGUGUCCCGUGCUUACCGCACGCCUCACCGCUAUCACCGCGUUGAGCCUCUGCUAUCCUGGUCGAGUUUUCUGGGUAGCUAGCCCAAACUUCCUCAACCUCCAAUGUAGAGAAUCAUUGAUCAUCACCAAUCGAUGCCGAGUAUCACAUCUCCAUCAUACCACUAGGCCCCAGUCUAUCCACGUGUCUCUCGCUCUCCCACUAAAAUAGGCUUCGAUUCUUCGACAUAUUACACCGUAGCCCCUUCAUCAACACAGAGUGAAGUCUCCUGCUAGACUUCAGCUCCACCUUAAACAUGACUCCAUGUAGCCGCGCCAUCCUACCCCGCGCCCUGUCGACUUCAAGCUCUCUCAUGUGUGCACUGCCUUGAAUCAACCCUGCGCCAUAGUCUUGUCGAAGCCGCACAAGCCCUCAGGCCUGCACCAUAUGUUUUUACGCCCCAGAAGUCGGCCAUCAUCAACAUCAUGCUCCUAUGUCAUCGUCGCUGAAAUCACCGCCAUCUUCUGCUUUGACCAACAUCCAUGUCGGUCCAUCAAAUUGUCCAGUCCGACCCAACAGAAAGUAUUCGACCACAACCAUGCUCCACUCUGCGUCGUGUGAGCUCGCACAUCUCUAUGCAUUACGUAACGCCCUGUGUAUGCGUGAUCCUGCCGUGAUGCACUUCAUACUUCUUCAAGCCUUAUGCGCCAGUCCUUGCCAUAGAUACUCGAAGCCCCUCAUCAUACUGGAACCAAAGGAAAAAAAAUCCAUGCAAUACUUGACCACGCUAGAUCCCUUCUCUGCACAAUUCCUUCUUCUUGUCUUUCCAUGAAUUAGCUUCUCCACGUAUCAGCAAGUCCCCUUUUUCCAAAGAAAUCUCGCACUAGUUCCUCCACAACAUUUUUUUAGUGUCACUAGUAUUUAUUCAACUAAAACAGAAGUUUGGAUACAACUAAUAUUCGAAGUAUGUAAAAGCCACAUAUGGCGCCCCACAUCUAGUGACAAAGCCGCUCUAGCUAUAUUGUGUGCAUCGAGAUUACAUUCUCUGCCUUCGUGGUCCAGAUGGACCUCUUCGAAUUCCUUCAUUUUCUCUUUAAUGUCAUUGAUCACCAUAGCAUUUGACCCUCUAAAUUCCGACUUCAGAUGAUUGAUCGUCGCUAAACAGUCCAUCGUAAUAUGGAGCUUCUUGAUGUACAGAUCCUCAGCCAAGGCAAAGGCCUCCCGUACAACCAUUGCUUCCAGGCUUUCUGGUAAUGUCAUACCUUCAAAAAUCACAGCAGAAGAGCCAAUGUACGUGCCGCUAUAGUCUCUGCACAUGGUGGCCAAUGCCCCUCUAUUUCCAUUCUUUGAAACCGCCGUAUCAACCUGAAACUUGUAAAAGUUCUCUUUUGGUGGUUUCCACUUUGAUGAUCUCCAAACAGGGGCUGAGUUCCAAUUCUUAGUCUGACAAGGAAUGAGUGUAAGAUCAUCAAGGUAUUUUCUGAUAAAGCUGAACGUGGAAAGUGGAGACUGAAACUCGUUCCCUCAUGGAUCUCUCGCCUUCUUGCCCAGCAGAUCGACCACAACGUCACCAACACCUUGAUGAAUUCAUCCUCCCGAAUAGAUUCCUUCAAAGUUAGGCCACACACACUGCACCCUGGGCAUCGCGCAACAGCAGCCCUGCCCGGGCCAUGGGCUGCCCGACCUGGCUCCCGCCAGCAAGCAGAUAACAGCCAUGGGCCAGCGAAGGACCCAACCUCGCCCGACAGGGCCUUGACCGCCCUACCAGCCUCCAGGGCCUGGUGCCAUGGACCACAUCUCGUCCGUCUCACACGUAGCCGCAAUCGCAUCGUCCAUGUUUACGUCGCAUUGCACGCGCCGAUGCCUAGCAGUUCCACUUCUACCGCCGCUUCUGAUUACGAUCGAUCUAGAUCAAUCCAAUCUGCCCAUGAAGGACCUGGCACCAACGCCUCGCUGCUCCUGAUCCGGAUCUUGUACUCACCGACUUCUGCUUGCUUUAGAAAAUUCGACCGAUCGUCCUGGCUUUCCCGUCGACUACCACGAGAUUACUCCCGAUCACCUGACACACCAUGGAUCGAACUAAUUUCUUUUGCAGCCUUCGGCAUCAUGACCAACGAUCACAACCUCAAAUCGAAUCUUGCUCUGAUACCACUUGUUAGAAUAAAUCCGAGGCGCGUAGUCGAUCUAUCGAGGACCAACCAAUCACACAAGCACGACACCAAGAUUUGUUAACGAGGUUCACUGAUAUGUCUACAUCCCGGGACCUGACUAGGAGCGUUCCUCCCCAUGACACUGCUACAAUACCGCACACCGGCCGCUCGGGCACUGACACACGCUGCCGACUCCUUGUGUACCUGUGCUAUUAUGUUGGCAUAGGUUACAUCAUGUGCCUACCCUCUCAUUAUAUAAGAGGCAUAUGAUACAAGUAUCCUACUAGGACACGACUUCAUACGUUGUCUACACAUAGUCCAAAUUCAAGUCCAACUGUAACCUACCUUGUACAAUAGUAUUUGACACAACUCUAAAAGAGGGCUUUGCCGGCUGCUGCAAGUUCGUCCGCGAGCCCCUUGACCUUAGUGAAGUAGGCUGCAGUAGAGAGGUCCCCCUUGCACGAGUUUUCGAUCUGGGCGGGAAGUUGAAUUUCCCUCGCCCGGGACUGAGUGGAGAAGCUCUGGAGGAGGGCCGUCCAGACACCAGCGGCGGUGGUGAAGUUGCUGACCUGAAGGAGCACGUCGCGAUAGAGAGUGGCCAGCAAGGUGAGAACCUGCUGGUCCUGGGUGACCCACAUGAUGUGCGUGGGAUUCAACAUCUCCAUGACCUCCUUCGUCCUGGAGACGUCCUUCUCGGAGUAGAGGAUGGCGUGAGGUUCCUUAGUGCUGCCAUCAAGCCACUCAUAUGCGUGGGAGUACUUGAGCCUUCCAAACCAAAAAAUUCUUCCUGGUGAGCUUCUCGGAGAUGGUGUGGCCGAGGGCAGCGAGGGAGGUAGCGGUAGCCAUGGUGAGAGAGGAGGAGGAGCUAGACAUCAACUAGAUUAGAUGGAAGAGAGGCUCUGUUACCAUGUGAAAACAAAGGAUGAAAGCGUAUGCUUAGCAGGGAUGUGGUACAUUUGAUAUAUAGGCAAAGUCUGAUAGAUUACAUCGGUGGUUGAGGUCCUGGAUUGAUCUACAAGUUAGGAAGCUAACAACCUAGGAUACGGCUAAAUCUCAGGACCUCAAUAUUGCUACAACCCAACACACAUACACGCUACAUAUUCGGUUUAUAUCAUACUGAUACAACACAAUGUUUAACAGAAGGGAUAUGCAUCUGAUUAUUCAGACGAAUGAUCAUUCAGAAUUCACAACUUUCAAGCAGGCUAUUGACAUGCGGCCCGAUGAGCCGGGCCAUGUCUGUGUGUGUGUGUUGUACGGUUCAGCGAGAAGGGGGAGUCUAUUUCUUCUGUUCUUCUGUUUUCUUCCUGGAGACACUUUGGUAACAAACAACGUGAGACCUUUUGACCAUUUAUGUCGUAGUAUGUUUCAAAGAAGCAGCCGGCUAGGGUCGACCUGGGCAGCCUCUUGGUGUGGUCAGGGUGGGAGGAGAUCACGCCACCGCCUAGACACGCACUUUCCAGCAGCAGGUGAACUUGUAGCUUUAUGUAUUAGGGCUAAUAGCACACAACUUAGGAUUUAACACAUAUUUAGGAUCUUGAUCUUAUGAUUAUAACACCUUAAACGUGGAAAGGAAGCUACUACUGACCAGAAUCAGCAUGGGCCAUGAGGGAUAGACCCAUGGCCCUAGGCUUGAAGAUGGGCAGCAGGAAUGCCGCAGUUGUGCAGGAGCAGGGGCGCGCGCAGGGUGCCACCGGCACUACUCUUGUGGUAGUGGCGGUGGUAGACGGCCUUCUGAAUUCCCUACCGUUCUUUUAGGACCGAUUUAUAGGAGUUGGGGUUUAACUCGUACAUAUAUUUGCUUGCCUCAUUGGGGCACGAUCUCCUGCUUUAUAUAUGUGGCACUAGGAAGACCAGGGACUAAAACCAAUUUUUUUUGAGGGACUGAAACCAAAGUUAGUUAUGAGUGCCUAGGAUGAAAGCACGGUCGUGAGGGGAGGAGACUUUAUCUCCCCUAUUUUCUCUCUGUUAAACGUCCUAAAAUCAAUUCUAACACUCCCCUUGAUCCUAAAGUUAAUAAGCAUCAUAAGUCCACUCUCAAUAGAACCAAAGUACUCCCUCCGGUCCUUUUUACUCCGCGUAUAGAUUUGGGUCAAGUCAAACUUUACAAAGUUUGACCAAAUAUAUAUUAAAAAGUAUCAACACCUACCAUACUGAAUAUAUAUUCCAUGAAACUACAUUUUGUAAUGAAUCUAACAAUAUUGAUUUGGCAUUGUAAAUGUUGAUAUUUUCUUCUAUAAGUUUGGUCAAAGUAGAGAUGUUUUGACUUAAGACAAAACUUAUAUGCAGACUAAAAUGGACCGGAGGGAGUAGUGAACUGAGCGUAGUUGUGAUGAUUAGGUUUCUUAUGGUAGAAGCAACCCAUCAGGGUUCAAGUCCAAGACAUGCCACAUGCUCGCAUUUUCCAGGAUUUAUUCGAUAGUUUUCGGCUAUGUUUGUUUGGUGAGAGAAGACGUUCCUAUCAACUACGAGGGCUGCGGUGACUUCACUAAUCUCAAGAUGUUGUGCCAGCUCAGUAUCUCGAAGGUCCUUAUAGGGGUAGGGUGUGCGUGCGUGCGUUCAUAUGAGUGUGUCUCAUCUACGCCGGCUCGUUCUCUUCCUCCUGUCCUCCUGUCAUGAUUAUGGCCUAUAAGGAGUGUUUGGAAUCCACCUCAACUUCUUUUGACAUUAUUCGUUGGAGGCAGUGUGCUGGCGGUCCGGCUAUCCAAAAUGGUUUCAUUCCGAACAACGGUUGAAGGUGCGGUUUGGACAUCAAUUGCAAUCUUUAUUUUCAGUUUUGGAACUGGGUUAUAGUUUUUAUUUUCUUUGGUCCUUUGGUGCUACAAUUUUUAUUUUCUCGAGUCCUUUUGUGAGCACCUGUUCGCUCUGGUCAGGACCCUUCUAUCUUAAAAAUAGAAGUGUGGCGGAACAACUUCAGUUCCAUGAUCGCGCUUCAUAAUACUCAUCAUAACACCCAUGUAAACUUUGUUCAGAUUAUUUCUUAAUGAUGACAAAGAUACAGUUUGUUCAAAUAAUUUUCUUACCAACAUUAUUGCCAAGAGGAGAGCCAGUGGUGUGCACAAAUAAGACUCACAUGGACUCAGUCAUCAGCACAAGGUUAGCAACAAACCCUGCAAACCGGGUGUAGCAAACAGUACCGAGUGUCGACACGGCCAGGCACGACCAUUUUGUGCCCAGAGCUUCUUUCCCACUCACUCUUUCUAACCAAGAGCACAAAAUUCCCCACCGGGUGGCAGAGAGUUCGACCAUAAUAUCAACAGAAGAGUUAACAGAACACACCAUCACUCGCUAGAAUUCAUUCAUCAUCAAGUUUCAACAUUAACGCGUCAAUCCAAACAAGUCAACCACGAGACUGGAAUAUUUGUCAGUUCCAACAUGCAAAGUUUGAUAAAAGAGGCUCAUAGUCUACCCAGCCAGCCAACAGGAUGGCCAAGUAACCAUGGAUUUGAGUCCAAUCGAGAAAAAAGGUUCCACAAUAUAGUACAUGUUAAACCUUCUAUUUACAUUACCAUAUCACACUAGCUCUAUGCAGUGGCUAGCGGCGGUGAUCUUUCUAGCAGGAAUGGCGGGGUGCCUGUUCCUACAUGAGGGAUCAACGCGGGUGUCUCCCUCAAUAAAGUUAAUUGCAAGGAACUACCACACUUCGGCACGUCGUAACGAAUCAGUACCAUUAGUCACAUUUUUUGCAGUUCAGUGCUAACUCUAAGCCUAAGUUUGCAAAACGGUCUGACAGCCGUAUAAGCACGUAUUGACCGUGUAUCUGACUGAUCGGGCCCACACGUCAGGUCACACGGUGGCGUACCUGCGCACGCCUCGCCGCUGACUCGGGCCCACCCGGCUCGGUCGUUGUUUGUGGCUCAGUCGGGUCGAACCCGAACGUGACGAACCCUAUCUUUCAUCUCCCCUCUCCCUCCUCUCCCUCUCACCUCUUUGGCGAUGGUGGCGGCAACUCCUUGCAGCGGUGACGGUGCGGGCGGGUACGGAGACCUUCGCGGCCUCGGGAGUGAUGACCACGUAGGUCUGGACGACAGUGGCUCCAGUUCGUACUACUCCAGCACCGCGGAUGAGGACUAGGAGGAGGAGGCGGCGCUGUCCAUGGAGGACAGGGUGAGGCUAGCAGAGAUUUGGGUGGCCAACCCUACCAGUAGCCAUCACUGGACCAGUGGAGCUGGUGGCGGCGUGUUGUAAGUGCCUCUCUUCUCUCCUUCUUUCUGCCUAUUUCAAAACUAGGGGCUAGGGUUAGUUGCUCAUGAUAGUUUAAACUUUUGUUGUCAAUUGUAGUUUGGAUGAUGAUGUUUGGGAUGUUCGGAUUCACUUUGAUGCACAAUAUAAUUUGGAUAGGAAGAUAUGCAACUCAUAUGUGACUUUUCUAAACCUAUAUGCACUGAUACAAACACAAGGUUUUUCUUUCUCACAUGAACUGUACCACAUGAAGAAAUUAGGCAUAGGAGAGGACAGAGAGAGCAUGGGCUAGAACUGAUUGACACAAACAUCAAACUGCAGCAACUAAAGAAGGAAUAUGAGCAUAGUUUAGUUCUGAAUUUGCUAGUGAGGGCAACAACACCUUUUGUAUGUCAAAUAGAAGAAGAUUCAGUGAGAUCAAAUUUCAGUAAUGUCUGUCAGAGAGAAGAAGAUUUAGCAACUAUAUUGUAUGAACCAGUUGUUGUGUAUGAUCUCAGUGAGCCUGCAGUUCUUGUUGUUGAUGAAGGUGUUGUUUUUCAUAGUCAGUAUAGCAGUAGUCCUACUCAACCUACUACUGUGUGCACACAAGAGAGCAGAAACUUUAGAAAGGACAAGCUCAAAGCUAUAAUGGAGGAAGAGCCAGUGUUAGAGGAGGCACAUAAUAGUAGUGAUGACUCUGAGGCUGCAUAUGACAGUGAUAACAAUCCUUUGUGCAUGCAUAAGUACAGGAUUUUUGAAGACACGGACAUAAUAGAGGGGAAUAUAUUAGCAUAGCAAGAAGAUGAAGAUCAAUAUGAAGAUUCAGAAGAGGAACAAGUACAUUAUGAGGGUGACACUAAGGUUGAGGAUUUGUCCGAGAUGGAGGAGGAGGAGCAGGAGCAGGAGAAGGAGGAAGAGGUUAAUGUUGUUGCAAGCACUACUAGGGAAAAGCUUAUAGGCAGACGCUUACUAGUAGCGCUGGUUUAUACCCCUCGCUACUGCUACUUACUAGUAGCGCGGGUUUUUACCCCUCGCUACUACUAAGUUGAUAGUGGUGGCGCGGGUUUUUAACCCUUGCUACUACUAAGCGGUCUCUACCGUGCCCCCAGGACAUGCCAUAGUAGUAGCGAGGGGUAUAAACUCGCGCUACUACUAAGUUGAUAGUAGUAGCGCGGGUUUUAACCCUCGCUGCUACUAAGUACGAGGUAGGUGAAGUCCUCAUAUCCUCGUCCAAAUCCCUCCUCUCUCCCUCACUCUCCCCCCUCUCUCCAUAGGCUCUCCUAUGGUGCUCCUACCCAAGCACACCUUGUCCCCCAUGGCACCCAACGAGUUCACCUCCCUGCGUUGCUGGCGACUAGGAGCUCGCUCGUCUUCCCCCUCGCCUCUAUGCCACCACGACGGAGCACCUCACCACCGGCGACCAUCCCCGCUGCUGUUGGGGAACAUAGUAAUUUCAAAAAAAAUCCUAUGCACAUGCAAGAUCAUGGUGAUGCAUAGCAACGAGAGGGGAGAGUGUCGUCCACGUACCCUCGUAGACUGUAAGCGGAAGCGUUAUGUCAACGCGGUUGAUGUAGUCGUACGUCUUCACGAUCGACCGAUCCAAGUACCGAACGUACGGCACCUCCGCGAUCUGCACAUGUUCAGCUCGGUGACGUCCCACGAACUCACGAUCCAGUAGAGCUUCGAAGGAGAGUUCUGUCAGCACGACGGCGUGAUGACGGUGUUGAUGAAGCUACCGACGCAGGGCUUCGCCUAAGCACCACUACGAUAUGACCGAGGUGGAUUAUGGUGGAGGGGGGCACCGCACAUGGCUAAAGAUCAAUGAUCAACUUGUGUGUUGGGGUGCACCCCCACCCCCGUAUAUAAAGGAGCUAGGGGGAGGCGGCCGGCCAAGGAGGAGGGCGCGCCAAGGGCGGGAGUAGGACUCCUCCUUUCCUAGUUGGAGUAGGAGAAGGGGGAAGGGAAGGAGACAGGAGGAAGGAAAGGCCCCCCCCCUCCUUGUCCAAUUCAUACUAGAAGGGGAGGGGGCGUGCGGCCUGCCUUGGCCGCCCCUCCUCUUCUCCACUAAGGCCCAAUAGGCCCAUUACACUCCCCGGGGGGUUCCGGUAACCCCCCGGUACUCCGUUAUAUGCCCGAACAUGCCCAGAACACUUCCAAAGUCCAAACAUAGCCAUCCAAUAUAUCGAUCUUUAUGUCUCGACCAUUUCGAGACUCCUCAUCAUGUCCGUGAUCAUAUCCGGGACUCUGAACUAUCUUCGGUACAUCAAAACACAUAAACUCAUAAUACCGAUCAUCACCGAACGUUAAGCGUGCGGACCCUACGGGUUCAAGAACUAUGUAGACAUGACCGGGACACGUCUCCGGUCAAUAACCAAUAGCGGAACCUGGAUGCUCAUGUUGGCUCCUACAUAUUCUACAAAGAUCUUUAUCGGUCAAAUCGCAUAACAACAUACGUUGUUCCCUUUGUCAUCCGUAUGUUACUUGCUCGAGAUUCAAUCGUCGGUAUCUCAAUACCUAGCCCAGUAUCGUUACCGGCAAGUCUCUUUACUCAUUCUAUAAUGCAUCAUCCCGCAACUAACUUAUUAAUCACAUUGCUUGCAAGGCUUAUAGUGAUGUGCAUUACUGAGAGGGCCUGGAGAUACCUCUCCGACAAUCAGAGUGACAAAUCCUAAUCUCGAUCUAUGCCAACUCAACAAGUACCAUCGGAAACACCUGUAGAGCCCCUUUAUAAUCACCAAGUUAUGGUGUGAUGUUUGGUAGCACACAAAGUGUUCCUCUGGUAAUCGGCAGUUGCAUAAUCUCAUAGUCAUAGGAACAUGUAUAAGUCAUGAAGAAAGAAAUAGUAGUAAACUAAAACGAUCAAGUGCUAAGCUAACUGAAUGGGUCAAGUCAAUCAAAUUAUUCUCCUAAUGAUGUGACCCCGUUUAUCAAAUGACAACUCAUGUCUAUGGUUAGGAAACCUUAACCAUCUUUGAUCAACGAGCUAGUCAAGUAGAGGCAUACUAGUGAUACUUUAUUGUCUAUGUAUUCACACAUGUAUUAUGUUUCCGGUUAAUACAAUUCUAGCAUGAAUAAUAAACAUUUAUCAUGCAAUAAGGAAAUAAAUAAUAACUUUAUUAUUGCCUCUAGGGCAUAUUUCCUUCAGCCUCCCACUUGCACUAGAGUCAAUAAUCUAGAUUACAUAGUAAUGAUUCUAACACCCAAGGAGUCUUGGUGCUGAUCAUGUUUUGCUCGUGAGAGAGGCUUAGUCAACGGGUCUGCAACAUUCAGAUCCGUAUGUAUCUUGCUAAUCUCUAUGUCUCCCACCUGGACUUGGUCACGGAUGGAAUUGAAGCGUCUCUUGAUGUGUUUGGUUCUCUUGUGAAAUCUGGAUUCCUUUGCCAAGGCAAUUGCACCAGUAUUGUCACAAAAGAUUUUCAUUGGACCCGAUGCACUAGGUAUGACACCUAGAUCGGAUAUGAACUCCUUCAUCCAGACUCCUUCAUUUGCUGCUUCCGAAGCAGCUAUAUACUCCGCUUCACACGUAGAUCCCGCCACGACCCUUUGUUUAGAACUGCACCAACUGACAACUCCACCGUUUAAUAUAAACAUGUAUUCGGUUUGCGAUUUAGAAUUGUCCGGAUCAGUGUCAAAGCUUGCAUCGACAUAACCAUUUAUGACGAGCUCUUUGUCACCCCUAUAAAUGAGAAACAUAUCCUUAGUCCUUUUCAGGUAUUUUAGGAUAUUCUUGACCAUUGUCCAGUGAUCCACUCCUUGAUUACUUUGGUACCUCCCUGCUAAACUAAUAGCAAGGCACACAUCAGGUCUGGUACACAGCAUUGCAUACAUGAUAGAGCCUAUGGCUGAAGCAAAGGGAACAUUUUUCAUUUUCUCUCUAUCUUGAGAAGUGGUCGGGCAUUGAGUCUGACUCAACUUCACACCUUGUAACACAGGCAAGAACCCUUUCUUUGCUUGAUCCAUUUUGAACUUUUUCAAAACUUUGUCAAGGUAUGUGCUUUGUGAAAGUCCAAUUAAGUGUCUUGAUCUAUCUCUAUAGAUCUUGAUGCCCUAUAUGUAAGCAGCUUCACCGAGGUCUUUCAUUGAAAAACUCUUAUUCAAGUAUCCUUUUAUGCUAUCUAGAAAUUCUAUAUCAUUUCCAAUCAACAAUAUGUCAUCCACAUAUAGUAUUAGAAAUGCUAUAGAGCUCCCACUCACUUUCUUGUAAAUAUAGGCUUCUCCAAAAGUCUGUAUAAAACCAUAUGUUUUGAUCACACUAUCAAAACGUUUAUUCCACUCCGAGAGGCUUGCACCAGUCCAUAAAUGGAUCGCCGGAGCUUGCACACUUUGUUAGCACCUUUCGGAUCAACAAAACCUUCGGGUUGCAUCAUAUACAAGUCUUUUUCCAGAAAUCCAUUCAGGAAUGCGGUUUUGACAUCCAUUUGCCAAAUUUCAUAUUCAUAACAUGCGGCAAUUGCUAACAUGAUUCGGACAGACUUAAGUGUGACAGCCUGGUUUUUUGCCCUCUUCUGUUGCCUGAUUUUCAGUUGGUUUGAAUUUGAAACUUGGAGUUUUGAAUCUCUUCAUAUGGACUUAAACACUUGGGUACCCCUUGGCUUUCACCCAAGUGCCUCAUUUCCCUCUCUAACUAUCAUUCCCUCUCUGGUUCAACUCAAAAUAAUAUUUGGAAUAUUUUUCUUUAAUGAAAAUUAUUCAUUUUCCUCUCUUAAACCCUAGCUAGCUCAAUGUGCUCCAAGGCAACCCCAAUUUUUCUUGCCCAUAAAAUUCUGAGAAAAAUCCCAAUUAUUCUUUGAACCCUAGGGCACCUUUGUGAGCAAAAAUAUUUCAUCACUUUUUGGAAUAUUUUGGCCAUAGAAAAUAUUUUCUGUUCUCGACAGAAAUGGUAGUUUCUACAGCAACUACCAUUUUACUUGCUCCAUUGUAGCUGGUUUCUCUUGUGCAUUAUCACCUUAGUAGAUGAUUGCUAGCCUCCAAAGCCCAGCCCUCAACUCCCAGUGGUUUGACCAUAGUAAGCUCUCAAUGUUACUAUCCAGAAACUUAGAUGGAGUGUAAAAUCAUUUCUACUGCACCUGAGACCAAACCCAAGCAUGGUAACCUUCAAACCUACCACGAACAACAAGCCAGACAUGAACUUUGGACUUAGGUCGGCUUGAGUGCAAAGUCCACGUGGUGACUGCGUUCAUCCAGGCGUGCUGCCAUGCAGCCGACGCGCUCUGAUUGCCGCCAAGCGCUCUGUUGCGCGCGUGCUCGCUUCCCCGCCUGCCUGAGCGUGUCAAGCCACGCCACAAUCUUUGUCCUAGCUCUCUUAACUCCCCCCAGGCACUCGCCGAUGCCUGAGCUCACCGCAGCGAGCACGGGCACGGUCCGGCCAAUGUAACAAUGGGCGGCGCACUGUGCUUGUCGCCUUCCUCUCGCCCAUGUGCUCGUCGCCGUUCGCCAAUAGUCCCCGUGUGAGCUACGUCUUCUUCUCCCCCUCUCACUGACGCUAUUCGUCGUCGGGCGCCAUGGCCAGGUGUCCAACGGCGGAGCCCGGACCCCCCCCCCCUUGACGCUCGGCUAUAAAUAGGGCCAUCCCCAACCUCCUCGAGCACCAUCCACCGCUCCCACACACUCCACAAUCGUGUAGAAAGCCAUAGCCCGGCCGGGCAGGCCGCGGGCCGCUGUCCCCGAGCUCUAGCUUGCCAGCGAUCCCCUCGAGUUGUCUCCGUAGCUCCAGUCCCUCCCAGUCCUGGGCAACCCUUCCAGGGCCUCCGCUACUCUCCGGUGGUGCCGUUCCGCCUGGUUGGAGCCCCUGGAGUCGCCUCUGGUCGCCGUCGUCUUCGUCUCCAGCGACCUCCACUCUCUUCCUCCGCUGGAGAGGCUGAUUCUGACGCCGUCCGACCACCCCUAGCUACUCUACGGAUAUGGGCAGGUGCACCUCUGUCUCCUCUCUCGAUCCCUCCCUCUGAUUUUGGCCAAGGAGCCCUCAUCGCCGACGUGCGCUCCGGCGAAGCCGCGCCGUCCUCUGUUUCCCUCUGCCCCUCCACCUCACCUGACUAGCGGGGCCCGCUAGUCAGCCACUCAGUACGUGCGUGAAGCGGUACGAGUGGUGGCGCCCCGAGGAUUUUAUGCCUUCGACAUCACCCCCCCAGUCUGUUUUUAUUUAAAUUCAAAUAUUAAUUUAUCCAGAGAACUUCAAACAGCCACAACUUUUUAACCAUAAGUCCAAAUGAAUUGAUUCUUUUUGCAUUGUGUUCUUUGUAAAGAAAUCUAGCAGCUCACCAAAGAUGAGAUUUUUCCAUGUUGUCUAGAUUUUCUGGUGAAUUUCAGAAGGGUUCUUGAUAUUUUCUUUUUGUGUUUUUAAUUAUUUUUAGAGGGUGAGGCUUGUCUUGAGGAUCACCAGGAGGCUUGUGAACCUCAUCUGCACUAAGGCAAGCCACAAUAGCAUUUUCAUGGUGCCAUUACAAUAUUUGUGAUUUUCUGACUUGGACAAAUGAUUUAAUCCAUGCAUUUAAAUCAUUGUUAUGAUAUUUAUAUUCUGUUAGUUGCUUGUUGUGGUUAAUAUGCUUAAUCUAUAGAAGGUUUGAAGUUAACUUAGUUGGUAAAGAAACUAGGAUUUAUUUUUGAGUGAGGAAAGAAUAAUAUGGCCAUGGAUAUAAAUAAUUAGUGGAGUUAUUUUCUUGCAUGAGUAAAAAUGGUAAAAUUUGCUAGAAAAUAUUCUAUUUAAAGUGAGGUUUAAUCUUGCCCAAAGAAGUGUCAUGAGUUGUUGAUGUUGAUGCUUAGUGUGGAUAUAGUUGACUCGGUCAUUUCUAUUGAUAUGUGAUGCAUAUGUUAGUGUUGCAUGUCAUGGCAUUAUGACACCGGUUAUUUUCACUUUAAGUUGAACCUGAUAAUAACACAACUUGAAUAAAUUGUUGAUCGGGUCAUGGUGCCGCUGAAUCGAGUUUUUUCCAGUGCAACCACAUUUGCCUUUAUGGGAAGGCCUUUAUUCGGUCCGUUGUCAUGCCUCUGGUCGGUGCCUCCAACUAGGGAAGAUUAUGGGCGUGCGGUACCCUGGCCCGGUAAGCAGACAUAACCUUGUGUGCCCGUUGUUGAGUUUAUGGUACCGGGUCCCAGUGUGGGAUCGUUUAUGUGUUGGCCACGAUGGUGGUCGUUGUGUCUUUGGUAGACACGAGGCCACCCAGGACUAGCCCGAUGGGGAGUGAGUCGGAGUGGCCGGGAGAGUGUAAUGGCAAUGGAGAGGUUUCAUCGGAAUGUCGUUGGUCCACCCGAAUGGGAGUGAGAGGCCAUGGGUUCCGUGGUGUGGGUAUAGUGCACUACCUCUGCAGAGUGUAUUAAUCUAUCGAUAGCCGAGAGUCCACGAUUGCAGACACGCUCGAAAGUAGGUCACACCAUGGGUCGACGUUUAAAUAAAUAUUGCACACUAAGUGAUGAACUUUGCACUGAUGAUGAUGGCGGGAAGGCCAUCUUGUUGUUUAGACCAAUUAUUGGUCGUGGUUGUGAUCACCGGAUGGAUCACCGUUUAAGAUUAAAUAUUGGUCAUGGUUGUGAUCGACGGAAGGAUCAUCAUUUAAGAUCAAAUACUAGUCAUGGUUGUGAUGGCCGGAAUGAUCAUGAGGUGUCUCUAUCUAAUACCUUGAGUUUGGUACGUUUGUGAUCCAAGAGCGAUCGCGGUUGGUAAGCUAGUCCGAGGUACUUUUAUCACAAGAGCAUGAUCACAGCACAUUGGAUAUGUUGUUGCAUUAUUAUAAAUUGGUUAAUUAUCAUGAUAUUGUUUGUCAUUAUGUUUAUGCUUGUUGUGAGCUUGCAAGUACAUUCAAUGUACUGACCUGGCGUGUCAUGCCAGAUUUCAGGAAAGUCUCAUUGGAAAGGAGUGCUGUCCGAGUCUAGAUCGUGUCCACAUUGGUGUCCCUGUGCUAUGGAGUUCCACUACGACGUUGUUCCGCUGCCGCGUAGUUUUUAUGAUCGAGGCCCCUUUAUGUUCACUAAAUAAUGUACAUAUUGUUCAGCCGCACCGUGUGUGCUGCUUGGCCUCACCAUCUGUUGUAAUAUAAACUUUGAUCCGCUAGCAUCAAUAAAGCGGUUGCUUUCUGUACCAAGAUGUUGUGUGUUGCCAGAAGACAAGGUCUCUUGGCUGGCAAUGCAUGGUAAACCGGUUGCUCUAAGCCGGGGUGCCACAACGCUUGGUAUCAGAGCCGCGCUGAUUGUAGGCCACGCUAGACUACGACAAGUUAACUGGACGUUAGAUACAAGUUUUAGUUGAGUGCCAGUAGCAUUUGUAGCUGGUUGUUGCAUUGUAUGACCUAUUUUAUUUUUAUGUUAACCUGCUAAUGGUUGUGAGUGUAGGUGGCUCCGGUGCCGUAUCCGUGCCAGUUGCAGCUGAUGUCGUACACGUCAUCGCAUCUCCUUCGUAACGUGUGGCGUUGGCUGUACCCCCUCGGUGACGACCCAGCCUAUCGUGUGUACCGGGAGCGUCUAGCAGACUCAGUGUAUGAGUAUCACGCAGUGGUCACUCUACACACCAGUUCCGAUUCGAGCACUUACACUCGUGCCUCUCUGAGCGGUUACGCUUCUGCUGCUUCUCAGGUUGUCUAGUUUGUUGCAUUCGAGGUCCUUGUCAAGCUUCGUUACAACAAGGUCCGGAUGCAGAACCACCCAGGUUUCUACUACUAUCCUUCUCUGCAUGAUAAUGGUCGUGUCCAUUUCCCUGUCAUUGAUUCGGAGUCUGAUAGUGUUGCUAGCCACCUUUCUCGUUAUAUCACUGCUAGCUAUCUUAUAAUCCACGAGCUGACUCGAGAGCUGGCUCGUGCCCGUACUACUUUAGCCUCUACUAGAUCUGUCACUACUCCAGCAUAUGUGGGAUUUACUCCUUAUAUUCUGGCCAGUUCUAGUUCCCCUCUUUCACCGGUUACUCCUCCGAGUAGCUCGGGCACCGCGACCGUGAGUCCUCUCAGUGCUCCUACUGAGUGGGUUUCACUUCUCGCUACUCCUGCAGCCCCGAUGCUUCACCCUACACCUGCCCCAGAGGGAGAGCCCUCGAGGAAGCAUCGUCGUGUUACCUUUAACCCGGAGGUCUUAGUUAACCUCGUCAGUUCAGGAUCGAAGUCCGCUUCAGGAGAGGACCCCGUAGCACCUGUAGAGCAGUAGAGCUUCUGAGUAUUCACAAUCGUCAGGAUGGUGUACGAGUGUAGCUGUACGAGUCAUGAGGUUUCAUUUCAUGUAUGAGAGUAGUUGAACUUGGCAUGUUGUUAUAUUCCAUGUAUGAGUCUAUGUAUAAUUAUGUUGGAACUCUAUUAUAUUCGCCGUAUUUCCUUCGUCAUUUCGGUUUUUCUCGGGCUUUUGUUGCUAGCUUUCCCCAAUUUAUUUUGAAUUUUUCUCAUCUCGGUUGCGUUGCCUUGGGAAAAAUCACAAUAGGAUGACGCGGGGAGGCAGCAGUAGCAACGUUCGUGAGGGUUCUCCUGUUCGCCGUUCCGCGCGACAGGCAGGACACUCCCCCGAGCCGUACGUUCCACCACCGCCUCCACCGCCGAAUCCGCCCUCUACUGAGCAAAUUCUGCGUAUGUUUGAGGAAAGAUGGAAUAAUCAUCUGAUUGAAAUAUUAAGAAGUGCUCAAGCUGUGGUUGGACAGAAUGGAAGUCAGAACGGUUAUCAUUCCAAGGUGUCAGAUUUUCAAAGGACCAAGCCUCCCAGUUUCAGUCAGGUUAUUGACCCCUUGGAUGCAGACGAUUGGUUGCGAACUAUUGAGAAGAAGCUUGAGAUUGCUCAUACUGAAGGAGAUCAGGUUCCAUUUGCAACUCAUUAUCUUGAAGGCGCUGUUGCCAUAUGGUGGGAAAAUGAAAAAGCCAUGUGGCCUGCUGAUGAAGAAAUCACCUAGUCAAAAUUCAAGGAUCAUUUCCGGAAAUAUCAUAUCCCUACUGGAAUUUUGAAGGCUAAACAACAUGAAUUUCUCGCGCUCCUCCAAGGAAAUCAGUCUGUGGGUGAAUAUUUGCAAAAAUUCAACCAUCUGUCACGUUACUCCCUAUAUGAUGUGGCCACUAAAGAAACAAAGAUUGACAGAUUUCUUGGUGGAUUAAACCCACAACUCCUGUGUACUCUCAGUAUGUUUGAUUUUCCAGAUUUCCAAACUCUGGUGAACAAAGCUUUCAUUGCUGAAAGGGAGCACGAGCUUGUAUCGGAUAAUAGGUUUGCUAACAACGAUCACAAGUGCAAGUUUGAGCCAAGAAAGGAAGGGCAACCAGUGCAAAAGGCUCGUACCUGACAGAAGACUCAGGUGGAAUACAAGCCCAAUUGGCAACAAAAUGUUAACAAGACCACCACUCAAGUCAAGAAUGUCGUGACCAACCCAGAGCAAGAGGAGCGUCAGCUCAACAAUUCUUGCUUCAGUUGUGGGCAAACCAGACAUUAUGCCAGACAGUGUCCCAAGAACAACAACGCAAAUGCUCUAUUCAUACCACAAGUCAAUUUUAUGGAGUCAUGCCCGAACCAGCAAAACAUCACUGGGCACGUGCAUCACCUCUCCACCGAUGAAGCCCAAGAGAACCCCGAAGUCGUCAUUGGUAUGUUUUCUAUUAAUAACAUACCUACAAUGAUUAUAUUUGACUCUGGGGCUUCCCACUAUUUUAUUUCUUGGAAUUUUGUUGCCCAAAACAAAUUUCCUUGUUCGCUUUUGGGCAAGAAUAUGCUGGUACAAACCCCGGGAUCCUUAAUCAGGAGCAAUCUGGUCUGCCGUAAUCUGGAAGUCAAUAUUAACGGAGUCUAUUUUCCAACUUCUUUGAUAAUUAUUGAGUCUGCAAAGUUGGAUGUUAUCUUGGGUAUGAAUUGGCUGACUCAAUACCAAGUAUGCAUAAAUUGUGCGACCCGAGAAGUCACUUUGACCAGUCAGAAGGGGCAGACUACCAGAUUCUAUGCUCAUAGAAGCAUACCCAAGAAAGAAAUGGUCUUCGCCGUUGUGGCUGACUUGGAAUUAAUUCAUGUGGUCAGUGAGUUUCCUGAUUUGUUCCCAGAAGAACUGCCAGGCAUGCCACCAGAUCGAGAGCUUGAGUUUGCACUAGAUCUUGUGCCUGGAACCGCCCAGUUAUACAAGAAGUAUUACCGGAUGCCCUCAUCGGAAUUAGUGGAGCUAAAGAAACAUCUUGAUGAAAUGCUCCAGAAAGGAUAUAUCCAUCCCGGUUCUUCACCAUGGGGAUCACCUGCUAUCUUCGUGGACAAAAAGGAUGGCAGCCUCCGCAUGUGUGUGGAUUACUGUCAGCUGAAUGAUGUCACAAUCAAAAAUAAAUAUCCACUACCAAGUGUCGGGGGUUGGAUACGACAUAUGCCAAAGGAUGGCUCAUCAUGGUGGGAGCGAGUAGAACGUCGCUGGUGCCUGGAAGCGGGAUGAGGCGAAGACAUGCACGCCGGCGGAACUUACCCAGCUCCAGGUCUCUCCUAGGAGAUAAGACCCCUACUGCUGCUCUGCGGGGUCUCCGCAUGAUCACAAAGGCAAAGUGACUACAAUGGUGCUCCUGGAGCUGUUUCGGGAGGCAGGAGAGGGCAAGGCUAGCUCUCUCCUCCCUGUGCUAUAUGGUCUGUCUCUAUCUAGGUCCAAACCCUUUGCAUGGGUGCCCCGGGGGGUUUAUAUAGGCCUACCCCCCGGGGGUACAAUAGUUAUCCGGCUGGGCGCGGGUCCCAGCCGUCUGUCUCUCAGGCCGUCGUCCUCCCCGCCGGCUUCUGGGGCCCGCUGACUGGCGGGUCCCGCGGACAGGCUUGAUACUGUAGCGGCACUCUUGAUGACGCGGGCUCGGUCAUUGGGUCAUGACAACAGUGCCACCAUCUAUCGGGCGAUCUCUGUCGCCAUUCCCCAUCCUAUCUGGUUAAUGGUUCGUGGGGCCCUGGGGAGGAGUCGGCCAACUCCAAGGAGGCCGACUCCCAUAGGUCCGUCUUCAGGGCGCUCAGGCCGCCUUCGGCCCACCCACUGACAGGCGGCCCCGCCGCCUUCGGGUCGUACAGGCCGGCAUCAUGGGCACAGUGCGUCGCACACUGUGGCUGAGGUCAGGGCAGGCAUGGCAACAGUGCCGCGCCUCGCCGGAGAUCUUCCAGCGAUACGGCUCACUGUAGCCAUGCCGGCCCUUCGUAAGCAGGGGGAACGGCCACGCCGUGACCGUACCCCACAUCGUACUUCGAGAUGAGGGAGGAGUCAUGGGCCGACUCUCCAUAGUCGGCCUCUUUGGAGGUCGCCAGCUCGGAGUCGGCUUAUCUCGGAGUCGCCGUCUUGGACUCAGCUUGUCUUGGAGUCGCUCCUGGGACUCGACUUGAGGGGCGCGGCCUGCCCCGAUGUCUUGAAAGGUCCUGGGACUCGGGUUGGCCUACCCGUGGCCCAAUACUCCGACAGUAGUCCCCGGAGCUGGUGAAGCCCUGCGGACGCUGCAUUGUGGGGCUUCAACAGUUUCAACCUUCCAGGAGCGGAGUCUGGAACUCGGCUGCCGUCUUCCCUUGGGCCGACUGUCGAGAGUCGGAUGUUUAGCAAAGAGCCGCAGCUCGAAAGUCACGGCGGGAAACCAGGCGGCGUGCCUGAUACGCUUCCCCGCAGCCAUCAGGGCGGUCCUAUCGCAUGGCGCCACAUGGAGAGGGCAGUCUGCCUGCCCACGCGCGCGACGGGACGGGCCGUCAGGUAGGGCCCACCACUACCGCGCCUUGGCAUACAAACGGAUCCAUUGCGGCCGUGGACGGUUGGUUUUCCCACGUUGUUACUGCGUGCAGUAACUUCGUGGGAUAAAUCAUGGGGCGGUGUGGGGCAUCAUGCGCAGUUAAUCCCACGCCCGCCCCCUCGGCUUCUCAGCCCAUAGGGCUAUAAGUAGGCGGGGGGAGCGGAGCGGCACAGCACGCGCGCCCUUCUUCCCCGCUCCCCCGCCUCAUCUUGCCUUCUCUCUCUCCUGCCUCCGUCGUUGAGCAAGAGCACUCCACACCACGGCGAUGAGCUCUUCCUCUGCCGCGGCCCCCGCCGUGCGCUCAAGCGUCUGGGACGGCUCGGAGGUAGAAGAGGAACACAUCGAGUUCCUUCGCCGGACAUGCCGUCUCCCCAGCACGGACCUCGUGCGCGCCCGCGCCGCGCCGGAGGCAGAGAUCCGGCCGGCGCCGGAGGAGGGCGAGCGGGUCAUCUUUCGCUCGCACCUCAUGCGCGGCCUGGGGCUGCCGACGAGCGGCUUCUUCCGCUCGUUCUUGGAGUUCCAUAGCCUUCAACCGCACCACCUCACUCCGAAUAUGGUGGUGUUGCUCUCCGCCUUCGCCACUCUGUGCGAAGGUUUCCUCGGCGUUCUCCCCACCAUCGAGCUAUGGGGAGAAUUCUUCUCUUCUAAGCUCGGCACGCACGUCGCCAGCGUGCCGGCUCAGUGCGGCGCCUACAUCGCGGUGCGGUGCUCGACGGCCGACAACCCCUUUCCUCCCAUCACGCUGAUCAAGUCGGUGAAGAUGUGGCAGCGCUCAUACUUCUACGUGAAGAACCUCGCCUCCGACGGCGACUGGGUCAACCUGCCACCUUACAACGCCGCCCCCCUAACUGGGAGGCUCCCCAGCUGGUCUCACCGAGUCAAGACGCUGACUCCCGCCGGAGCCGCCGCCGUAGCGCGACUCUGCGUCUUGACGCAGUCGGAGGGUCUUGCCUGGGCCGACUUGCUGGCCGCCUUCGUGGCGCGCCGAGUUCUCCCGCUCCAAGGCCGGCCUCACCUGAUCUGUCAGAUGAGCGGCCUCCGAGACCCGAGUCGGAUGAACACCAAGGAGAUGCCCCGCACGGAGGUGGAAAACAUGGUGAAUCAUAUCGCGAACUGUGAGUUCGGGGAGGACUGGCAGUUCGGCAAGGAGCCGUACUCGCGCGACAACCCCCCACCAGUGGUAAGUCGCGUCCCUCUAUUGUUUUGUCUUCUUUGCGGCCGACUCCGGCUUCUGACUCUUGUCGGUUUCUUCUGAGCUAGAAUCCCCUUAUGCAGCCUGCAGCCGGUGCCACGAGACAACCCCGCGAGUAUGCUCCCGAUUGUGCGGACAGCGACGUCGACGACCCCGACUUGGGGGCGGCGGUGAUGGAAGCCGACGCCGAAGGCGGGGGAGAAGGAGCAGAAGGCGACUUCAGGCCCUCGGCCACCUUCGCCGACUGGCCUGACAACAACGCCGAAGGGGAAGUCACUCCGCGCCACCAGCCGAGGGUCGGCUCGUCAGGCGUCGGCUCCUUCACCGGCCUGGCCGGCCAAGGCGGCGCGAAGAGGCGUCACGCCGGGCCGAGUGCGCCCGGUGGCAAAUUGAAGAAGUUCAAGGGGGCGGCCGCCGCGACCAAACGGGAGGAGGCGGCCGCGAAGACCAACCGCUUCCGAAGGGAAGUGGGAAGGCCGCCGCUAGUGUCUGCGUAAGUCUUUACGCUUUUUUAUUUUCCUUCGUUGAAUCUUGUCCGAGUCUUCUUUUAUACUCCCUCCAUCCUUCUUCAGGGCCCCUAUUUCCCUUGAGAGAGUCGCCGUCCCCUCUGUCAUGGGGUCGGCAGAGACGUCCGCCAAUACUCGGCGGGCUGACCCUGCCGCCGACCUCUGGGAGGCGACGGAGCAAAAUGCGCCGGAGAAGCGCGAGGAGGAGGAGGCCGAACGUCUGGAGAAGGCGGAGGCCGACAGGGCGGCCGCCUCCGCCCAGAAGAAGAUGGAGGAUGCCGAAGCCGCCCUCACGGCGAGACGGCAUGCCGAGGAGGCGGCGCGUCGCCGAUCGGCGAUGCUCGUCCCCCCACUGUCGUCUGCACCGCCGCCUCCGGAGUUCACGGGGCAGACCGGAGAGGCCGGCACCGAGAACCCCGUCGUGGAGAAGGAGAGCAGCGAGGCUUCCAUGUCGGACACUCUCGUGCCGCCACCGCCGCCUCCGCCGCUGUCUAGGAGACCGCACGGCAAACAGCCGGUGGGUCCGUUGGAGCCGCCGGUCACGGACGAGGCCGAGGCGCGGCUGCUUCUCCAAGUCGCCUCGCCGGUGCGCCGCCGUCUUGAGAGGGCGACCUCGGUGCUGCGACCCCGGGAGACCGGCGCCGCCAGCUCGGCAACCUUAGACGCCGAGGCCACAAGCGCCGCGCCCACCGGGUGGUUGCACAGAGGCGGCACCGGGCCGCUGAAUCAAGCGCUUCUGGACGUUCAGGCGAAGCUGCGCGCUGAAGGCGACGCCCUUCAAACUUGCACCAGGGCGCAUCUGGCAGCGCGGACGGUCGUCCGAGUAUGUUUCCUUCUUCUUUUUAAUUCUUGUUUUUCUCUGUGGGGGCGCGCCAGCGCACUCACUGGGUGUAGUCCCCGAGUUCCGGGCCGGCUGCUGAGCAGGCGGUUCGGAACUCCCUUUGGUGAGUUCCAAAUACUAACUUUGUCUUCAAUGACUUAUUGCAGGAGUAUCACAACCUCCGCGCCACUGCCUUCAACCGCAAUGUUGAGGAGUUGAGCAAGUGGGCUGCCGACUUGUUGGAAAGCCAGAGUAAGUUCUUCUUCUUCGCGGGGCUCGCUGGCGCACCCGCCGGCUGUAGUCCCCGAGAUUCGGGCCGACUGCUGAGCAGUCGGGCCGGAUCUUCCCGGCGAUCUUCUUUGCUGACGACUUAUUUGUCUCUUCUUUCGCUCUUCAGCAGCCAACGCCGUUCUUCAGGAGCAGCUGGGCGAGGCCAAUACCGCCCGGCGUGCCAAGGAGGAGGAGUGUAGCAAGCUUGUCCCAGAGCGCGACCUACUGGCGGCGCAGCUGGCCGAGCAGAAGGAGCUGCUCAAGAAGGCGCAGGACGAGGCCGAGAAGAAGGAGGCCGCUCUCAUGGCCGAGUUCAAGAGCGAGCGCUCCUCCUGGACUGACAGGGAGGCGAUGUUGACCUCCGGCUUCCACAAGAUCGAGGAUAUCGUUGAAGGUAAGUUUCUUUCAUUUCUUUGGGCUUCCGACUAUGUGUCAGGCCGACUUCUGAUUUUUCGACUUGCUUCUUUUUUGUCUUGGCAGACUUCUUCCCUGGUCACUCGCAGGCAGUCCCUCUGGCCAUCGAGGCUGCUCGUGAGGCACGAAGGGCAAACGGUGAGGAGAUCGCCGCUAAUGCCCCCUGAACCAUUGAUGAGCAGCUUCUGAGCAUUGAAGCUCAUCUUCGUCCGGCUCACCGGCUGGUGCGCCGGCUUCAGCGUGCCAGCGCCCAGGCGGUUGCCGCCUUGUGGCCAGGCACGCCGGCUUUGCGCACCGCCAGCCGAACUGCCGACUGGCUGGAGGUCGCUGCCGGCCGUCUUGAGGCCUGGAAGGGCUCCUCGGCCUGGGCCAGAGCGCGCCGGGCCUUGGAGUUCGUCAAGGUGUGGUAUCCAGGGCUGGACCUGGACCGUCUGGCCGCGUUCCGGUCAGAAGCCCAGGACGAGCUGGAGGCCGUGGAGGGCACCCUUAUUGAGCGUCCGGCGGCCAUCGCCGAGUACACGGACACCAGUGUCUUCGUCCCCGAGCGGGCUGAAGGCGGCGAGGAAGUGCCGCCAGAGUGGUUCGGGAUGAACCCGAAGUAUGGUGAGGACUCGGCGGAGGUGAUCGACUCCAGCACCGAGGAGGAGGACGAGGUGGAGGACGAAGGCGAGGCAGAGGUGCCAGAAGACGGAGCAGGCGGCCAGCCUCAGCUCGACCGCGCCUCCAGCAAUGAGCCGCGUCGAGAGAAGGCGACUGCCGCCGGAGGCGAUCAAACCGAGACCGCCCAGCCGACUGCCUCGGCGCCUGACACCGCCGUCUCCUCCGAUCCUCCGAUCCCAAAUGCCGCCUCCUAGGCUGCCUUUUUCGCCUCUGCUUGUCUGUCUUAGUAAUCUUUUGAAAACUUUGUUAGAUUCGAACAAUUCCACCCGCGGGGUGUAUCUUGAACUUCUAUUCAAGAUUCGGCCAAGGGCCUAUGUAAAUAUUUAUCUGAUUUCCGUCUUUCCUUGCUUGCUGCUCUUUAGGCUUUUCCCUUUGCCACCUUCCUUUAGUCGAUGCCUUGCCAGUCGGACAGCCGCUCUGUGGACUGUCGCUGGGUCAAGUGCUUGGCUACUUCGGGAAGGCAAGUACUUGGCCAUUUAGAGUUUCUUUAGCAAGUCGGAUAAAAAGCGGCAGGCCGACUACCCAAGAGUCGGCCAUCCUUGAUAGAGGCUAAUAAAGAUGGCGAGCCGGCUACUCAUGAGUCAGCUUUCUACUUCAGAAAUGCUGGAGGCCGUCUUACGCUAUGUUCGUGCUUUAGGCCCUUAGCCCUUUUUCGUGUGGGCGCCCGUUCUUCCUCACUCCUGCCCACCUCAUAGUCGCUCUGCGAGCUGGGGCUUUGCCAGGAGGCAGAUUGGGCACCACGCACUACUUGUCUGACUGUGGGAAGCUCCUCAUAGCGCAAGGCGGCGAGUCCCCGGGCCGACUAGUCUGGCCCGGUGCCAAGCGGCUUGUAAUGAAAGUAAUGUACUCAAAGGCAUAAUUCUUAUCAUACAGAUAACAAAAAAGGGCAGUUCCCGAGCUCGUCUCGGGGGGCCCAAAGUCAUAGUGCUUUAAUACAAAGGGGUAGUGUGAUAUAUACUGCAUCAACUGUAAAAUCUUAGAAGAAGAUUUGCAUUCCAUGGGCGCUCUGUUUCUUUGCCGGAGUCAUCCCUUUUGCGUGCUCGGGGCUUCUGAGCAUCGAUCAGGUAGUAGGCGUCGUUCCCUAGCACCUUGCUGAUGAUAAAGGGGCCUUCCCAAGGUGCCGACAGCUUGUGUUGGCCGGCUAUUCGCUGGAUCAGCCGGAGCACAAGGUCGCCUUCUUGGAAAGAUCUUGGCCUGACCUUCCUGUUGUAGUAUCGACGCAGACUCUGCUGGUAGAUGCUGGACCGGCUGAGUGCCAACAGCCGGCCCUCUUCCAGCAGAUCGACGCCGUCUUGACGUGCUUCUUCUGCUUCUUCCUCGGUGUACAUGGUGACUCGCGGGGAGUCGAACUCUAUGUCCGUUGGGAUGACGGCUUCGGCACCAUAGACGAGGAAGAAGGGUGUGAAGCCGGUUUACUUGUUUGGAGUCGUGCGCAGACUCCAGAGGACGGCUGGCAGCUCCUCAAGCCAAUAGCCGGCAGAUCACUCCAGCGGUACGACGAGUCGAGGCUUGAUGCCGGAUAAGAUGAGGCCAUUCGCUCGCUCCACCUGGACGUUUGACUGCGGAUGGGCAAUGGACGCUAAGUCCAGUCGGAUGCCCUGUGUUGCGCAGAAACGGGCCAAGGCGCCUUUGGCAAAAUUCGUGCCAUUGUCGGUGAUGAUGUUGUGUGGGAUGCCGUACCGAGUUGUGAUGUCAGCGAUGAAGGUCACUGCAGUCAGACCAUUCAACUUCUUGAUGGUUUUCACCUCCACCCACUUGGUGAACUUGUCCACUGCGACAAGUAGGUGAGUCAAGCCACCUCGUGCCGUCUUGAAUGGUCCCACCAUGUCCAGGCCCAGACUGCAAAGGGCCAGGCGAUGGGGAUAGUCUUGAGUGCGGAAGCUGGCUGAAGUGGCUUGGAAUGGAAAAUCUGGCACCCCUUGCACUUUUGGACUAACUCUUUGGCCUCUUCCAGGGCGGUUGGCCAGAAGAAACCGUGCCGGAAGGCUUUGGCGACGAGUGCCCUGGAGGCCGCGUGGUGACCGCACUCGCCUUCAUGGAUGUCUCUGAGGAUUGCUUGGCCUUGUUCUGCCUCGACGGAGCGUUGGAAGACACCGGUAACGCUGCGCCUGACCAGCUCUCUGUUGACUAUGGUGUAGGCUGCUGCUCGGCGUUGCACUUGUCGAGCCAAGAUUUCAUCGGUUGGCAGCUCUCUGUUUACUGAGAACCUGAGGAUGGGCUGGGCCCAUGAAGGUGCUGCUAUUUCUUCAACUGCCACUAGUGCGACUUGGACAAGGGCGGCCGGGCUGGGAGGCGGCGGGUUGGAGUCCGCAGCCGCUUGCUGAUUUGACAAAGUCCCGGGGCCGACUGGAGCAGUCCCCGGGCCGAGCUCUGGAGUCUUCGAUCUUGCCACUGCAGUCCCCGGGCCGGGUUUUGAAGUCCCCGGGCCGGCUUCGACUGUGUGUUUCUUGGAGUAGGAUCCGUCUUCCUCAGGCGGAGCCGGCACAAAGAUUGAAUCUGAUUCUGGUGAUGGCUUGAUAGAAGGCUUGAGGAGGCGCCGGAGGGCGGCGCCAGACGGUAUUGCCUGGCGGGUGGAGCCGAUUCGUGCCAAGGCGUCUGCUUGGUCGUUGUCGUUCCUUGGCACGGGGAGGAACUUGCACCCCUCGAAGUAUCCGCUGAGUUGCUGGACGAGGAAACGGUAGCUCGCCAUAUUUGCCUCCUUGGUGUCCCAAUCGCCGGAUGAUUGCUGGACCACCAAGUCAGAGUCGCCAUAACACAGGAUCCGGCGAAUGCCGAGUUCUUUGGCAAGCCGGAGCCCGUGGAUGAGCGCCUCGUACUCGGCCACGUUGUUGGAGGCGGCGAAGUGGAUCUGCAACGCAUAUCUGAGCUUGUCGCCCUUGGGGGAAGUGAGGACGACACCGGCUCCCAAGCCGGUGCGCAUCUUGGAGCCGUCGAAGUGCAUCCGCCAAUGGGUGGAGUCGGGCGCUGGCGGCAGAUACUCGGUCUCGGCCUAGUCGACGAGGAAUUCAGCCAGUGCUUGCUGAUGGGGUCAUGUACCUAGGGUAGGGCCACAGACCUGAUCUAAGUACCCUACCCAAGGACACCCUUAGAAGAGGUCACCUUCCAGUCGACCAACGAGAGACACACUCGACUGCCUUGAAGGACUCGACCACGAAGACUCACUCGACCACCAGAAGGUCAAGAGGCACUCUGCACUGCAACGGCCUGUAAUUAAAUAGACUUUAUGAUAGUAAAGACACUUUAUGUGGGGCGUUACCAGUAACGCCCUGGACUUAACUCACCUUAAACCCUCUCCUACGUGGACUGGCUGGGGUCCUGGCGCACUCUAUAUAAGCCACCCCCCUCCACGGGCAGAAGGGUUCGGCACCCUGUAACUCAUAUACAUAUAAUCCACUCGACCGCCUCCGGGCUCCGAGACGUAGGGCUUUUACUUCCUCCGAGAAGGGCCUGAACUCGUACAUCUCUUGCGUUUACAACCUCUCCAUAGCUAGGACCUUGCCUCUCCAUACCUACNNNNNNNNNNNNNNNNNNNNNNNNNNNNNNNNNNNNNNNNNNNNNNNNNNNNNNNNNNNNNNNNNNNNNNNNNNNNNNNNNNNNNNNNNNNNNNNNNNNNNNNNNNNNNNNNNNNNNNNNNNNNNNNNNNNNNNNNNNNNNNNNNNNNNNNNNNNNNNNNNNNNNNNNNNNNNNNNNNNNNNNNNNNNNNNNNNNNNNNNNNNNNNNNNNNNNNNNNNNNNNNNNNNNNNNNNNNNNNNNNNNNNNNNNNNNNNNNNNNNNNNNNNNNNNNNNNNNNNNNNNNNNNNNNNNNNNNNNNNNNNNNNNNNNNNNNNNNNNNNNNNNNNNNNNNNNNNNNNNNNNNNNNNNNNNNNNNNNNNNNNNNNNNNNNNNNNNNNNNNNNNNNNNNNNNNNNNNNNNNNNNNNNNNNNNNNNNNNNNNNNNNNNNNNNNNNNNNNNNNCGUGGGGCAGGUGUUUUAGCAAUUUUGUGGAGAAGUUGCGAUUCUUCCGAGUACUUUCAUCAUGGUGGCUGCUGGAGUUUUGGUCGAGGGUCGAGAGAUCCGUCUCGGCGCUCUCACCUUCAUCGCCGACGACUCCGCCUGGCUCCAGGAGGCUCCACUCGACGUUGAUGCGCUCCCCGUCCGCGGUGCGACACAUUUUCGCGCAUGUGUCCGCGGCGUUCUGCUGCGGCAACCGUCGACCCCGUAUCGGUUGACAUCCCCAUCGACCACCCUCCCGGUCUCCCGUCAGCGCAAGCGCUCGGGCCGGUCGAGGAUUCAGCGGUGGGUGAGGCACGCGGUGGCUCGCCAGACGGCCACCACCCAAGUUGCGGCAAUCGAGCCCGACGAAUCUCUCUACGGCCUGUUCGAUCUGUCGACUGGCUCCGUAGAGACCACAUCCGAGUGCGAUAGCAGUGAUCCAGCGGCGGAAAUUCUGAUGGUCGACGGGCCCCGCAGUCCCCCUGGCUUCGCCCGUGAUGGUGGAGCAGGCGACGGAGGCGACCCCGCACGAGACCACGAAGAGUACCAGCCCGAGCCACUCGACUCUCUGCAAAGAGAAGAACUUCGCCGCAGGAACGUGGAUGUCCUGCGUACUCCCAUCGCAGGAGAAACCCCCGAGGCUCGCGCCUUGGAGGAGGUACGUUUGGCCAAUUUGGCCGAACGCACUCGAUUGGAGAAUCUUCAGCGAGCACUCGACGAGCGCGCGCGGCAAUGAAUUCCCGACACCAGUCGACGUCAACUCUUCCCGCCGACUCAGGUAUAUCGAACCCCAAUCCAGAAUUUAGCAGUUGCGACCCGUAUAGCAGAGUCCAUCCAACCCUCUCAGUCGGAAGCUGGCAGAGGCUUGAUGCAGAUCAGGGAUCUACUCCGGGCAGCAGGAGAUCAGAAUUCGGCCGUGUCGCAGUCGCGCAACAGAAUUCACAGUCGAUCCGUCGCUGCGAAUACGGUUCAGUCGGCUCACAGCCCCAGAUCGCCUCCGCGGCGUGAAGGGCGCGAGAAUCAGUGAGACCAAUAUGGUGACCGACUCGACCGAGAUGAUAGGCGUCGAGUGCCCAAUUCCCCUCCGAGGGGUGGGUCUUACGCUCCUCGGCAGCAAGAUGACAGACGUCAGCUUAGUGCGGGGCGAAGAGUUCCAGUCGACCCCAGAGAACCAGGCUUCGAUGCGCGGUCCAUUAUCGUGCAAGGUCUGGUCGACCGAAACAGAGCCCAUCGAGGUGGACUCGACAGAGAUGCGCCCACAAGCAGUCGGGUGCAUGUUUCUGGUCCUGAAUGUUUCAGCAGAGCUAUCAGAGCCGCAGUUAUCCCUCCCCAUUUCAGGUUGGCGACAGGAGUCAGCAAGUUCACUGGUGAGUCUAAGCCUGAAACUUGUCUUGAGGACUACCGAUUGGCGGUUCAGAUUGGUGGUGGGAACGACGAGGUGGCCAUGAAGCAUUUGCCCCUCAUGCUGGAAGGUUCUGCCAGGGCAUGGUUGACUCAAUUACCUCCUAGCAGCAUUUACACUUGGGAAGAUAUGUCCCGAGUGUUCAUCAGAACGUUUGAAGGAACUUGCAAGCGACCGGCUGGACUGACGGAGUUGCAAGUCUGUGUGCAGAAGACCAAUGAGACUCUCAGAGAGUAUAUUCAGAGAUGGAUCACUUUGCACCAUACUGUGGAGAAUGUGUCUGAUCAUCAGGCAGUCUGCGCCUUUAAAGAUGGCGUCAAGAACAGAGAAUUGAGCUUGAAGUUUGGUCGAACCGGUGACAUGACCUUGAGUCGGAUGAUGGAGAUUGCUACCAAGUACGCCAACGGCGAAGAAGAAGACUGACUCCGAAGCGGCAAGCACAAGCCGAGUCAGUCGGAAAAGGGAAACACCAGUCGGAAACAGAAGCGGAAGGCUGAACCGGCAGCUCCUGGAGAGGCUCUGGCCGUGACUCAGGGAAAGUUUAAAGGGAAACCAAAAGGAUCCUGGAACCCUAAGAAGGUAAAGGAUAAAGAAGGGAACGACGUGAUGGAUAUGCCGUGUCACAUCCACACGAAGAAAGACAAAGAGGGGAAUAUCAUCUACCCGAAGCACACCACUCGCCAAUGUCGACUCCUGAUCCAGCAGUUUCAGGGGAAACAGUCUAAUAACAAGGAGAAGGAGUCGGACAAGGUCGAAGACAAGGAGGACAGUGAGGAAGGAUAUCCCCAUAUCAACUCUACUCUAAUGAUCUUUGCAGAUGUGGAGAGCAAGAGUCGAUUGAAAGUUAUUAACCGUGAGGUGAACAUGGUUGCCCCAGCAAAAGCAAACUAUCUGAAAUGGUCCCAAACACCCAUCACCUUCGACCAAUCUGAUCACCCGACUCAUAUUGCCACCCCUGGGAGGCAAGCUUUGGUGGUCGAUCCAGUUGUUGAAGGCACUCGACUGACAAAAGUGCUUAUGGACGGUGGUAGUGGGUUGAAUUUGCUGUAUGCAGACACACUGAAAGGAAUGGGCAUUCCGAUGUCCCGACUGAGCACCAGUAACAUGAGCUUUCAUGGAGUUAUACCAAGAAAGAAAGCAGAGUCACUCGGCCAAAUAGCUCUGGACGUGGUGUUUGGCGAUUCGAAACAUUUUCGCAAAGAGAAGUUGACGUUCGAGGUCGUGGAUUUUCAGAGUGCAUAUCAUGCCAUUUUGGGGAGACCAGCUUAUGCACGGUUCAUGGCUCGACCAUGUUACGUGUACCUCAAAUUGAAGAUGCCCGGCCCCAAAGGAGUGAUCACUGUCACCGGUGAUCGGAAAAAGGCAGAAGAGUGCUUCCAGAAAGGCUCAAAGAUUGCUGAUUCCCAGGUGACAGCGGUCGAGUUCGAAGAAUACAAGCAAAACGCAGAUCCGAGUGACUUGCUGCGAUCCAAGAAACCCGCCACAGAGUCUGCAUUUCAGUCGUCCGGUGAGACGAAGCCUGUUCACAUUCACCCGACCGACCCCGAUGCAGCUCCGACCCGCAUCUCCACAACACUCGACCCAAAAUAGGAAGAAGCGCUCAUCCAGUUCCUCCGUGAGAACUGGGACAUUUUUGCAUGGAAGCCCGCUGACAUGCCAGGUGUUCCCAGGGGACUGGCUGAGCAUCACCUAAGAGUCGACUCAUCUGCAAAACCAGUUAAAGAGCAUCUUCGGCGGUCCGCCGUCCAGAAGAGAAAAGCCAUUGGUGAGGAAGUGGCUCGACUGUUGGCGGCAGGAUUUAUCCGAGAGAUAUACCACUCCGAGUGGCUCGCUAAUGUCGUCAUGGUUCCUAAGAAAGACAAAUCACUCUGAAUGUGCAUUGAUUUCAAGCACAUCAACCGGGCCUGCCCGAAAGAUCAUUUUCCUCUCCCUCGCAUAGAUCAAAUUAUUGACUCGACCGCGGGAUGCGAGAGACUGUCUUUUCUAGACGCUUACUCCGGGUACCACCAGAUCCGUCUGUACGGACCCGACAAGGUAAAAACAGCUUUCAUCACUCCAUUCGGGUGCUUCUGCUAUAUCACCAUGCCAUUCGGCCUCAAGAAUGCCGGAGCCACAUUUAUGCGAAUGAUUCAGAAGUGUCUACUCACUCAAAUCAGUCGGAAUGUGGAAGCGUAUAUGGAUGAUAUCGUUGUCAAGUCACGAAAAGGUUCCGACCUGCUCACUGAUCUCGCCGAAACAUUUGCCAACCUCAGAAGGUAUGAUAUCAAGCUCAAUCCAUCAAAGUGCACAUUUGGAGUUCCUGGUGGCAAGUUACUCGGUUUUCUCGUUUCCGAACAAGGAAUCGACGCUAAUCCAGAGAAGAUCGGCACUAUUCUCCGAAUGAAACGCCCUGUGCGAGUGCACGAUGUCCAGAAGCUUACUGGAUGCUUGGCCGCAUUAAGUCGAUUCAUCUCACGACUCGGUGAAAAGGCAUUGCCUCUUUACCGACUGAUGAAGAAGGCAGACAAGUUCGAGUGGACUCCAGAAGCUAAUGCAGCGUUUGCCGAGCUAAAAGCUCUGCUCUCCACCCAGCCGGUGCUUGCUGCUCCAAUCAGCAAAGAGCCUCUGUUGCUCUAUAUCGCAGCCACAGGACAAGUCGUCAGUACUGUGCUUACGGUCGAGCGGGAAGAAGAAGGAAAAGCUCUCAAAGUUCAGCGCCCAGUGUAUUAUUUGUCUGAAGUCUUGACUCCAUCCAAGCAGAGAUAUCCUCAUUAUCAGAAGCUUGUGUAUGGAAUAUACAUGACCACAAAGAAGGUUGCUCAUUAUUUCUCUGAUCAUUCCAUCACAGUCGUCAGCGACGCUCCACUAUCAGAGAUUUUGCACAACAGAGAUGCAACUGGUCGAGUGGCCAAAUGGGCGAUUGAACUUCUUCCCCUUGAUAUCAAGUUUGAGGCAAAGAAAGCCAUUAAGUCCCAGGCAAUAGCAGAUUUCCUCGCCGAGUGGAUUGAACAGCAGCAGCCGACUGAAGUUCACUCGGAGCAUUGGACCAUGUUCUUUGAUGGCUCUAAGAUGUUGAAUGGUUCCGGUGCUGGGGUUGUCCUGGUUUCCCCCAGAGGAGAUAAGCUCAGAUAUGUGCUCCAGAUUCACUUUGAUUCCUCCAGCAAUGAGGCAGAAUAUGAGGCCCUCUUAUAUGGGUUGCGCAUGGCCAUUUCACUCGGCGUCCGUCGCCUGAUGGUCUAUGGCGACUCGGAUUUAGUGGUCAAUCAAGUGAUGAAGGAGUGGGACGUGAGAAGACCAGCCAUGACUGGAUACUGCAGUGCAGUGAGGAAGCUAGAAAAGAAGUUCGAGGGGUUGGAGCUCCAUCAUAUACCCCGACUGAAAAAUCAAGCAGCUGAUGAUCUAGCAAAGAUAGGUUCCAAGAGAGAAGCCAUUCCAAGUGGUGUGUUCUUGGAGCAUGUACACACUCCGUCAGUCAAAGAAGAUCCUUUCACCGAAGAAGCUCCACAGCCCAAGAGUGCCACAGAUCCGACUGAGGUUGAAGUCCCAGCAGUGGUCGACUUGGUCAUGGAGAUCUUGGUGGUCAUUCCCGAUUGGACAGUUCCAUAUAUCGUGUAUAUCCUGAGAAAAGAGCUCCCGGAGGAUGAGGAAGAGGCUCGACAGAUCGUCCGCCGAUCUAAGGCCUUUACCGUAAUCAAAGGACAGUUAUACAGAGAAAGUGCGACUGGAGUCGGUCAGAAGUGCAUAACGCCGGAAGAAGGUCGAAUCAUCCUUAAUGAUAUUCACUCGGGGACCUGUGGUCAUCACGCGUCCUCUCGGACCAUCGUGGCCAAAGCAUACCGAGCCGGAUUUUACUGGCCAAAGGCGAAUGAGAUGGCAAAGGAGAUAGUGGAUAAGUGCGAGGGAUGUCAGUUUUACUCGAAUAUGUCGCACAAGCCUGCAUCAGCCCUGAAGACCAUUCCACUCAUCUGGCCUUUCGCAGUAUGGGGGUUGGACAUGGUCGGUCCUUUGAGAACAGGGCGAAGUGGCUUUACGCAUGUACUGGUGGCAGUCGACAAGUUCACCAAGUGGAUUGAGGCUAAACCAAUCAAGAACCUUGACGCCGGUACUGCUGUUAGCUUCAUCAGGGAACUAAUAUUCAGAUAUGGAGUCCCGCACAGCAUCAUUACGGAUAAUGGGUCAAACUUUGACUCGGAGGAAUUCAGAGAUUUCUGUAACUCUCAAGGCACACGGGUCGACUACGCUUCAGUCGCCCAUCCGCAGUCGAAUGGACAAGCAGAGCGAGCCAAUGGCCUGAUUCUCAAGGGAUUGAAACCCCGACUGAUGCGUGAUCUCAAGCAUGCAGCUGGAGCUUGGGUCGACGAACUUCCUUCAGUGCUUUGGGGACUGCGGACCACACCUAAUCGGUCGACCGGAAGAACUCCAUUCUUCUUGGUCUACGGAGCUGAAGCAGUCUUGCCGAGUGAUCUUCUCCACAAUGCUCCUCGAGUUGAAAUCUACAACGAAGCAGAAGCUGAACAAGCGCGGCAGGACGCAGUCGACCUUUUAGAGGAAGAAAGGGAGAUGGCUCUGAUCCGGUCGACCAUCUACCAACAAGAUUUGCGUCGUUUCCACGCCAGAAAUGUGAGAGCUCGAGCCUUCCAGGAAGGAGAUUUGGUUCUCCGAGUGGGUCAGCACAAACCACACAAGCUUGCUCCUUCUUGGGAAGGUCCCUUCAUCGUCACCAAGGUUCUCCACAACGGGGCGUACCGUCUUUACAACGUCGAGCAUAAUAUCGACGAGCCCCGAGCUUGGAACGCGGAACUACUCCGCCCAUUUUACACUUAAGUUUUAUCACUCGGAUGAGUUGCAAUAAAGUACUUCUGUAGUUCAUGGACCUCAAAAUAAUAGUGUCAUAGUUCCUCCAUAAUUUUGGUCACUUUUCAUUUUGUCUAAUAAAAUUCCCCCUCAGUGGGUGACUUAGCCGCGAAUCCAUUCCGCCUAAGUUUGUAAAAAAUCCUACCGAGUGGUGAGCCAGACUCCCACUCGGAGGCUUAGCUGCGAAUCCGUUUCGCCUAAGUUAUAAAAAUCCUACCGAGUGAAGAGCAAACCUCUCACUCGGGGGCUUAGCUGUAGUCCAAGUACUCGCCUAAGUAAUCAAAAAUCCUACUGAGUGAAGAGCAAACCUCUCACUCGGGGGCUUAGCUGCAGUCCAAGUACUCGCCUAAGUUAUAAAAAUCCUACCGAGGGGUAAGCCAGGCUUCCACUCGGAGGCUUAGCUGCAGUCCAAGUACUCGCCUAAGUAAUCAAAAAUCCUACCGAGUGAAGAGCAAACCUCUCACUNNNNNNNNNNUUUCCAUGCCAGAAAUGUGAGGGGUCGAGCCUUCCAGGAAGGAGAUUUAGUUCUCCGAGUGGAUCAGAAGAAACAUCACAAGCUUGCUCCUUCUUGGGAAGGACCCUUCAUCGUCACCAAAGUUCUCCACAACGGGGCGUACCGUCUUUACAACGUCGAACAUAAUAUCGACGAGCCCCGAGCUUGGAACGCGGAACUACUCCGCCCAUUUUACACUUAAGUUUAUCACUCGGAUGAGUUGCAAUAAAGUACUCCUGUAGUUCAUGGAUUUCAAAAUAAUAGUGUCAUAGUUCCUCCAUAAUUUUUGUCACUUUUUAUUUUGUCCAAUAAAAUUUUCCCCUCAGUGGGUGACUUAGCCGCGAAUCCGUUUCGCCUAAGUUUGUAAAAAUCCUUACCGAGUGGUGAGCCAGACUCCCACUCGGAGGCUUAGCUGCGAAUCCGUUUCGCCUAAGAUUAAAUAAAAUCUUACCGAGUGGUAAGCCAGACUUCCACUCGGGGGCUUAGCUGCAGUCCAAGUACUCGCCUAAGUUAUAAAAAUCCUACCGAGUGGUAAGCCAGACUUCCACUUGGGGGCUUAGCUGCAGUCCAAGUACUCGCCUAAGUUAUAAAAAUCCUACCGAGUGGUAAGCCAGACUUCCACUCGGAGGCUUAGCUGCAGUCCAAGUACUCGCCUAAGUUAUAAAAAUCCUACCGAGUGGUAAGCCAGACUUCCACUCGGAGGCUUAGCUGCAGUCCAAGUACUCGCCUAAGNNNNNNNNNNNNNNNNNNNNNNNNNNNNNNNNNNNNNNNNNNNNNNNNNNNNNNNNNNNNNNNNNNNNNNNNNNNNNNNNNNNNNNNNNNNNNNNNNNNNNNNNNNNNNNNNNNNNNNNNNNNNNNNNNNNNNNNNNNNNNNNNNNNNNNNNNNNNNNNNNNNNNNNNNNNNNNNNNNNNNNNNNNNNNNNNNNNNNNNNNNNNNNNNNNNNNNNNNNNNNNNNNNNNNNNNNCGCCUAAGUUAUAAAAAUCCUACCGAGUAGUAAGCCAGACUUCCACUCGGAGGCUUAGCUGCAGUCCAAGUACUCGCCUAAGUUAUAAAACUCCUACCGAGUGGUAAGCCAGACUUCCACGCGGAGGCUUAGCUGCAGUCCAAGUACUCGCCUAAGUUAUAAAAAUGCUACCGAGUGGUAAGCCAGACCUCUCACUCGGGGGCUUAGCUGCAGUCCAAGUACUCGCCUAAGUUAUAAAAAUCCUGCCGAGUGGUAAGCCAGACUUCCACUCGGGGGCUUAGCUGCAGCCCAGUGCUCACCUAAGUGGACUAAGGAAUAAGUCGAUUGCAGUAAGCGCCCUGCUUUGAACCUGCAAAAGACAUUUCGAGCCAAAAGCAAUCAUAUUCAAACGACAAAUUCAAGUUCGGAUCGAUACCUAAAGGAACCGAAAGUGCUCGGGUGCUAAGCCCGUUAAGGUUUAUCGGUUACAACUCCACUCGGCAUACCGAGGCAAAUUUAAAGCAUACUCCACUCGACAUACCGAGGCAAAUUUAAAGCGUCGAGCUUAGAAGAAGUUUUUUACCCCUCCUGUGGAGGGCUGGAAGGUGCAACGAACUCAUCAAGAUCAAUUCCAUCUGCGAUCCGAGUGGCAGCCGCAAGGAAAGUUUCCAUAAAGGACCUGAAGUCGUGUUUCUUGGUGUUGGCCACCCGGAGGGCCGCCAGCUUCUCUUCUCGCGCAUCUUUGCAGUGGACUCGGGCCAGACACAGAGCAACAUCUGCACCGCACCGAGCCGAGGACUUCUUCCACUCCUGCACUCGACCAGGGAUCAUGUUCAAGCGAGCCAUCAGCGACUCAAGGUCAUUUUGAAGUGUCUCCCCGGGCCAGAGCGUCGAGUCGAUGCGAGAUGUGGAGACCUUCAGCCUUGCAAGAUAGUCCACGGCAGCUGCAACACGGGACUCCAGUCGGAAAACAUUCAUGGCAACUUCGUUGUUCACCGGAGAAUUGACGGGGUCGAGGUUUGGUUCCAGCCGGCUAGUUUCUUCUUCAAGGUUUUGACAAAAUUCUGCAAGGACGAUCACCGAGUCAAGGCGAUGGUCGAAUGGAAAAACCACGAUUGGAAAUGAUUGCCGAGCAUAGAGGUUUACCUUCAAGCAUAAGAAACAGCUUCUUGGCAAGACCACUCAGGAAGGCCUCCAGAUCAUUUUUCUUCCCAGACAACUUACUGACUUGGUCGGUCAGGGCAGUUUUAUCAGUUUUCAGUCGACUGACUUCCUUGUUGGCGAUCCCAAGAGCAGCUUUCAGAUUGGUAUUGUCUUGUUCAAGCUUGGUGACUGAGGCUAACUUCUCGUCAGCAAGCUUGAUCUUCUCAGCUAGUUCAAGGUCUUUUUUCUGUUGGGCCUCCCUUACCUUACCUGCAAGUUGCAGCAAGAUCAGAUUUUGAAACAAACGAAGGGAAAAAUCAGUCGUCAAGGUCUCACCAAACAUACCUUCGGUCUCCUCCUUUGCCUUCGUCAGUUUCUCCUGAACCAGCUUCAAAUUCAGCUCGAGCUGAACGUGCUUGUUUUCCAGCUCAGAGUAGCGAGCCACAAGAUCACAGGAGUUCUGCGAAGAACCAAUCGACUAAAUGUCAAAUAUAAUUCACUUCCGAGUGAAAAAGGAAAAAUCACAUGUUUCUAAGACUACAGCCGAAUACAAGCAUUCGACCAUAGUCUCGGGGACUACACCCAGUGGGUGCACUCAGCGUGCCCCCACUAAUCCUAUCGAAGAUAGAGUCGACCAGUCGACCUCAAAAAAAAAGAGAGAGAUGUAUUCUUUAAGACUGUAAUCGACUGCAAGCAGUCAACCACAGUCUCGGGGACUACACCCAGUGGGUGCACUCAGCGUGCCCCCACCGGUUUGCGAAAUCCAUUCGACAUAGUCGAAUGACGGAAAGACUGAAAUUAUAAAGCCUAAGGCCGACUGCCAGCAGUCGACCUUAGCCUUGGGGACUACACCCAGUGGGUGCACUCAGCGUGCCCCCACUAAUCCUAUUGAAGACAGAGUCGACCAGUCGACCGGCUUUCGAAAUCCAUUCGCCAUAGUCGAAUGACGGAAAGACUGAAAUUAUAAAGCCUAAGGCCGACUGCCAGCAGUCGACCUUAGCCUUGGGGACUACACCCAGCGGGUGCACUCAGCAUGCCCCCGCUAACACGGAGUCUAAAUCCACACACCCAGUGGGUGACUACCGUAGAUGUUGGAAAGAAAAGUUUUUGAUAGCAUAUCCUAACAGAACAGACGAUGGUCGACUGACCUGAACAUUGCUUUGAAGGGCGGAACUGGCGUCGUAAGCUGCCUGGCUCGCAUCCCGGAUGGUCCUCAACUGCUCCAUCAUGAUCCCUGCCUGGUGUAUCGCCUCCUUCGCAGCGCCAGCUUGGUCCUCUGGGACGUGGUGCGUCGUGAAGAGGGAGGGCUGCUGAGCACUCGUCAGUGGAUCUGCGAAGGACACAGUGUGCAGAGUGGUGUUCUCCUCCUCCGCAACCAGAGUCUCAGGCGCCGUCACAUCCUGGGGCACCCUGCUGGCAGACGUUUUCCUACUCCUUCUGUGCUUCAACGGUUCCUCAUCUUCAUCAUCAUCUGGGAGAGUGAUAACAACAUUUGGUGGAGCUAUAGAGAAGAAUCAGGAUUAUAGAUCAUAAGUCAGUCGACUAAAAACGGCGUUAAGAGUAUAGUACCUGGUUUUGAGGUUGCUGCAUCCUCCAUCUCAUGGUCAUCAGCCCGGGCUGAGGUCUCGGAAGUAGCAGCACUGCAACUCCAAAGAAUCAGUCGACUAACCCCAGCGCCAGCCAGAGAUAAAGUUCGUACAAAAUAAGAAGACUUAAGCAGUACGAUGACCCUGAUAUGGUGGGGAUGGACACCUUCAUCUUCGGCAGGAGUUUGGUCGGCUUUGACGGAGCCACCCUGGGCUGCUUUGACGCCUUUUCAGUCGGCGCCGGAGAGGUGGUCCGAGGGCGCUUGGUCGACUGAGCAACGGUCGCAACCCCCUUGCCACGUUCAGUCGCAGGGUCGUGGACAAGCUUCGACCGCCUUUCCGAGCGCGGUGGUACGACCUCCUCCUCCUCUUCUUCCUCGUCUUCAGCAUCAUCUUCAUCACCGUCAUCGUCGUCAUCGUCAUCAUCAUCCUCAGCAACGUCCGAGUCCCACUCCUCCUCCUGGCUCUCGCCCCCACUCGCCUCACCCUCCUCAGUCGGAGCCUGUGCUCCAUUGGGCAUCGAGUACAGCUCGGUGAGGGCCUGAUAGACAUCAAGACAAAGAUCAAUCGACCGAUUGGCAGAAUAAACAGAAAUGAAUAUGACAAGAACACAGUAGAGAGCAGAGCAGGCAUACCUUGUUUGGAUCACUGUGGUGGUCGAGUGGAGGAAUCCUUCUGGCUCCGCGUGGGUUAUCCUUGUUUCCGGUAACGGCGGCCAUCCACCUUUCCAGAGUGACAUCGUCGACUGCUUCUGGAUGGACCCGAGUCUCGUCCUCAGUCCCACAGUACAACCACAUGCAGUGGCUCCGGAACUGAAGGGGAUGGAUACGACGCCUAAGGAAAACCUCCAGGAGAUCCAUGCCCGUCACUCCCUCCCGAACCAACUGUACUACGCGCUCCAUCAACAUCUUCACGUUAGCUUUCUCCUCCGGAAUCAACUUCAGAGAGGAGGGCUUGUUCACUCGGUCCAUGGUAAACUGAGGGAGUCCACUCGACUGCCCCGGCGUCGACUGAUCCUGGCAGUAGAACUAGGUCGACUGCCAGCCUCUGACUGACUCGGGAAAAGUCAUGGCUGGGAAGGUGCUCUUAUUCCUCACCUGGAUCCCUAGGCCCCCACACAUUUGGACAACUCGGGUCCUUUCGUUGCCUGGGCUCGCCUUCUUCACGGUCUGAGAGCGACACGUGAAUAUAUGCUUGAACAAGCCCCAGUGCGGUCGACAGCCCAGAAAACCCUCACACAUGGACACGAACGCGGCAAGAUAGGCGAUAGAAUUUGGGGUAAAGUGAUGGAGUUGCGCUCCAAAGAAGUUCAAGAAACCACGAAAGAAAAUACUCGGUGGCAAAGAAAAUCCACGGUCGACAUGGGUAGCCAGGAGCACGCACUCACCCUCUUCUGGCUGGGGCCGCCACUCCUUCCCCGGAAGCCUCGCAGCUCCAUGAGGGAUCAGGCCCUCGUUGGCCAUGUCGAGGAGAUCUUUCUCCGUGAUGGUCGACUGGAUCCAAUCUCCUUGGACCCAGCCCUUCGGCAGGCGGGAUCUAGACGAAGACCCGCCACGGCUGGUGGAUCUCCCCUUCGCCUUCUCCGUCACCGACGCCUUCUUCGCGCGUUCCAGCGCCGCCGUCUUCUCCUUGGCCAUGGUUGCCGGUGAGACGCGCGAGAAGUUGUGCGGAGGCGAGAGCGAGCGCGCUGGACGGGGACGAAGAGAGCAGAGAAAGAGAAUGCUGAGGCACUGUACAAAAAACCCUCGCCGGGCGUAUUUAUAAGGUCCCUUCCGAGUGGAUGACAGGUGGGCCCGGUCGAUCUAAUCAUAUCCAGGAACAGUUAUGCAGGCGGGAUACGUGGCGAAGAAAGCGGCGCGGCGAUCGAGGCGUCUAUGUCCCGUCCCAUCCGAACGCCGCGGUCCGCUCCGCUUCGCGCGCUUCCCCAAAUUUCGCAUCCCGCGGAAUCCACGAACGGCAGAUCGGUCUGUCAGACGCAGGAUUUCCUGCGAUCCGUCGCUCGGAAAUCGUCGAAGCCCGAAAGAUCACUCGACGAAAGAAGAGAAUGGAUCGAGUCGACUGAAGACAAGUUGCUCACUACCAACGAAGAGAUUCUUUGGUCCAGAACAACGCACGACCAGUGUGCAAAAGUUAAUCGGAAACAACAUCAACUCCUUCCUCACUCGAAGCCUCAAUCCAUUCGGGGGCUAAUGAUGGGGUCAUGUACCUAGGGUAGGGCCACAGACCUGAUCUAAGUACCCUGCCCAAGGACACCCUUAGAAGAGGUCACCUUCCAGUCGACCAAUGAGAGACACACUCGACUGCCUUGAAGGACUCGACCACGAAGACUCACUCGACCACCAGAAGGUCAAGAGGCACUCUGCACUACAACGGCCUGUAAUUAAGUAGACUUUAUGAUAGUAAAGACACUUUAUGUGGGGCGUUACCAGUAACGCCCCGGACUUAACUCACCUUAAACCCUCUCCUACGUGGACUGGCUGGGGUCCUGGCGCACUCUAUAUAAGCCACCCCCCUCCACGGGCAGAAGGGUUCGGCACCCUGUAACUCAUAUACAUAUAAUCCACUCGACCACCUCCGGGCUCCGAGACGUAGGGCUUUUACUUCCUCUGAGAAGGGCCUGAACUCGUACAUCUCUUGCGUUUACAACCUCUCCAUAGCUAGGACCUUGCCUCUCCAUACCUACCCCCCCACUCUACUGUCAGGCUUAGAACCACGACACGACUUGAUGGCGGUGCGGGGCUCGUAGUAGAUGGUGUAGGGGGCCAGGUCGAUGGCCCAUUUGGCCACUCGGCCAGAAGCAUCUCGGCUUCCGAUGAUCUCGGCCAGUGGAGUUGUGCAGACCACAGUGAUUGGAUGCUCCUAGAAGUAAGGCUUCAAUUUCUUGGCGGCAAAAUGCACGCCGUAGCACAUCUUCUGGUAAUGGGGUUAGUUCUGCUUGGAGGCCGACAGUACCUCGCUCAAGUAAUAUACCGGUCUCUGGACAGGCAGCGCCUUGCCUUCCUCCUUGCGCUCAACUACAAUGACUGUGCUGACUACUCGGCUGGUGGUGGCAAUGUAUAGGAGCAUGGGCUCUUUGGGAGUCAGAGCCGCCAGCACAGGGGGAGUAGUCAACAUCUUUUUUAGUUGGAGAAAAGCCUCGUCCGCCUUGGGAGUCCACUCAAAGAAGGUCGUCUUCUUCAUGAGCUGAUACAAGGGGAGAGCCUUCUCGCCCAGCCGACUGAUGAAUCGGCUGAUGGAUGACAAACAGCCGGUGAAUUUCUGCACAUCUAACAGUCGUCUGGGUGCUUCCAUCCUCUCGAUGGCCUUGAUCUUCACAGGAUUGCACUCUAUGCCGCGUUCGAAGACCAGGAAACCGAGGAGCUGGCCGGCUGGUACAACAAAAACGCACUUCUCUGGGUUGAGCUUGAUCUGGAAUCGGUGCAGAUUCUCAAAUGUUUCCUUGAGGUCCUCCAGCAAGGUUCCACGCUUCUCCGUCUUCACCACUACAUCAUCCACAUAGACGUGGGCAUUUCUGCCAAGUUGCUUCAGGAGGCACUUCUGCAUGCAACGCUGAAAGGUGGCGCCGGCGUUUCUUAAGCCGAACGUCAUGGUCAGGUAGCAGAAGGCUCCAAACGGCGUGAUGAAGGCGGUCUUCAGUCUGUCAGCCGGGUUCAGCUUGAUCCGGUGAUAUCCUGAAUAUGCGUCUAGGAAACUCAACAGCUCGCAUCCGGCUGUGGAGUCUAUCACCUGAUCGAUUCUCGGUAGAGCAAAUGGGUCCUUGGGGCAAGCUUUGUUGAGGCUCGUGUAAUCAAUGCACAUCCGCCACUGCUUGUUCUUCUUCAGCACCAGUACUGGGUUUGCCAGCCACUCUGGAAAAAACACUUCCAUGAUGAAGCCAGCUGCCAGGAGCCGGGCUAUUUCUUCUCCAACAACUCUUCUUUUUUCUUCUGACAGGCGGCGCAAGGGCUGCCUGACGGGCUUCAUAUCAGAUCGGACGUGUAAUUUGUGCUCGGCGAAUUCCGUCGAGACACCGGGCAUGUCCUUGGGGGACCAUGCAAAGAUGUCGCGAUUCUCACGGAGGAAAUUGGCGAGCUCGCCUUCCUAUUUGCUGUCAAGGCCUGUGCACAAGACAGUGUAUCUCUCCGGGUGCUCCGAGUCCAACGGUAUCUUCUUUGUUUCUUUGGCCGGCUUGAAUGAUCCUUCUGCUUCCGACUCCUUGGGGUCAGGCGAUAACUCGGGCUGCUUGCCGGCCAUCGCCACGACCCGAUCAAGAAGUUGUUUCUCAGCCGCGAUCACCAAGGACUCGGCCAGCCGACUGCUUUCGACCGCGCAAGCAGACGACUUCCUGUAGUCGCCGGACACGGUUAGGAUUCCCUUGGAACUCGGCAUCUUCAUCUUGAGGUAGGCGUAGUGGGGGACCACCAUGAACUUGGCCAAGGCGGGUCGGCCAAGCAAUGCAUGAUAUGGGCUUUCAAGGUCCACCACCUCAAACCAAAUUGGCUCUUGGCGGAAAUGAUCCUUGUCUCCGAAGAGGACAUCUAUCAGGAUCUUGCCGAUUGGUGAGCAGGAAAGGCCAGGGACGAUUCCGUGGAACACAGUCCGGCUGCUCUGAAGCUGUCUUCGCUUGAUUCCCAAUUUUUCCAUUGUAUCCUUGUACAGGAUGUUGAUAUUGCUGCCUCCGUCUAUCAGUACUCGCGAGAAGCGAGCGGCCCGCCUAUCUGUGCUGAGUGUGGCGCCUAAGACCAAGGCAUAGGAGCCUGGACUCGGCAUCACCUCUGGGUGAUCAGCUCUGCUCCAACUGAUAGGCUUUUCGGACCAAUGCAUGAACUCUGGCGUACUUGACGCAACCGCAUUCACUUCUUGCUGCUGUUGGCGCCUGCUGCAUCGGUCAUCCGCUACACUGGUGAACAUCACAUAGGCUCCGUGCUCAUCCGGGAACUCGUCUUGUAUCGCGCCGACUGGCCUGACAGCCGGCUACUGGGGCGGCAGUGGAGGAGGCGGCCCAGCAGGAGGGGGAGGGAGCAGGCCGUCCCCCUUGGCGAUUCUGGUCAGCCAGUGGCAUUUCCUAGUGGUGUGGUUUGACGGCUUCGUGCCGGUGUGGAACUUGCAGGGACCAUCUAGAGUCUGCUCGUAGGAGAAAGCCGGCAGCCAGUUGGACUUGCCGCCCUUCUGUCGCUUCGCCGGAGGCGGUCCCUCCAACUGCUGGUCCUCUGCUGUUGCCACUUGCCGACUGCUGGAAGUCGGCUGCGGGGCUUUGCGCUUCUGGUCAUUCUGCUAUUGCCGCCGACUGGUGUCUCCAGCCAGAGUUCUUGGAGCCUGAGGGGCGACUUUGCCAGUUGUGCUGACCCGAAUCUCCGCCUUCAUGGAGGAGUCGGCCGUGGCGUACUUGUCUGUUGUGAUCAGCAGCUCGUCGAGGGUCUCCGGCUCGUCGCAGAGGAGCUUGUGCUUGAGGAGGGUGCCUUCUCUGCACCCAGCAGUAAAGUACUCGAUGGCUUGCACCUCGUGCACGCCCUCGCAGGAGUUCCGGAGUUCGGCCCAGCACGUGAGGUAGUCGCGAGUAGACUCGUCGGGGCCUUGCACGCACAAGGAGAGUUGGCGCGGCUUGGGAGGUCGCUUGUACGUGCUCGUGAAGUUGCGGACAAAAGCCUCGGUGAAGUCGACCCAGCUGUUGAUGCUGCGAGGCUUCAGACUGUUCAACCACGUCCGGGCCGAGCCCUGGAGCAUGAGCGGGACGUAUCUUACGGCAACACGCUUGUUGCCGUUCGCUAUGUUGACGGUUGUGGAGUAGUCGAUCAGCCAAUCUUCCGGCUUCAUGGUGCCGGUAUAUUUGGGCGUGUCUCGGGGGAGCGUGAACCCUUUGGGGAAGGGCUCAUCUCGGAUGCGGGGUCCAAAGCAGGGGGACCCAACUCGUCUUCUUCUUCCAGCGCCAGGGAUCGGUGGAGUCGGUCGAUCCGGUGGCGGGCGUCGUUCUCUCUGACUCCCUCUCGGCGGCCGAGGCGGUCACCGAGAGUCGGAUGUUCCACGGGCGGCGGGGAGACUCGCCUUUCUCUGCGAGGAGGGGGAGGCAGGUAUUCGUCCCACCGUUCCACCGCUUUGGGGUGGCCGUCUUGGUCGCGCUCGAUGGUGAUGUGAGUCCGACUGUGGCUGACAGCCGGCUCCUUGUCCUUCUUCCCACAGGCCCCGCCAGUCGGCGUCCGAGACAUCGCACCUUGGUCUCGGCGAGGCGGUGGGUCGUCGUUUUGGCGCUCCGGCGCCUCGGUGCGGCAGCCGGCAUCAUUCUGUGCGGCGGCCGCGUUGAGGAGCUGCUGAACUUGCUCCGUCAUUAUGUGGCGCUCUUCACCUUCGAAGUUGUCGAGCUCGUCUGCCGCCGCCUGGGCGGCACAGAUAUUCUCUAUGGGCGUGGCAUACACAGGGCGAUCAGCCCUGAAGAGGUUGGCGAUUGUCGCGCCGCGCUGUCGGACCGCGCCUAGGCGGCUAGGCCCAGUCGGAGCCGGCGAGCCGCCUACGGCGCGAUCCAUCUCGCGUUGGUAGGCUUCUGACAAGCGCCUCAUGCUUGCCAGCUUCUUCGCGCCCUCGACGAGCUGAAGGCGGAGCGCCUCUAGCUUCUCGGCGUCGGCGUCUUCCGAAAUCGGCGCUGCAAGGCCUCGCAGGGCCGCGUCAAGCGGGUCGUGCGCUCCUUCACCGGAGCACUCGCCGUGCUCGAGGACGAGGACCUCAGUGACGGUGCUUCCGCCGCUCCCCGCGUAGGAGAGCGGCUCGUCGUAGACCACCACGUUGGUGGGGAACGCGUCGAGCGACGCGGUGUCGGAGUCGACCAGCAUCAGGUCGGUGGAUCCUAUGGACUCCAGGUCCGCGGCAGGCUCGCCGGCGACAUGGAGUUGGUCGAGGAGGCCCACGAGGAGGCUCUCGGUGCCGCUCAUGCAUGCGUGGGACGCAGGCUCAUCGGAGAGGCGAACCUCGCUGAUAAGAUCGGCGAGGCAGCUGGCCGCACAGGCGAUCUCAGCACCGUGCAGCGCGUCGGCACAGACGCCAUCCGACGUGCCGGGCUGGCUGUGCUUGCCGGGGAGCAACAGGGUUCCCAUCCAGAGUAGAUCUCCGGACGACGGUGCACCUCGCCCCAUGGUGGGCGCCAAAUGUCGGGGGUUGGAUACGACAUAUGCCAAAGGAUGGCUUAUCAUGGUGGGAGCGAGUAGAACGUCGCCGGUGCCUGGAAGCGGGAUGAGGCGAAGACAUGCACGCCGGCGGAACUUACCCAGCUUCAGGGCUCUCCUAGGAGAUAACACCCCUACUGCUGCUCUGCGGGGUCUCCGCAUGAUCACUAAGGCAAAGUGACUACAAUGGUGCUCCUGGAGCUGUUCCGGGAGGCAGGAGAGGGCAAGGCUAGCUCUCUCCUCCCUGUGCUAUCUGGUCUGUCUCUAUCUAGGUCCGAACCCUUUGCAUGGGUGCCCUAGGGGGUUUAUAUAGGCCUACCCCCUGGGGGUACAAUAGUAAUCUGACUGGGCGCGGGUCCCAGCCGUCUGUCUCUCAGGCCGCCGUCCUCCCCGCCGGCUUCUGGGGCCCGCCGACUGGCGGGUCCCGCGGACAGGCUUGAUACUGUAGCGGCACUCCUGAUGACGCGGGCUCGAUCAUUGGGUCGUGACAACAGUGCCGCCAUCUAUCGGGCGAUCACUGUCGCCAUUCCCCAUCCUAUCUGGUUAAUGGCUCGUGGGGCCCUGGGGAGGAGUCGGCCGACUCCAAGGAGGCCGACUCCCACAGGUCCGUCUUCGGGGCGCUCAGGCCGCCUUCGGCCCACCCACUGACAGGCGGCCCCGCCGCCUUCGGGUCGUACAGGCCGGUGUCGUGGGCACAGUGCGUCGCGCACUGUGGCUGAGGUCAGGGCAGGCAUGGCAACAGUGCCGCGCCUCACCGGAGAUCUUCUAGCGAUACGGCUCACUGUAGCCAUGCCGGCCCUUCGUAAGCAGGGGGAAUGGCCAUGCCGUGACCGUACCCCACAUCGUACUUCGAGAUGAGGGAGGAGUCAUGGGCCGACUCUCCAUAGUCGGCCUCUCUGGAGGUCGCCAGCUUGGAGUCGGCUUAUCUCGGAGUAGCCGUCUGGGACUCGGCUUGUCUUGGAGUCGCUCCUGGGACUCGGCUUGAGGGGCGCGGCCUGCCCUGAUGUCUUGAAAGGUCCUGGGACUCGGGUUAGCCUACCCGUGGCCCAAUACUCCGACACCAAGGAUUGAUGACUUGUUUGAUCAGCUCAGUGGGCCCAAGGUAUUCUCCAAGAUUGAGUUGUGGACUAGAUAUCAUCAGCUCAAGAUUAAAAAGGAAGAUAUUCCUAAGACCGCAUUCACCACUCGAUACCAUCUUUAUGAAUAUACAGUUAUGUCCUUUGGUCUCACCAAUGCCCCUGCCUUCUUCAUGCAUAUGAUGAACAAGGUAUUCAUGGACUUUCUCGAUAAGUUCGUAGUAGUCUUCAUCGAUGACAUACUUAUUUACUCGAGAAGUGAAGAAGAGCACAAAGAACACCUCCGAGCAGUGUCACAAUGACUCCGUGAACAUCAGUUAUAUGCCAAAUUCAGUAAACGUGAGUUUUGGCUCAAGCAAGUUGGAUUUCUUGGACAUGUGCUAUCCACCGAAGGUAUAGCCGUUGACCCCGAGCAAAGUAAAGGAUGUGCUCGAUUGGUUGCCGCCCACAACCGUAUCUCAGAUCCGAAGUUUUCUUGGAUUAGUCGGAUAUUACCGUCGUUUCAUUGAAGGUUUUUCCAAGAUUGCUAAACCCAUGACGGAGCUGCUCAAAAAGGAUAAGAAGAUUGAAUGGACUGAGGACUAUGAGAAAAGCUUCAAUGAGCUAAAGAUACGGCUGACAACUGCGCCUGUGUUGACUCUUCACGAUAUCUACCGCAAUUUUGAUGUGUACUGUGACGCCUCCAGACAAGGACUUGGAUGCAUACUUAUGCAAGACGGCAAGGUAGUAGCCUAUGCAUCGCGAAAGCUAUGACCCCAUGAGGGGAAUUAUCCUACCCAUGAUUUGGAAUUGGCCGCGGUGGUGCAUGCUCUAAAAAUUUGGAGACACUAUCUGUCGUGGAAUUGUCACGUCAGAUGUCCUCGUGAAAGGACUUAGUUGUGGAGCCAUCGGAACUAGGAAGCUUGAAGGGGUUAAUCGGGACAAAGGACACGAGAGGGUUUAUACUAGUUCGGCCCCUUACGGUGAAGGUAAGGCCUACGUCUAGUUGGGUUGGUAUUGAUGUUUCGAUGACUAGGGAGCGAGAUAUGCUAUGCCUGGCUCUCGAUGAGUUGUUUCUUGCCUUAAGCCGCCAGCGGGUCGUCCCCUUAUAUACACGGGUCGACGCCCUGCGGCUUACAGAGUCUCGGCCGGCUCAUAAACAAUGUCCGGCUCGGUGACUAGUUAAGUCUACCUUAUGAUACAAGUAAUAUUACUACAGCGGGUUAUUACAACAGGCCUUAAGUCGCCUGCGGGCCUUAAGCUCUCUAUGAACCGCCAUCUUCAUACUUUGUCUUGGGCUUCUCUCUAGUGAGUCCUCUUUGCGUAACCCGGCCCCUCCUGGGCGGCUUACACAAAUAGUUAUAUCCCCAACAUUAGGCCCCAGAUUGAUUUGAACCAGUUCAUGUCAAUCUUAAAAUACCUUAUGAACCGCCCUGCAGUCUUUUGUCUUGCGCGAAGGAUUUUAACCCACCGUGAUGUCAUCAUCUAACCCCCGGUUAAAUCUCUGUGACGUCAUCUUCAUUAAAGUUUUAUUUUCUUUAUACCGUCACAUCUUCAACGGAUCUUUGUCUUUACUAACCAUCCCUAGAAUCGAGGUGCCAGAGCCGCUGGAUAAUGAAUGUUAUCUCCUCGUUUUUUGCACCCGCCCGGUCAGUCUUCCCUUAUAAAUAGAGCGACCUAGGUCUUCCCCAGUCGUCUUCUUCCUCUUGCCUCCUCCCGUGCUCUGCCGCUGCCACCGUCGACCCCCUCGUCGUCACCGACUCAGGCCGCUGCAUCGACCUGACUCCAACCAGAGAUCGACAGCAAACCUCCGCGGCGCAUCCGCAUCUGUGAGCCCUUCUCAUUUCCUUUCUCAGAUCUGCGUUAGGUUCUUGCCGAGUUCGUCGGUGUUCAUCACUGCCCGAUGCAAACCUUCUCUAGUUCUUUCCUCCAACGCCCUGUUUAGACCGUAAAAACUACAUAGAACUGCUGCGGUGCUUACUUGUAUUGAUCUCGCGCAGGAAUAGAUCUCAUUUCCCUUGCGUAGAACCCCUUUUCGAGUAUAUGAGCUUCUCUGCUUUGUUUUUAGGUCUAGGAAAAUUUCUUUCCAGGGAAAUAUUUUGAUCCAGAGAAAUAACUGUCCUCUGUGAAACUUGUCUUCAUCAUCCCGAAAACCUCCUCUGGUAAAUGUCCUGAAAUACAACUGUCGAGGUAUCUGGCUUAAAUAGAUGAUACAGAACCUUGACUGCUCCUCAUGACCCGGAAUUUUUUUGAAUUACACUUGAUACUUGUAGCGUCUUAAAUAUUGUUGCACAGUCAUCCUUAUAUCAUCAGGCCCCUCAUUAAGCCGCCACUUUAAUCAAAAUUUUCCUCCCUGGUUAAAAUUGAACCGGAUCUUCUUGUUUUUCCAUAGGCCAAUUAUUGUGAUGGCUUCUAAGGCUACCAAGGCCCCUGUAACUUGCAAUUGGGUUCCAUCCACAGUGACCAGUAGCAAACUAGCUGAGUUUGUAAAGUCUGGGCAUCUGCCAAAAAAGGACGUCAUGUCGUACCGUGCCCCUGACGCGUCUGAAGAAAAACCUCACCCCAAAGUCGGGGAAGUAAUAAUUUUUACUAAUCAUAUGAGCCGUGGAUUUGCUCCUCCCGGCUCAAAAUUCUUCAGAGAGGUUUUGAACUUCUUUGACCUUAGACCUCAAGACAUCGGACCCAAUUCCAUGUCAAAUAUUUGUAAUUUUCAAGUCUUCUACGAGGUGUAUCUGGGUGAGGAGCCGAGUCUGCUAUUGUUCAGGGAACUUUUUUACAUGAACCAGCAAAAUGAACGUGCCAACGGGCCCAGUCUUGAGCUUGGCGGCAUUUCAAUCCAGCGAUGGAGAGACUGUCUUUUCCCUUAUGCUGAGUUGCCGAGUCACCCCAAAUCUUGGAACCAGACGUGGUUCUACUAUCAGGACACUUCACCGGCUGAUGAAAAACCUCUGCCCGGCUUUCGCGCCCUGCGCCUUGAAUUUAAUCAUCCGCUACCAGACAAGCUCACAACCCUUGAACGCGUGCCUCUUAACUCCACCAUCAAGAAGAUUAAAGCUCUAUUGGGAAAUGGUUUAAACGGCAUCGAUCUGGUCCAGGUCUGGGUCACUUGGCGUAUACUUCCAUUAAGCCGCCGUCCCGGCUUAAUGUGUACUUAUACUGGAGAAAAUACUGAUCCGCAACGCCAUAGCCCUGACGACUUACCAGAUGACAUGGUGGAUGCUACAACCCAGUCACUGCUGAAGGAGGGCACUGUGGCGAACAAUGCCUUCGGUUUACUUCCAUUUUGCAAGAAUAACCCGGCCCCUGCGGUAAGUUAUCAAUCAUAACAAAUGUUUACGGAUAUAUGAUACUUUUCUUGAUACUCAUAAUUCUUUAAAUUUUUCCACAGGCUGGUGAUGACUUUUGGAAAGCCAAAUAUGACCAUGAAGCUGCCAAACAAGCCAGGACGACCAAGAAAGCUGAAAGGAAAGCCGCCAAAGUAGGAACCUCGAAGAAAAAGAAACCGAGCGCCUCCAACUUACUCAGAUUGGAGGAUAGCUCUUCGGAUGAGGAAGAGGUAAUCUUUAAAUUUUCUUAAGUCCCUUGUUAUCACCUGUCUGACCUUUUAUCCUUUCAGGAGGAUACGGGGAACAGUCGAGUAGCUAAUGAAGAGGUAACUAUAAUCUCCUCCGACUCAGAGCCUUUGCCAAAGCGAAAGACCCGAAGGGUGACCCGGAAAGUAAGAUUUUCACAUGCACUUGCUUAUCAAGAUCCUCAAUUUAUUUUGAAGCAACAACAACUUGAGAACCGGAGGCAGACCCGGAACAACAAGGAUGCAGAACUCUCCUCCGGCUUACCUGAUGUAACCAGGAAACGUCGGACUGAGGUUAUCUCCGAUUUACGCUAUGUCUUACCUUUAGCAGGCUUAAUUCGUCAACCUCUCAAUUCAUCUGACUCCAAUUAUCAGGAUACCUCUCCUUCUUCUGGUGAAUCCAUGCAGUCAAAUAUGCCGACUUUCAAAACUGCUCCUGGGUAAUGUGAACUUAUGCACUUUUUACCUUACCCGUGCUUGCGUAUUCAUCCUUCUGCUUUUGUUAACAGUAUGCAAGUGAAGCCCAGCAAACGGGCAAAGAAGAAUAAGCCGUCCGAAGAACCGGUCAUGGCUGAACCGGUGAUUAAUGCGUCUGCUCCAGACAGCGCUACCCAUCAGCCGCCGCCUGACCCGGCUUCUGAUAUUCCAGUGCCAACCUCUGAUCCACCUACCGAAGACAUUCUCCACACAAGUGACCCGGAGACUCCUAGCCCAGUGAAGAGAAAUGACCCGGAAGUUGAGAUUGUGAAGUCCCAAUUUGUUGAACCAGGGCGGCCUACAGUCCUUGCCAAAUGUACUGCCAAGGAAGAGUUUGCCCAACGCCGAAAAGCCAAGCAGGACAUUACAGAUUAUACUCACCUAAGCAUUGGUGAUAUAGUCUCAGGCUAUCUGAAUCAAGUGCAUAAUAGCCGUGACCUGGAAGUUGACAUGGUGAAACAAAUACAGCAUAAAUCUAAGGUAUAAACUUAUACUUUUAUCUGAGCUUUAUAUAUAUUGUACCAGCCCCCAAGUCUCUUGCUUAUGAACAAAUACGUUGUAGACUUAGAAAUCUGCUUUUACUUGUUAACUUAUCCGGCUUAAAAAGAAUGUAUUUAACCCGGUAUAACAUAAGGCCUUUAAAUUUGCAAUACACAUUAGUCCCCAAGUGUCAAGUAUCCUUACUUGUAAGGUGCUUGAGACUUAAUAUGUUUGACCCGGCAGGAUAAAGUGAAAAUUUCUUUCAGCAUAAAUUAGCCCCCAAGUGCCAAGUAUCUUUACUUGUAAAGUGCUUGGGACUUGAAUGUUUACCUUACUAGAAUCCUUACCAUAACCUGGUGUCAAUGCAGGCUGCCAUAAGUUAAUUUGAAUCAGAGCUCACUGCCCUGAAGAGUCGUCUGGAAACUCAAGAGCUUGAGACGCAAAAAGCUAACUCCAAAUUUGAAUUUAGUGUCUCUAAAAAUGAGAAACUAAAGAAGAAUUUUGAGUCGGAAAAGAAAAGUUGAGCUGAUGAAAAGGCUUCCCUGGUGACCCGGGCCGAAACAGCCGAAACAUCUCUUGCAGAAGCAACAACCGAGCUGUCCAACUUAAAACAGCAAAUAUCCCAAAUGGCCUCGGCCAUCUUUGGUAAGUUAUUGUGACACAAUUUUAACAUGGCAACCGUACAAUGACUAUUGUAAUAAUUACUUCCGGCUUACCGUUAUGCUUGUGCACAUACAGGCUCCAGGAGUGUCAAUCUGAAGCAGAACACGCUGAUCAAGCUUAAAGCAGUUUACACGUUAGUGGAACAGCUAUACUCCGGGACACAACAUGCCCUGGUGGUUGUAGCUUUAUCAACUCCACACCCCCGCCUGUUGCAAGAUGUUUUGAAGAGCCUUGCCUUUCUACCUCAGCGGAUCCAAGACUUAAGGCGUUCAUCUUCAAGAGCCGGGGCUGUAGCCGCAUUGAGCCAGGCGAAAGCAUGGCUCCCAGAACUAGAUCCGGCAGACCUUGCUCUUGGAUAUCCGAGUCUAAAGGAAGAUGGCGAUGCCUUUGAUGAUCAUGACUUCCACGCCUGUGUUAAAGGCAUAUGUCCGGUGGCCACCCUUAUUGGAAACGAUACUGACCUCAACAAGUAUGCGUCGACUUAUGACAGUAACAACCGGAAAAUCCCAAACGCUCCAUAUGAUCAAAUUAGCCUGAUCCCUCCAAUUCGUAAGCAUACUUUUGCCCCUGAAGUGGACCCGGCCGGUUUAAUAGAUGAUGAAGCUGAAUUUGAAGCUUUGAGCAACAUUGAUUGGGCUUCAUCAACUUUCCAGGAAACAACAGCCGACGGAGAAGCGGAGAAGGGUAACCCGGAGCCUUCAAGCCCGCCGAAGGAGUGAAUCACCAGGUGUUUGGCCAAAAUACAAUGCUUCAUCUAUUCAGACUCGGGGAGUCAUGUAAUAGGGUAGAAGUAACUUCUUAAUGCUCAUCAUGCCUUCGUGCGUGCUCUUAACGCUUUUCGUAAGCUACCAUGGAUGUAUAUUUCUGGCUUUUACUUCCUUGGCAUGUUAACUUGUGCUUGCCUUAUUCUGCAAUCCUUGAAUGAUCUUUCCGGCUCAUAUAAUGUUCCCCCGGUACUUAAUAACCUGGGGUGAUUAAACCGGCAAGAUAAAAAACACCUUAAAAUGCUUUCCACAAGGUAUCAUAAUAAUCAAAAUACUUUUACAGGCUGCUGAUUCGGAUACGAUCAGUAAACCGUUUCAAAGGGGUUAAGCUAAGAUUCGGAUACGAUCAUAUAGCCCCCAGUGGCGUGGUGAUGCCAAUCAAGUGGGUAUCGACAGCUAUGUUCUCUUUGGUUUGAAUACGACCUAUGUUUGAACAGGAAGCCCCCAAGUGACCAUAGGAUUUGUUUAAUGACGUUGAUUCGUAUACGAUCCACGUCAGACCUAAAGGGGUUAAGCUGUGAUUCAAAUAUGAUCAGGAAGCCCCCAAGUAGGUUUGGCAAGUAUGCCGAUCAAGUGGGUAUCGACAGUUAUGUUCUCUUUGGUUCGGAUACGACCUAUGUUUGAAUAGGAAGCCCCCAAGUGAUCAUGGCUAGAUUCAGAUAUGAUCAUAAGCUAGACCAAAGGUAAAACCGGAUUCAGAUUUGAUCCGGUCCCUAUUGGUUGUUUCCACCACCUGUCAAAAAGGACAUAUACACUUUUUUGAAGGUGAAAAAAGGACAGAGGUCCUGCUUUAUUACUUUAUAUAAUAUGUACAUUGUCAAAAAUAUAUACAUCUAAAGAGCUGGUGGCUUAAGUAUAAUAAGGCCGAAGAUGGGCUAUAUUCCACGGCCGGCAGGUCUCCUCCGAUUUACCUGAGUCCUUGUGCUCUCGAAUAUCAAUGAGGUAAUAUGACCCGUUGUGCAUAUUCUUGCUGACCACAAAGGGUCCUUCCCAAGGAGGGGAUAGCUUGUGCAUAUCGAUCUGAUCCUGGAUGAGCCAGAGCACUAAAUCGCCUUCCUAGAAUGUUUUGCUUCUGACCCGGCGGCUGUGAUAACGAUGAAGGUCUUGCUGGUAAAUCGCCGAGCGGGCUAUUGCCAAGUCUCGCUCCUCAUCCAACAAGUCAAGAGCCUCCUGUCGAGCCUUCUCAUUAUCAGCCUCAACGUAAGCCGCCACACGGGGUGAAUCGUGUCGGAUAUCACUUGGCAGAACUGCAUCUGCUCCAUAAACCAUGAAGAAAGGCGUGUAACCCGUUGAUCUGUUAGGCAUGGUGUUGAUGCUCCACAGCACAGAGGGCAACUCUUCCACCCAGCAACCUGGAGUCCGCUGUAAGGGGACCAAGAGUCGUGCUUUGAUACCCCUUAAAAUCUCCCGAUUAGCUCGCUCUGCUUGACCAUUGGACUGAAGAUGAGCAACAGCCGAAACGUCAAGCCGAAUAUGUUCCCGUUGACAGAAUUCUUCCAUGGCACCCUUGGAGAGAUUAGUGCCAUUAUCAAUUAUGAUGCUAUGUGGAAAACCAAAAUGAAAGAUCACCUUUUUGAUGAACUGCACCGCUGUGGCCGCAUCACACUAACUGAUCGGCUCUGGCUCAAUCCACUUUGUAAACUUAUCCACUGCCACCAGGAGAUGCGUUUUUUAUCUUUAGACCUUUUGAAAGGUCCCACCAUGUCAAGCCCCCAGACUACGAACGGCCAAGUAAUUGGAAUCAUCCUCAACUCCUGAGUCGGCACAUAAGCUCGUCUUGAGAACUUUUGACACCCGUCACAUUUGCUAACAAGAUCUUCUGCAUCAGCAUGAGCUGUCAGCCAAUAAAAACCAUGACGGAAAGCCUUGGCCACCAGAGAUUUUGAGCCGGCAUGAUGACCACAAUCCCCUUCAUGGAUCUCUCGAAGUAUCUCUUGACCCUCUGCAGGUGACAUACAACGCUGGAACGCACCUGUGACACUGAGAUGAUGUAACUCGCCAUUAACAAUUGUCAUGGAUUUGGAUCGUCUGACAAUUUGUCUCACCAAGGUCUCAUCCUCAGGCAGCUCUCCCCGGGUCAUAUAAGCCAGAUAUGGUAAUGUCCAAUCCGGGAUGAUGUAAAGUGCAGCCACCAACUAUGCCUCCGGGUCUGGCACUGCAAGCUCUUCCUCUGUAGGUACCUUGACAGAAGGAUUAUGUAAAACGUCCAGAAAGGUGUUAGGCGGCACCGGCUUACGCUGAGAGCCCAACCGGCUUAAAGCAUCCGCCGCCUCAUUCUUCCUUCUGUCAAUGUGCUCCACCUGAUACCCUUUGAAGUACCCAGCUACAGCAUCAACUUCAUGAUGAUAAGCCGCCAUAAGGGGGUCCUUAGAAUCCCAUGUGCCUGAGACCUGCUGAGCCACAAGAUCUGAGUCGCCCAAGCACCUUACCCGGCUUAAAUUCAUCUCCUUAGCCAUCCGAAGACCAUGGAGCAAGGCCUUGUAUUCAGCUGCAUUGUUAGUGCAAGGAAACAUAAGCGGAGCACAUAACGAAAUUUCUCACCUCGAGGGGAAGUUAAAACAACCCCAGCCCCUGAUCCUUCUAACUGCCUGGACCCAUCAAAAUGAAUAGUCCAAUACAUAUUGUCCGGCUUCUCCUCAGGUGCCUGCAACUCUGUCCAAUCAUUGAUAAAAUCCACCAGCGCUUAUACUUUAAACCAUAAGGCCCAAGCUCAAUGGCCCACUUGGCGAUUUGCCCUGUAGCUUCUCUAUUCUGAAUGAUAUCUCCCAAAGGAGCUGAGCUUACCACCGUUAUAGGGUGACCUUGGAAGUACUGCUUCAGUUUCCGAUUUGCCAUGAACACACCAUAAACAAGCUUCUGCCAAUGUGGAUAUCUUUGUUUAGACUCAAUGAGCACCUCACUGAUGUAGUAAACCGGCCGUUGAACCAGAUGCUCCUUGCCUGCCUCCUUUCGUUCCACCACGAUGGCAACAUUGACAGCCCAUGAGUUAGCAGCCACAUAUAACAAUAGCGGCUCUUUAUCAAUGGGAGCUGCAAGAACCGGUGGCUCAGACAACUGUCUCUUUAAAUCCUCAAAGGUAGUGUUAGCAGCAUCACUCCAGACAAAAGUGUCCGUCUUCUUCAUCAUCUGGUAUAGCGGCAAGGCCUUCUCCCCUAACCGGCUUAUGAACCGGCUUAAAGCAGCAACACGUCCCGCCAGGCGUUGAACAUCAUUGAUACACGCCGGCUUAUCCAGAGAGGUGAUCACCGUGAUCUUCUCCGGAUUAGCUUCAAUGCCUCUAUUUGACACCAGAAAACCCAAGAGCUUGCCUGCAGGUACACCAAAUACACACUUGGCCGGGUUAAGCAUCAUCUUGUAAACCCGGAGAUUGUCAAAGGUUUCUCUCAAAUCGGAUAUUAAAGUUUCCCUUUCUCUAGAUUUCACCGCGAUGUCAUCCACAUAACCAUGAACAUUGCUCCCAAUCUGAUCGUGCAAACAGUUCUGCACACAUCGCUGAUAAGUUGCCUGGGCACUCUUGAGCCCAAACGGCAUAGAUACAUAACAGAAGGCCCCAAACGGAGUGAUGAAAGUUGUCUUCUCUUGGUCCUUAGCUGCCAUCUUGAUCUGAUGAUAGCCAGAGUAAGCAUCCAAAAAGCUCAAACGUUCACAACCUGCCGUAGCAUCAAUGAUUUGAUCAAUACGGGGGAGUGCAAAGGGAUCAGCCAGGCAAGCCUUGUUUAAGUCCGUGUAAUCCACACACAUCCGCCAAGUGCCGUUCUUCUUGAGUACCAGUACCAGGUUAGCCAACCACUCUGGAUGAAAGACCUCGACAAUAAACCCGUCCGCUAAGAGCCGGGCCACCUCUUCUCCAAUGGCUGCUCGUCUCUCUUCGCUGAAUCGUCAGAGAAACUGCCUGACCGGCUUAUACUUUGGAUCAAUAUUGAGAGUGUGCUCAGCGAGUUCCCUCGGUACACCCGGCAUGUCAGAAGGUUUCCAUGCAAAGAUGUCCCGGUUCUCACGGAUGAACUUGAUGAGCGUGCUUUCCUAUUUAGGAUCCAAAUUGGCACUGAUACUGAACUGCUUAGAGGUGUCCCCCGGGGUGAAGUCAACGAGCUUUGUAUCAGCGGCCGAUUUAAACUUCAACGCCGGGUCGUGCUCUGUAGUUGGUUUCUUGAGGGAGGUCAUAUCCGUCGGGUCAACAUUGUCUUGAUAAAAUUUGAGCUCCUCCGCGGCACAGGCCGUCUCAGCGAAAGCCGCGUCGCCUUCUUCGCAUUCCAAGGCCACCUUUCGACUCCCAUGCACGGUGAUGGUGCCCUUGUAACCCGGCAUCUUAAGCUGUAAGUAAACAUAACACGGCCGGGCCAUGAACUUAGCAUAAGCCGGUCGCCCAAAUAGAGCGUGAUACGGGCUCUUGAUCUUGACCACCUCAAAUGUCAACUUCUCAACCCUGGAAUCAUACUCAUCUCCAAAAGCCACCUCUAAUUCAAUCUUACCAACUGGAUAAGCCGACUUACUUGGGACCACCCCGUGAAAAACAGUGUUGGACAUCCUUAGAUUCUUCUCAGUUAGCUCCAUACGCUGGAAAGUCUCAUAAUAGAGGAUAUUGAUGCUGCUACCUCCGUCCAUGAGUACUUUAGUGAAUUUAUAUCCACCAACCUGGGUGCUACAACCAAGGCUAACUGACCCGGAUUAUCAACUCGUAGCGGGUGAUCCUCCCUGCUCCAAAUGAUAGGUUGCUCUGACCAUCUCAAAUAACGAGGGACCGCCGGCUCAACCGAAUUUACAGCCCUUUUAUGAACCUUCUGGUCACGUUUGCAUAAGCUAGUGGUGAACACAUGGUAUUGCCCACCGCUCAACUGUUUCGGUUGGCUCUGGUAACCCGACUGCUGCUGCAGUUAUCCUCCCUGACCAGCUUGCUGUUGAUUAUUUCCACCCGGUUGUCCCUGAAAAAUGGAAUUUGAACCGCCACCCGGGCCAUGAAAGCCUCCGGCCCCUGAACCGCCACCAGGUCCAUGACCACCAUCGAAGAUAUUGGAAUUUUUAAACACCUUCAUGAUUGCACAAUCUUUCCACAGGUGAGUAGCGGGGUGCUCCCGGGUGCCGUGUUUCAGACAGGGCUCGUUGAGUAGCUGCUCAAGAGAUGGACCUGACCCGCCGGUUUGAGGCCACUUACCCUUGUGUCUCUGAUUGUUACCCUGUGUACUAGAGUUAGCCACAAGCUCCGGACUACCGUCCGCCUUACGCUUAUUGCCGCCUCGAUUCCCCGGGUUAUGUUGUUGACCUUUUCCAUUACCAUUCCUUUUACCCUUCCCUGUUUUCUCAUCUUCAGACGCAGGGUCCUUGGUAUUAUUAGAAUCGGCGUAUUUGACUAAAGCCGCCAUCAGCGUUCCCAUAUCGGUGCAGUCACGUUUUUAGGUGUCCCAAUUUCUGCCUCAGCGGCUCAAAGUUGCAAUUUUUCUCCAACAUGAGGACUGCAGAGCCGGCAUCCAUCUUAUGAGAUGAAUGAAUUAUCUCCUUGACCUGGCGUACCCAAUGGGUGGUGGACUCACCCUCCCCCUGCUUACAACUUGUCAAGUCCACGAUUGACAUGGACUACUUAUAGGUGUCUUUGAAGUUCUGGAUGAACCGGGCCUUUAACUCCUCCCACGAACCAAUGGAAUUGGGUGGUAAACCUUUUAGCCAGGACCGGGCCGUUACAUCUAACAUCAUGGUGAAGUAUUUAGCCAUUGCCGCGUCGCUAACCUCCAACAGCUCCAUGGCCAUCUCAUAGCUCUCAAUCCAAGCUCCAGGUUGUAAGUUGGUCGUGUAAUUCGGCACCUUCCGAGGUCCCUUGAAGUCCUUAGGCAGGCGCACGUUGCGCAAAGCCGGUAUCAAACAAGGAACUCCACCGGUUCUGGUGGCUACUCCCAACUCAAUAGAAGUCAUUGGGUACUCCGGGAUGUCCUGAUGAGCUGUCAGCGGAGCCGCCUGUUGAGCCGCCCGCUCGUUCUCCUGACAUAUUCGGUCUUGCACCGGGUUAUAGCCCCCAUGUUGGUUACGGCGUUGGGCGUUGCUUGAUAAAGCUUCGGACUCCAUGUGCCUGCUGUAACUCGGGCUCCGGUUCUGACGAGGCGGCGCUAACCAAGGCGGAGGGGUUGAAUGAAUCCUAUCCCGGCUGUAAGAAUAGGUCUCCUGCUGAGCCAGAGCCGUCUAGACAAGUUCCCUGAUCCUUCGGGUCUCCACUGCUGUUGGAUCAUCACCGUCCAUCAGAAGAGCUGCUAAACGCGAUGAUGCUGCGAUUAAAUUCUCCAUGGGGUUGGAAAAGUGACCCUCUGGUAUUGGUACAUAACGCGGUGGUGCCAUGCUCAUAUGAGGAGGUGGCAUCUCCUGACGCUGAGCCGGUCCUCCCGCUCCGGGUGUCAUAAACUGAUUGGCAUUGGGCAGGUUACAUGGGCCAGCCCCUGGUGUGGCAAAAAGAACCCUAGGAUCGUAAUUCAGAGGCAACCGGGAUUGGGCCUUCUGGUGUCUCCUCCUCAUUACUUCAUUGGACGCGUUUAAACUCAUUAUGAGCUGAUAAGCCUCUGACUGCAACCGUUGUGCCCGGGCGUCGAGAGCCGCCCGCUCCGUAGCUAGCCUAGUAUCCUCAGCUGCUAAGGCCUCCUUGGCUUGAGCUAUCUCCUCGCGUACCUGUGCUACCUCUGUGUCAUGCUCAUCUUUGUUUGCAGGGAUAACUGUGGCGGUUAACAGGGUCGUAAGCUUGUCCAUGAGGUCUAUCAGCACUUGAGCCGGCGGACACACAGGGCCUCCUGCCUCGGCUGCUCCUAACCCGAAAGUAAUUGUGGCCGCGGCUGUAGAGUUUUGUCCGGGUUGAGUCCCAGCCAUAAAGACUCCUGCCCAAUUUGGCGGCUCACAGAGGUCCGGAAUACUAAGGCCAUCGGAACAGCCCCCGAGCGCACCAUCUUGAACUUGAUACAAAGAAUCUGUUGAACCGGUGGAUGAAUCACCGUCAGAGGGUACGGCCGUCUCACCACCAUCUUCAGGGCCUUCAGAAAGAUCUUCUCCGUGGACGCAGCCCACAAAGACACACUUCAUGCCGGGUUGAACUCGGGCGGGUUUCGCACGCUGAGUCGUCUCGACGAGGUUGGUGCAGUUGUCCGGCUCAGGCCCCGGCUCACCGAUCCGGCCGAUGAAGACGUGGAUCCCUCCGAAGGGGACCCGGUACCCGUACUCAAUUGAGCCGGCGUCGGGGGCCCAGCCUUCGUCAUCGAUGUAGAUCUUGCCGCGACGACUCUUGGUCAUCCGGCCCACUACGUAUCCCUUGAGCCCUUCGAAGUUGCCCUUCAAGAACUCAAAUCCACCGUGCGCUGGCCCCACGGUGGGCGCCAACUAUCGUGGAAUUGUCACGUCAGAUGUCCUCGUGAAAGGACUUAGUUGUGGAGCCAUCGCAACUAGGAAGCUUGAAGGGGUUAAUCGGGACAAAGGACACGAGAGGGUUUAUACUAGUUUGGCCCCUUACGGUGAAGGUAAGGCCUACGUCUAGUUGGGUUGGUAUUGAUGUUUCGAUGACCAGGGAGCGAGAUACGCUAUGACUGGCUCUCGAUGAGUUGUUUCUUGCCUUAAGCCGCCAGCGGGUCAUCUCCUUAUAUACACGGGUCGACGCCCUGCGGCUUACAGAGUCCCGGCCGGCUCAUAAACAAUGUCCGGCUCGGUGACUAGUUAAGUCUACCUUAUGAUACAAGUAAUAUUACUACAGCGGGUUAUUACAACGGGCCUUAAGUCGCCUGCGGGCCUUAAGCUCUCUAUGAACCGCCAUCUUCAUACUUUGUCUUGGGCUUCUCUCUGGUGAGUCCUCUUUGCGUAACCCGGCCCCUCCUGGGCGGCUUACACAAAUAGUUAUAUCCCCAACACUAUCUUAUCGGGAAGAGGUGCCAAAUUUUUACAGAUCACAAAAGUCUCAAGUAUAUAUUUACUCAACCAGAUUUAAAUCUCCGUCAAUGAAGAUGGCUUGAGUUAGUCAAGGAUUAUGACCUUGGAAUAAAUUACCACCCGGGGUAAGGCCAAUGUAGUUGCCGAUGCACUCAGUCGAAAGCUUGUCAGCCUAAAUGUCAUAUUGGAAUCCUUGCUUCCUAAACUUCAAGAGGAGAUUGCUCAGCUCAACCUGGCCAUAGUUGAUAUUGGUCUUGCUAAUAUUUUGGAAGUUACCCACACACUUGAGUAACAGAUCCGCAAGGCCCAGCAAGAUGACACCGAUCUGUAGAAACGUGCCAAGAAUAUGGUAGCAGGACAAACUUCAGAUUUCUCAAAGGAUCAAUUCGGUACCCUCUGAUUCCGUGGAAGGAUUUGUGUACCCAGUCAAGCGGAUUUGAAGCAGAAAAUCCUAUCAGAAGCACACGAAUCCUCGUAUUCUAUUCACCCUGGAGGUACAAAAAUGUAUGAAGACCUUCGACAAAUAUUCUGGUGGGAUGGAAUGAAGAAAGACAUUGCCUACUUUGUGGCCUGUUGCGACAUAUGCAACAAAGUAAAGGCAGAGCAUCAGAAGCUAGCCGGACUUCUCCAACCGCUGCCAGUGUCGCAAUGGAAAUGGGAUGAUGUCUGCAUGGAUUUCAUCACAGGGCUGCCUAAGACUCAUCGAGGCAAUGAUGCAAUCUGGGUCAUAGUGAACACCUUAACCAAGGUUGCUCACUUUAUCCCGAUCAGAACCACAUAUCGAGUGGAUCAACUUGCAUAGUUGUAUGUAUCCAGAAUAGUCAGUCUGCAUGGAGUACCCCGAACCAUCACUUCUGAUCGAGGUUCACUUUUUACCUCUGCUUUUUGGUCACGUCUCCAUCAACCCUUGGGGACAGCGCUAAAGUACAAUACUGUUUAUCAUCCUCAGAAUGAUGGACAGAUGGAGCGGGUAAACCAAAUACUUGAAGAUAUGCUGCGAGCCUGUGCUUUGGCCCAAGGACCUAAAUGGGAAGAUUGUCUGUCGUAUGCCGAGUUCUCUUACAAUAACAGCUUCCAGACCAGUCUAAAGAUGUCACCAUAUGAGGGUUUGUAUGGCCUUAAGUACCGCACUCCUUUAAAUUGGUCCCAAACUGGAGAUAGUCGUAUUUUUGGAACAAAUCUCAUGAUGGAAGCCGAGAAGCAAGUCAAGGAAAUCAGAGAUAGUGUCAGGACCCCGACUCAAGGCCACAUCGAUCUAGCAUGUAACACCUCAUAUCACUUUGCGGCCUCACGCACGGUAUUCCCACGGGUGUCGCUUUACCUUAGCCCGGGACCGUUUGCGCCUUUUGGCACACGUAUAUGACAGUGUCGCUAGCAUCCAUAUGAUAAGGAGCCCGGGCUGACAUGACUAGUCGGAAACCCAAAGUGGCACAGACUUACAGGGACAGGCAUUCAUGACCCAGCAUCGAACGUGUUGGUCAUCAGCGAGUGAAUCCAGGCUGUAGCACUGGGCUAGCAGGACUCCGGUGAACCGGGCUGUAGCGGGCUAACAGGACUCCGGUAUUCAUCGCGUGACAUUUCCCCGAAGGGACAGACACAGGAACGAAGAAGGACACAUGCCGGCCAGCCUAAGUGCUCCGGAGCAGUAGCAAGCUACCAUGGCUCAGUGGAAACACUAGGAGACAUUUCCCGGUAAGAGAGGCUACUAAAGAUAAACAACUAGAUGGUCAGAUCCCACACAUACCAAGCAUUUCAAUAACAUACACACAAUAUGCUCGAUAUGUGCAAUACAACAUGGCAUCACAAAAUGACUCUACGACUCAAGUAAUUUAAUCAAUAGGCUCCGAGGAGCGAGAUAUUACAAACAUGGGUCUCAUGACCCAACAAUCAGAGCAUACAAGUCAAAGCACAAGCGGAAGCUAUCAUGUCUGAGUACAGACAUCUAUAAAUGAAAAAGGCUGAGAAGCCUAACUAUCUACCAGAUCCUGCCGAGGGCACAAGAUCGUAGCUGAGGUAACAAGCUAAACGUCGAAGACCACGCGGAAUUACUAGUGAGACUGAAGUCUCUCUGCAAAAACAUAAAAUAGGCAAACGUGAGUACAAAUGUACCCAGCAAGACUUACAUCAGAACUAUCUACAUAUGCAUCAUUAUCAACAAAGGGGUGGUGGGGUUUAACUGCAGCAAGCCAGCUUUGACUCGGUGGCUAUCCUAAACUACGACUGCAAUGUAACUCUUUUGAGGUGGCGCACACGAGUCCACAUAUUCACCAUAUCAAUACACCACUAUGGAAUCGCUCCCGUCUCCCUACGAGAACGCCAUCCAUAGCACUCACGCUUAUCUUGCGUAUUUUAGAGUAUCCACUUUCACUUGUCUAUGAACUGAUAUAAGCAACCCAGAAGUCCUUUUCCGCGGACACGGCUAUUCGAAUAAAUCAUAUUAACCCUGCAGGGGUGUACUUCUUCACACACGCUCUCACCACUUACCGUCGUUUACACGACAUGUACUCGGCAACCUUCAAGCGGAAGCCCAACGUGGGUGUCGGCCACGGCCUACCUAAACACUCAAGUCUCUAGUCCAGGUUUAUCGCCUAUUCGGGUUCCAUCCAUGAGGAGAUCCGGCCGGAGUUUCGCUCACAGCCCCAAACGAUGUGAACAGGGUUCCCGAGACACCAAACGGGCGCCCGGUACACCGUGCCACGUGCCUACCGCAUCACAGCCCACCCCUACGGUCAGCGCUGUGCACGGCCUCCAGCAUACUACAAACACCAGAAACUACUUGCAACUCCUGGACAGAGGACAAGGGUGAUCAAGAAGCCGAGACGGUCCAUUGGUUUCGGGCCCAAUGCGUGGUAGUAGCUGAAUCAUGGAUCACAAACAUAGAACUCAGUUCCUGAGGACGGCUGCAAUGAGACAACCCACCAUGUACUCCUACAUGGCCUCUCACCGCUACCUUUACCAAAUCGUGUUCACACACUUAGCUCACACACAGUAGGACAUGUUCACACACCUCUGAUUCAUCCUCGAUGAAUCAGACCUGACUCAACUCUAAGCAGUAGCAGGCAUGACAAACAAACAUGAAUGAGUAGGCACAACAGGGCUCAAACAACUCCUACUCAUACUAGUGGGUUUCAUCUAUUUACUGUGGAAUGACAGGUCAUGCAAAGGAUAAAGGGGUUCAGCUACCGCAGCAAGUAACAGAUGAAUCGUUGUUGUCCUAAUGCAGUAAAAGAGAGCAGGAGCGAGAGAGUGGGAUUGUAUCGGAAUGAACAAGGGGGUUUUUGCUUGCCUGACACUUCUGAAGAUAACAUUGAGUCUUCAUUAGUGUCAACGAUCACAUCAUCGGUAUCACGUCUAUCGAGAGGGGACAAAUACCGGCAACACAGAAGGGAACACAAUCAGUGCAAUGCACAGUAUGAUGCAUGCUCAUGACAUGGCAAUAUGAAUGUGUUUUGAGCUAAUGCAACUAGCAACAGAUUAAAUGAAGUUGGUUUGAAUAUAAAAUUCAAAUUCAAACUCCAUAUGUGAUUAUUCAAAUGCCAUUCACUUCAUUUGCCCUAAACAGUAGUGAUAAGUUGUUCUAACAUGCAUGAAAAUGGUACAGAUGGAUUCCUUGAAUUUUUCUGAUAAUUUUUCAUAUAUAAUUUAUUUAAUUUGGAGUUACGGUUGAAUUUCUAUGAAUUUUAGAAGUUUUAGGCAUUUUCUGGAAUUCCUGAAAUAAUAAUAAAUCCAGAAAUGAUUAUGGCGUCAGCACCACGUCACAGUGACGUCAGCAGGGUCAACUGGGCGCCUCCAGGUCAAACCUGACGUGUGGGGGCCACACGUCAGUGACACAGGGCUGUUAGCUCACUGACAGGUGGGGUCAGGUCAACAUCCACGUCAUCAUGGUCAACUCUGACGUGUGGGUCCACAGUGAUUAGAUAAAAAUAAACAGAAAUUAAACAGAAAUUAAACUAGUGUUAGUUAGGGGCGUGGGCCCAGUAGUCAGUGAGAGGGGGGGUUAGUUAGUGGCAUCAUUAGCCACUAAUUACGGUGCCACGUCGGCACGGCCGAAGUUAACCCGCCGGCGACCUAAACAACGACGGAGGCUCGCCGGACUUGAGCUACAGGCGGCGGCUGGACUUGCGGAGACCACCGGGGCGUAGCCCGUGCUCUCCCGUAUCCAAAGGAGCAGGAGGGUGGUGGCGGGGGCGCCGGAGCUCGCCGGAAGUGCGCUCGCGGCGGCGCCGGAGUUCGGGUGAGUGCGGGGUUGACGCUAUGGUGCAUGGGAGGAGGGGCUGGUGGGCGCUACGGGCUCCUGGUAGCAAACCGAGUGCUAUGACGCGCCCAGGCACGAGCUACGGCGUCUGUAGCCACGACGGCGGCAUGGCCGGCGGCGGUGAGCUUUCGGGCUCGUGGGGAACGGCGCUACAGCACGGGGGCGAGCACAAGGAGUUAGGGGAUAAGGUAAGUGGCUCACGGCGAGUCAGACGGUGCAGACGGCGGGGCCGGGGAGGCUCUGGACGCGGCGAAUCAAGCGACGGAGAUCGCCGGCACCGAGGUUGGAGAAGACGUCCGGGGCGGCGAUGCAGCGCUCCCCUGGUUGCUUGGCUCGGGGUGGACGAGGAGGACGACGAUGCGGUCCUUCUGGAUUGGUCGGCGAGGCGAGUGGUGGUCGGUGGCCGUGGCUAUGGCGAGCGGCGGCGACGGCGACUCUCGGGUGGCUCGGGGAAGAGAGUCAGGGGAGGGAGAGAGGGGUCCAGAGAGAGAGAGGCGGUCGAGGGGGUCGAGGGCGUCUCCGUGGCGUCGCGAGGGAGUCGGGGAGGCUGCCACGGCGAAGCAGGAGGUGGAGGCCUCCGCGUGCGCGCGUGCGUGCGGUGUCCGUCCUCCUGGCAGAGGAGGAAGAGGACAAGGGGAAGGAUGAGGUGGGCUGGGCCGGCCAGAUGAGCUGGCCAGCUGGGCCAGGUAAGUGGCGCCAGGUAAUUCCCUUCUCUCUCUGUCUUUUUUCUAAUUAUUUCGGUUUUCUAUUUUGCAGGUUUGUUUUGAAUUUGGUUUUGAAACCAAUUCAAUUUAUUUUGCUUCUGACAAUUUUUUUAGGAGCUAAAAGAAUUAAAACAAUGCUCCACAAAAAUAUUUCAGAAUUAUUGGACCUAUAUUUAUUUAAUAGUAGAUAUAAAUCCAAUUCAAAUAAUUAUUGAUUUAAUUCAAAUGCCCAAAUUAAAUGUUUCUGAGACACCAAAAAUAUUGGUUUGGAUUUUACCUCUUGCCAAUAUUUCCAGAGGAUAACAGGAACAUUUUCUUGGACACAUUUGAGAAGAUUUAACUGUUGGUUAUUUUUAGAGGUUUCUGAGGCUUUGAAAAUUCCUCAAUUCAAAUUUCAUUUGAAUUUAAACAUGAUGCAGCAAGAGGUCUAGCCUAGUGCAUUACCAGAAGCUAGGGAUGUGACAACUCACCCCCACUAAACAAGAAUCUUGUCUCGAGAUUCAAGCGUAGGGUAAGGUGAAGGGGAAACGCAACUAGUAUAAUCUUCACGAUCCAGGGUGCACUUCAGUUGAACGUUGAUUCAUUCACCAUCAUUGUCUUGAUGUCUUGCUCUGAGAAAACCUGCCAACAUGACAUGGAGGGAAGAAGGAGACUCUAGAAGGGUCGAUCUUCUUGAAGAUCGAACAACUCACGGAAUGAGGCAUAGGACCAUCUCUCGGGUUGAGACACGAGAUACACAUCAAGAGGGGUGGAAAGAAACGGAUGACGAAGGUUCACUAGGUGGACAAUAAUUCCACACUUAAGAAGGUGGUAAACGAUUGCCAACGUAGCAAGGAGUUGAGUUGCCAUGAUACCAUAAUGAUGCACCUUAGGGAGGGUGACUCGUAGAGAUAUCCCCUUAAGUGGCAAAAAGAAUUACCUUUGAUUCAAAGAUCAUUGAAACUCUUUAUACCAGCCUAAGGCAAUCACAAGCGAUCAUUUGGAGGGGGUCGGUAGAAUGGCAUACUCGGACUUGGAUGAAGUGGAUUACCUUGUUGAAGACAAUGUAAUGGAUGAAUUUGCUUAUCACCAGAAAUGGAAGAGACCCGUGGUAGAAUGGCACAUUGACGGUGCAAGCUGGGAACAAAAUGCAAAUGCUGGGAAUGAUUCUGGUAACUGGGGAAGAACCCAACAAUAAAGAGUGAAUUCACUGUUGGAGUGGUUAUAGCAUUGCCGAGGAAACUGAGAGGAAUCCCAGUUAGAGCCGAUGGUAACACGUAGCGCUUGUGCGUGCUCUCAAGAACUUGAGCAAUUCCAUAAUCAUCAAGGUUUUACCAACAUCCGUGUCAAGGAUCCUGGCAACACAACUUGCUACCACGAUGAAUGAUGAUGGAUGAUGCAGAUGCAAAGGAAGAUAACACCUUCUCAGAUUACACCUUAGCGAAGCCAAGGAACAAAAUCUGGAUGAUCGACCGAGAGACAUUUAGCACUCCGCUUCUAAUGUUCUCCUUGAUGUGCUAGCGUAUCCCAUUCAUAGAUAUGGUUUGAUAUCUAGAACAUCAAGUAAAAAGGUCGGACUUCGGAACACAGAAAUCCAUAGGGGCAACUAGGGAGUAAAUCCUACGAAAUCCCUAUGGGGAGGUGGCCAACUUCUUCAAUCAAGAUACUACAAUAAUAGGUCUUCCGGCUGGGUGUGUUGGCCAUGACAUCCACUUUAUCGGUUAUCGCGAGACCAAUAUUAUAGUUCUUGGGAAAUGUUCCAAACCAUCAUAUCUGCCUGAGAUUCAGAUCUGGUUGGUGUCAGGAUAUUCCAGACUCAUCGAGUCUAGGAAGAAAAACGAAAGUUUGCAACACAAAUCGACGAGAUGACGUUGCGAGAUUCUCGGAAGAUGAACUACGAUAGCAAGCUCCAAAACAUGAGCUGGUUCUGCUACAAACAUGUGAACACGUUGUCCAAGACAAGCAUGACCACAAAGUAGUCUUAUAAUAAAACACUACCGAGUUCAGGAGGGGGAACCAUCAACGAGGAUAUCGAAGUUCUUUCAUAAGUCCGGAUUAGCUCUUAUGAAGAUACUCCUUCUCCUUGAACAAAUCAAUCAGUGGCUUGGUGUGCUAGGGAUACAUAUAGAUUGAAGGUUGCAAGUCUUCAAACCACAGCAUUCUUCGCACGUGUGCAUGACUGAUUUGGAAUGAUUCCAAAGAAAGCAACAUUGACUUUCUCGAGUCCACGGCGGCAACUUGCAUCAAAUGCACAUGAACUAGAGGAAGUCACUUCUUACAUCCGAACAUAUGCUUCAUGAGCUAGCAUGAGCAAAUGCUUACACAAGUUUCCAACACUAGCUUGAUGUUCAACAAAAUUAUGGAGAAGACAAGGAUGUUGUCAAUGGGCACAACAACAAUUCAUCUGGGUUCCCUUUUAAAAGGAAUUCCAUAGUUAAGUGAACAAGUGAUAGCAUUGGUCAGACCCAAAAGAUAUAAUGGUGUAUGCUCGAGGGAUCAACCACGAGUAAGACAACAUUACGAAUAUCGUUGGUUCUGGUCUGAUUGGAUGAUAGCCCACACUCAAAUCAAAGGAUUGAUAAGACAAUAGAUCCAGCAACUGAUCACAGGGACCAAUCGAUGAAGAUAUCAUCUUUCUUCAACACACACUACACAAGAAUAUCCCUUUGGAACGAACUAAGUCAGGCAAGCUUUUAUCUUCCAACCCUCCAAGUUGUCAUUUAGCUUAACCAACUAGCUCAGGGAUAUCUAACACCGAUUCUUGGAGAGAAGGUGGUUCACAAGAAACCAACUUGAUCACGAGCUCAACAUAGCAGUCAGGUGACAAUCUGGUAAUACUUCCGAGAAGAUCUUCGGAAAUCACGAACCACCGAUAUGUUACUAAGCUCGAGAACAAUCUUGCUUUUCAGGGCAAGAUGAUAUGAUCAAAUGAGCGAGGACUUGACAAAAUCCUAACUCAUCAAUCAAAGAGUGCACCAGGAAAUAAGAACUAGGUAGCACGAUCAAUCUUAGAAUGGUGAUUCAAUAACCAACAUACUAAGAAUAAGAUUAUUGUCCAUUAACUACCAAGCAAUGGGGUUGCUAGGAGUAUUGAGUUCACACAUCAUGAUUCACUUGUCAGCACUCCGGCUGCAACAACACGGAACCGAGGAAUGAACAAUGAUGGCAAGAAGUAUCACUGUACCAAGAGUUCAUAGGAUGGUGUGCAAUUCCUAUAACAAUCCCGAUAUAAAGAUGGUAAUACUUCAGGGUAGAACAGGAUCAAAGGCUGGAUUAGCAAUUUGAUCUGCGGAGCACAACUUCUUUGACCCAAUCCUGGAUAUGGAAGAGGUACUGGAGUUUGUUUCUCCUAGUCAUUCUGCGAUAGAAUGGCUUGACGGACCACAAGAGUAUUAGGCAUCGAUAAACGAACGCACGCAUACUCUUGACUAUCAAUUGAUAGACGAGGGUCAGAAUGCAACUAAAGAGAUCAACUCAAAGGAUCAUAUAAUUUUCUGAGUUGUGGACGCAUAGAUUAGUAUGUCGAACCAAGUUCAACAUGUUUCUUCCGGAUAACCCAUGCAGAAAGGUAGAACUGGCAGAGUCACGAUUUAUGAAUGGAGAACUCCUCAAGAGUACUCUAAUUGUGAUCUUUUGAUCCAAUAAACAUCUGCCAUAAGCGGUUCAUAGUAUUUGGAAGAAGGAAAUACCAUGGACCUCGAGGACUAUCGCAAAGUUACUAAUAUCCUGAAGGAACUAGCAAACACUAUCAACAUGAAGUAAGUAGAGUGAAUCUCGGGUUCAAAGCCCAAGGAGUAGAAUACCUACUACUAAGUGGCAUCACGGGAUGCUUUCGAGAAUAAAAGCCAGAAUCAUCACACUAGGGAUCACAAAACAUUGCUAGAUUACUAGGUGACUCCCUAAACACCUAGGCCAUAAUAGUAACUCCAACAUAAUGUCAAGGCAAUGGAAUACCUCAACUCAACAAUUAGUGUGAUUGAGCUGGCAUAAAGGAUCAUCGAAACCAGAGGAAAAGGAUUUUGCAAAUGCAUCAGACUAUUUAGAAACCUGGAAUGACUCGGACAACAUAACAGCUGUAAAUGCUCAGAAGAGAUUUGAGACAUUCACAAAAAUGGUGGCAUAACCACUCAGAAGCACAAUAUCAAGGUUUCGAGAUCAAUAAUUAACAUACAGAGGUAGAAAUGAAUUGAGGCUUAAUCCAACAAUCUUAUAAGUCUACGGAUUAGUAACACGUGAUCCUGAUGGAAAGAAGAGAUAGCCUAGUUCUUAAUCCCCGUAGAAGAGAAGAUGAUGACUCAGAUCAGAAGGCCAUGAGGUAUAAGGAGUAAAAAGAGCCUUACGUUCCAUCCCACAAUCAAUUCCCUUAUAUAACUAAAGAAUUUCUAGACUCAACUUCGACCAGUUUGGCUUGGUAAUCCUACAGGCAGUCAAGCUCUGAUACCAACGCUGUCAGGACCCCGACUCAAUGCCACAUCGAUCUAGCAUGUAACACCUCAUAUCACUUUGCGGCCUCACGCACAGUAUUCCCACGGGUGUCGCUUUACCUUAGCCCGGGACCGUUUGCGCCUUUUGGCACACGUAUAUGACAGUGUCGCUAGCAUCCAUAUGAUAAGGAGCCCGGGCUGACAUGACUAGUCGUAAACCCAAAGUGGCACAGACUUACAGGGACAGGCAUUCAUGACCCACAAUCGAACGUGUCGGCCAUCAGCGAGUGAAUCCAGGCUGUAGCACUGGGCUAGCAGGACUCCGGUGAACCGGGCUGUAGCGGGCUAACAGGACUCCGGUAUUCAUCGCGUGACAUUUCCCCGAAGGGACAGACACAGGAACGAAGAAGGACACAUGCCGGCCACCCUAAGUGCUCCGGAGCAGUAGCAAGCUACCAUGGCUCAGUGGAAACACUAGGAGACAUUUCCCGGUAAGAGAGGCUACUAAAGAUAAACAACUAGAUGGUCAGAUCCCACACAUACCAAGCAUUUCAAUAACAUACACACAAUAUGCUCGAUAUGUGCAAUACAACAUGGCAUCACAAAAUGACUCUACGACUCAAGUAAUUUAAUCAAUAGGCUCCGAGGAGCGAGAUAUUACAAACAUGGGUCUCAUGACCCAACAAUCAGAGCAUACAAGUCAAAGCACAAGCGGAAGCUAUCAUGUCUGAGUACAGACAUCUAUAAAUGAAAAAGGCUGAGAAGCCUGACUAUCUACCAGAUCCUGCCGAGGGCACAAGAUCGUAGCUGAGGUAACAAGCUAAACGUCGAAGACCACGCGGAAUUACUAGUGAGACUGAAGUCUCUCUGCAAAAACAUAAAAUAGGCAAACGUGAGUACAAAUGUACCCAGCAAGACUUACAUCAGAACUAUCUACAUAUGCAUCAUUAUCAACAAAGGGGUGGUGGGGUUUAACUGCAGCAAGCCAGCUUUGACUCGGUGGCUAUCCUAAACUACGACUGCAAUGUAACUCUUUUGAGGUGGCGCACAUGAGUCCACAUAUUCACCAUAUCAAUACACCACUAUGGAAUCGCUCCCGUCUCCCUACGAGAACGCCAUCCAUAGCACUCACGCUUAUCUUGCGUAUUUUAGAGUAUCCACUUUCACUUGUCUAUGAACUGAUAUAAGCAACCCAGAAGUCCUUUUUCGCGGACACGGCUAUUCGAAUAAAUCAUAUUAACCCUGCAGGGGUGUACUUCUUCACACACGCUCUCACCACUUACCGCCGUUUACACGACAUUUACUCGGCAACCUUCAAGCGGAAGCCCAACGUGGGUGUCGGCCACGGCCUACCUAAACACUCAAGUCUCUAGUCCAGGUUUAUCGCCUAUUCGGGUUCCAUCCAUGAGGAGAUCCGGCCGGAGUUUCGCUCACAGCCCCAAACGAUGUGAACAGGGUUCCCGAGACACCAAACGGGCGCCCGGUACACCGUGCCACGUGCCUACCGCAUCACAGCCCACCCCUACGGUCAGCGCUGCGCACGGCCUCCAGCAUACUACAAACACCAGAAACUACUUGCAACUCCUGGACAAAGGACAAGGGUGAUCAAGAAGCCGAGAGGGUCCAUUGGUUUCGGGCCCAAUGCGUGGUAGUAGCUGAAUCAUGGAUCACAAACACAGAACUCAGUUCCUGAGGACGGCUGCAAUGAGACAACCCACCAUGUACUCCUACAUGGCCUUUCACCGCUACCUUUACCAAAUCGUGUUCACACACUUAGCUCACACACAGUAGGACAUGUUCACACACCUCUGAUUCAUCCUCGAUGAAUCAGACCUGACUCAACUCUAAGCAGUAGCAGGCAUGACAAACAAACAUGAAUGAGUAGGCACAACAGGGCUCAAACAACUCCUACUCAUACUAGUGGGUUUCAUCUAUUUACUGUGGAAUGACAGGUCAUGCAAAGGAUAAAGGGGUUCAGCUACCGCAGCAAGUAACAGAUGAAUCGUUGUUGUCCUAAUGCAGUAAAAGAGAGCAGGAGCGAGAGAGUGGGAUUGUAUCGGAAUGAACAAGGGGGUUUUUGCUUGCCUGACACUUCUGAAGAUAACAUUGAGUCUUCAUUAGUGUCAACGAUCACAUCAUCGGUAUCACGUCUAUCGAGAGGGGACAAAUACCGGCAACACAGAAGGGAACACAAUCAGUGCAAUGCACAGUAUGAUGCAUGCUCAUGACAUGGCAAUAUGAAUGUGUUUUGAUCUAAUGCAACUAGCAACAGAUUAAAUGAAGUUGGUUUGAAUAUAAAAUUCAAAUUCAAACUCCAUAUGUGAUUAUUCAAAUGCCAUUCACUUCAUUUGCCCUAAACAGUAGUGAUAAGUUGUUCUAACAUGCAUGAAAAUGGUACAGAUGGUUUCCUUGAAUUUUUCUGAUAAUUUUUCAUAUAUAAUUUAUUUAAUUUGGAGUUACGGUUGAAUUUCUAUGAAUUUUAGAAGUUUUAGGCAUUUUCUGGAAUUCCUGAAAUAAUAAUAAAUCCAGAAAUGAUUAUGGCGUCAGCACCACGUCACAGUGAUGUCAGCAGGGUCAACUGGGCGCCUCCAGGUCAAACCUGACGUGUGGGGGCCACACGUCAGUGACACAGGGCUGUUAGCUCACUGACAGGUGGGGUCAGGUCAACAUCCACGUCAUCAUGGUCAACUCUGACGUGUGGGUCCACAGUGAUUAGAUAAAAAUAAACAGAAAUUAAACUAGUGUUAGUUAGGGGCGUGGGCCCAGUAGUCAGUGAGAGGGGGGGUUAGUUAGUGGCAUCAUUAGCCACUAAUUACGGUGCCACGUCGGCACGGCCGGAGUUAACCCGCCGGCGACCUAAACAACGACGGAGGCUCGCCGGACUUGAGCUACAGGCGGCGGCUGGACUCGCGGAGACCACCGGGGCGUAGCCCGUGCUCUCCCGUAUCCAAAGGAGCAGGAGGGUGGUGGCGGGGACGCCGGAGCUCGCCGGAAGUGCGCUUGCGGCGGCGCCGGAGUUCGGGUGAGUGCGGGGUUGACGCUAUGGUGCAUGGGAGGAGGGGCUGGUGGGCGCUACGGGCUCCUGGUAGCAAACCGAGUGCUAUGACGCGCCCAGGCACGAGCUACGGCGUCUGUAGCCACGACGGCGGCAUGGCCGGUGGCGGUGAGCUUUCGGGCUCGUGGGGAACGGCGCUACAGCACGGGGGCGAGCACAAGGAGUUAGGGGAUAAGGUAAGUGGCUCACGGCGAGUCAGACGGUGCAGACGGCGGGGCCGGGGAGGCUCUGGACGCGGCGAAUCAAGCGAUGGAGAUCGCCGGCACCGAGGUUGGAGAAGACGUCCGGGGCGGCGAUGCAGCGCUCCCCUGGUUGCUUGGCUCGGGGUGGACGAGGAGGACGACGAUGCGGUCCUUCUGGAUUGGUCGGCGAGGCGAGUGGUGGUCGGUGGCCGUGGCUAUGGCGAGCGGCGGCGACGGCGACUCUCGGGUGGCUCGGGGAAGAGAGUCAGGGGAGGGAGAGAGGGGGUCCAGAGAGAGAGAGGCGGUCGAGGGGGUCGAGGGCGUCUCCAUGGCGUCGCGAGGGAGUCGGGGAGGCUGCCACGGCGAAGCAGGAGGUGGAGGCCUCCGCGUGCGCGCGUGCGUGCGGUGUCCGUCCUCCUGGCAGAGGAGGAAGAGGACAAGGGGAAGGAGGAGGUGGGCUGGGCCGGCCAGAUGGGCUGGCCAGCUGGGCCAGGUAAGUGGCGCCAGGUAAUUCCCUUCUCUCUCUGUCUUUUUUCUAAUUAUUUCAGUUUUCUAUUUUGCAGGUUUGUUUUGAAUUUGGUUUUGAAACCAAUUCAAUUUAUUUUGCUUCUGACAAUAUUUUUAGGAGCUAAAAGAAUUAAAACAAUGCUCCACAAAAAUAUUUCAGAAUUAGUGGACCUAUAUUUAUUUAAUAGUAGAUAUAAAUCCAAUUCAAAUAAUUAUUGAUUUAAUUCAAAUGCCCAAAUUAAAUGUUUCUGAGACACCAAAAAUAUUGGUUUGGAUUUUACCUCUUGCCAAUAUUUCCAGAGGAUAACAGGAACAUUUUCUUGGACACAUUUGAGAAGAUUUAACUGUUGGUUAUUUUUAGAGGUUUCUGAGGCUUUGAAAAUUCCUCAAUUCAAAUUUCAUUUGAAUUUAAACAUGAUGCAGCAAGAGGUCUAGCCUAGUGCAUUACCAGAAUCUAGGGAUGUGACAGAUAGAUUGCAGUUGGCCAAAUCUCGGCAGAAGAGUUAUUAUGAUGCAAAGCACCGACAGAUCAGCUUUGAACCCGGAGAACACGUAUACCUCCAAGUCACUCCUAUGAAAGGAAUCAAGAGAUCCCAGACUCGUGGAAAGUUGGCACCCAGAUUUAUUGGUCCAUUUCUAGUUAUGUCCCGAGUGGGUACUGUUGCAUAUCAAUUGGAACUACCCCCUGAAUUGUCAGACAUGCACAACGUGUUUCAUGUUUCACAGUUAAAGCAAUGUAUAUCGCCGCCUAAGAAAAACACGGCUAUGACUAAAAUAGAGUUGGCGAAGGAUGUAACAUAUGAAGAGAGGUCGGUUAGAAUUUUGGAUCAAAUGGAAAGGGUCACUCGUAGUAAAGCAAGGAAGUUCUACAAAGUCCAGUGGGAGCAUCAUAUAGAGUCAGAAUCAACUUGGGAACGGGAAGAAUUUCUAAAGGCACAUUAUCCAGAAUGAUUUUCCCAAUCAACCGAAUCUCGAGGACGAGAUUCAUUCUAAGUGGGGGAGGUUUUUGACAGCCUGGUUUUUUGCCCUCUUCUCUUUGCCUGAUUUUCAGUUGGUUUGAAUUUGAAACUUGGAGUUUUGAAUUUCUUCAUAUGGACUUAAACACUUGGGUACCCCUUGGCUUUCACCGAAGUGCCUCAUUUCCCUCUCUAACUAUCAUUCCCUCUCUAGUUCAACUCAAAAUAAUAUUCUGAAUAUUUUUCUUUAAUGAAAAAUAUUCAUUUCCCUCUCUUAAACCCUAGCUAGCUCAAUGUGCUCCAAAGCAACCCCAAUUUUUCUUGCCCAUAAAAUUCUGAGAAAAAUCCCAAUUAUUCUUUGAACCCUAGGGCACCUUUCUGAGCAAAAAUAUUUCAUCACUUUUUGGAAUAUUUUGGCCAUAGAAAAUAUUUUCUGUUCUGGACAGAAAUGGUAGUUUCUACAUCAACUACCGAUUUACUUGCUCCAUUGUAGCUGGUUUCUCUUGUGCAUUAUCACCUUAGUAGAUGAUUGCUAGCCUCCAAAGCCCAGCCCUCAACUCCCGGUGGUUUGACCAGAGUAAGCGCUCAAAGCUACUGUCCAGAAACUUACCAGGAGUGUAAAAUCAUUUCUACUGCACCUGAGACCAAACCCAAGCGCGGUAACCUUCAAAACUACCACGAACAACAAGACAGACAUGAACUUUGGACUUAGGCGUGCGGGCAUGCAGCCGGCGCGCUCUGAGUGCCGCCGAGCGCUCUGUUGCGCGCGUGCUCGCUUCCCCGCCUGCCUGAGCAUGCCAAACCACGCCACAAUCUUCGUCCCAGCUCUCUUAACUCCCCCCUGGCACUCGCCGACGCUGGAACUCACCGCAGUGAGCAUGGGCACGAUCCAGCCAACGCAACAGUGCAUGGUGCACUGUACUCGUCGCCUUCCUCUCGCCCCUAUGCUCGUCCCCUUUCGCCAAUAGUCCCCGCGUGAGCUACGUCUUCUUCUCCCCCUCUCACUAAUGUUGUUCGUCGCCGGGCGCCAUGGCCAGGUGUCCACCGGCGGAGCCCGAACCCCCCACCCUCCCUCGAUGCUCUGCUAUAAAUAGGGACAUCCCCAGCCUCCUCGAGCACCAUCCACCACUCCCACACACUCCACAAUCGCGUAGAAAGCCGUAGCCCGGCCGAGCAGGCCGCGGGCCGCCGUCCCCGAGCUCGAGCUCGCCGGCAAUCCCCUCGGGUCAUCUCCGGAGCUCCAGCCCCUCCCAGGCCUGGGCAACCCUUCCAGGGUCUCCGCCACUCUCUGGUGGUGUCGUUCCGCCUGGUUGGAGCCCCUGGAGUCGCCUUUGGUCUCCGUCGUCUUCGUCUCCGGCGACCUCCGCUCUCUGCGUCCGCUGGAGAGGCUGAUUCCGACGCCAUCCGACGACCCCUAGCUACUCUAUGGGUAUGGGAAGGUGUGCCUCCAUCUCCUCUCUCGAUCCCUCCCUCUCGUUUUGGCCAAGGAGCCCUCGUCGCCGGCGUGCGCUCCAGCGAAGCCGCGCCGUCCUCUGUUUCCCUCUCCCCCUCUGCUACGUCUUGCGCUUGUGUUGGUUUUCCUUGAAGAGGAAAGGGUGAUGCAGCAAUAGUAGCGUAAGUAUUUCCCUCGGUUUUUGAGAACCAAGGUAUCAAUCCAGUAGGAGGCUCCUCAAAAGUCCCACACACCUACACAAACAAACAAAGAACUCGCAACCAACGCAAUAAAGGGGUUGUCAAUCCCUUCACGGCCACUUGCGAAAGUGAGAUCUGAUAGAGAUAGUAUGAUAAGAUAAAUAUAUUUUUGGUAUUUUAUAAUAUAGAUGCAAAAAGUAAAGAUGCAAAUAAAAGUAGAUUGAAAGCUUAUAUGAUAAAAGAUAGACCCGGGGGCCAUAGGUUUCACUAGUGGCUUCUCUCAAGAUAGUAUAAGUAUUACGGUGGGUGAACCAAUUACUGUCGAGCAAUUGAUAGAAAAGCGAAUAAUUAUGAUAUUAUCUAGGCAUGAUCAUGUAUAUAGGCAUCACGUCCGUGACAAGUAGACCGACUCCUACCUGCAUCUACUACUAUUACUCCACACAUCGACCACUAUCCAGCAUGCAUCUAGAGUAUUAAGUUCAUAAGAACAGAGUAACGCAUUAAGACAGAUGACAUGAUGUAGAGGGAUAAACUCAUGCAAUAUGAUAUAAACCCCAUCUUUUUAUCCUCGAUGGCAACAAUACAAUACGUGACUUGCAACCCUUUCUGUCACUGGGUAAGGACACCGCAAGAUUGAACCCAAAGCUAAACACUUCUCCCAUGGCAAGAAAGAUCAAUAUAGUAGGCCAAACCAAACUGAUAAUUCGAAGAGACUUGCAAAGAUAACUCAAUCAUACAUAAAAGAAUUCAUAGAAGAUUCAAAUAUUUCUCAUAGAUAAACUUGAUCAUAAACCCACAGUUCAUCGGAUCUCAACAAACACACCACAAAAAGAGUUUACAUCGAAUAGAUCUCCACAAGAGAGGGGGAGAACAUUGUAUUGAGAUCCAAAAAGAGAGAAGAAGCCAUCUAGCUAAUAACUAUGGACCCGAAGGUCUGUGGUAAACUACUCACAACUCAUCGGAGGGGCUAUGGUGUUGAUGUAGAAGCCCUCCAUGGUCGAUUCCCCCUCCGGUGGAGCACCGGCGAAGGCUCCAAGAUGGGAUCUCGCGGAUACAAAAGGUUACAGCGGUGGAAAUUGUUUUUCGUUGGCUCCCUAGAUGUUUUCGGGUAUGUGGGUAUAUAUACGAGGAAAAAGUACGUCGGUGGCCGCUUGAGGGGCCCAAGAGACAGGGGCGCGCCCUCCUAUCUCCUGGCCGCCUCGAUUGCUUCUUGACUUGCACUCCAAGUCCUCUGGAUCACGUUCGUUCCAAAAAUCACGCUCCCGAAGGUUUCAUUCCGUUUGGACUCCGUUUGAUAUUCCUUUUCUUCAAAAUACUGAAAUAGGCAAAAAAACAGCAAUACGGGCUGGGCCUCCGGUUAGUAGGUUAGUCCCAAAAAUGAUAUAAAUGUGUAAAAUAAAGCCCAUAAACAUCCAAAAGGGGUAAUAUAAUAGCAUGGAACAAUCAAAAAUUAUAGAUACGUUGGAGACGUAUCACCCUCCACCUCACCUGACAAGCAGGGCCCGCUAGUCAGCCACUCACUACACGCGCGAAGCGGUACGACUAGUGGCGCCCCGAGGCUUUUACUCCUUCGAGGUCACACCCCCCCCCCCGGUCUGUUUUUAUUUAAAUUCAAAUUUUAAUUUAAGCAGAGAACUUCAAACAGCCACAACUUUUUAACCAUAAGUCCAAAUGAAUUGAUUCUUUUUGCAUUGUGUUCUUUGUACAGAAAUCUAGCAACUCACCAAAGAUGAGAUUUUUCCAUGUUUUCUAGAUUUUUGGUGAAUUUCAGAAGGGUUCUUGAUAUUUUCUUUUUGUGUUUUUAAUUAUUUUCAGAGCGUGAGGCUUGUCUUGAGGAUCACUAGGAGGCUUGUGAACCUCAUCUGCACUAAGGCAAGCCACAACAGCAUUUUCAUGGUGCCAUUACAAUAUUUGUGAUUUUCUUACUUGAACAAAUGAUUUAAUCCAUGCAUUUAAAUCAUUGUUAUGAUAUUUAUAUUCUGUUAGUUGCUUGUUGUCAUUAAUAUGCUUAAUCUACAGAAAGUUUGAAGUUAACUUAGUUGGUGAAGAAACUAGGAUUUAUUUUUGAGUGAGGAAAGAAUAAUAUGGCCAUGGAUAUAAAUAAUUAGUGGAGUUAUUUUCUUGCAUGAGUAAAAAUGGUAAAAUUUGCAAGAAAAGAUUCUGUUUAAAGUGAGGUUUAAUCUUGCCCAGAGAAGUGUCAUGAGUUGUUGAUGUUGAUGCUUAGUGUGGAUAUAGUUGACUCAGUCAUUUCUGUCGAUAUGUGAUGCAUAUGUUAGUGUUGCAUGUCAUGGCAUUAUGACACCAGUUAUUUUCACUUUAAGUUGAACCUGAUAAUAACACAACUUGAAUAUAUUGUUGAUCGGGUCAUGGUGCCACUGAAUCGAGUUUUUCCCAGUGCAACCACAUUUGCCUUUAUGGGAAGGCCUUUAUUCGGUCCAUUGUCAUGCCUCUGGUCGGUGCCUCCAACUAGGGAAGGUUAUGGGCGUGCGGUACCCUGGCCCGGUAAGCAGAUAUAACCUUGUGUGCCCGUUAUUGAGUUUAUGUUACCAGGUCCCCGUGUGGGAUCACUUAUGUUUUGGCCAUGACGGUGGUCAUUCUGUCUUUGGUAGACACUGGGCCACCCAGGACUAGCCCAAUGGGGAGUGAGUCGGAGUGGACGGGAGAGUGUCAUGGCAAUGGAGGGGUUUUGUCAUAAUGUCGUUGGUCCACCCGAAUGGGAGUGCGAGGCCAUGGGUUCCGUGGUGUGGGUACAGUGCGCUACCUCUGCAGAGUGUAUUAAUCUAUUGAUAGCCGAGUCCACGGUUACGGACAUGCUCGAAAGUAGGUCACACCAUGGGUCAACGUUUAAAUAAAUCUUGCACACUAAGUGAUGAACUUUGCACUGUUGAUGAUGGCGGGAAGGCCAUCUUGUUGCUUAGACCAAUUAUUGGUCGUGGUUGUGAUCGUCGGAAGGAUCACCGUUUAAGAUCAAAUAUUAGUCGUGGUUGUAAUCUCCGGAAGGAAAACCGUUUAAGAUCAAAUAUUGGUCGUGGUUGUGAUCGCUGGAAUGAUCAUGAGGUGUCUCUAGCUAAUACCUUGAGUUUGGUACGUUUCUGAUCCAAGAGUGAUCGCGGUUGGUAAGCUAGUCCGAGGGACUUUUAUCACAAGAGCAUGAUCACAACAUGUUGGAUAUGUUGUCGCAUUAUUAUGAAUUGGUUAAUUAUCAUGGUAUUGUUUGUCAUUAUGUUUAUGCUUGUUGUGAGCUUGCAAGUACAUUCAAUGUAUUGACCUGGCGUGUCAUGCCAGAUUUCAGGAAAGUCUCGUUGGAAAGGAGUGUUGUCCGAGUCUAGAUCGUGUCCACAUCGGUGUCCCUGUGCUAUGGAGUUCCGCUAUGACGUUGUUCCGCUGCCGCGUAGUUGUUAUGAUCGAGGCCCCUUUAUGUUCACUAAAUAAUGUACAUAUUGUUCAGCCACGCCGUGUGUGUUGCUUGGCUUCGCCAUCUGUUGUAAUAUAAACUUUGAUCCGCUAGCAUCAGUAAAGCGGUUCCUUUCUGUACCAAGAUGUUGUGUGUUGCCAGAAGACAAGGUCUCUGGGCUGGCAAUGCAUGGUAAACCGGUUGCUCUGAUCCAGGGUGCCACAUUAAGCAUCGCUACGGGUGAGAUAGUCUCAUCGUAGUCAACCCCGUGAACUUGUCGAAAACCUUUUGCAACAAGUCGAGCUUUGUAGACAGUAACAUUACCGUCAGCGUCGGUCUUCUUCUUGAAGAUCCAUUUAUUCUCGAUGGCUUGCCGAUCAUCGGGCAAGUCAACCAAAGUCCACACUUUGUUCUCAUACAUGGAUCCCAUCUCAGAUCUCAUGGCCUCAAGCCAUUUUGCAGAAUCUGGGCUCAUCAUUGUUUCCUGAUAGUUCGUAGGUUCGCCAUGGUCAAGUAACAUGACCUCUAGAAUAGGAUUACCGUACCACUCUGGUGCGGAUCUUACUCUGGUUGACCUACAAGGCUCGGUAGUAACUUGAUCUGAAGUUUCAUGAUCAAUAUCAUUAGCUUCCUCACUAAUUGGGGUAGGUGUCACAGGAACCGGUUUUGUGAUGAACUACUUUCCAAUAAGGGAGCAGAUACAGUUACCUCAUUAAGUUCUACUUUCCUCCCACUCACUUCUUUCGAGAGAAACUCCUUCUCUAGAAAGGAUCCAAAUUUAGCAACAAAUGUCUUGCCUUCGGAUCUGUGAUAGAAGGUGUACCCAACAGUCUCCUUUUCGUAUCCUAUGAAGACACAUUUCUCCGAUUUGGGUUCGAGCUUAUCAGGUUGAAGCUUUUUCACAUAAGCAUCGCAGCCCCAAAUAUUAAGAAACGACAACUUUGGUUUCUUGCCAAACCACCGUUCAUAAAGCAUCGUCUCAACGGAGUUUGAUGGUGCCCUAUUUAACGUGAAUGCAGUUGUCUCUAAAGCAUAACCCCAAAAAGAUAGCGGUAAAUCGAUAAGAGACAUCAUAGAUUGCACCAUAUCUAGUAAAGUACGAUUACGACGUUCAAACACACCAUUACGAUGUGGUGUUCCGGUUGGCGUGAGUUGCGAAACUAUUCCGUAUUGUCUCAAAUGAAGACCAAACUUUUAGCUCAAAUAUUCUCCUCCACAAUCAGAUUGUAGAAACUUUAUUUUCUUGUUACGAUGAUUUUCCACUUCACUCUGAAAUUCUUUGAACUUUUCAAAUGUUUCAGACUUAUGUUUCAUUAAGUAGAUAUACCCAUAUCUGCUUAAAUCAUCUGUGAAGGUGAGAAAAUAACGAUACCCGCCGCGUGCCUCAACAUUCAUCCGACCACAUACAUCAGUAUGUAUGAUCUCCAACAAAUCUGUUGCUCGCUCGAUUGUUCCGGAGAACGGCGUUUUAGUCAUCUUGCCCAUGAGGCAUGGUUCGCAAGUACCAAGUGAUUCAUAAUAAAGUGAAUCCAAAAGUCCAUCAGUAUGGAGUUUCUUCAUGCGCUUUACACCAAUAUGACCUAAACGGCAGUGCCACAAAUAAGGUGCACUAUCAUUAUGAACUCUGCAUCUUUUGGUUUCAAUAUUAUGAAUAUGUGUAUCACUACUAUCGAGAUUUAAUAUAAAUAGACCACUCUUCAAGGGUGCAUGACCAUAAAAGAUAUAACUCAUACAAAUAGAACAGCCAUUAUUCUCUGAUUUAAAUGAAUAACCAUCUUGCAUCAAACAAGUUCCAGAUAUAAUGUUCAUGCUCAACGCUGGCACCAAAUAACAAUUAUUCAGGUCUAAAACUAAUCCCGAAGGUAGAUGUAGAGGUAGCGUGCCGACCGCGAUCACAUUGACUUUGGAACCAUUUCCCACGCGCAUCGUCACCUCGUCCUUAGCCAAUCUUCGCUUAAUCCUAGUCCCUGUUUCGAGUUGCAAAUAUUAGCAACAGAACCAGUAUCAAAUACCCAGGUGCUACUCCGAGCAUUAGUAAGGUACACAUCAAUAACAUGUAUAUCACAUAUACCUUUGUUCACCUUGCCAUCCUUCUUAUCCGCCAAAUACUUGGGGCAGUUCCGCUUCCAGUGACCAGUCCCUUUGCAGUAGAAGCACUCAGUCUCAGGCUUAGGUCCAGAUUUAGGUUUCUUCUCUUGAGCAGCAACUUGUUUGCUGUUCUUCUUGAAGUUCCCCUUCUUCUUCCCUUUACCCCUUUUUUGAAACUGGUGGUCUUAUUAACCAUCAACACUUGAUGCUCCUCCUUGAUUUCUACUUCCGCUGCCUUUAGCAUUGCGAAGAGCUCGGGAAUUGUCUUGUUCAUCCCUUGCAUAUUAUAGUUCAUCACGAAGCUCUUGUAGCUUGGUGGCAGUGAUUGAAGAAUUCUGUCAAUGACACUAUCAUCAGGAAGAUUAACUCCCAGUUGAAUCAAGUGAUUAUUAUACCCAGACAUUUUGAGUAUAUGUUCACUGACAGAACUAUUCUCCUCCAUCUUGCAGCUAUAGAACUUACUGGAGACUUCAUAUCUCUCAAUCUGGGCAUUUUCUUGAAAUAUUAACUUCAAGUCCUGGAACAUCUCAUAUGCUCCAUGCCUCCAUGACGUUCAAAACGUCGUUGAAGCCUCGGUUCUAAGCCGUAAAGCAUGGCACACUGAACUAUCGAGUAGUCAUCAGCUUUGCUCUGCCAGACAUUCACAACGUCUACAGUUGCAUCUGCGGUGGGCCUGGCACCCAGCGAUGUUUCCAGGACGUAAUUCUUCUAGGCAGCAAUGAGGAUAAUCCUCAAGUUACAUACCCAGUCUGUGUAAUUGCUACCAUCAUCUUUCAACUUAGCUUUGUCAAGGAACGCAUUAAAAUUCAACGGAACAACAACACGGGCCAUCUAUCUACAACAACAUAGACAAGCAAAAAUACUAUCAGGUACUAAGUUCAUGAUAAAUUAAAGUUCAAUUAAUCAUAUUACUUAAGAACUCCCACUUAGAUAGACAUCCCUCUAAUCAUCUAAGUGAUCACGUGAUCCAAAUCAACUAAACCAUGUCCGAUCAUCACGUGAGAUGGAGUAGUUUUAAAUGGUGAACAUCACUAUGUUGAUCAUAUCUAUUAUAUGAUUCAUGCUCGACCUUUCGGUCUCAGUGUUACAAGGCCAUAUUUGCAUAUGCUAGGCUCGUCAAGUUUAACCUGAGUAUUCUGCAUGUGCAAAACUGUCUUACACCCGUUGUAUUUGAACGUAGAGCUUAUCACACCCGAUCGUCAUGUGGUGUCUCGGCACGAAGAACUUUCACAACGGUGCAUACUCAGGGAGAACACUUAUACCUUGAAAUAUAGUGAGAGAUCAUCUUAUAAUGCUAGCGUCAAUCAAAGCAGAAUAAGAUGCAUAAAAGAUAAACAUCACAUGCAAUCAAUGUAAGUGAUAUGAUAUGGCCAUCAUCAACUUGUGCCUUUGAUCUCCAUCUCCAAAGCACCGUCAUGAUCACCAUCGUCACUAGCGCGACACCUUGAUCUUCAUCGUAGCAUCGUUGUCGUCUCGCCAACUAUUGCUUCUACGACUAUCGCUGCCGCUUAGUGAUAAAGUAAAGCAAUUACAGGGCGAUUGCAUUGCAUACAAUAAAGCGACAACCAUAUGGCUCCUGCCAGUUGUCGAUAACUUUGUUACAAAACAUGAUCAUCCCAUACAAUAAAAUUUAGCAUCAUGUCUUGACCAUAUCACAUUAGAACAUGUCCUGCAAAAACAAGUUAGGUUUCCCCUACUUUGUUGUUGCAAGUUUUACGUGGCUGCUACGGGCUAAGCAAGAACUGUUCUUACCUACACAUCAAAACCACAAUGAUAUUUCAUCAAGUUAGUGUUGUUUUAACCUUCUCAAGGACCAGGCGUAGCCACACCCAGUUCAACUAAAGUUGGGGAAACUGACACCCGCCAGCCACCUAUGUGCAAAGCACAUCGGUAGAACCAGUCUCGCGUAAGCGUACAUGUAAUGUUGGUCCGGGCCGCUUCAUCCAACAAUACCGCCGAACCUAAGUAUGACAUGCUGGUUAGCAUUAUGACUUGUAUCGCCCAUAACUCACUUGUGUUCUACUCGUGCAUAUAACAUCUACGCAUAAACCUGACUCGGAUGCCACUGUUGGGGAACGUAGUAAUUUCAAAAAAAAUCCUACGCACACGCAAGAUCAUGGUGAUGCAUAGCAACGAGAGGGGAGAGUGUCUUCCACGUACCCUCGUAGACCGUAAGCGGAAGUGUUAUGACAAUGCGGUUGAUGUGUCGUACAUCUUCACGAUCGACCGAUCCAAGUACCGAACGUACGGCACCUCCGCGAUCUGCACACGUUCAGCUUGGUGAUGUCCCACGAACUCACGAUCCAGUAGAGCUUCAAGGGAGAGUUCUGUCAGCACGACAGCGUGAUGACGGUGUUGAUGAAGCUACUGACGUAGGGCUUCGCCUAAGCACCACUACGAUAUGAACGAGGUGGAUUAUGGUGGAGGGGGGCACCGCACACGGCUAAAGAUCAAUGAUCAACUUGUGUGUUGCGGUGCCCCCCCCCCCCCGCCCCCGUAUAUAAAGGAGCUAGGGGAAGGCGGCCGGCCAAGGAGGAGGGCGCGCCAAGGGGGGGAGUCCUACACCCACCGGGAGUAGGACUCCUCCUUUCCUAGUUGGAGUAGGAGAAGGGGGAAGGGAAGCAGACAGGAAGAAGGAAACGGGGGGCGCCCCCCCCCCUCCUUGUCCAAUUCGGACUAGGGGGGGAGGGGCACGCGGCCUGCCCUGGCUGCCCCUCCUCUUCUACACUAAGGCCCAAUAGGCCCAUUACACUCCCCGGGGGGUUCCGGUAACCCCCUAGUACUCCGCUAUAUGCCCGAACUUGCCGGAACACUUCCUAAGUCCAAACAUAGUCAUCCAAUAUAUCGAUCUUUAUGUAUCGACCAUUUCGAGAAUCCUCGUCAUGUCCGUGAUCAUAUCCAGGACUCAGAACUAUCUUCGGUACAUCAAAACACAUAAACUCAUAAUACCGAUCGUCACCGAAUGUUAAGCGUGCGGACCCUACGGGUUCGAGAACUAUGUAGACAUGACCGAGACACGUCUCCGGUCAAUAACCAAUAGCGGAACCUGGAUGCUCAUAUUGGCUCCUACAUAUUCUACGAAGAUCUUUAUCGGUCAAACCGCAUAACAACAUAUGUUGUUCCCUUUGUCAUCGGUAUGUUACUUGCUCGAGAUUCGAUCGUCGGUAUCUCAAUACCUAGCUCAAUCUUGUUACCGGCAAGUCUCUUUACUCGUUCUGUAAUGCAUCAUCCCGCAACUAACUUAUUAGUCACAUUGCUUGCAAGGCUUAUAGUGAUGUGCAUUACCGAGAGGGCCCAGAGAUACCUCUCUGACAAUCGGAGUGACAAAUCCUAAUCUUGAUCUAUGCCAACUCAACAAGUACCAUCGGAAACACCUGUAGAGCACCUUUAUAAUCACCCAGUUACGUUGUGACGUUUGGUAGCACACAAAGUGUUCCUCCGGUAAUCGGGAGUUGCAUAAUCUCAUAGUCAUAGGAACAUGUAUAAGUCAUGAAGAAAGCAAUAGCAGUAAACUAAAAUGAUCAAGUGCUAAGCUAACAGAAUGGGUCAAGUCAAUCACAUCAUUCUCCUAAUGAUGUGAUCCCGUUUAUCAAAUGACAACUCAUGUCUAUGGUUAGGAAACCUUAACCAUCUUUGAUCAACGAGCUAGUCAAGUAGAGGCAUACUAGUGAUACUUUAUUGUCUAUGUAUUCACACAUGUAUUAUGUUUCCGGUUAAUACAAUUCCAGCAUGAAUAAUAAACAUUUAUCAUGAAAUAAGGAAAUAAAUAAUAACUUUAUUAUUCCCUCUAAGGCAUAUUUCCUUCAGCUACUACCUCCAUCUCCUUCCUCUCUCCCUCGUUUUUCUUUCUUUCUUUCUCUCUCUCUCCCUCUGGAUUGACUCACCCUCCCAUGUACUUGCAUGUGCAGGUCGUCGCCAUGGACGACCAGGAGAUCAUUGCCUUGGCUGCGAAGAGGAUCCCCACGCCGCCGCCUUGCUCGGCCAUGGAUCCGAGCCAUCUGCAGCAGCCGACGCUGGAUUUGGUCUGCUGCCGCCCUUCCGCACCUCCGGCAACCCCUGGCGGCGCUGGAUCAAACCAUUGCUGCCAUUGACAGCACGCACGGGAUUGAGAAUUUUUUUGUUUUUGAAAUUAAUAGUAGUAGCAUGGGUAGCACCCACGAUGCUACUGUAGUAGUAGCGCGGGUGCACCCGCGCUACUACUACAAGUUAGAUGUAGCAUCGUAGUAGUAGCGCGGGCACCCGCGCUACUACUAGCUGUUUAACUCGCGCUACUACUAGGAUUUUUCCUAGUAGUGAAGAGAAGAACCACCAAUGGAAAAACCUGCAAAAAGGAGGAAGAAGCUGGCAGUUAGGAUAGGCCCCACUAGUAGGUCACAUUCAAGUGUGUUAGAGGAGGUGAAACCUGAUUUCAUUCCUUCAUCAGAUGAAGAAGAUGAUGGGUUGCUGUUUGAGGAUAAAGAUGAUGGAUAUGAGCCACUCUCAUUUGUUCUAACUAAAUGGAGGAAGAGUAGGGCCAAGAAAAGGAAACCAAGGAUCUGGUACAAUGACAAACUACAUUGUUCUUCUCCAGUGCUCUCUCUCUCUCUCCCNNNNNNNNNNNNNNNNNNNNNNNNNNNNNNNNNNNNNNNNNNNNNNNNNNNNNNNNNNNNNNNNNNNNNNNNNNNNNNNNNNNNNNNNNNNNNNNNNNNNNNNNNNNNNNNNNNNNNNNNNNNNNNNNNNNNNNNNNNNNNNNNNNNNNNNNNNNNNNNNNNNNNNNNNNNNNNNNNNNNNNNNNNNNNNNNNNNNNNNNNNNNNNNNNNNNNNNNNNNNNNNNNNNNNNNNNNNNNNNNNNNNNNNNNNNNNNNNNNNNNNNNNNNNNNNNNNNNNNNNNNNNNNNNNNNNNNNNNNNNNNNNNNNNNNNNNNNNNNNNNNNNNNNNNNNNNNNNNNNNNNNAGGUACAUGAGCUAAGCUCUAUGAUAUGUGAUAUAUUCUUAGCUAACCCUACAAAUGACGUGGAGGUCUAUAGAUAGCAGUGGCGGAUCCAGGACCAAGGCCGGGGAGGGGGGGCUAGACUUGGGGCAUGAGGAAAACUUGCUUCGUUAACGAUAGCAUACGGGCAUUGUAGCUACAGUGUAGAGAUAUUGUAGCUGGGCUUGGCCCAGUCCUAGCUCCGCCCCUGAUAGAUAGUGCUAGGGGAGAAGGGGUAAGUUAGCUGGGGAUACAAGGCCCAAGGCCUGUCAUGCACACAGGCAGGGACCGAACAAUCCGGGUUAUUGCCCGGAUGAUCCAGGUGACAGGCCGGACGAUCUGGGCAUCUUUUGGAUGAUCUGGGUGGAGUUUCCGAUGAUCCGACUUCACGCAAGGCCUUCGGGUGUGUUCUAUUGCUGUAGCUGGAUGAUCCGGGCGGGGCCCCGGAUGAUCCGUGUGGUCUCCCGAAUGGUCCGGCUUCGUGAUGACUCUUCGAGGGGAUUCGGCCGCCGUAGUCUGAUGAUCCGGGAGGGCAUCUAGAUAAUCCGACUGUUGCCUCGAUGUCCGGGAGGAGGUCCGGACGUCCGGCCUAGCUCUAGCAACCGCUCCAUCUCCUUUCUUCCGUCUUCUCUUCCAUGUUGCCCUCUUGGAUGGUGUAGUCGUACUCUUGCGCUUGCACUCCUCGUCAUCCGUGAAGCUCAGACAAUACCUAUGUAUGCACACGAGAAAAGUGUCAAUAGUAUACCAUACUCGAAAGGGUCAAGUGAACACAUGUAAAGGAGAUGAUUCACUUUUAUGUACAUGAAGUAGAUACCGCACACACCCGUGUCACUUGCCAAACAGACUCUUGACAUGGUGAUGUCCGUAGGAUGCUCCGCAUGAAACUUGCAGCUAGAGAACCAUGCUUUGAGGCCAGUGAUGAUGACACAGAGAUAAUCAGACCAUGAAGGCGAAAAAGCCCUUGCAUUGAAACAACAGUUAAUAUAUCAAAAAACCUUCACACUAUAUCGUGUUAAACUACCAUUAUAUUAAUAUAUCACACUUUCAGCUGACAAUGAAAAUACAUCACAGAAAUUGAAUAGCAAAGAUAACUGAAUCUCCAUGGCAAGUACUCCUCGAAUCCUCUAGAAAUGCAACAACAGUCUUUUCCAUUCCAGGUCCACCCAAACAACAAGAUAAGUUACAUGUUGUAAGAGAUUGAAAACAAGAAUAUAACCAUUCAUGUACCGUCUAAAACACAUGCUGGUUCUGCAUACUGGUAUGCCAUCAAAUUAUUCACAAACAGAUAAAUAACAGAGAAUAUAUAAUCCAGAUAUGAAAAUAUUCAUAAUAGUUCCAACAAGACGGCCACAUAUCCAUGAUUAAGAAUAAAACUACACAAAUACACGCAGAGUACUAAGUUGACCGAAUAGCUCGUAGCAUAAAAUCAGGUACAUGACUUCACUCAAGCACCAACAGCUUCUCACAACUUAUCCAGAUUACUGCUGCUCAUAUUGGACAUCAAACUGCAUAAUUAACAUCAGAAAGUGGACAGUUGUGAUGGCUCCAAUACACAAGAAGUCCAUUAAUGCCCAUCUGCCAAUGACUACGAGAACACAGGAACAUAUGAAAGAUAAGGGCACCUGGAAGUCCGUCCAAGAUCACAUAUGAAACGCAGCUCCUUAGAAUCAAUUUCGUAUGAAAAUAAUUUCAUCUGUAAUCGGUACCCCCGUAAUGUAGUUUUGACAAUUAUGAAUAGCACAUCGUCUUCUGGGUAGGCUGAGAUAACACUGUAAGGUUCCUUCCUCCUUGAACCGAACAGUUGCAAGCAGCUUGCAUUGUGCUUCAAAGUCCAAUAAUCUUCACUACUAGAAUCUUCAAGGACCCAUACUGAUGCUUCAGCGGCACCAUAAUUUGCGACAUACAAUUGUCCUAGUGAUACAUAACCAUAAGGACCACAGCAAGCAUCAUGUAAACUAGGAACAGGAAUGAAACGAUAGACUCCCUCCGCUUCGGCCCAAGCCUACGCGCGACAGGCCUCACUCCUCUCGCACGUCAUAAGUUAGCCUUUAUCUUUAUAAUUGAAUUUUGAUCACAACAUAACAGACGCUUUGUCAUUGAUUGUUCUUAUAGAGUUCAUUAGCAAUGGCUCUUUCUCCUCCUAUCGACCUGGCUGUGGCAGUUCGGCUUCGGUUUGGACUCCACCUCAUCUUGUUUCGGCAUCCUUAGUUGUUGCCUUGUUGGAGGCAGUAUGGUGGUGGUUCGGACGUCCCAAACAGUUUCAUCCCUAGCAACAGUGGGAGUGGGAUCACAUGUUUUCCGAAAGCGAAAUCAGAGACAAGGUUACUUAUGAUUUUAUUUUCUUGAUUCCUUCUGCCUUCUGUGAGCUAUAGUGUCAAGGAACCUCCUAUCGUCAACAACAAAAAAAAAAACAGUGAUGCACAACACUCCAUGAUCACAGAGAUUCAAAAAAAAAAACUCCAUGAUCACGCUCAUAAUACUACUGUAGUCUGUUUAGAUCAUUUUCUUAAUGACAAGUACAUUGAAAUCAUUCUCUUUUCCUAAUGGCUUUAUUUUGAAGAUCAGAGCAAGCAGUUGCAGUCUGCACGAAUAAUACUCAAACUGAUAGGGUGUUGUUGGUAGGCAACGGAAAACGCACUAUACAGUGCCGACUGCCGAGUGUCGACAUUCUUUUCUCUCACAUGCUGUUUCACCAGCCAAGAGCACAAGUUCCCUCACAAGAUGCGGGAAGUUCGAUGAGAAGAUUUAUAAGAGUCAAUAAGAGCACACCAGCAAUCGUCAUAAAUCAUUCAACGUCACAGCAAGUCUCCACCCUUCAAGUGACAACGCAAAUACGCCAGCCGUAAGACUAUAAUAUCUUUUUUUUUGCGGGGACACAAGAAUAUAGAAUUUACCAGUUCCAACACAUAAAAAUUGAACAAACUGGCACAAAGUCGAUCAAGCCAACAGGACGGCCAAAUAAACAUGGAUUGAAGUCAGAUCUAGACAAACUUGGAAAGGCGAUCUGAGCAAAUAUGCACUGCUCAAGAGAUAUCCUGACAACUCGGUCAUCCUCGGUGAAACAAACAUGAUCAAACCAGAAUGGUGUAAAACAAUUUUGGCUCCAGGUGAACUGAAACUGAUUUUCAUAUAUCGAAAGCCUUAACAGUAGACUGUGUUAAACUACUAUUAUUACAUUACUAUAUCACAGUUUCAACAGACAUGAAAAUUGAGGUUCGAGUUGAACUGAAAAUGUUGUUCAUAUAUCAAAAGCCUUAACAAUAGGUCAUGUUAAACCACUAUUACCUUACUAUAUCACAGUUUCAGCAGACAUGAAAAUACAGCGAAGAGCUGAAUCUAGAAAUGCAACGGCAGUCUUGGCCAUUCCAGGUCCACCCAAACAACAGGAUAAGUUCUAAUUCUAAACUAGAUCUAGAGAUUAAGAACAAGAAUAUAACUUUAAAUGUACUGUCGAAAACACAGGUUGGUAUACCAACAAAUUAUUUAUAGAGAAAUAAAGGAGACCAGAAUCGAGAUACUCAAAUAUUGAAAAUAGUUCCAGCAAAACGGUCAAGUAUCCAUGAUUAAGUACUAGGGUAUUACAGCUGCAUGGGCUACCAAUAACUCCAUAAACACAAGCAGACUACUAAGUUGACAGCAAGCAGCAUAAGUCAGGUACAUGACUUCACUCAAGCACCAAUAGCUUAUCACAACUUACCCAAAUUACUGUUGCUCAUAUUCAAGAUCUAACUUCGCUAUCAUCAUCAGAAAGAUGGACAAUUGUGAGGCUCCAAUACACGAGACAGUUAGUGUCCAUUUGCCAAUGACUCCGAGAACAAAGGAACAUAUGGAAGAUAUGGGCACCUGGAAGUCCAUCCAAGAUCACAUAUGAAACGCAGCUCCUUAGAAUCAAUUUCGUAUGAAAAUAAUUUCAUCUGUAAUCGGUACCCCGGUAAUGUAGUUUCGACAGUUAUGAAUAGCACAUCGUCCUCUGGGUGGGCUGAGAUAACACCGUAAUAUUCCUUACUGCUUGAACCGAACAGUUGCAAGUAGCUGGCAUUGUGCUUCAAGGUCCAAUAAUCUUCACUACAAGAAUCUUCAAGGACCCAGAUUGAUACUUCAGCAGCACCAUAAUUUGCGACAUACAAUUGUCCACGUGAUGCAUAAAUAUAAGGACCACAGCGAGCAUCAUUUAAAGUAGGAACAGGAAUGAAACGACAGUUUCCCUCCACGUCGAUGACUGCAACCAAAUUAUUAUAGGAACAUAAAUACAACACCCCACUGAGAAAUGUGCCACCUGAAAAGUUGCGUAUCUCAAUUGGAUCGUCCCACUCAAUUUGAUGUGUCCAGCCUCCAGCUUUGGACGAGUAGAUCCCCACCUCUUCGAUGUUAUAUUCAUACUUCAAAUUCCAAUUUAAAGCCACAGCAGGUACCAACUCGAACACAUAGAAAUGGGAGGAGACGGCCGGAUCAAAUCCCAGGCGAGCAUAUGAUUCCGAGGACCAUUCAUUGGCAGGGAAGGUUACCCAUUUCUCAGUGGCAGGAUUACACACCAGGUAAUCCGGUUCCUCAGGAUAAGGCUUGGAACAUCGACAGAGGAGGAGGCCGUUGCAGCAGUCCAACAAGUCAAUCUUCUCGCAUUUUGGCAGGAACGAGAGGGAGGCGUCAAUGGGGCACC
rnacentral:lncRNA from 1 species